rnacentral:lncRNA from 1 species
UUUUUUUUUUUGGUUUUGUUGUAAAUGGUCAAAAGAGAAGUUUAAAAUUUUGCAUGUUUAAUAUUAGACCUAGCUAUUUAUAUGUAACAGUUAAAAUUAUUGAACUAUACUGAAUGUCUGUUCUAAGUUCUGUUUUGAUUAGUAAUGCCUCUUAACCCUAAUUCAGUGAUGGAUAUGGGUUAGAGGUGUUACAAUAACACUAACUACACUAAGAAUUAUAACUCUAAUGGUUUCAAUUGGUAAAAUUACUAAUGAAAUCAAGUAGUGGUCGGUUCUCUCUCUCGCUAAUGAUGGAUUUAUACCUAAAUAAUCUAAACACACGAUUAUUAGCCUAGUAACAUUCACCUCUCGGUCUCAAAUAACUUCUAGAAGCAUAAUGAAAUCUCCUCUUAGUCUCAUUCAAUUAAGCCUAACUAAAUCAUAUCUACUCGAUAGGGUGUCCUCUUGUCCUAUCUUAUCUCAAUUUUCACUCAAAGAUGUCAAUUUUGAGUUAUUGACAUAGUCAAUUUAACCCAAAGCAUACAUUCAAAUUAACAAAAGGCAUAAAAUCACAUCACAAGCGAUAAAUAUAACCAAUCGCAUAAAGAAAUUAGUUAAUUUCCAUGGAAAAUACAAAUACACAAUAAAAUUCCAUUCAAUUCAAUAUAAUGAAAUCAAAGGAAAAUUAAGAGUUUAAGAAAUACUCAUUAAAAUGAGAAAUCCUUAAAUUUGAGAAGUUCAAUGUAUUUCAUCCACAAAUAAUCUUGAUGGCCAACAAUAAAAAUAGCAAUUUAAAGUAGAAAAAUGAAAAACUCUGAAAUUUUGUCUAAAAAUUCUAACCUAGAAAUGUCUAUCAACAAAAACUAAUAAUAAAAUAUGUUGUCUAAAACUAAUCUCUCUUUUACGUCCUUAUUUGCUAAUUAUAAAGUGGUAUUUAUACUAAAAACCUAAAUAGCCAGCCAUUUACAUCAUUGCCCAUCAUAAAAUUAUCAUACUAAGGCAUUUUUUACUCAAUCUUCCACUAUUUACCCUAAUAAAGAUUGCAGAUUUUGACAGUUACGAAAGUUAUUGUUGCAAUGUGAGCUUUUUCUUUCCCAAUUCAGCUUAAGUCACCUGGUGGUUAUCACGACAAUGAGUUUUCCAGUUCAAUUCUUUGGCAAGUCAGAGGCUUCAUGGUUCUAACAAGGACAAGAUAUGGUCACGACCAUGGCUUAGUUGAGGGAACUCCUUAGUUAGCAAGGUCAUGGUCACAACAAGGAAUCCACACCUUACUUUUUUUCUAUUUGCAUCCCUCCAUUGAGUCUUACAAUGUUCUUUUCACAUCUUUAGGUCCAUGUAUGAAGGUAAUUAGUUUAUUUAUUCAAAAUACAAUAAAAAAACAUGUAAACUAAAUCCUAAUGCUAAUGCAAAAAGUAAUAAAAUGACUCUACAUGCUACUUGAAAACAAGCUCCUUAAGUGUGAAAAUGGUCUAAUUUACCACAUCAAAUUAUAAUGUAUCAAACUCAUCCGCACUUAAGUCUUUGCUUAUCCUCAAGCAAACAAUACACACACACAAAUGAUCCUCAAGUUUCGUUGAACAUUGAAAAUGUAAAAGACAUGUCUCACACCCAAAUUAAGAUUGUUGUCUUACUAAUUCAAAUACUUCAGACCAAGUUCACACAGUUCAAUAAGUUAAAAAGCCAACAAACAUAAAGGUAAUUCAAGUGAAUAUUUGCUCAAUUGUGUCAGUCCAUCAAGAUGAAUUAAAUAGUGUCAUUAUAGAUACUCAAGUAUAAAUCACAAACAUUCAUCAAUUCUAACAUGAAUAAUUCAGGAAAUUCAUACGAAAGGGAAUGUUUGUCACAUUACUCUUCUAGGCUUGUAACGUUUCGAGGCAUAGGAUGAUUUGAAUUAAAAAUAAAAGUUAGUUUAAAAUGAUUUCAAGCCCUAGAAAUAGAGAAGCUCGUGACAUUGUUCCGUUUUGUCCCUCGAUUUAUCAAUAAACUCACCUUCUUAUCAUUCUCUCUCCUUUUUUUUUCUUAAGUGAUUAAGACAUGGUUCAAUAUUGUCAAAUCUAAAAGCUAGAAAGUUUAUAUGCAUUAAGAAAGCUAAAGAAUUUCUUUAAGAUCAAGAAUAUUUUAUCAAUUUAUCAUAUUCUAACAUUUAUCUUCUUUCAUUCACAAUGAUUUCAAACCCUCGUCGUGCUUUUAUUCACUAAUGAAUUUUCAUUUAUGCACUUACAAGCAAAGUAUCUAUACCUACCAUAUUGAGUCAUUUCUUCAUUUUUCCACUCAUAUAAUUAUUUUGAAACCUACAAAAUGUAUCUACCUAAACCUUAAGGUCCAUGGCUCGAUGUCCAUUUUAUAGUACAAAAACAAAGAUAAUGACAAUGAAGGUUUUAGUUAUACACUCACUUUAGGCUUAAGGCUUCAAACAAUAAAGCUUCACCAAGAAAGAGGUAUAAAAGCUCAAACAUGGGACCUUGGGAUAACAUAGUGACAAGGUUGGCUCGAUUAGAUUCUAGCUAUACAAGUAAUGCCUUUGAUCAUCUCUAAACAUUUCACAAUUAUAUAAUUUUCAUCAUAUUCAACAUUUAAACAAAUAAAUAACAUGUGAUUCAAGCACUUAUUAUCUAAAAAUAUCAAUCCAAUACAUCUAUCAUAUGACACAAUUUCACACAAAUUCACAUCAAAAUAAUCACUUAUAGUCUAUUAGGCAAUUUUACACUAUUGAACUAAGCAACAUACUCCAAAGAACGCAAUUAACUACCAUCAAUCACAAUUCACAUCUCAAUUAUCAAUACAAGUUCAACAAUGAUCACCAAUAGACUAAGUCUCAUGUAACUCAAGCACCAUACAAAACACUAAAAAAAUUAAAAAAAAUUAAAAAUUUUUGCUAAAAACACAGAAAUAGCAAAAAUAAAAACACCCAACAAAUAAAAUAAAAACUUAUGCAAUCCCCCCCCCACACACUUAAGUUACACAUUGCCCCCAAUAACUAAAGAUAAAGUUUAAGGAAACUGCCUUUUUCCAAUUUUCGUACCAUAUUUAAAUAUGAAAAACUAUGCUCUUUAAGCACCUAAAGAGCUUGUUUUGAGGAAAUUAGUAGAGUACUUUAAUGUUUCCUGUACUUCGGAUAGAUUCCAUUUUUGUAUGCAAUUUGUGGUAUGUUUUAUGUUUUUUUUUCUAAGUGAAAUAGCCAUCAUAAUCAAUUAUGGACUUAUUUUUGGGACAAGGCUUUUGUAGGGACUUAGUUGAGGAGAGUGAAAAGAAAAUUGAACUAAUUGGAGUGGAAGUGGAAACAUCACUUAUGAAUGUUACGACAUUGUGCACCUUUCAUCAACCAAAGAGCCAACCUUCAACAAUUGAACCUCGAGUAGCCUAAUUUCAAGGUCGCGACAUUGGUUCUUAAUGUCAUAACACUGUAUAUUUUCCAAUGCAACAACCUCAUCAUACUCCAAGUUGUAAAUGGAGGCCACUGAAGUCAAGGCCGCAGCAUAGGCAUACAAAUGUCAAGACUAUUGGAACGCCGGCACCCCUACAGCGCAGCGAAAAAUAAAACACUCGGUGAUCCUAACCAUGAAUCCAAGUGUGAGGAAUGAAUCGAGGUAAAAAAGGGUUUCGAAAUUAUCGAAUGGUGAUUCUGAGUUGACAGCGACUCCUCGGCAACGAGUAAUCUGAUCUACUGUCGAACCAAGCCGUAAUCUUUGAUGACUCCGACCUCUACGUAAUCCACCCAAUUGACUAUGAACGGAAGGAAUCCCCAAACAGUUUUGGAGAAGACUUAGCUUUGACGGCUGCUAGACUCACUAAGCAAAGAAAACUGGGAUUUUAUAUCUUAUUAUUAUUUUUAGGGUUUCUCAAAAUUAAAUAAAUAAAUAUAAUAAUGUUUAAAAACUGAAAAUUAUAAUUACAUUAAUUAUAAUCAAUGUUUCGGUAAACUAUAUUUAUUUAUAUACGAACCAAAAUCAUAUUCUCAUUAUGUGUACAACAACCUUGUACAUAUAAUGUGUCCGAUAUUUGAUUAACCAAUUAAAUUAAUUCUAUAAUUAAUUUAAUUCAUGCGACAACCAAACACAAUACCAAUUAUGUUUUAUUCCGUUCAUUUCAACUAUAGGGUAUGAUCCUGUAGGUUCUUGUAACGUUAGCACUAAUGUUAGAACAAUUCCAAUGUUACAAACAAUGAGUGGCACCUAGCAAUGCAUCAUUGCUACCUAAGUCACAAGAAAUCAUUAUUCGACAUAACCUUUUUAAGAUUAAUCUUUUCAUAAUCCUUAAGUCCUUUAUCUCUGGAUUGAACAAAAGUCAUGGAAUAGUCACACUUGUAUAGUUCAUUCCAUGUUCAUUGAUAUCUUAAGUAGACUAUGAGAUAUAAAUAAGUAUGACAUCUCAUAUCAGCUUAUUUGAGCAUGACCAUGCAUUUCUAGUCUCACUCAAUCAAGUUGCCUAAGAUAUUACUCCCAUUAUAUAGGAGGGACUUAUCCUAAAUCGACCAGCCAUAUCCCUCUACAUAGAUUGUGCUAUAUCCAACAUCAACCUUUAUAGAACAACCAGUUACGGUGUACGUUUAACUGUAUAAAAAUAUACAACUCACGAUGUUGGGAUUAUGAUGAUUCAAGUCUGAGGAUCAUAUACAUAUUAAUCACUAUGAUUAAUGUCGUGACAAUUACAUAAUAAUCCAAGAAACAUACUUAUAACGGGUCAGUCCAAUAUGUUGUUCUCUAACACACAUAUUCAUGAAUCGAUUCUGACAUUCCAUAUCAAUGACAACUCUUUAUCAUCAAUCAACUACAUGUUAGUCUUAAUACAUUAUCGUUGCCCUAUCUAACAAUAAUACUUGACUAAGAAACUUUUAAGAAUAAUCAUAUUAUUCUCAGGACAUUAUUAUAAAAUAGUUUAUUUAUACACACAGAAAAGAAACUGAAAUAAUAAUGGUAACGUCUAAUAUUAAUAAACAUGAUAAAUCAAGUAUGUUAUUACAACCAUCUCAUGAUUGAUCUUUGGGCAUACUCUAACAAAGACAUCAACACCAACUUGAAGUAGUCACGACAUAGGGUGAUUUGGAGCAAUAUAGGGACUUGCUCGAUGAAGAGGUUGUGGCAUCAAGCAUGGAUGUUGCGACAUUGAAGCCUAACGAGGUUAUUACUAAAACAAAAACUUGAAGGCAAAAUGGGGUCAAAAAAUUUACAAAUCAUUUUUUUAAGUGGGGUUAUUUUUGUAAAUGUUAGGUAAAGCCCUUAAAACCUAUAAAAACUAAUUUUAUUAGACUUUUUGAAAGAGAAAAAUUAGGUUAGUUAUUUUAUGGAUAAAAAUAUUCUUUUCUAACUUUUAAUUGUUUUUCAAUAAAAUAGUACAAGGACCAAUUUGUAGGUUACUUAUUCUACAUAAUUUCUUUUUCAAUUUUAUGUUUUUGGUAUUAAAUUGAAGGGUUCUAUUAUGAAAUGCAAUUUGUUUUUCAUUAAAAUUAAGGAUUUCAACAAAAAUACUAAGCAUUUCUAAACUUUUCAACUUCAUCCUUUUAAUUGAUUGAUUGUAUAAAUGAAUUGUUAUUUUAAUUGCAUAAUGGGCAUGAAAUGAAUCCUUGAGUGAUUGGUUGAUUGAAUUGUUAGUUUAUGAAUUUUAGUUCUAGGGACUAAAUUGAAAAAAAUAGUAAACUUAGAAUUAACGCCUCUAAGUGAAAAUCUAGAUAGAUAAGACUAAAAGAAGACCUUAUCGAGUAAUGAUUCAUUUAGUUCAUUUUAAUCAAAUGAGACCGAGAGGGUAAUUUGGUUAGAUUUCUCAUUUGGAUUAAAUUGGGACCAGGAGGUGAGAUUUAGUUAAACGAGAAAAUUGGUAAUUUAAGUUUCUUAUGUCUAAGUUCAUAGCUAAGAUGGAAAUCAUCCAAUCACUAUUGUUUCUCAAUUCUUAAUUUCAUAAAUUGAAUAUUUUUCACGUUUAUUCCUUUUAUUUAAGAAUUUUUAGACACUUAUCAUUUUCUUGAUUUCUGUACUAAUUAGUCACUUUAGCAGCCUAGUAGACUUUCCCAUGCAUGUAUUCUUAUUCGUAGCAUUUUAAUUAUGCAUUCUCCUUUGGGCUUGAUCCUUGAAAUAUUGUGUUCCAUAGUAAGAUCUUUAUUACAACUCAAUAUGUGACACUUGUAAACACCACACUUUACUUUUAUACAUCUAUUUUGCAUUGCUCAAUGUACACAUGCUAAAGUGCAAUCAAGUUGUUGAUCAACUUACAUUUUUCUACAUCUAUUUGAGAUUUAUAGGUUACUAGGAAUGAUUGUCUAAGAGAAUAGGAAUGUCUACUUCUUCUUUGAAAUUCAACACAAUAAAGCCAACGAGAAGAAUAAAAUGCCUAACCCGAACUAAGAUAUCCUUAAGGAUACCUUUAAGAUGACUAAAGAACUAUAUACUAAUUGGAGUGUGACGAUGUAGGACAUAACUCACAUAAUUCUAAUCAUUGAUAAAUGGACAAGGGCAUCAAAUUUAUGCUAGCCCUUAAGUUACAUAAAGCUUUAAUUUACCCCUCAUAUUUCUAUUAGAAUUGUAAAGCUCCCAGGUUUUUAACUUAAGAAAAUGAUAGCACUACAAUUAGCACUCACUGGUAUUUUCUCCUUUUUACCAAUCUUCUUAUGCUUAGACACAAUGUCAUGAAGAAACUUGGCAUACUUCGACAUUUUCUCAAAUAGCUCAAGAAGACCUAAAUUAAAACUAGGUUCACUUAACCAAACCAUACUUAUACAACAUACCAGGUGAUCAGUAAUUGGCAUGUCCCAAUCUCUUGUGCCACAAGUUAGUACCAUCAGUUAAACUAGAAUAGGCUUUAAAGGUAACUGAGUUUCAAUUUAGAACAAAGCUCGUACCAUUCAUAUUUACUAACAUAAGCUUGUGACCAAUUGAAUCAGAUACAACACAUUUAUUCUAUUCAAAAACAACAAAAUAAUUCUUCUCAAUAAGUUGACCAACACCGAGCAAGUAUUGACCUAAUCAUCAGUAAUAACUUUUGUACCUACAGAAGUGUUAACCUGAACAUCUCCCAUUCCCUUGGCUUCAAUGAUCUGGCCAUUUCAAACUCUGAUUCUCGAACUGAAUAAUCUAUCAAUCUCCUUGAACAUGCUUUCAUCUGAAACCAUAUGGUUUGUACAACCACUAUCAAUCAACUAGUUUUUCUUGUCUUGGUUGUUGACUGUGAAGCAUGAAGCAGUGAAUGUGAGCUCCUCCUAAGCUUGAUUUUCUUCAGCACUUGAGCCUGAUUAGACUACUAUUGUUGUUACUGUACUUUGUUUUUAUAAAUUCUAAAAUCGUGGCCAAAUUGCUUACAGUUUUUACACUGUGCACCAAUUUUUAUCCAACAAAACUUUUAUGAAUGACCCAUCUUUUUGCAAUUCGAUCAUGGUGGAUACUUUUUCUUUCCACCAUCUCUUUUUUGCCUUUCUCUUGCUUGAUUCCUUUUCUUCUUGCCUUUGUUUCUUGAAGAGCAUGGAGUUUCCUUGUUUCUCGCUUGGUAAGCACCUUCUACGUGAAAGACAUCAGUAAUAACUUUUGUACCUAUAGAAGUGCUAACCUAAACGUCCCCAUUUCCCUUGGCUUCAAUGAUCUGGCCAUUUCCAAGUCUGAUUCUCAAACUGAAGGAUAUGUCAAUCUCCUUGAACAUGCUUUCAUCUGAAACCAUAUGGUUUGUACAACCUCUGUCAAUCAACCAUUUUUUCUUAUCUUGGUUGUUGAUUUUGAAGCAUGAAGUAGUGAAUUCGAGCUCCUCCUGAGAUUGAUUUUCUUCAGCACUUGAGCCUGAUUAGACUGCUAUUGUUGCUGCUGCACUUUGUUUUUACAAAUUCUAAAAUUGUGGCCAAAUUGCUUACAAUUUUUACGCUACACACCAGGUCUUGUCCAGUAAAACUUUUCUAAAUGACCCAUCUUUUUGCAAUCCAAGCAUGGUGGAUACUUUUUCUUUUCACCAUCUCUUUUUAGCCUUUCUCUUGCUUGAUGCCAUUUCUUCUUGCCUUUGUUGCUUGAAAAGCAUAGAGUUUCCUUGUUUCUCACUUGGUAAGCACCUUUUGUGUGCCCUUCUUCUCUGCUAGCUCUUCUUUGCUCCGCGCAUAUAGAGCAUUUAUGAGCUCUGAUAGAGAGAUAGUUGUUAAAUCUCUCGUGUCCUCCAAGGAUAAGAUCUUGGACUUAUACUUCUUUAGCAGUGUUGUGAUGACUUUUUCAACAACCCUUCGAUCACUAAACUGAUCACCAAGAAACGUUAUGUUGUUGACAAUGGACAUGAUCCUAUCUGCAUACUGCUUGAUCAUUUCAGUUUCCUUUAUCUUCAAGUUCUCAAAGUCUCUCCUCAAAUUCAACAAUUGUUGUUGUCUUGUCUUCUCAAUCCCCUAGAACUCCUCCUUCAACUUAUCCUAGGCUUGUUUGGGAGUUUCACAAGCCAUAAUUCUCGUGAAAAUAACAUCAGACACACCAUUCUGAAGGCAAGACAAAGCCUUAUACUUCUUAGCAGCGUUAUCGCUAUACUGUCUAAUUUGAGCUAUCGUUGGAUUAACUUACAAAGGUGGUGGUUCUCUGUUUGAAACAACAACUUCCCACAAGUCAUAUGCCUAAAGAUACAUCUUCAUCUUCACUACCCAAAUAUGGUAGUUUUCUCUAGAAAAGAUAGGAGGUGGAGGUGGUGUAAAGCUUCUAGAUGACAUUGCAAUACAAACAAGAUACAAACAACACUUUGUGUUCAACAAGAAAAACACUUAGAAGUUCCUCUAAGGCUAAGGCUUUCUAUACCAAUUGUUAGAGUUUAGAGAAGUUGAGAGAACAAAAUAUUGAGAAAACAAAGAAAAAUACAUAGCAUAAUUUUUUUACUGCUAUCAAAUUUUCUCAUCUUUUUUUCAUUCAACAAGAAAUACAAUAUAUAUACGGGUGUAGUGAUUACACGUAAGUCAACUACCCCACUAAUACACCUUAAAAAUACAAAAAUAUAACUUGUACAUAAAUUGAUUAGGUAAAAGUCAGAACUUAAAAGGUUAAAUCAAUACUAACUCUGCUUAUCUAACAAGUGAUCUUAGCAAGUAGACUAAUAAAAAAAAAUCAUCAUCAGCAUAUGCGAACCCUUCUUAAAAUACGUCAGGUGGUUCGCCAACAACAUAUAAUAGCUCACACUUUGAUGAGCUCGCAACAUUAGUUGAGCUCGCAACCAUAGAGCUAGCAGACUUGCUUGAGCUCGCAGCUACAUAGGAAGAGUUCACCACUACAUGAAUGGCCACUUCGGAAUAGAGGAAAAGAAAUUAAGAAAAAGAACAUGUAAGCAUAGGCGGAGCAGGCAGGGACAGAAAUGAAAUUUUGCAAUUUUAGCUCCUUUAUAAUUUAUAAAUUUUAAAUUAGUAUAUGAUAAAAUUGUACAUCGACACUAAAAAAUAUAACAUUUUUAUUUGUUCCUUUAAAAUUUAUAAAGAUAUAGACUAUUAAAAAGGUAAAAUUAUAUUUUUGUUAUCAUAAAAAUAUAUUACUUAAUUCCAACUCUCAAAAAAAAUUACUUUACCUAUGUAUAUAAGUGUAAUUAAUUACAAGCUAACUGAAACAUUAAGUAAUAUUAAAAUAUAAAUUAACAAAGAUAAUCUAUUAUAUUGUAUAUAAGUUUAAAGGCUUAUUCGGGUAGCAAGUAAAUUUAAUUGGCUUAUUUGAAUGUAAUUAAAGUAUAAAGACUUUAUUUAAAUAAGAUAACAACAUUCAAGGGCUUAUUUAAUAUAUUAGCCAUUAUUGGAUUUAUAUUUCAAAUAUUGAUACCUAUAAAUUUAGAGUGAGUAUUUAUUACAUUAGUAAUAUACUUUUUUUUAUUUUACAAUUAACCUUAAAAAUUGACAUGUAUUUUUUUAAAAUAUAUAUUUUUUAAUAAUUUAUUAUACUCUAUAGGACACUUAUCAAUCUCUUAACCCUACUUAUGGAGUUUAAAAACUCCAAUAACAAUGUACCAAAUAUUUUCUUAUAAAUUUAUGUUUUAUUAGUGAAAUAAACGAUUACAGGUAUUGUAUUUUUUUUUAAAUUAAUAAUUUUGAUGCACUGGUGGUGGAAACUUUUAACUCUACAACUGGAUUAAGAUUUUGUCAUGUUUCCUUAAGUUGUAUUUAAAAUUUUUUAAAAUAAAUAAAUAUGACAUGUGGCAAAAUCUUAACCGCACUUAUGGAGUUAAAAAUUUACAUCACAUGUGCGCCAAAUAAUUACUCAUAAUAUAUUAUCAUGUAAUUUAUGGGUUAAUAUUUGGUAAACUCAAAGUGUUAUGUUUUUUUUAAUAUUUUAUUAAACAUUUCUAUAUGACACUUGUCAACCCAUUGGCCUUACUUGUGGAGUGUAAAAACUUAACUAUUAGUGUACCAAAUAUUUUCCCGUAAUUUAUUGAUAGUGUAUAAAAUUAUACAAUAUUAUUAUAUUAAGGGAUAGUAUUUAAUACAAUUUAUUGAUAGUGUACUUUUUUUUAUUCCUCAAGUAGCUUUAAAAAAUUGACAUAUGUCCCUUUUUUAAUAUUUUACUAUAACCAUGAAGGACAUUUGUCAACUCUCUGACUUUACUCAUGGGGUCUAAAAACUUUAUUAAUUGUGUACCAAAUUAUUUUCAUUAUAUUAAAUAUAACCCUUACCUAAAUAAUAUAAACAAUGGGUGAAUAUGAUAUCCAUUCAAAUUGCAUUAAUAGCUCGCAACAUAUUCGAAAUUUAAAUAUGAGUAUUGUGUUGUUUUAUUUCCCAAAAAAACAGGCGAAUAUUGGGACGUACACGUAUGAUACUAAAAAUAUUGGGUGAAUGAUAGUAUUUCUUUUUCUUUUUCUUUUUUUUUUUUGAGAAAAAAUGGCAAUAUUUAAAAGAGAGACAAAUUGUAUAAAUUAGAUUUUAUUAAGUGCUUAUUUGGUCCUCUAAUUUUAUAUAAAAAAUUAUUUUAACUCUUCAUUUGUUUUUUUUACUUUUUGUAGUCCUUAAAGUUUUUUUUGUCGUCCUUAAACCAAGUUGGUUUGUUUACUUUUGUUUUUUCGUUAAAAAUAUCGCUUUACCUUAAAAAAAUAUUAUGAUUAAACUAAAUACUAAUUAAAAAAGGUAAGGCAUACUGGCAACUUUAGCCCAUAGAUCUUUCAUUUAUUUGUCAAUUUAGUCCUUUUUUUAAUUAAAUUUGACCCUCAAUUUUUUAAAAAGAAUCAAAUUUAAUCAUUAAUCUUUUAAAAAGAAUUGAAUUGAUUUUUUAAUAGAAAUACUAACUAACAUGUUAAAUUUUUAAACAUUGCAGCCCACAUUGCAAUCUAAAUGUACAUCAUGCUAUUUUUUGAAUUUUUAUGAAGCUUUUAUCCUCUCUUUUUUUCUUGAAUAUUUUUGUAACUUUUAAAAUAUUUGUUGACAUGUAUAUAUGACAAACAGUUUCAUGUCAAAAAAGGUGCACGUAGACUACCACACAAGUUGACACAUCAAAAUCAUUAAAGAAUAUUUUAAUCAACAUUUUUAUUAAAAAACAACAUUUAAUUCUUUUUUGAAAGAUUAACAGCUAAAUUUAACUUAAAAUAAUAAUAAUAAUAAUAAUAAUAAUAAUAAUAAUUAAAGUGGAAAAAAACUGUAAAACUAAAUUUAUCACUAUCCCGAAAGUUAAUGCUACAAACUAUCAUACACUCAUCCUUAUUAUUUUUGGAUUUAAAUAGAAGUGCAUCAAUAAACCGAGAUAUUAUUUUGUAGAUUAUUCCUACCACGUCAAUCAUGAUUGAUAUUCAAUAGUCAUGUAAAAAUAUUUUUCCACAUCAACUUCCUCCUUGGCCUAUUACUUUCUUCUUCUUCUUUUUUCUCUUCCUACCUGCAACCUUUGUUCCCCACAUUCUUUUCUUGCGAAGCCAAAACAACUACGAAACAAGUGACGAAGAAGAGUUUGAAGAAGAAGAAAAUGGGUAGGAUGGAGACCCCAUGGCUACCACGCCACUUAUAAGACCCAAGUCGAGAUCUGGUAAUUGGACGUCGAACGACAAUAAUCACUUAACCAGCUCCUUUUUUCACAUUGCUCAUUUGGGGUUUUUUAGUUUUAAAAUUUGUUAAGUAACUAAAUCUUUUGAAUCUGUUGAUUUUGGGAUUUUCUAUUUCUUUUAUGAACAGAUUUAGAGAAUCAAAUGGAGGGAAAUGUUUAUUCCAACAUUAAAAAAUUACUAUUUUUUAAAUAAGAAAAUAUUGCUACUAUUCUUGAAAUUGUAUUUGAAUGUUUGAUUAUUAUGUUCUCUUGUUUGUCCAAAAGGGGAUUUUUAUUUUAUGAAUGCCGUUGAUUAAAACUGUAGGAGAAAGUAACGAUCCGAUUACUUUAGCCAUGUUAGAUGAAGAAAAUAUAUGCUUAAAUGCUUUUUUCAUCAUUUAAAAUCUGGGUAGGCAAGAAGGAAGGUGAGUAAGCCGGCAAUAUAUUUUAGUGAUGUGUAAAAAUAUUCUUACACGGUAAUUCAUUAUUAAUGGUCUAUAUAAUAAUUAUUAAGGAGUUGGAAUGGAUUUUUUUUUAUACCUACAAACGUAAAUAAACCAAGAAAAAAAGUGCGCAUUGCAUGCUUGUAUAUUUCAACAAAAAAAUUAUAUUAUAUCUCCAACAUUAAGCAAGUUCUUCUUCACCUCACAUUUGUUCACCCAUAAUGGGAACAUCGGUGUAUCUUUUAUUGAUAACUGUGAUCCAACCAAAAGAAAAAGUAGGAGAUUGAUAUAUUAGUAGAAUAAGACGUAGCGACAUAUAUGCAUCAUAGUUGAAAGGGAUACAGGGAAACCAUACGUAUAACAAAAAGCAAAGAAACAGAUAAGAGUCCACAAAAGUAGCAACCUUUACGAUUCGAAUAAUGAAUAGGGCGUUUAUUGUCAUAGAUAGGUUGAUAAACAUCAACCUAUCUACAGUAAGGGCUAUUACCCUUACAAUUUUUGUUAUGAUUAUCUGGGUUUGGUGGUGGAAGACAAUUCGAAUAACUAGGACCGCAGUCCUUUUGCUUUACCGCUGGCUUAUCCUUUGUAAGCGUGCUGUAUAUUUUACCGACAGUUUUAUCGACCCCGAGGAUUCUGAUAACGGUAGAAUCUAUCAUCAACAAAUCCAGCUCCGACUCCAAUUCUUCCCGGAUCCCGCAGCCGCCGAGAAAGCCAUUGCACUGGUAAGUGGCGUUGCUCCUCAGUACUAGGACGGCGUCUCUGCCGCUAAUUGGUUUUAGGAGAAUCAUCAUCAUCACUAACCCCACCAACUCACGAAACCCCAUUUUCUUUUUCCUUUGUUUCCCCUCGCCCUGGAAUGGGAAAGCGCGGCCUGCUCACUUUAUAGAGGGUAGAGGAAAGAUUAAUUAAUUAUUGGAGGCUAAUAUAUUUAACAAGUCCUUGAACUUUAUUACUUUAUUUUAAUAAGCCCUCAUACUUUUGUUCCAUCCAAAUAAACCUUUAGAUUUCAAUUAGUACCUAAAUUUAGUCACUUUAUUUAAAUAGGCUUUUAUACUUUCCAUACAUACAAAUAAACCCUUAAUCAUUGACAUAUGUCUAAGUUAUUAUUAUGUAAAAGUAGGCUAUUGUAAAUUAUAUUGUAUUUUUUAAAAGUUUUUAACACUUAUGUUAAGGGUUACGUCUAGUAGGAGUAUUAUAUUUUAUGUGUGUUUUAGUAUACGAGUUAGAAAUGAUCUAAUUCAAUUGAUCAUAUUUAAUCAUACUCAUAACUUAUUUUUAGCAAAGAUAUUGAAAAUUUGGCAUAUGUUUUUUUUUAAUAGUUUACUAUAACCAUGUAGGACACUUAUCAACUCCCUUACUCUACUUGUGGAGUCUAAAUUUUUUUUUCAAUUUUGUACCAAAUUAUUUUCAUUAUAUUAAAUUAUUUUCAUUAAAUUUCUUUAACAUUGGGUGAAUAUGGUGUCCAAUCAAAUUGCAUUGAUAGCACUCAACAUAUUCGAAAUUUAGAUAUGAGUAUUGUGUUGUUUUAUUUCCAAAAAUAGACAGGUGAAUAUUGGAACGUACACGUAUGAUACUAAAAAUAUAUAGUAUUUUGAGGAACAGAAAUGAUAGUAUUUCUUUUUCUUUUCUUUCCGUUUUUUGAGAAAAAAAAUGAUAGUAUUUAAAAGAGAGAAAAUUUGUAUAAAUUAGAUUUUACAUAAGGACUUAUUUGGUACUCCAAUUUUAUUUAUAAAAAAAUGUCAUUUUAACCCUUCAUUUAUUAUUUUUAUUUUUUUAUAGUCCUUAAACUUUUAUUUGUUGUCAAAUCACUCCAAAAUGGGUAGAAAAGUUGUUAACUUUAGUAACGUGGCAUACACGUGGAUUACCAUGCCGAUGAUACAUGAAGAUUUAAUUAAUUUUUAAAAUUUUGAAAAAAAAUUAUAUAUAUAAAUUAUUUUUAAAAAUCAUUAAAAAGUAUUAACAUUAUAAAAAAUAUUUUUAAAUUUAAAAUAAUUAAUUAAAUGCUUACAUGCUACAUAAGUGGGAAUUCACAUGUAUUCCACGACAAGAAAAUUAACAAAUGUUAACAUUUUCAUUCAUUUUGAGUUAAUUUCACAAAAAAAUACAAAUUUGAUGGUUAAAAAAAGGGAAAAAUAAAUGGAGGGCUCAAUUGACUUUUUUUGGGGAAUUUUUUUUUUUGUAAAAUUGGAUGGCCGAAAAAACCGUACACCAAUCGAUUUGGGCACACUCAUGUUGUGGGAGAAAAAUAUAUUCAUGUAACAAAUACCUAUAUAUAAAAACUUAAUAUAAGUAGCAUAUGAGGUUUUGGUUGAAUGGUUAAAUAUAAAUGUGUGAAAGUAAAAAGGUACGAGUUCAAAUUCUAUUAUGUGUGCAUGUUUUUCUAUUUUUCUAUAUACAAUAUAUAAAAUGAUAAAAAUAGCCUUAAAAUAAUAUAAUUUAUUUUGUAAAAUAAGAGUAAUUUCAUCUUUAUCAAAUGAGUUGAUAUUUGGUUAACCUAUGACACUAAUUUGACCAAGGGCUUUAUAAUAAAUAUAUAUACAUACAUGAAUUUUAAUUUGGUGUAAUUUACACAUGGAACUUAAAUUGUGGCUUAUAUGUAUAUAUGAAAUUUUAAUUUUAAUUCAAUUGUACACAUUUAAUGAAACGGAUCCAUAUAUUUGUUUUCAUGUUGAACUAACAUAAUUCUCUGUGUAUAUAAUAUAUAAACAUAAAAUGACACUAAUUUGAUAAUUUGAUAAUGAUUUGAGAAAAUUGAAUGAAACAAAAUUUUUUUAUAUAAAAUCACUCAAAAUUAAAGCUUGCGUAUAACAUUACACAUUAGAUUAAAAUAUCAAAAAUAAUAUUUCCUAUAUUAUUUCCCUUUUAACUUUCCUCACUUUAACCUUUUUCUUUUCUCUCUUCUUCCUUUCUUUUUAUCCAAACAAGGUAUUGCUUCAAAAAAGGGAUAAAACUAAACUAAUUAAACAUAUUAUUAAGAAAUUUGGUAAAAUAUAUAAUGAGGACAAAUUACAAACCCAUGCCAACAAAUAGUUGAUGAAAUUACAACUUUCAAUUCACAAAAUUUAAAAAAUCAAAAAUUCAUAAUAUCGAAAAACACCCAAAACUGUAACAAUGACCCAUUAAUUGUAGUUUAAUUCCAGAAAAGUAAAGAAGGGAAUAAGCUUUAGCUUUAUACCUUUUUUCUUUUGUCCUAAUCACGCAUUACCAAUAAAUAAGUAAAAAGUAAAUCAACAAAAAAUAUAAACUAGAAUUUAUAUUCUUAUCCUAUCAAAUAUAUAUAUAUAUAUAUAUAUAAAGAAUUUAGACAUAUUUACUUUAUAAACUUAAUUUAUUGUGAGUAAAAAUAAAAAUUAAAUAUAAACAUAUUAGUCAUAAAUGUUGCAGGUAAAUUUAAAAAAUAAUUGUUUAAGCAUCCUAAUUUCCUUCAAGAUCUUUAUUAUAUUCUCACAAAGAAAUGGUGUCUCAAACAUAACAGAAUUGUUCCCAGACGGUUUUCUUAUUAAUAAUAAUGUUUAUAUAUAUAUAUAUAUAUAUUAGAUACUUGGUUUUAAAUGGCAAUAAUUUAUUUAAAUUUUGACGUUUACAAAUGGAAUUUCAAAAAAAAUCUAUAAUGUGAAUAUGAACAUUUGCAUACAACCUUAUUAUAUAUAUAAUAACAAGAUACAAAACCAUAAUAUUGACACAAAUGCUACAUCUCUAUUUCUUUUCUAUUUAUGUUUUAUAAUUAUUAAUUAUCUAUUUUUUAUAAUAAAAUUAGAUUAAAGAUACAUAUUAAAUUUUAGAAAAAUAUACAAAGUAAUUUAUCCCUUAAAAAAACUAUCUAAAAUUUUAAACUAUUGCUAUUAUCACUUAUAAAUGAAAAAAAAGAAGCUAAAUAGAUAAUUUUUUUAAAGAUAAAUAAUUUUAGAAGUAUAUAUGGAUAAAAAUAAAUUUUAGAAUUAAUAAAUAAUAAUUUUAAGAAAUGUAAUUCUUUUUCACGAGACCUUUUUUUUAACAACUAUAUUAUUUUUUAUAUUUAAUUUCUAUAGUUUUUCUCUCUCUUUUUUUAAGAUAAUUUUUAUAACUUUUCAUUUACAUUUGAAAAUGUCAUUUAUAUUUAAAGAAAAACAAUCUAUUAAAAUCUAAGAAAAACAAUCCAUUUAUAUGUAAAAUUCUUUCAAUCAAAGAAAAGGAAUUGUCACGUCUCGAAAUAUGGAUUAAAUAUUCAGGUUAAAUAUGUAACUGUUAAUUUAUUUUAAUUUUCUAUUUGAGCAUGCAAUUGGGCUUCUGAUUGGGCAAGAUCUAUCAGAAUGUCAAAAAUUGUAUCGGAACCUCUGGAUUUUCUAGUGUAGAAAACCCUAGUGUGUCAAAACCCUAGGUAUUUAAACACAUUUUCUCAUUGGUCGGCCCCUUCUUUUUGCCACCCUUAACACUAGCAUUCUCUUUUCCUCUCUUUUCUUCCUCUAUUUUUCUUGGCUGUCGUACCCUAGUUAUCAUCGCAUCCCCCACCAAUUUCACUCCUCUUGUCGAAUCACCUUUUGUUCGUUCAAACCCCAUUAGUGUUUAGAACUGUCAAUAAUUAUUUCUAGUUCCCAAUUGUAGUAGGUUGGUAAGUGAAACUCCCUAUAUUAAUUGGACUCCAUUUUCGGUUACACAAUCAAGUUGUGGUUAACCCUCUUUAAUUUUUUGCAAUCGGUUUCUACUAGAUCUUCUUGAAACCUUUAAUGUCGAUUCCUAAUGUGUGAUGUUUUUUGUGUAUGUCAAAUAAAAGAUCUGAUCUAGAUGAGAAUGGAUCGGAUCUGAACAGUAUAAGUACACCGGAUGAGUGAGGGUCUUGGGCGAACGUAUAGGUGAAGGUGUUUGUCUUUAUUGUUUGUUCCGUGUAUGUGUCUUAAUAGUGUAUAGCCGUGUAUGUAUGGGUUAGGCCAAAUAUAUAAGGGUCUGUUUGUGCAUAUUGGUUCUUGAUUUUGUCUAUUAGUGUUAUUACAAUAUCCUAAUGGUUUCGAUUGUGACAAGUAAACAUCCUCUGUUAAUUCGCUGAAAAACUGUGAGUACUAUUUGGUUAAAAACUCAACCGUGUGUCGUAAGUAUGAUAAUUGAUAAAUGCCAAAAUUAACAUGUUUUAGCUUCAUUCUUAAUACGUUUUUAGAGUAUUAUUCGAUUUAAAAUGGUGAAUUUUAUGCUCCUAAUCCUUUAAAUUCACGUUUCUAUACUUAUGAGAGCAUUUGAGGGCAAAAAGAGUAAAAAUGAAAUAAAAUCGAAGCAAGUUUUAGGAGCCACAUGGGCUAAACCAUUUUACACGGCCUAAACACACAGUCAUGUGCCAGAUCGUGUGGAUUUCAUGAAUUCCACUCCAAACAUGCAGGAAAACACAAUUUUUAGGUUUUUCGGGCAUUUUAAGAUCUAUAUAUGACAAAGAUAAGAAGAGGGAAGUAAGUCGUCAUAGAAUACUCAAGAAAAUAACUUGGAAAACACCAUUGAAGCCGACUUCAGAGCAGAUUUCCAUCAAGAUUGAAGAUCUCCUUUUGAUUUCUUUGAAGUUUAUUAUGAGUUUCUUUAUUUCUUGUGGUUAUAUUGUCUUUGAUAUGUUUUUAUUUGUGAUUAUAAACUAAUUUUCUAAAACCUAGAGAGAUGAACCCUAUGAUGGAUUGUGUUAUUUGAUUUCUAUUUUUACGUAAUAAAUACUUGGAUCUUGUUCUCAAUUAUGUGUGCUUAAUUAUUGGUUUGAUAUUUCUAGAUUAUUAAUCCAUAUUUGAUGUGCUUGAAUCAUAGGAGGAAUAAACCAUAUUUAAGAGUAAAUCUAGCAUAAUUGAGUGGAGUUCCAUGCAAUCCUAGAAAUAGAAUGGCAUAAAUCUGCCAAAUUAGAGUCAAAUCUAAUAGAGGGAUCUAUAGAUCGUGUUAAUGCGACAAUAGGGGUUUUAGUUAGAAAGAAAUUUCAAUUAAUCAACCUAGAGUCAGUUGCUCUUACUCUCGAAAGAGAUAUUAGCAUAAUUUAGGAAUUUCUACGGAUCAAGAUACUAAGUGAAGAAAUUGUUUAAUUUAGAUUGAUAAUGCAAGAUGAAAUCUAGGUGGAUUCUUUCCUGUGUAUUGUUUCGCUUCUUGGUUGUUAAUCAUUUUCUUUUCUGAUUUGUUCUGUGUUGUGUUCGUAGUUAAUUUAAUUAGUUAAUUUUAGUUUUAAAUCAAUCACUCCAAUUUAUCAAUUAAAUAAUAGAAAGACAGUGAUUAUUAGUAUUUUUAGUCCUCGCGGGAAUGAUAUCUUUGCUCACCGUAGCUAUACUAUUAAUAGAUAGGUGCACUUGCCUUUGUCAAAUUUUUUGUUGGUUUACAACUGCAAUCAAUAAUACUAUGCUAUCAAUUUUUGAAAUUAUAUUGUUGGGUAUGUGUGGCGUUGUUUCAUUGAUGUUCUACACAUACUAUAAAGUCAUGCCCCAUUGUUAUUGCAUACAAGUUAAAUUAUCACUAUUUUCAUGUUGAUAACAUGUUGAUACUAUCAUUGUAUGCUAUAUUUUCACUGAUCAUUAAUGGCAUGAUAUAGUUGCAUAGUGUUGGGUUAUUAAAGAAGGAAGUUCAAGCAUAUAAUGUCGGAUCAGUUCAUCGAUCAAUCUACUGGUGGUUCAUCCACAAAUAUUGUUUUGGUGUGUAAGGAUGGACGAGUUCUGAAGAGCUCUUAUUAUGGUGUGUAGGGUUAGAUUGGGUAGUGGAUUGCACUGUCAUGCAUGAACUUGUAAUUAGAUACUGAGAAUUUGUGAUCAGCGUGAUUUUGACUUGUAUUAUGUGCUGCUUUUUGUAUGCUAUUUUUUAUUUUUUAUUAUGAAUGCUACUCACAUGUUAAGACCACACUGAGCUUCAUAGCUCACCCCUUUAGUUUUCCCUCUUUUUCAGAUAACUCGUGAGGUUAGGACUCAGACUUGAAACUCGGAGCACUGUCAAUGAUUUUGAAUAAACAUAUUCUAAAACUAUUUUACAAACAUUGUUUGGUUUUUGUUUUGUUAAACGAAUGGUGGCAUGGACUCGGUUACUCAUAAGAAUUUUGGGAUUUUGCAUUAUUCAUUUUUGGACAUUAAACCUGAACUUGGCUAAGAACUUCAAGAUUGUCAAAUUAGUUUAAAAUAUUUGCAAAUGAGAUUUUUAUAACAACAUUAGACUUAAAAUUGAAUAAAAGAAUAACUAAAACAAACUAAUGUUUUCAUAAACAGGAUUAAAUAGAUAUGGGUUUUUGAAACUGAACAAACUAAUGGGAUUUGACGUUAUGUUUGAGCAUGAAAUAAAAGCUUUUAAAAAAAUGACUUUUACCUACUCUGGCGAAAAAUAUCUAUACCUUGGCAUUAGGUAUCGAUACUUGAUCAAAUAAACGGUUUCCAAAAUAAACAAAAUGCCAAAUUGGUAUCAAUACUUAUAAAAGUAUCGAUAUCAAUUGAUUAUAUUUUAUAAAUUUCAAAAUUGGAAAAAUGCCUAAAUUGUAUUGAUACUUAAAUAAGUAUUAAUUCUUUUCUAAUUGGUAUCGAUACCCUUUACAAAACUCAAAUUCUUUUAUAAAAGGGGUUUCUAACUUUUUUCAAAACUUGAAUGUUUCACUGGGUCAUUUUAGUGGCUAGUGUGACCUCUAUAAUUCGGUCAUAACGUCUGGGUCAGGUUGAGGAGGUUACACGAGCACAACACUCAAGUAUAUUGGAAAUAAAAACCAAAGAAUUACACAUCAAGAAAGCGGUAUGGACAUGUGAUCGGAAACUAGAUCAUACCGAGAAAAAAAUGCUUAAGAUUGAACACGAAAUUGAUGAAGGUCUAAUCAUAAAUACUCUGUUGCUCUACUUAUGAUUAAAUUAUCGAAUAAAUCUUUUAUAAAUAUAUUUUAAGGUAAACUAUACAAUUAGUCACUUAAUUUUCAUAAAAAUUCAUUUUGGUUAUUAAAAGUGAAAAUUUUCAAAUACAACAUUAUUGUUAGAUAGUUUUAUUUGUUUUAGUCACUCAUCGUUAGUUUGUUUUCAUGUUUUAGUCACUCGUCAUUAAUUUGGCCAACAACAAUGUUAUUUGUGCACUCAUUUUAGUCACCCAACUUUAAUAAGUUUUCCUUUUGGUCUCUCAUUUUAUCUUUUUAAUUUAUUUUUUUAUUUUUCUUUUUUCUAAGAAUUAAUCUUAGUUUGAUUACCAGUAAAAGGGGAAAAUCUAGGGUUUUAUAAGGAAUUAUAGUUUUUAUAGGGAAAACCUAGGUGUAGAAUGUGCCUCACAUUUUAGACGAAAUAGAGUUGACGUCAUGACGAGAAAGAGUCGUCGUCUUGACAACACAACUAUGACGUACCAAUGAGAAGUAACGCCACGUCCUGACGAUGCAAUGAUGGAUGUCCCAACGAGCCGAAUGAGAUGUUAGGACGUGGCAACGUGUUUCCUACUCAACCGAAUUUCUUCUUUUAGUUAAACUCGGUUAUAUUUUCAUAAUCUAACUCUGAUUAUUCAAUGGAUGUUUUAAUAAUAUUUGUACACAAAAUUCAGCCUAUAAAUGAGCCUCUUAGCAACCCUAGAUAGUUCAGACUAACAACAACAAAAUUAAGAGAGAGUUUGUGGAAAUUUCGGGGAACCUUUGUAUUCUGAGUUCAAGGUUUAUUUGUUUCUCCAUCUUGUACUCCUCUUUUCAGUUUUUGUAGUUUUAGUGAAUUUUUUUUUGCCUGUGAUUUUCUAUCCUCUUUGAAUAGGUUUUUCCACAUAAAUAUUUAUGUCUAAUUUUCUCAAUUUUCGUUUGUGUUCGUUGUAUAUUUCAACUUCGACCCAACAAACUAGUAUCAAGUUUUGGUUCGUUUCUUGCAUUCAACUCAUUCAGAUAUUGCAAUGAGGUACAAUAUCGAGAAGUUCGAUGGGGUUACAAAUAUAAGCUAGUGGUAAGUUCGAAUGAUAACAAUUCUAGUUCAAAACAGUCUGAAAAAGGUCAUUACAGGGGAAAAAUCUGCGGAUGCAAAUCAGAUAGAGUGAGAGGAACUUGAUGAGAAGGCAUUAUCAACUAUUCAAUUGUGCCUCACUAGAAAUGUAUUGCAAGAGGUACUUUUAAAGAGGACGAUGACAACCCUAUGGAGAAAAUUAGAAGCUCUUUAUGUGACAAAGUCUCUCGCAAAUAUCUUAGUGUUAAAACAAUGAAUAUACACAUUUUGAAUGAUAGAAGGUGAGUCUAUUAGGGCUCACAUCAGUGAAUUUGUCACUCUCCUUAAUGACCUGAAGAAUAUUGAGCCCAACAUGGAAGACGAAUAUUAGACCAUGCUAUUACUUUGUUCUUUGCCCUUGAGCACUCGUGGUGGACUAAGAGUAAACUAGGCAUAGUUCAUGUUACCCUUAAAUGGAAACAAGGAAGUCAGUAAGUGUAAACCAAUUUUAUACAGGUCUUGUGUUAAGGCGUAAGCUUCAUAUGUGAAUAGGGUUUUAAAGGUACUAAAGAGAAGAAAAUAGUUCAGAGCAAGGAAUGGUAACUGAUGCGUGUAAGGGAACAAGAAAUGGAAGAAUUAAACACUCAAAAACCAAGUGAAGGACAAGAUAGUUAAAUGAAUCCCAUGGAUUUAAUGAGCUAAUAAAAUCUAGGUAAAUGUUACUUAACUCACUAAGUUCUCGUGAAUUUACCUCUUUGUUUUAUGUCUUAGGUAAGCCGAUUUGAGACUAUGUCAGGGCUACGCUGAAGUAGUGGCGAGUUGGGCUACUAUGCAUACAGAGCAAGCAUGGUUAGCAUGAUCAAGCCUGAUAUACAUAAGGUGAAUAGACUAUAAGAUUGGUUUACGGGCAUUAUAUCUAAAAUCUCUUGUACAUUAUCCGUAGCUAUCACUUGUAUAUAUAAUGACAUUUUGGUGGGAAAAACAUGAUAGUAACUACCAACAAUAUAAUUAUUUGUAUUGAAAUAUAUUGUAAGAAAUUGAUACAGUUAAAAAUUUGUAUAAGAAAUUUUUAGCUUAAGUUUGUAAUUGUUUUGUAACACUCAAGAUCCAGAUUUGCGAAUAAGAUCAGGUUGAGGGCGUUACAUGGCCUGAAGUAGUUUUCUUGGUACUGGUAUAAGAAGUUCGAUUCCUUCAUGUUAAAUAAUGGUUUCGUUCGAAAUAGAAAUGACAUUUGUGUUUAUUUACAGCACUUAGAUGAUAGAUCAUUUAUUUAUUUGCUGGUUUAUGUUGAUGAUAUGUUAAUUACAGUUAGGUAUCCAUCUAAAAUUGAACGACUUAAAACCAUACUUAACUCAAAGUUUGAGAUAAAGGAUAUUGGCGCAACUAAGAAAAUUUUGAAGGAAGAAAAUUUCGAGAGAUUGACACUCUAGAAAGUUAUUUCUAUCACAACAAAAAUACAUUGAAAGGAUUCUCGAGCGGUUUGGAAUGCAAGACUCUAAACCAGUUAGUACUCCCUUAGCUGCUCACUUCAGACUUUCAACUUCAGAUUCAACACAAACUGAAGAUGAAGAAAGGUACAUGUCCUCGGUUCCCUUUUCUAGUGCAGUUGAAAACCUAAUGUAUGCAAUAAUUUGUACUCAUCCUAAUAUUUCACAUGUUGUUAGUGCAGUAAGUAAAUAUAUGGUCAUACUUGGUAAAUUACACUAGCAAGCUGUGAAGUGGAUUCUAAGAUAUUUAAGAGAGACUUUCAGUACUUGUUUGAAAAUCAGAAGAUGUUCAGAAGGUCUAGUCGGCUAUGUAGAUUCAGAUUAUGUCGAGUACCUAGACAAAAGAUCUCUCACAGGUUAUAUGUUCACCUUAAAAAAUAACACUAUUAGUUGGAAAGCCACCAUUCAUAAAUGUUGAAUAUAUGGCUAUCAUAAAAGCUUUGAAAGAGGCCAUUUGGUUAAUAGGUCUAUUCAAGAAGCUGGUUGAUAAAAACGAUAAAAUUUUCUUAUAUUGUGAUAGUCAAAGUGCCAUACAUCUCACGAAAGAUCAAAUGCAUCAUGAAAUAACAAAGCAUAUAGAUAUUCGACACCUCUUUUUUCAAGAGGUGAUCCCUCAAGAAGAUAUUCAUAUUUACAAAAUCACCACAGAGAACAAUCCAGUAGACUUGAUGACAAAGAGUCUUCCAAUUUCCAAGUUCAAACAUUGUUUGGACUUGAUAAGCAUUCGACAUAGGUCGAGUAAGGCCCUUAGCGGGGCUCGACAAAUAAGAUGUUUCAGAAAUACGAGUCAAGGUAGAGAUUUUUAGAGUGUGCCUCAUAUUUCAAACAAAACAAAGCUGACGCCGUGACAAGAAGGAGUCGUCAUCCCGAUAAUGGGAUGAUGGACAUCCUGAGGAGCCGAACGCAACGUUAAGAUGUGGCGACGUGUUCCUCACCCAACCGGGUUUCUUCUUUAGUUAAACUCUGUAAUAUUUACCCAGUCUCUAAUUAUUCAAUAGAUGUUUUAGUAAUGUUUGUACACGAAAUUCAGCCUAUAAAUAGGCCUGUUAGCAGCCCUAGAUAGUUUAGAAUAACAACAAAAAAAUUAAGAGAGAGUUUAUAGGAAUUUCGGGGAAUCUUUGUAUUUUGGGUUCAGGGUUUAUUGUUUCUCCAUCUUAUACUCCCCUUUUUGAUUUUUUUCGUUCCAGUGAAGUUUUUUUUGUUUGUGGUUUUUAUCCUCUUUGGAGGGGUUUUUCCAUGAAAAUAUUUGUGUCUAAUUUUCUUGAUUUUUGUUCGUGUUCGUUACAGAAUUUAGAUUCAACCCAACGCUAGGUUUUAAUAGAAAUUUUUUUUAUCUUUUUAAUUUCCUUUAUUUUCUCUUUUUAGAAUUAAUUUUGAGCUUUUUUCCACUUAAAAAAAAAGGAAAAUUUGAAUUUUUACAAUGAAUUACCUAGGUUUUUACUGUAAUUACCUAAGAUUUUUAUAGGGAAUUACUUGGGUUUUUAUAGGUAAUUGAGUUACUUAGAAAACUUGGAUUUCAUCUCAUUAUGUGAACAACUCAAUUCCCUAUAAAAACCUAGGAAUUCCCCUACUUUUGGAAAAAAGAAUAAAAUUAAUUAGAAAAGAAAUGAGUGACCAAAAUGAAAAUAUACUAAAAUUGGAUGACUACAAUGAAUAUAAAAUAACAUUGUCGCUAGCCAAAUUAAAUUAAUGAUGAGCAACUAAAAUAAUAAAAAAAAGCUAUCAAACAACAGUGCUAUAUUUGAAAUUUGUUCAUUUUCAAUUACCAAAACAAAAACUUUAGAAAAACGAUUGACUAAGUACUUUAUACAUAUUUUUAAUAUUAAUUUUCUUGGACAGAUAUUGCGGAUUUGAUUCAUUUAAAUAAAUCCAAAUAUCGUUCAAUUAUUAAGGCAAAAUGGGUUUUGAUUGGAAAAGCAAAAGGCAAAACAUGAAACAUUUGGUACAUAAAAUACAUUAAAGUGAAAGAGAAAGUGGUAAAGUAGGAAGGCAAUUAUAGAGGAAGAUGAUGUAAACGUCUUCACUUAUGGUCUUUGGUCUUUCUUUAUUACUAAUAUUCAGUUAAAGCUGAUAUUUUAUCCUAAAAAGAAUGAUAGUACGUAAGAUAGACUUAUUAAUCGUUCAAAGCAAAUUAAUUUCUUGACUUCAUAAGUGAUGAGAUUCAUGACAUGAUUUUGAGAGGUUAAAAUAGUGAGUUGUUUGUUUUAUUAAGAAUAACUUUCGAAAAAUGAUUUUUAAAAAAUGAAUUAAUUUUACGAAAAAUUGAUUUUUCUAAUAUUUGAAUGAUUUUGGGUAAAAUAAUUUUUGUUGUUUGACAAAAUUUUUUAAAAGUUGUUUUUAGUGAAACAAAAUAUUAUAAAUACAUUUUCUUUUGACAACCGAAAUUAAUUUUAUGAUAAAAUAAAAUUUUAUAAUAACUAAUAUCUGAUAUAGACUUAAGAAUAAUCAAAGCCUAUUAAAAAUUAAUUUGAAGCUACAUAUAUUACAUAUAUGAGAGCAGAUAGUACUGACACAUUAUAGUUAUAAGACAUAUACGAAGCUAAACAAGAUAAACAAAUACUAAUAUUUAUAUUAUUAAAAUGUUCAUAUUUUAUACUAUAAAAUAUUUCUUACUAAAUAUUUAUAAAUUGUAAAAUAUAUUUUUUAUAAAAUAUUUUUCAAUAAAAUUUUAAGAAUACCAUUUGAAUUAAAUAUUAAUAUUAUUAUUAAAAUUAAAUUGUAUAUUAAAUGAUUUUAUUAAAAUAAUAAAUAAGAUUAGUUACAUUAUUAAUCUUAUUAAAUAUAAAUAUAUUUGUUUAAUAAUAUUGAAAAUUAUAAUAUUUGAUAUCAAUAUUUUAUUAUUUAAAAAUUAAAAUUAAAAAAUAAUAUUGAAAACACCUUGCGUUUUUAAAAGGAGAUAUCAAUUUCAAGUAUAAAGAGCUUAUUCUCUGUUAAUCAAUAAAUCAUUUUUUGGUGGUGAAAUUAUUUUUCACAAAGCAAACAUUAAAUCAUUUUCUACUAAACAAAAUUAAUAAUUAAAAAAAAAAAAAAAGAUGGGAGAGGAAAUCUGAAUUAACUUGGAGCAUUGUGGAUACAAGAAAAUGAAAAUUUGGAAGCCUAACAAUACAACUUGGGCUACUUAAUAUCAAAGCCAUAUGGCAAGAAACUGCAGCUCUUCAAUCCUACAAUGACUUGGGCUUAUCUCCAUAUCCUAAUCCAAAUUAUGGAAGGGGUUUACUUUACAUCACAUAAUCUUCCAUAUGAUCAAACAACAUAAAUUAAAAUAUAUUUUUAACUAAGUUACAUGAAAGGAGAGAUGGGUGAUUUGAAUAACUUUGGGAAGGUAGGGAUUACUUUUAUUAGGGUAGAUGACGUGAUGUGUUGACAGUGGUGAGCUACCAAUUACAUUUACCAUGUAAAUCACUUUUGGAAGAAGUUAUGGACUAAAAAAAAAUAUGGUAGGUGAUCAGUAAUAAUAAUACAUUUUCCUCUUUGCCUCCUCUAAGAUAUCCAUAUAUAUAUAUAUAUUUCUCCACUAUAUCCCAUAUGUUAGUCUACAAAAUUGAUAAGAAUAUCAAUGAAAAUUGUUUAAAUACCAAUAUCAACUUUUUGAAAUAAAAAGAAUACUUGUUAGAUUGGGUGGUAAACAGAUCAAUUUUCCUUAUAUAAGAUUUGAGCUAAAUUGUUGGAACUUUCGUUGUCCCAUUGAUGACAUUUGUUCAGGUAACUUGUUAAAUUGCUUAUAUUCAUUCUCAUAUUUAAACAAGGUGUCCAAACAAGCCUUUAACAACAAACUCUUGGACAACUCAACUCAAGUCAAGUUGAAUGUUGACUUUUUGACUUGGUCCUCUAUGAUUAUUUUCUUUAUAAGUAAAGAAUGUUAAUUGUUAUGAUUUUUGAAGCUACAAUUUGUCCUAGUCUUUAGGCAAAUAUCAUCCUUUAUUUUUAGGCAAAUAAAAUAGUCAAAAACAGUUUAGAUUUUGAUUCAGUAGUAAAUUUUUUUGCAUUUUAAAUUCAUCAACUUGUUGUAUAAAUAAAUAUCUUGACAAUUCAAUAAAUCACAAUGAUUUCAAAAAGUUCUUUACUAUACUUUCAGUUCUAGUUUACUUACAAAUUGACAUCAAGAGCUAUUUCUUAAAGGACCUGUGAAAUCAAACAACCAAAAAAAAAAACCCAUAAACACUCUUCAUCCACCUACAUAAAUACAAAACCAUAACCAUUAGAAAUAUGAAUACAGAAGCUUCGUUCAUUGCAAUUGCUCCUCUAAUUUUUUUACAACACAAAUUAUUAAGGAUGGGUUGUUUGAAUGGAAGCUUAUCUUGAAGCUAUUGAUGUGUGGAAAGCUAUAGAAUAGGAAUAUGAAAUUCCUCUCUCACCAAAUAAUCCAACGGUGGCUGAGAUGAAAAAUCACAAGGAUCAGAAGUAGCAAAGAUCAAAAGCCAAACCUAGCUUGUUUGCAGUAGUCUCAAAUUCUAUUUUUUAUAGAAUAAUGACCUUGAAAACUACCUAAAAGAUUUGAGAUUUCUUAAAGAAAGAGUAUGAAGGAGACGAAAGGGUUAGAGGUAUGAAAGCAUUGAAUUUGUGCAAAGAAUUUGAGUUGGAAAGGAUGAAAGAAAUAGAGACGAUCAAGGAAUACUUUGACAAACUUCUUGGUAUUGUCAACAACGUAAGACUCCUUGGCACUGGUUUCUUUGAUUCUAGGAUUGUUCAAAAACUCCUCAUCACAAAUCCUGAAAGGUUUGAGACCACAAUUUUGCAUUUGGAAAACAUAAAAGACCCAUCAACCAUCAUCUUGGCAAAAUUGUUGAAUGUUUUGCAGGCGUAGGAACAAAGGAGAUGUAUGAGACAAUGAGGAACAGUAGAGGGUGCUUUUCAAGCUAAAUCACAGAAUUACAAUGGUGGAAAAAGUAAGAAAAAUAUGCAAAGUAAAAAAAGCAAAUUGGAGGUUCUAUAGAUGACAGAAAAAAGGCAACAAAACUCAAGUUUUUCCAUGUUUUCCUUACUGUAAAAAGAACAAUAACCCACAAAAAAGGUGUUGGUGGAAGCUAGACGUGAAAUGCAGUAAUUGCGGAUAGUUAGGACAUGUGGAGAAAACAUGCAGGUCUCCACAACAACAAGGAAAAGCUAAUACUACUCAAAAUCCACAAUAUGGGGAUCAAAUAUUUGUGGCAUCCUACUUCACCGCUAGCAGCUUAACUGAGAGCUAGCUUAUAGGUAGCGGUUGUACAAACCAUAUGUCUUAUGAUCGUGAACACUUCAAAGAGUUUCAUCAGACUACUGUCUCCAGAGUUAGAAUUGGAAAUGGGGAAUAUAUCGUUGUGGAAGGCAAAUGAAUAGUGGCGAUUAAAGGUCACACUGGUUUGAAAUUUAUUUUUGAUGUCUUAUAUGUGCUUGAAAUUAAUUAGAACCUUUUGAAUGUUACUCAACUACUGAAACAAAGAUACAAGGUGUUGUUUGAAAACAAAAAUUACAUAAUAAAAUAUGCAGAAAACAGAGAUGUUUUCAAAUUCCAUAUGAAAGACAAAAGCUUUGCCUUAGACUUGAUGUAAGAAAAGGAAGUUACUAUACACAAAGAAGAUAGCAAUACUUUGCUUUAGCACAAAAGGUUGGGGCAUUUUCACCAUACAGCUAUACUUUUUAUGAAGAAAAACAAUCUUGUAAAAGGCUUGCCUCAUUUGGAGAAUGAGUAACUUGCAUGUGAAAUUUGUCGAUAUGGGAAACAAACAAGGCUCCAUUUUCCAUAAAAUAAGGUUUGGAGGGCUAUUCAGAAAUUAUAGUUAGUACACACAGACGUAGGAGGGCCCAUCAGAACACCGUCAUUUAAUGGUUGUAAGUACUAUAUUGCUUUCAUUGAUGAUCACACAAGAUUUUGUUGGAUUUAUUUCAUGAAGUUGAAAUUUGAAGUUACUAACAUUUUUUGGAAGUUUAAAGCUUUCGUGGAAACUCAAAGUGGUUGCAAGAUGCAGGUGAUCAGAUCUGAUAAAGAAACUGAAUAUACUUCCAAAAAAAUUAAUAAUUUUUGUCAAGAUGCAAGCAUCGAGCAUCAAUUGACUACACCCUACACUCCACAACAAAAUGGUGUGGUGGAGAGAAAAAAAUAGAACAAUUAUGGAGAUGCAAGGUGCUUACUUAAUGACAAAGGGUUGCCAAAGAGAUUUUGGGAUGAGGCAGCAAACGCAAUAGACUUCCAACCAAAAGUUUGCAUAAAAGAACCCCAUUUGAAGCAUGUUAUGGAUACAAACCUGAAUUUGUUAAUCUGAAAGUCUUUAGUUGCUUGUGUUUCUCUUACAUUUAUCAGGUUAAGAGAGAUAAAUUGUACAAGAAAGCAUAUGGUGGAAUUUUUGCAGGCUACAACUCAUCUUCAAAGGCCUACAUAAUUUACUUGUCAGACAAAACAAAGUCAUAAUCAGUAGAGUUGUCCAUUCCAUGAGUCAGAUAACUGGAGUUGGGAUGCUGACAAAAAGAUUGAGUUUCAUUAGGAAGAUUAUGGCAUAGAUGAUGAACCUAUUAGAGGAACCCGAUCACUUUCUAACAUCUAUCAAAUAUGUAAUAUUGCUGUGAUAGAGCCUGCAGGGUAUGAAGAAGCUGCAUCUGAUAAAAAAUGGUUGGUUGUAAUGAAGGAAGAGCUUAGCAUGAUUGAAAAGAACCAAACAUGGGAACUAGUGGACAAACCAAAUCACAAGAAUGCUAUAGGAGUGAAAUGGGUUUAUAGAACCAACUCAAUCCUAAUGGUUCUGCAAACAAGUACAAGGCGAGACUGGUUGUCAAAGGGUAUGCUCAACUAUUUGAGGUAGAUUUUUUAGAAACUUUUGCUCUAGUUGUCAGGAUGGAUACUAUACAGAUGUUAUUGGCCCUUGUUGCACAAAAUGGUUGGUUGUACACCAAAUGGAUGUCAAAUCAGCUUUUUUUAAAUGGGUACUUGGAGGAAGAAAUAUUCAUUGAACAACCACAAGGCUUUGUUGUUCAAGGAAAAGAAGAAAAGGCAUAUCGAUUGAAAAGGGCACUAUAUGGCUUAAAGCGGGUGCCAAGAUCUUGGUACAGUAGAAUUGAUGCAUAUUUGCUUGACUUAGGUUUUGAAAAAUGCCUAAGUAAAUUUACUUUGUAUAUCAAGAAAAAUGGUAAUGAAUUACUUGUGGUGUCUCUUUAUGUUGAUGACCUACUUGUAACAGGAUGUAGACUAGAAUGAUAAACAAGUUCAAAAAGGAGAUGAAAGUGGUCUUUGAAAUGACAGAUCUUGGAGAAAUGACAUUUUUUCUUGGUAUGCAGGCAUGACAAAAAUAAAAUGAAAUUUUUGUAUGCUAGCAAAUAUGCAAAAGAAGUCCUAAACAAAUUUAACAUGGAAGUUUGGAAGCCGACUGCAACUCCAAUGAAUCAAAAAGAGAAGUUUUCGAAAGAAGAUGGAGCUAAAAAAAUUGAUGACAAACUAUAUAGAAGUUUAAUUGGUUGUUUGGUGUAUUUGACAACAACUAGGCUAGGCAUCAUGCAUGUUGUGAGUUUUUUUUAUCAAGAUACAUGAAUUGUGCUAGUGAAAUUCAUUUUCAAGCAGCAAAAAGAAUUCUGAGAUAUGUAAAAGGCAUGGUUGAUUAUGGCAUAAAUUUUAGUCAAGUUGACAAUUUCAGUCUCCAUGAUUAUUCAGAUAACGAUUGGGCUAGAUGUGCUGAUGAUAUGCGUAGCACCUCAGGUUACUAUUUUAGUCUUGAUUUUGGAAUUUUUUCUUGGUGUUCGUAGAAACAAGAAAUUGUUGCACAAUCCACAACAAAAGAAAAAUAUGUGGCAGCUACUGCUGCUGCAAAUCAAGCACUCUGGAUCAGAAAACAUUUGACAGAUUUAUAUAUGGAGCAAGAGAAAAGCAAACAAAUAUUUGUGGAAAACCAAGCUGCAAUACCAAUAGCUAAUAACUCAAUAUUCCAUGGCAGAACUAAACACUUCAAAAUAAAAUUCUACUUUUUUCGUGAUGUUCAAAGGAAAGGAGAAGUGCAACUGGUUUAUUGCAGUACAGAAAAUCAAUAUACUAACAUUUUCACAAAAGCAUUGCCUAAAGCUAGAUUCGAGUUCUUAAGACAAAAGCUUGGAGUUCGCAACUCCAACAUCAAGAAGGAGUGUUAACUGUUAUGAUUUUUUGAAGCUGCAAUUUGUCUUAGUCUUUAGGCAAAUAUCAUCCCUUAUUUUUAGGCAAAUAAAAUAGUAAAAAAAAUUAGAUUAUGGUCCAAUAGCAUAUUUUUCUACAUUUUAAAUUCAUAAGCUUGAUGUAUAAAUAGAUAGCUUGGCAAUUCAAGAAAUCACAAUGAUUUCAGCAGGUUCUUUAAUAUACUUUCAGUUCUAGUUUACCUACAAACAAGUAUCAAUACAUUUUAUCUCAUCCUAAAAAUUGCUGAUCAAAUUUGGAGAGCAAGUGAAGGAAUGAUUGAUAGCUUUGAGCUUUUUGCUAUUGAGUGUUGAUUUUGAAACAACCUAUUUAAAUAGUCUAUUUAAAUAAUUGUCUAGACAGACUUCCUUAGAAUAGCCUAAGUGUUCUUGGAUGCUGUCAUUUUUUUACUUGGAUCUCCAUAAUUGUUUUCUCCAUAAGCAAAUGUAUCCAUGACGUGUUUUAUUUCAUCUCAAACCAUGGUGAUCAAAUUUGGUUGUUAAAGAGAAGUAGAGAUCGACAUGCCUUAUCCCAUAAGUCUUAUCCUUAUCCUUCAAGUUAUUUAUUUGGUGAUUAAGCUGUUAAUUUAUCUUGAUUGAUAAUUAUUGGAGAUAAUUCAAGAAGAUAAAUUCAACUAUAAUUGAGAGUUUUACGUUAUCAAGACUAUUUGGAGAAGCUGUCAAAUUUUAGCCUAUAAAUAGGUUGAUGUGAGGCACACAUGAAGUGUGCCUUUGGAGUGUUUUUGGCUAGUUAUUUAUGUAUCUUUUACUUGGUGUUUUUGCACUAUUGUGUUAGGCUUUUUUUAUCGAAGACUUUUAUUGGUUCUAUUGUAAGAUUAUUGGGUGAGUGAUUUGUAACAAGUUAGGGUUAUCUAUUGGGGAUGCAAUUACUUCUUUGUAUAAUGGAAGAUUGGGCUUUAUCCAAUAAGUUACUGGAUCAAUUAUUGCAUAAAAUCAUUCAUUGAGCGAUACUCUACAGAGUAUGAUUGGUGAAUCUAAACUGCGUUAACAAGUCUAUUAUGUUUAUUUCUUUCCCUUAUUUGCUUACUGUAUUCUGUUUGAACUUAUGUUCAAACAUUUAUCUAAACAAUAAAUUGAACAGAAAGAAAACUGAGAUUCUAAUAUGAAUCAACUUCAAGUUUAACUAAAACCCAAAAAUACCUUCAAAUAAUAAAAAUCUUCAACAAAAAUCAAAAAAUAAAAUAAAACAACAAAUAAAUUUGUUUACAACAUAUAUUUCAAUUCGCAUAUUUCAUUAGAUGUUAAAAGUUGACAUCAAUAUAUAAAAUAUUUUACAUUAACAUUAUAAAUCAAGUUUACUUCUUUAUAUGUGUAGCAAAGGUAUCUUAAGUUUAUAUUACAUGAAAAAAAGGCUUUGUUUGGUUUUAGGAAACAAAAUUUAUUUUCAUUUUCAUUUUUUUGAAAAUAGAAAACAUUAAGAAAAGCAAUUUUGUUAAAAGUUUUGAAAAUUAUUUUUGGAAAAUGAAAAUAUUUGAACAUUUUCACUAAAAAUGUUUUAUAAAAUUGAAAAAGUUGAAAACAACGAAUUUUAACUUUAAAUUUAAUUAAUGAAUUGAUCCUGGUUUCAAUCCAUUUAAACUUAAAAAUAUUUUUUUCGACAAUUUUUAAAUAUCAAAAUCUCUUACUCUAAUUCGAAUCCAUAUAAAAGUAAUAUUUAUAUUUUAUUUCUCAAGUUUCUAUUAUAAAAAAAUAAAAAAUAGAAAAUAUUUUCGAAAAUAAAAUAGAGAUUAAAUUGCUGUAAAAAAUUGAGGAGCCAAAUUGAUAGAAUGGUAAUUUUAUAGGGAGCAAGAAUUGUUUAAGAUCAAAUUUGAGGAUGGUGUUAACAAAGUAUUUUAUCACUUGAUGUAUGAUUCAACCGUACAAUAAAUACUAAAUAUAAUUAAUGGAUAAAAUCAGCCUUUAAAAGAGUGUUCCAAACCUAUCAAAAUACUGAUUGUUAAUCACGUUGAAGAGCCUAUAAAUAGGCUGUUGAUCGACAUUCAUCUUUAGUCGUGUAGAGUGUCUUUGACACGCCCUAGUGUAGGGAUUUGUUAUGGAGAGAAAUUAGAAAUUAUGUAAAAUGUGGUAUUUGAGGGAGAGUGAUUUGUACAAUUAAGGACGAUAUUGUGGCUGCAAAUUCUUAAGUCCGAACAAUUGGUGAAUAAAAUCAUUGUCUGAGUGAAACUCCGCAGAUUAGGAUUGAAAAAUCCAAACUAUAUUAACAAAUAUCGUGUGUCGAUUCUCUCUUUACUUCCCCUUUGACUCACUUACAUUUUAAAUUUAUUUUGCAAACUCUCUUAAUUCUAUUCCGUUUCUUUUCCAUCAAAAAUUAAAACGAUUUUUUUUUUUUGUAAUUUGCAGUCAAAUUAAUUUACCUCCUUAUCUUGCCUACCAUGAAUGAUUGUUUUAUUUAUUCUUAUAUUCUCCUCAUUUAGCACCUAUCAUAGCAUUUGCUACAUAACAUUAAAUCUAGGUAAAUAUGAUUUUAAGUAUCAAUCUCAUAAGAUGAGGUAUGUAACUAUUUGAGCAUGCAUACAAAGAUACCUUAAAUUAUUAUACUUUAUUUAAAUAAGUCUUUUAGGUUAUUUUUGUAGACAUAUAGUUUUACCUUUGAUUUUAAUAUUAAAAUAAAAAUAUUUUAAAUUUUAAAUUUAAAUAAAAAUAAAAUAAUAUAUUUGAAAGAAUGUCUUUAAUAGCGAUUAUGGUAAGGGUGUCAGCAGGGGUCUCAAUUCAAGGUUGAAGAGGAGAAUCCCAGAGGAUUCAAAUGGUUUUUGUCCAAGAAACUAAACUCGAGUCGUGUCAAGAUUGGCUUAUAUCUAGAUUAUGGCCCUUAGAUAACUUUCAAUGGAUUGCCUGUGACUCCUCUGGGAUGAGUUGCUAUAUGGGAUUCUGCCCUGUUUAAGAAGGAAUGGGUUGUUACUAGGGAGAGAUUUAUUGCAAUCAAAGGAAUGUAGGAGGGCCUUGACACUGUGAUGGUAAAUGUUUAUGCACCUUGUGGUUGUGAGGAGAAGAAACCCUUAUGGGCUGAGCUGCUUGAAGUCUCAGGGGGCUGGAAGAGAGAUUCGAAUGUACUUCAAUGGGGGUUGGCGUCUAAGAUUUCAAUGAUUUUAUUUCUAAAGCCGAAAUGGUUGAUCUAUCAUUGUCUAAUAAAAAAUUCACAUGGCAUGGUUGCUAUAAUAAUAAUAAUAAUAAUAAUAAUAAUAAUAAUAAAAGAGUCGUAUUGACAGGUUUUUGGUUUCAGCAGAUUGGAUUAGGAAAUUUGAAGGCUUAUGUCAGAAAGAGAAGUAUAUCAGACCAUUGCCCUCUUGUUCUAUUGUCUGAAAUGGCUGACUGGGGACCUCGACCUUUCAAGUUUUAUGAGUGCUGGAUGAACCAUAGGGAUUUCAAGCCUAUGAUUGCAGAAAAAUGGAAGGGUUUUCUCGUGGAAGGAAGAGUGGGAUUUCGCUUGAAAACCAAACUGAAAUUAAUGUCCAUGUUUAUCGGUAAUCUGAAGAGCUUAUUUUACGGCCCUAUGGGCAGCAUGGCUUCCAUCAUGGCUGAACUAUAUGCAAUUAUUUGUUGACUCCCCUUGGUGUGGCAGCUUCGAUCUUCUGGUGGAAUCGGAUUCAAUGUAUGCUAUUUCACUGGUUAACAAGAAAGAUGACAGACCAUGGAAACUCUGGAGAUUUUUCAAUGAAUUGGAUCUCUUAGUUAACCACAUCGAACGAGUUGAAUUUGUCCAUAUCUUCAGGGAAGCUAAUUCGACUGCAGAUUUCUUUGAUAAAAAAGGUGUCGCAGCUGCUCAUGUCUUUGUGGCUUGGAUUUAGCUCAUUUUACUUUAUUUCUGUCUGGUUUACUGUAUCUCUGGAGCUGCCUUUUUGUGUCUUUUUGUUAUCUUUCUCAAUCAACUAUAAAAAAUAAAAAAUUAUAUUUUUUUUGUUUCUCUUAACCUAUAAAUGAAAGGGUAAUUUAUUUCAAUGUAUUCAAAAUUACAUCUUUUUACAUUAACAAUAAUACCCAUACCAAUUAUGUUAAGACUCAAUCAACAAAACAAAAUAAUAUUUUAAAAUUUCUUCAAAGUGUUUACAUAUAUACCACACCUAAUCACUUUUAAAAAAAAUUUUGAUUACCGUUUUAAUUUUUAAUAUUUAUGUUAAAAGUGUAUAGAAUUUCUAUUGCGUCAUCAAAACAUUAAGAGCCUACAAUUAAAAAUAAUUUUACUUUUAGUAUAAAAUCAACUGCUUUUAUGGAUAAAAAAAACUAGUUUAAGGGCUUUUUUUUAUUAUAUUAGCCUAUUCCCAAAUAAAAAUGAGUGUUUUUAUAAAGGCUAAUAUGGUAAAAUAGACCUUAAACUAUUAUACCAUAUUUAAAUAAGCCCUUAUGUUGUUUUUGUAGUUAAAUAAGCUCCUAACAUAUAAUUUUUAACCUAUGAAACCCCUUGAUUUUAAUAUUAAAAUAAAAAUAUUUUGAACUUUUAAACUAAUUAGCAUUUAUGCUGAUGUGAACUUGAUAAGAAUAGUAUAUUAAAUAAAAAUUAAAUAAUAUUUUUUUAAAGUAAAGUAAAAUAUUAUUUUAAAAUUUUUUGAAAGUGCUUAUAUAUAUAACCUACUUAAUCACUCUUUUGAAAAUUUUGAUUAUUCUUUUUAAAUUUUAAGUGAUGUUAAAAUUGUAUAUAAUUUCUAUUUCAUCAACAUGAAAUUAAGAUAAAAGCUUGAAAUUCAAAAUAAUAUUAUUUUAAUGUUUAAAUAAAUGGAUUUGAUGGAUAAAAAUAGUACGAUAAGAGCUCAUUUAACUACAAAAAUAGUUUAAGGGCUUGUUUAAAAAAGUGUAGUAGUUUAAGAGCUUUUUUAAUAUAUUAUCUUUUAUAAAAAAAUUAUAAAAAAAAGAACUAAAUAGGCUUUUGUAUCUAAAAAUAGUGAGCUUUUUUUUUUUCAAAAUAUGUAUCACAAAAAAUUAUUUACCAAAACACGUCUUUUCUAGUUUGGAGGAAGGGCCUCGGCAUCCAUAAAUGUUAAGGUAAAUAUGAAAUUUGAUAAAUGACCUUUUGGGAUCAAGAAGGGGAGAAGGAAAGAGAAAUUUGACUGACAAGUAUAACUUAGGACUUUAAUUCCCAUGUAUGUCAAGAUUAGUUUAGUAUUUUGACUAUUUUUCAUACUUUUUAAUUAUCCUCUUUCUUUCUUAAUGAAUAUUUUUAUAUAUAACACAUUUGACUAUAAGUUCUCUCUCAUAAUGUUUCUUCAAUGGAAGAAACUCCUUAAAGCUUGAGAAAAUUAUUAAAAGUGUGGCUCUAUUUAUAAAUGAAAGUAUUGGUGUCAAUUACAUGGGCAAUACACAAACUUUAAUUGUAACUUAACUUACAUCUAGUAGGCCAAUGUAACUUGCCAUAUUUAGUUUGCCUCUUUCGACUAAAUUUGUUGAACUCUUUAAAAGGAGAUCCUUGAGGAAUUUUAGCAACAUAUUAUUAAAGAUAAGAUAUGAAGAAAAUCAAGUUAAGCAAAGAUAUUUUGAAUUUUUUCAAUGUGACCAAGAUUAGGCAUUUAAAGAGAUUUGGUUUCCAUAUUAAAAACUUUAACAAGCUAAAUUUAAAAAGUGAGAGCACAUUGAUUGUAAUUUUGCAUACCAUUAUAAGUUUAUUUAAGAGAAGGUUUAUUAUUGUUUUAUAUAUGUGAUUGAGAGAGCACUUAUCUAUUCUAGUAAGGAACUUGUUUUUAGUGCAAAAUUGUUGUGAGCAAAUUGUGUGUUGUUUAGAUUGCAACUAAGCUUUUAAAGGAAAAAGUCAUAGUAGGAGAGAGUGAUCUAUAUUGUAUAGGAAUGAUGCUGCAACUUGCUGAGUGAGUUGAACUUAAAUCAUGUCUUGUACAAGGAAAUUUAUAGUGGAUUUAUUUUUUGGGCAAGGCCCUAUAGAUGUAGGAAGUUUUCAAAUUACGUAACAAAACUUGUGCGCCAAUCUUUACUUUUAUAUUGCUAGUUAAUAAGUAAAGUUGCAAUUGAAUAUGCAUUUAGAAAGCAAAAUCAAUUAAUUCUCAAUUAGCGUUAGAGUGGGACACUUGACACACUAAGUGAAGAUCCCAUCAUUGUUUUGCUAUAGAGAUGGAAGGUACAUCAUAUCCAAGUCUCCCUAUGCUAUAUGGCACGAUUUAUGCCCAUUAGAAAGCGAGGAAAAGAACUGUAACAGCCCGAUUUUGAUCCUAAUUGGAAUAGUGGUUUCGGGACCACAAAUUUGAGUCUGAAAAAUAUUUUAAUAUAUAUUUUUGUGUUAAUUAUGUGUGAAUUUACGUGUGUGAAAGUUUCGUUAAUUUAUUUUAUUGUUUGUGUGCUUAAUUUGAGAAAAUGGCUUAAUCGCGUAAAAUGAAAAUUUGAUGUUUAAAUAAGAAAGUGCCUAAUUGUUGUUGUCUUUAUAAUUUGGAGGCUUUAUGUUGUAACAUAGCCAAUAAUAAUAGGUAGUGGAUGGCAUAUUGAUAAUAUAUGGUUUUUAUAUCGGCUGUUUCUUACGAUAUUUUACUAAGUUGAAUUUGGGCUUAUGGCAUGUAUAGCAUAGAUGAAAUAUUUGAUUUUGGGACUUGUAUAUAUAUAGCCAUGCAAAAAUGGCUUGGCUUUGAUCAUUAGGAUUAGGCUCGGAUUUUUUUUGAGUUCUUGAUCAAGUACUUUAUGUGUUUAGUUUUAGUAAUUUGGCCUUGGCUUAUUAUAUGUGAAACAUGGUUGCUAUGUUUAUGUCUGUGUGUGUGAUCUCGGUCAAGGUGAACUUAUGUGUAAUUUGGUUGAUAUACAUUGUUAAUGAGUGCUUGAAUUAAGUUAUGGUUUAUGGUAGGUAUAAGUCUUGAUGUGCGGAUUUGAAAAUAUAAGUGAGAUGCUAAGUCAUUAGUUAGGUUAUAUGAUAUGUAAUAAUUUGUGCAUGUUUGGCCUUAUGGGUUGCUACAAAAUUGGUUAUAAUGUGCUUGUGUAUUCAGAUAUGUGAUGAAUUAAAAUGGCUAAAUAUAUGGUUUGGUUGUGUUGUAUGUUCGGAUAUGCUAUUUGAUUAAUUAGGGUCAGUUUAUAAAGGCAUGAAUGUAUAUGUUUUGAAUGUUAUAAAACUAAAAUGAAAUAAAUAAGUUUGGUAUAAGGUUCAAAUUGUAUAUGUGGUUAGUUUAGUAAUUGGUUUAUAAUGGCAUAUAGAUGAAAUGAAGUUGAUGUGGUUUAUUAACGUUUGAGGGUUAGUUUCUUUUAUAAUGUAAGUGUAUUUGUAUAUAUGAAUAAGGCAUUGGAACUAUAAAGAUAAGCAUGAUAUUUAGUUUAUAUUAUAUUUAUCUAAAUAUAUAUUAUGUAUUGAAUGUUAUAUAGAAUGACCGAAUAAGAAACAACUCAGCUUGAUUAUGUGAAUAAAAUUUUGGCACAUAUUAAAGCAUAAAAAAAUUAGGCAAUGUGAACUAUGAAUAUUUGUAGUUGUUAUUUGUGCUUAAAGUGACUUAAGAUAUCAAGGUCAUAUGCGCNNNNNNNNNNNNNNNNNNNNNNNNNNNNNNNNNNNNNNNNNNNNNNNNNNNNNNNNNNNNNNNNNNNNNNNNNNNNNNNNNNNNNNNNNNNNNNNNNNNNNNNNNNNNNNNNNNNNNNNNNNNNNNNNNNNNNNNNNNNNNNNNNNNNNNNNNNNNNNNNNNNNNNNNNNNNNNNNNNNNNNNNNNNNNNNNNNNNNNNNNNNNNNNNNNNNNNNNNNNNNNNNNNNNNNNNNNNNNNNNNNNNNNNNNNNNNNNNNNNNNNNNNNNNNNNNNNNNNNNNNNNNNNNNNNNNNNNNNNNNNNNNNNNNNNNNNNNNNNNNNNNNNNNNNNNNNNNNNNNNNNNNNNNNNNNNNNNNNNNNNNNNNNNNNNNNNNNNNNNNNNGUUAUGAAAAAUUGUUAUUAUAUGUUUGGUAUAUGAUGUGUAAUGAUAUAUAUAUCUGAAUAAAUCUUUUAAAAUAUGACAAUGAAAGUAAUAUAGUAGAUUUUAGUUCAAAAGUGAUUAAGAUAAGUGUUCUGAUGAGUUUUAAAUUACUAAACUGGAUUUGUAAUAAAUGUCUGUUCUAAACUGUGCUAUAUUCAGUAAUGUCUCGUAACCCUAAUUCGACGAUGGAUACGGGUUAGAGGUGUUACAUUUGAUUGGUAUCAGAGCUAAAGUUUAGUAGAUUCUUGGACUAAUGUAGCGCAUGUGAGUCUAGCUAUACAUGCCAUAUUUUAUAUGGCAAUAGUGUGAUGGCUUCUGACAUUUGAAAAUGUGUUUUCGUAUAGUAAUGAAUUCUGAUCGAGCUGUAGCUGAUGAUGUCGAGAGUAUAGCGCCUGCUCUUACGCAAAGAACAACGCCGGUAGAUUCUAGACCAACUUUGAGUAACCAGGAGAGAACGACUAAACAAGCCUUUUACCAAAUGAUGAACGACUGGUUUAUUCAAUAUAUCCGGAGUAAUCCAGUUGCACAACAACCUCUACCCCUGACUAAUCCAUAUUUGAUACCUAUUAUACCUCAAGUAAGUGAUCCGUUGAGAUUACUUAAGCCUCUUGUUGAUAAAAUCUGAAAACACGGGGCUGAAGAAUUCAGAGCCAUUGAUGAUGAUGAUGUUGAGCGAUCUGAAUUUUGGCUCGAUAAUACUAUUCGAAUGUUUGAUGAGUUAUCUUGCACCCCUGAUAAGUGCUUAAAAUGUGUCAUAUGUUUGCUAUGGGACAUUGCAUAUCACUGGUGGAAUGCACUAGUAUCGGUGGUUUCAAAAGAGCGAGUGACUUGGGAAUUCUUUCAGACUGAGUUCCAUAAGAAAAACGUCAGCUAGAGAUUUAUUGAUCAGAAAUGUAAGGAAUUUCUUGAAUUGAAACAGGGUCGGAUGACAAUGACAGAGUAUGAACAGAGAUUUGUGAGACUCAGUCGGUAUGCCCGAGAGUGUGUUUCGACCGAAACUAUAAUGUGUAAAAGAUUUGAAGAUGGAUUGAACGAAGACAUUAAAAUCGUUAGUUGGCAUACUUGAGAUAAAAGAGUUCGUGGUACUUGUUGAGCGAGCUUGCAAAGUCGAAGAGCUUAGGAAAGAAAAAAGAAAAGCUGACUCUGAAGCAAGAGAUUCACGUAAGAAACCAUUUACUAAGUCAUUCCAGUUGGCAUCAAAGAAGUUUUGAGAUGAUACUAGCCGUUCAAAGGCUACUGUGGGGUAUUCUAGACGAAAUUGGGAUAAACCACCUGUGAGUUCGAAAGCUACCUCAGUAGCUAGUAUGGGUAAUGUUAGAUCAAAUCAACCCAAGUGUAAACAUUAUGGUAAACGACAUCCCAAUAGUUGCAAAUUGUAUGAUCAGGCUUGCUUUAAAUGUGGAUCGAUGGAUCAUUAUAUUGUGAGUGCCCGGAGUUGGCGGAGCAAAAUCUGGUACAGAAUACGAGAUCAGGUAACACUGCAGCUCGAGGUAGACCACCCAGAAAUAUGGGUAAUGUGAGUGGCAGUCAGAGAGGGACCAAAGAUACAACUAUUAGAUUCGAGGUUCGUGCACCUGUCAGAGCCUCUACUAUUCACGCACGUGAGGGGGCCUCAUCCCCAGAUGUUAUUACUGAUAUUUUCACUCUCUAUGAUACUAGUGUUGUUGCAUUGAUUGAUCCUAGUUCGACUCAUUCUUAUCUGUGUGAGAUUUUAGUAUCCAGUAACACUUUGCCUGUAGAGUCUACUGAGUUUGUGAUUAAAGUAUCGAACCCCUUUGGCCGGUGUGUUUUGGUUGAUAAAGUGGGCAAGAAUUGUACGUUGAUGAUUCGAGGUUCAUGUUUUCUGACAAAUUUGAUGUUGUUGCCAUUCGACGAGUUUGAUAUAACUUUGGGUAUAGAUUGGUUAACUCUGCAUGAUGCUAUUGUGAACUACAAAUGGAAGACUAUUGAUUUACGGUGUCAAAAUGAUAAGAUUAUUUGGAUUGAGCCAAAUGAUUUGAAUGGGUUACCAACAGUAAUAUCUUCUAUGUUAGCUCAGAAAUAUAUGAGAAAGGGUUGUCAAGUUUACUUUGCUUAUGUGCUCGAUUCUAAAGUGACUGAAAAGAAGAUUGAAUCUGUACUUAUUGUGUGUGAGCAUCCGGAUGUGUUUCCUGAAGAAUUACUGGGUUUGCCACCUAUUCGAUAAGUUGAAUUUGGUAUUGAAUUAGUGCCGGGGACAACUCCGAUAUCGAUAGCUCCGUACAGAAUGACACCUACAGAAUUAAAAGAAUUGAAAGCUCAGUUGCAAGAGUUGAUAGAUACAGGUUUUGUGUGAUCGAGUUUCUCUCUCUGGGGUGCACCAAUUUUGUUUGUAAAAAAGAAAGACAGAACUAUAAGAAUGUGUAUCGACUAUAGAUAGCUAAAUAAAGUGACUAUAAAGAAUAAGUAUCCUUUACCAUGGAUUGAUGAUUUAUUCGAUUAGUUGAAAGGGGCUACGGUGUUUUCAAAAAUAGAUUUGAGAUCAGGCUACUAUCAGUUGUGAGUUAAAGACUCUGAUGUGCCAAAAACUACUUUGUGAGCGAGGUACGGACACUAUGAGUUUCUGCUUAUGCCUUUCAGACUUAUUAAUGCACCUACUGUAUUCAUGGAUUUGAUGAAUCGGAUCUUCAGAUAGUACCUGGAUCAGUUUGUGGUAGUAUUCAUAGAUGACAUUUUAUCUAUUCCCGUGAUGAAACCGAGCAUGCCGAACAUGUGAGACUUGUGUUACAGAUUUUGUGAGAUAAACAGUUGUAUGCAUAGUUCAGUAAAUGUGAGUUCUGGUUACGUGAAGUCAGUUUUCUGGGCCAUGUUGUAUUAGCAUCAGGUAUUCGAGUUGAUCCGAGUAAAAUUUCAGCUAUACUUGAUUGGAAACCUCUGAGAAAUGUUUUUGAAGUUCAGAGUUUUUUGGGACUUGCUGGUUACUAUAGACGGUUUGUAAAAGGUUUCUCUAUGAUCGUAACACUGAUGACGAAGUUGUUACAGAAAGAUGUUAUGUUCGAGUGGUCAGAAAAGUGUCAAAAAAGUUUUGAUCAGUUGAAAGCUCUUUUGACCGAAGCUCCAGUGUUAGUUCAGCCAGAAUCGGGUAAAGAAUUUGUCAUUUAUAGUGAUGCAUCCUUGAGUGGUGUGGGUUGUGUUUUGAUGCAGAAAGGUAAAGUCACACGAAAAGAACUACUUAACACACGAUUUAGAAUUAGCAGCUAUUGUGUUUGCAUUGAAGAUUUGGUGUCAUUAUCUGUUUGGUGAAAAAUGUCAUGUUUAUUCUGAUCACAAAAGCCUGAAGUAUUUGAUGACUCAGAAAUAUCUGAAUUUGAGACAACAUCGAUGGUUAGAGUUGUUAAAAGACUACGAGCUUGUGAUUGACUAUCAUCGGGGAAAAGCUAAUGUUGUUGCUGAUGCUUUAAGUCAAAAAUCAUUAUUUUCUUUGCGAGCAAUGAAUGCGCAUAUGACUAUGUCUAAUGAUGGUUCGGUAAUAGCUGAAUUAAAAGCAAGACUGUUAAUUGCUCAACAAAUUUGUGAUGCUCAGAAAGUUGAUAAUGAUUUGUUAGCAAAGCGAGCUCAAUGUGAAUCGAGUGUUGAAACAGAGUUUUGAGUUAAUACCAAUGAUUGUUUGAGGUUCAAAAACUGAAUAUGUGUUCCAAGGAAUUCAGAGUUGAUUCAGAUGAUUUUGAAUGAAUUCAUAGCAGUCAGUUAUCUGUUCACUCGGGUAGUACAAAAAUGUAUAAUGAUCUGAAACAGCUUUACUGGUAGCAUGGUAUGAAACGAGAUAUUUCUGACUUUGUUUCAAAACGUUAUAUAAAAGCCGAGCAUCAGGUACCUUCUGGGCUACUUCAGUCACAGAGUCACGAUAGAUUUUGUAUCUGGUUUAUCGUUGACACCGAGUAAGAAAGAUGCAAUCUGGGUUAUUGUGGAUAGAUUGACUAAAUCGACUCAUUUUAUUCCAAUUCAUACAGAUUAUUCGUUUGAUACACUGGCUAAAUUAUAUAUAUCUCAGAUUUUGAGAUUACACGGAGUGCCUAUUUCUAUAGUUUUGGACAGAGAUCCAAGGUUCACAUCGCGAUUUUGGAAGAAAUUGCAAGAUGAUUUAGGUACGAAACUACACUUUAGCACAACUUUCCAUUCGUAAAUAGAUGGUCAAUCUGAACAAAUCAUUCAGAUACUUGAGGAUAUGUUGAGGUGUUGCAUUCUCGAGUUUAAAGGUUCGUGGGAACGAUACUUACCUUUGAUUGAAUUUGCAUAUAAUAAUAGCUUUCAAUAUAGUAUCAAAAUGGCCCCUUACGAGGCCUUGUGCGGUCGUAAAUGUAGUACACCAUUGUAUUGGACUGAGCUCAGUGAAAAUAAGAUACAUGGGGUCGAUUUGAUUAAAAAGACUAAAUAGAAAGUGAAAGUGAUUCGCGACAGUCUGAAAACAGCAUCGGAUCGUCAGAAAUCGUAUGUGGACUUGAAAAGAAAAGAUAUAGAGUUUCAGCUUGGAGAUAAAGUCUUUUUGAAGGUAUCACCAUGGAAGAAAAUACUCAGAUUCGGUUGUAAAGGCAAAUUGAGUUCGAGAUUUAUUAGGCCGUAUGAGAUUAUAGAGCGUAUCGGGCCAGUUGCUUAUAGACUACUGUUGCCACUUUAGUUAGAAAAGAUUCACAAUGUAUUCCAUGUUUCGAUGCUCCAUAGAUACUGAUUCGAUCCCUCACAUGUGAUUAGUUCGACAGGGAUUGAGAUUAAGUCAGAUAUGACAUAUGAAGAAGAACCGAUUCGCAUUCUGGCUCGUGAGGUUAAAGAAUUACGAAAUAAGAAAUUUCGUUAGUUAAAGUAUUGUGGCAUAAACACGGAGUUGAGGAAGUAACUUGGGAGCCAGAGAAUGCAACGAGAGAGCGUUAUCAAAACCUAUUCAUCGGUAAGAUUUACGAGGACGAAAAUCCUUAAGGGGGAGAGUUGUAACAGCCCAAUUUUGACCCUAAUCGGAACAGUGGUUUUGGGACCAAAAAUUGGAGUCUAAAAAAUAUUUUAAUAUUAUUUUUUGUGUUAAUUAUGUGUGAAUUUACAUGUGUGAAAGUUUCAUGAAUUUAUUUUAUUGUUUGUGUGCUUAAUUUGAGAAAAGGGCAUAAUCGCGUAAAAUGAAAAUUUGAUGGUUAAAUAAGAAAGUGUCUAAUUGUUGUUGUCUUUAUAAUUUGGAGGCUUUAUGUUGUAAUUUAGCCAAUAAUAAUAGGUAGUGGAGACAUAUUGACAAUAUAUGGUUUUUAUAUAUUAAAAAAAUAAAAAGUUAAAAUAAUAAUAUAUUAUAAAGUUAUUAUAAUAAAACAAACAUAAAAUUUAAAAGUCAGGUUCAUCUUGUUCACCGAAAAGAGAAAAUAAAAAGAAAGUAGAAAAGCUUUGAACAUUUUGGCACCUAUCUAGCUUGAUUCAAGGUUAGUUUUUGUUCGGUUUUUUGAUAAUUUUUACAGUUUUUAGAUCAUUGCUUCGUGUUCUUCAAAGCCUAUGCUUCAAUUUUGUGAAUUGAUGACGAUUUUGAAAUAUUCCAUUGAUGAAUUCAUGAGUUUUGUAAUGUUGGAAGAUGAAAUAUGAAAUAUAUGUGUUAGAUUAACAUAGUUUGUUUUUGAAUUUUUGAUGAAUUUCAGUAAUUAGGGUUAAAUUGUAAAAAUAAAAUUUUGAGGGACUAAAAUGUAAAAUAAAUGAAAUGUGUGGACUUAGAUGGACUAUAGGAAUAUUUGGCCCUAGCAUGAUAUAUGCAAAUUUUAAGUAUUUUGUGUUUUAUGUAAUAGGGACUAAAUUGCAAAAAGUGUGAAAUGAUAGGGGUAAAUUGGUAAUUUACCCGUUUAUGUGUUUUGGAUUAAAUUGAAUGAAUGUGUGUUUAAAUAAGUUAAAUUUGAACUUAUUUAGAUCAAGAACAGAAGAAAACGAAAUUAGAUCGGGGGAAGUCGAAAGUAGUCGAGUAGUCAAUUUCGUACGUCGAUAUUUGAGGUAACUCUAUAAGCAUAUUAAUGUUGUUAAAUUUGACUAUAUAUAUAGGUUACAUGAUAAAUGAAAUUUUAUGAAUUUUAAUUUGGUGUUGGCCGAAUGUGAUUUGAGCGAGGGAGAUGUAUUUUGAGUUCGAUUUGAUCAGGUUUCAGUAUCCAAAAUCCCCGUACGAGCCCUAGGAAUAGAUAAGAUACAUAUGUCAUGACAUAGGAUCUCCGAUAUGUGUUUACGUGUAAGACCAUGUCUGGGACAUCGGCAUCGUAUUUGAUUCGUGUAAGACCCUGUCUGGGACAAUGGCAUCGAUAUGUGAUUACAUGUAAGACCAGGUAUGGGACGUUGGCAUUGUACGGGAUUUUCGAUUAUCCAAGUAUCCUUUUUAAUUUCGAACGGUUUAACAGGCAAUGUGAGGUAAAGACCGAAUGAAAAAUUGAAUUACGGGUUCAGGUUUGUGUUAGUUAAAUGUUUAUAUGGAAACGAGGUAAGUUGAUUACUUGAAAUGAUAUAAGGUAUGUGAAUAUGAAUUUUGGAUUAAUAUAUUUGAACAUAUAUAUGAUUCGGCCUAUUGAGGUCAUUAUGAAAUUAAAUGUGAAAAUUAUAUAUGUAUUUAUGAUAGUUUAUAUUCGGCCAUAUAAUAUGUAUGUGAGAUCAAAGUAUGUCCUUUGUAGUAAAUGAUAUCUUUGUAUUAUAAAUUAUGUGAAUUCGGCCUUACUAGUUAAAUGUUGAUAUGCCAUUAUAUAUAUAUGUUUAUGCUUAUGACUUACUAAGCUUUAAUAGCUUACUGUGUGUUUGUACUUGUUUACCUCUGUUUUAUAGAUUUUGGAGUCAAGUUACGAGCUUGGGGAUCGUUAGUAAAUUCUAUCACACUAUCAACUAUUUCUUACGGUAUUUUACUAAGUUGAACUUGGGCUUAUGGAAUGUAUAGCAUAGAUAAAAUAUUUGAUUUUGGGACUUGAAUAUAUAUAGCCAUGCGAAAAUGGCUUGUCUUUGAUCAUUAGGAUUAGGCUCGACUUUUUUUUUUUGAGUUCUUGAUCAAGUACUUUAUGUGUUUAGUUUUAGUAAUUUGGCCUUGGCUUAUUAUCUGUGAAACAUGGUUGCUAUGUUUAUGCUUGUGUGUAUGAUCUCGGUCAAGGUGAGUUUAUGUGUAAUUUGGUUCAUAUGCUUUGUUAAUGAGUGCUUGAAUUAAGUCAUGGUUUAUGGUAGGUAUAAGUCUUGAUGUGCGGAUAUGAAAAUAUAAGUGAGAUGCUAAGUCAUUAGUUAGGUUAUAUGAUAUGUAAUAAUUUGUGCAUGUUUGGCCAUAUGGGUUGCUACAAAAUUGGUUAUAAUGUGCUUGUGUAUCCGGAUAUGUGAUGAAUUAAAAUGGCUAAAUAUAUGGUUUGGUUGUGUUGUAUGUUCGGAUAUGUUGUUUGAUUAAUUAGGGCCAGUUUAUAAAGGCAUGAAUGUAUAUGUUUUGAAUGUUAUAAAAUGAAAAUAACAUAUAUAAGUUUGGUAUAAGGUUCAAAUUGUAUAUGUGGUUAGUUUAGUAAUUGGUUUAUAAUGGCAUAUAGAUGAAAUGAAGUUGAUGUUGUUUAUUAACGUUUGAGGUUUAGUUUCUUUGAUAAUGUAAGUGUAUUUGUAUAUAUGAAUAAGGCAUUGGAACUAUAAAGAUAAGCAUGAUAUUUGGUUUAUAGUAUAUUUAUAUAAAAAUUAAUUAUGUAUUGAAUGUUAUAUAGAAUGACCGAAUAAGAAACAAUUCAGCUUGAUUAUGUGAAUAAAAUUUUGGCACAUAUUAAAGCAUAUAAAAAAAUUGGCAUAGGAACUAUGAAUAUUUGUAGUUGUUAUUUGUGCUUAAAGUGACUUAAGAUAUCAAGGUCAUAUGCGCAUGGUUUUGGUGAUUAGGAAAGAAGUAAGUUUAGUUUUAAAUCAUGUUAGUUUAAAUGAAAUCAAUGCCGCAUAAAUGAGUGAUACCUAAAUUGAGUUAUGAUUCAUUUUGUUUGGAUAGAAAUGCGUAUCAUGUUUGUUAAUAACCAUUAAUAUAUUCGGUCAUAUUGUAUGAUAACCAAAAUUUCAUUUUUGUGUGGUUGAUAAUUGAUUUUAAUAUGUGAACAUUCUUAGAUUAUAAAAUGUGAUCUUUGAUAAUUAGCUUAUGAAAAUAGUUAUUAGAUGUUUGGUAUAUGAUGCGUAAUUAUAUAUAUAUUUGAAUAAAUCUUUUAAAAUAUGCCAAUGAAAGUAAUAUAGUAGAUUUAAGUUCAAAAGUGAUUAAGAUAAGUGUUCUGAUAAGUUUUAAAUUACUAAACUGGAUUUGUAAUAAACGUCUGUUCUGAACUAUGCUAUGUUCAGUAAUGCCUCGUAACCCUAAUUCGGCGACAGAUACAGGUUAGAGGUGUUACAAGAACAUUCAUCAAGUUCAUAGAUGAGAAAUUUUGGUGUUUGAUCGUAAUAGGUUGGGAACCUCUAAGAAUUUAUGUUGAUGGUAUAAAAACUCUAAAACCAGAAGUUACUUGGACUAGUGGUGAAGGUAAACUGGCCAAUGAGAACUCCAAUACCAUUAAUGUGAUUUUCAAUGGAGUAGGUCCCUAGGAGUUCAUUCGUAUUUCAAAUUUCACUAUUGGUAAAGAAGCUUAUACCAUUCUUGAGAUUGUUUAUGAAGGAACCAAUAUGGUCAAGCAGCUUGGUAAAGAAGCUCAAGUUUUAUAUGCUAACAAUGAGAUUUAAGACCUUAAGGGUGCAAGAGAAUGAGACCCUACCUAAGUUCUAUGCAAAGUAAAUUUAACAAGUAAAUUAUUAUUUUAUUAUAAUUUUAAUGUUUACAGGAUUACAUUUAGGUCGUACUAAAAUUUCCUUAAGAAAUUUUGAUGUUUAAGUAGUUAAUUAAGUAAAAAGGACUAAAUCAUAAAAAAAGGUAAAAGUUGAGUUCUAAUAGCUAAAAGAGCCAAGUAGCUAUGAAAUCUUAAAUUAAAGGAAUUAGAUGGUAAUUAGACCAUUUAAUGGGUUAGUGGAUGUACGUGGCAUGGUUUUAUUGAAAUUUUAAUGGUUUUAAAAUGUUAAUUUAGUCAUUUGGUAAUUAAAAAGAAAACUAAAUAAUAAAAUAUGAACAAAACAUUGUCAUCUUCAUCUUUUGCUAAAUUGAAAAACCUAAAAACACCAUUAUAGAAAGGGGGAUAUUUGGUCAAGCUAACAUUGAGUGCAUGGUAUGUAAUUUUGUCCCGUUUUUAAUGAUUUUUAUGUUUUUGAGGCCGGUUUAGCUUAAGCUAGCUCGGGGUUUAAUUUGUAAAACUAUUAGAGGUUGAGGGUUAUGCCAUGAAUUAUUCUUGAAUGGUUUUGAUGUUAAAUGAUAGAUUAUGUAUCUUUGUUGAUAACUAAACAAGUUUUGUAAGGUAACUUUUGAUGAAAAUGGCAUUUAGGGUCCAAAUUGUUAAACAUAUAAAUGAUAGGGUUUUAUUGUGAAAAGAUGAUAAAUAUGAGUACUUUCAAAUCCCUUUCAUGUUUGGUUAAUAUGGAAUUUGAUUAAAAUGAUUAUAUUUUAAGUUAUAAGCUUAAUGACUAAAUUGUGAAAAGUUAAAAUGUUAGGGUCAAAAUGAUAAUUAAGCAUAAAUGUGAAUUGAAUUGAAUGUUUAAGUUUAAUUGAAGUACUUAAUUGAAUAUAGUUAUCUAUUUAGAUCAAGAUAGACCAUGUACGGACCUAGAUCACGGAAAAAUAAAAGUUUCAGAUUAGCUCGACUUCGUUUCUACGCUUUAGUCGUCGAGGUAAGUUUGUAUGAACGUUUAUCAUGUUUAUGUUAUUCAAAUUGAAUAUUAUUAUGCUAUUUAUAAUGUAAAUGUAUUGAAUUAUAAAUUUAUCAAUGCCAUGAUGAAUUGACGGAUAUCGAGUCCCUAUUGAACCUUAGGAAUUUAUAAGAUAGAAAUGACAUGUCAUUAGGGAUUUCAUGUUUCGGGUGCUGGCCUUGAAUGUCCUAUCGAUGGCUAAGGUCCUGCAUUUGUUGUGGAUACUCCACAACUCGUGUGAGUAGCAUCGUGUAGCUUACAUUCCAACCUACAGCUCGUGUGAACAGGCUCAUUUCUGAGCUCGUGUGAGCAAUGAUGUAAAUGAAUGGUUAUACAUAAAGGCACACUUCGUGUAAGCUUAUCGGGUAUUCGAUGUAGUUUUAAAUGGUUCGAUGGGCAAGAAAGGGUAACUAAUUGGUAAGUAGGCAAAGGGAUUGAUUCAUGGUUUAUGGAGAGUAAUAUUGAGUUAAAUGGUUUAUCGGGUAUUCGAUGUACUUUAUGGUUGACUUUAUUUGUAUUAUGAGCAAUAACACUAAUUGUGAUAUGGUGAUGUUGUAUAGGCUAUUACUAAGCAUAUGGCAUUAAUGAUGAUUUAUGUUUAACCUUUGAGUUGUUAUAAUGACAUGGUAAUUUUAGUUUUAGUUUAUACGAACUUACUAAGCAAUGUUGUUUACUUAGUUUCUUUCCAUUAUUUUAUAGAUCAUCGGAAGCUCGAUUUGGUUGAAAUCUUGUUGGAGAUCUAUCACACUAUCUAGAAGUCUUUUCUGUAGCUUUUGAGCAUUUUGGUUAAUGGUUUAUAAUAGCAUGUACAGGAUAGAUUAAAAUGAUGUUUUGAUAAACAUGUAAAUGGUAAUUUGGUAUGAUUGUUCCUUGAUGUUUAUGAAUGGUUGUUAGACUUAUCAUGCUUGUUUAAGUAAGUCCUUUUGGUCACUUUCAUGUUCUUGUAUAUAAGGCUCCUUUUAUGGUAUGUAUGAAUGUUUUGAAUUGGUCAUUGAUGGCAUGUUAUAGUAGUCUAUUUGGUUUAGGUUGAUUUGCAUGAAAAGUGGUAUUAUUGGCAUGUUUUGGGUAAGUAAAUGAAUAGGUUGUCAUGUAUGAAUUGGUACAUUAUGGACAUGUUUUAAUGGAUGAUGUCUUGAUAUAUUGUGGUGCCCUUGAAUGACAUAUUGGUUAGUGGAAUUAGGGUCUUGAAAUGGCAUUUUGAAGGUGUGGACACAUGCUAGGACACGGUCGUGUGUCCCUAUUUCAAAGGUUACACAGCCUAAGACACGGGCGUGUCUCUUAGCCGUGUGAGGCACAUGACCAUGUGACCCCUGUUUCCAAAUUUUUAUAACUUUUUCCUAAUCUUACCACAUUGUUUCAGAUUAGCCUUGAAUUGCUUCUAAGUUAUUUUUAAGGCCUUAAAGGCAUGAUUUAGGGACAGUAUGUAUGUAUAUGAUUGGUUUAUAGUGUGAGUACAUUAUUGAAUGAUGUUAAGUUUAAAUGUUUUCAUUUGUAUGGUAAUGUUUUGCAACCCUAAUCCGGCGAUAAGUACGGGCGAAGCCCUAAUCUGGCAAUAGGUACGGGUUGGGGUGUUACAUUAAGGGUAUUGCUGACCAAGUUCUAUGUUCAACGAAUUCUAAGAUUAUUCAAACUAAGAGACCUAACAAGUUUGAACACAAGGAUAUAUAAUGGGUAUUGAAUCCACUAAAAAUAAAUUCCUACACCUGAGUAGAAUAUAAAUUAAGAGUAUAGGGAGUAAGGUUGAUCCCAUAUGGACUGAUCUAUCUAAAUUUGUAAUUCAUUAUAUCUAGGGCGUUUCCUAGGCAGUUUUUGUGGCCAAAAUUUGGUCAAACUUGUAUAAAACAUAAAUGGGCGAUUUAAUAUGAAUAUAACUAAAUAAUUGAAAAUAAAUAAUAAUGCAAUAGAAAUAAGAAAAUCAUGAUUAAAAUUGAAUAAACCAAUAAGAAGGAAACUCUAGCUUCAGGUGUGAUUUUAACUCCAACUUCAAAUUGGUCUCGGACAAUAAAUUUUUUCCCCAAUCAAUAAGUCGGUUAUAGUAAUUGAGGAAUAGCCUCAGACCACCAGCCUUUCCAUAUGUAAAAUUCUUGCAAGAACAAUCCAACAAUAACCCUUACCAAGUGAAUAACCUUGAAAGCAGCUUCCACGAUUUAAUUCCUCCACAACUUUAUGAGUUAGAAGAACCUAGCUCAAAUCAAUGGCCUCAACUAAACGGGUCAUUUAAACUUGAUUGUUAACUCCCUUGAUGAAUCCAACCACUCGCUCAAUUAGUCACGUCAAUUUGAUCUUCUGUGGGACAAAUACAACAAUUACAAAUCAUGUCGAAUCAUUAAUAGUUUGCUAUUCAACAUGAAAUCAAAGGGCACCCUUCUCAAUUUGAUGUUAAAACGACAUUAUGAGAUGACCAAGUCUAUCUCCUAAAUUGGAGAAUUAACAAAUACGUAAAUAAAGAGUGUUGCUACAUUUUCAAGCCUCACAAUUCUAACUUAGAUUAAUUAUCAGAAUAAAACCAAAAUUGAAAUUUAGUUACUCAUAAUAAAAAUCAAUCACAUAAAAUAAAAUAGAAUUUAAUUAAAAAAAUGGAGGAGUUAAGAGAAUAAAAUUGCAGUGGUGAAUUCCACCAGUCCGGUGCAAAAACAAAGAAAAAUAAUAAAAGAAAAUUUAACUAUCUACUCCACCCAAAAUUAAAAGUGUUGUUCCUAUCUUUAGCUUUUUAAAACUAAAUUAAAACCAAGUAUUCUUCUCCUAAUUAACUUCAUGAAGAUAAAAUUCAGUAUUUAUAUAAAAUAAAUAUAAAUAAUGAAUGAUAAAACCUAAUCAUAAUUAAACUCCAAAAUAUAUUAUUUUUACAAAUAAAGUUUAAAUAAAAAAUAAAAAUAUCCUAAAAAUCGUGUUUUCUAAUUUCUUUCCCAUGCCAAAUCUUGCAAGUAAUUUACAUUUCAACUUGUAUUCUAACACUUUGGACAUGUGUUACACCUACCUAGGAACUAUUUGAUAAAGUACCAGAAUUAGUAGCAACAAUAUCCCAAAUUAAUUAGAAUUAACCACAAAAAAUAUGCCAAUUAAGGGCAUUUUCAUCGUGCAUCAUUACUAUGGUGCCUUAAGUCAUAUUAGGCCAAGAUGCUACAAGCUUCAAAAGGAUCUAAGAAGAAACAUCCAUUUACAUCUCACAUUGCAACUCGAGUUUCAUUUGAUAGAAGGCAAAAAUAGAAGCUUGUAUGGAGAAAAAAGGACCAAAAGUGUCUCAUUGUUACACAUUAAUCUUUAAAGGCUACCACUAAUUAUAUUUGGUACUUUGAUAAUGGGUGUCCCAGAUACAUGACCAAAGAUGGUAGCUUCGUUAAAGGAUUCCAAGAGAGCCACGAAGCUAGGGCUGUAAAUUAACCAAGUUUGAACAAAAAAAAUAUUUGUUCAUGAUCGUUUGUUUAUUUUUAAGCUUGUUCGUAUUCGAUCCGUGUUCAUUAAGAAGUUUAAAUUUGUGUUUGAGUUUGUUUAUUUUAAAUUAUGUAUAUUCAUGUUCAUUCGUUUAAGUUAAAUGAAUGUGUUGGUGAACGUUAAAUGAACUGAACAUUCACAAAAAAUUUUCACAAAAAAAAAAUUCUUAUUUUUUAGAUAUAAAAUAAUCAAAUAUAAGUAUUUAUAAUUAUAUUAUAAAUAAAAAAUAAACACACGAACAAUAAUAAUUUUAUUAAUAUAUAAUAAUCAAAUAAUAAACGAGUUUUAAACAAACUUUAAAUGAAUAUAAAUGAGCUUGUUCACCAUAAAUGAACUUAACAAUCUUUAUUCAUGUUCGAUUUGUUUAAUAAAUGAGCCUUAAAAUCUUAUUCAUGUCCAUUUAUUUAGCUUGAUAAAAAAACAUAAAUGAAUAGAAACUAGACUACUCAUUAACUAUUUAUCAAACUCGCUGUUAGUUUACAGCCCUACAUGAAGGUAAGGUGACCUUUGGUGAUAGCAAAAAGGGAAGGAUUCUUGAAAAAGGUGUUCUUAGUGUAGAAGGCAUGACUCACUUGCAGAAUGCGUUUCUUCUUGAAGGAUUAAAAGAAAAUCUAUUAAGUGUCAGUCAACUUUGUGAUCAAGGAUACUUGUACACUUCCCAUAGAUAAGUACAAGGUGAUUAGCAAGUUUGGUGAGUUAGUAAUGGAAGGUUGUAGGACAUAUGAUAAUUGUUACAAACUUUUUGAACCAAUGACUUGCAAUCCAACUAGCUUUUUUAGUUUUGUGCAUUGAUAUGAAUGGCUAGGCUAUGUCCGUUUCAUGGGCCUUCAAAUAUUGGUGAGAUAUGUAAAGGGACUACCAAAGUUAGGGGGAGUCAUUUCAAAAGUUUAUGGAGACUGUAUGAUUGGUGUAAGUCACAUCCUCAAUUGCAGCUAAUCCAAACAUCUGGACCUCUUGAGCUAUUGCAUAUGGAUUUGAUUAAACCUAUACAAAAUUGAAAUCACAUUUUGUCGUUGUUUUGUUGUGUCUCUACAUCAAAUAUUUGCAAAACUUAAGUUAUGUUUGAUAAAUUAAAAAAAAAAUUCACUGUUGAAAGUUAAGGGUUAAAAAAAUAAAUACUAUAAAAUUAAGUGUCGAAUUCAAGUUAUAUAAUAUGUUUAAUGUAUUAGUUAAAAUUAAAUUCCAAAUAUGAUUAUUUGAUAAAGGAUAAUAUAAUUUUAAAUGAGAUAAUUAAAUUAAAAAUAACAAUUCAAUGUAUUCUCUAUUAAGUGAUAAUUAAAUCACCAUCUUCUUAUUAUUAAUCAAAAGUGUUUUAUUGUAAUUUAUCAAAAGUAUUUAAAAAAUUAACAUACCGAAAUUAUUAAUAUUCAAUCAAUUAAUUUUUUUUCUACACUCUAUUAAACUGGCCUAGCAUUUGUUUCUGAUUAGAAGUUUUUUUUUUUUAACGUUAAUUUGAAAGAGUUUGAAACACUUAGAGUUUUUAUUUUUUCAAAGUGUGGAACUUUAAAAAUGGAUGAGAGCUCCAUGCUGUUUGAAGGUUCUAAAAUAAAGUCAACAAAGAUUUCUUUGUCCAAAGAAAUAUAAACUAAAAACUAAAUUAAAAAAAGAGAGUAAGCAAUUGAGCUUUGCUCUAUUUUGGUCUAAAAUAUACGUUGUGUUUUAAUUGGAGGUAACUUAAAAUUGAUUUAAUCCUACAACGUGUUGAAAAAAUUACAUUUUAUGGAAACUUUGAGACAUAUUCUUAAUACGUAAAGGUAGAGAGUUGAAUCAUAAAAUUAUGAUUUCAUAUUUUACUCUAUGAGACCUUUACUAUGCUCAAAAUGGUUGAAUGAUGAUUGAGAAAUUGAUGCUCAAGGUAAGUUACUUAGAAAUAUUUGUUGAGGAAAAGUAAAGACUUAGAUUUUACAUUGGUUAAAUACUUAGUGUGAGAUACAUUGGUUAAAUACCAAGUGUGAGAUUUGCAUAUAUAUGGGAACCCUCUUGAAAGGUAAUUGAAGGGCUAAGUUUGGAACCUUGUCUUACGCAUAGGGAGGGUGCAGGUCCAAACUCAACGGGGUUGGGGCGCACCUACAAGACGUGGGUGACGCGAAAUGUUGAGCUUAAAAUGGGCCUAUCUUGUGAAUAUUUUAGCCCAACACGAAAUUAUUUUUUCUCAACAGACAUAAUAUAUUUAUAUAAGAACAUUAUCUUAUUUUAUUUGAUUCAAAUAAAUUUGAUUUAAUUUUUAAUCAAAUUGAUUUGUUGGCUCCUUUAAUGUCAGAUUUUGUGGAUACUUUCAAAUUUCCACCAUACUAAAUGCCUAUAAAAGGUUAUGUAUUCUGUAGAAUUUCUCCUACACUUGUACCCUCUCACGCUGGAAUUCUUUUGCGCUCAAAACUCUUCUUUUUCCUCUCCAUAUUUUUCAACAUUCUAGUAAUAGAAAAAGGCAACGUUCGUUCAUUGAUCGCUGCUGAGGUGUUACUGCUUUAAUCAUUGUUGUUGUUGUAUAUCGGGAGACAUUUAACCAACGUUUCUCCAAAUACCAUAGGAAAAAAUUCAGAGUUUAUCCUAAAUAGAACUAAAGACAUAGCUUAGUGAAAAUUAAUUUAUUUUUCACGAGAUGGAUGAAAAACAAAAUUAUGUAAUAAAUAUAUUUAUAAAAAAUAAUAUAAAUGAAAAUGGGAUUUUUGUUGAAUAAUAAAAUACAAAUAUUCAAAACAACAAGAAUUCUAAUUUACUAAAGCAAAUUAUACAAAAACACUUUAAUAAUUUACUUAAAAAAAGCAUAUUAUACUAAAAUGUAACUAUUUAUUUAUCGGAGAAAAAAAUGAAAUUAAUUAUUUGGAACUAUUUUUUUUUACUAAAAUUACUUUUAAUCAUUACCAACUUUGAUUCGUUCUAAUCUAAUAAUAAUAAAAAAAUAAAAAAUAUUUUGAACUCAUUAAAAAAUGUUUUGGACCAAGUUAUGUACAUGGAUUUUUAGCUUAAACCAUCAAAAAUAUUUUAGCACUUACUUUUUAAAGCCCAGUCCGAUUCUUUACCAUAUUUUAUUUGCCUCGUUUCUUUCUUUUUGCCAUUGCUCCUACCACUUCUUCUAUAUUCUGUUAUAAGUAAUAUUGCACUACAACAAAACAAUUCUAAGAAGACAUUUUUUUAAAUCUCGAGAUAGACUUGCCAACAUAUGUUUUGACCAACUCUCUCAACUAUUUAAAAGCGUUGUCAUAUGAAAAGCCUAAGACGACUCUUUUUGGACUAUGCCGACCCUUUUUUAGGUUGUUUAAAUUUAUAUCUUUAAGUAAGUUUCGAUUUUUUUAAGUUGAUUCGAAUUUUGCUCACCCUUUAAGCAACUUUUGUGAGUGUUGGCAAGGUAUUAUCAUAUCCCAAAUUUUUAAAAAGAGUUGAGAAAAUAUUAACCUAUCCCAACUUUUAUUUUUCGUUGGCAAAUAUUUUAUUUAACCCAACUUUUUUGUGUUGCCUUUGUAUGUUCAUGAUUUAUCUCAAGCUUUUUUUUUAAGCAAAUAUUUGGCCUAAUCUAACCUUUUUUUAGUUGCCUUUUUGCACUUGAUUUAUACCAUUUUUUUUUGUUGGCAAAUAUUUGGUCUAACCUAACAUUUUUUGUGUUGUCUUUAUCUGCUCAUGAACUAUAAUUAUUAAAUGAAAAUAAUUAAAUAAUUAAAACUUUGCCAACGAAGCAUUGACUAAUUGCAAAUUUGAGUCUCAUGUUAUAUAAAUAUUAUAUUAUUUUCAUAUUAAAAAAUAUUAAAAAAUUAGUUAUAGUAUAAAAGUAUAGGGUUAAAUUAUAUUAAAUUAAAAUAUAAGAUUAAAUUCUAAAUUUGAUCAUGAAAGAUCAAAAAUAAAAUUUGACCAAACUUUAAACCAACUCCAAAAUUUAAAACCCUAACGCCACGUUUGGUUGGAGGGCUAUUCCCUUCCCUCCUUAUUCUUGGAUGAAUAGUAAUGCUUUUGUUUGGUUCACCGUUUCUUCAUUCUGUUGAAUUACUUAAAGCAUUUCUAUUCCCUCAAAUGCGUAAUAGUGAUUCAGUGUUGAAAGCUUUGAAUGACUAUUUCGACCAUCGCCAAAUAGAAAUGAAGAAAAUUCUUCCCAAAAUCUCAUUCACACUUUCUCUGCAAAUGCAUUCAAAGUUGCUUCUUUUAUCACAACAAUUCACUUUCAGGUUAAACAUAUUUUUCUUUUCAAGUUUAAUUUCAUUUGGUUUCUGUUCUUGUAAUAAUCAAUUUUUGUUUUAGAAGGGUUUUCUUUAAAUUUUCUAAAAAAAUAUGCUACAACUCAACUCCCAAAUCUUUGCCUUUUGGGGGAGAUAAUGUUUAGUUUUCUCUUAUGGAAAACAUACGGACUAGAAUUGAAUUGCAGGGAGUCAAUUGUAAUCACCAUAUCGAUCUCUAUCUCAUAAUCCUAGUUUUAUUAUUUCGAUUUUGCUACUGGACUCUGUAAUGGCCCAAUAUUGCCCGGCCCAAUAUAGAUAUUAAAAGUCCAUUUACAAAUAAACAGUCCAAUUAUAUCAGCCCGAAUCAGCCUAGCCCAAAACCUUCCCUAAACCCGAUUCUAAACCCAACAAACCAACUCAGCCCAAUACAACCCAAAAUAGUUUUAAAAAACCCUAGCAGCGUUGGCUCCCAGCGCCGCAGCAGUAGCACCUCUCUGCUCUCCCUCGUAUGCGCGCGACGCCUCCACACGCCACGUCCACCCUCCGUUCGCCGUACUUGCAAGAAGGACAAACAAACAAGCAGCAAAACAGAUAGCAACAGCAAAGAAAGGAGCAACAAUAACAGAUUGACAGCAAAUACUAGCAGUAAAUAGGAAGAAAAUGUAAAAAAUAGAAAAAAAAAUAUUUAUUUUCUUUCUUUAUUUUCCUCGGUUCGGCUAUAAAGAGGGCUGAUUGAAAUCUUUAUAGGGGGUUACAGACACGAAAUCAAUACAAAAAGAAAAAUUGAAAAGAAAGUUUUUUUGUUUCUCUUUUUCAUUCGGUUCUUUUUCCGAUUCAUAUUUCUUUCUUUUUUUGUUAGUUUAUCAGAUAUACAUAUAUAAGAAUAGAUAUAAAAUAAAAAGUGAGAAGUUACCUUUUAAAAGCACCAUUGGAUCUUAGCUCCCUUCGUCACUGUCGGAGUCUGGGCAGAGAUUAAUCGGUGUUCGGACGACCAAGUUUUUGAGUGGAGAGCGGCUUAAUUCAAAAUGGCUGAAACAUUUUCUUUUUUUUAUUAUUUAUAAGGGCCAUGUAAAAUGACACCGUUUGAGGUUUGUUUCAAUACCCUUAAAACGGAGUUGUUCAAUCCUAUAACCCAAUGAUCCGACCCGAAGCGGAUUAGAUCCGUGCGUCUUGGUAUUGGUGGGGUUAUUUGCGCGCCAGGUCCUCCACUUUUGCGCUUUGGUUCAACCUAGUUUCUAUUGUUUCUUUAAAUUAGGCUGUCUAUUUUCCUGCGGAUUUCAUCUUAGUCCACAUGCAAUACUGCAUUUUGAGGGCACGAGAUUAUUUCCCUUUUUGGUCCCUAAUAUUGCACGCAUGUUUUGACACAGCCCUUAGAUAUUUCUAAUUGUGUUUUCUUUCCCUUAAAUUUGGUUUUAAUUUUAGAUUUAGUCCCCUUUAUGCUUUUUAAUUACUUAACUAUUUUUAUUAUUAUUGUUAUUAUUAUUAAUGUUACUAUAACUAUUAUUAUUAUUAUUAUUUAUAUUAGUUUAUACGUUUAUUUACCUACGUACAUAUGUUAUUAUUUUGUUAUUUAUAUUAUUACUUUAAGUUUUGAAUUAUCAUCAUAUAUUACUAAUUAGUUUCAUUACGUAUUUUUUUAUGUAGUAUUAUUUUAUGUUAUAAAUAAAAUUAUAUUACCACUUUGGAUUUAUUAUACAUUUGUUUUAAAAUUUAUUGUGUAUUACUAUUUAAUCAAAUGAUGUAUUGCUUAUUUUAGAUUAACACAUGUAUAUUACCGUAUACAAAAUUCAUCUAAAUAUUAUUAUUCUAUGUAGUGUUUAUUCUUUAAACUCUAUUUUGAAUAUAUUUCAAAUUAUUCUAAAACUUUUGUACGUAUAAUUUAUUCGAUUAUGAUUUCUUCUCUUGCUAUUGUUUUUAGUUUAUCAAAAAAUUUGAUUAGUAAUUCAUUUAAUUUUUUACUGUUGUAUGAUCGAGAUUAUUGUUGCCAUUCUUGUUUGAAUUUAUCCAUUGCUUGUUUAUAUUAUUUGAUGAUUUGUCGUUCACUAGCAUGUAUCAUAAUUUACAAAUUAUCAUUUUGAAUUAUGCACUACCAUUCAAUCACAUUACAUUUGUUUAGAAAAACAUCGAAAUCGUUUUGCACAUAAACCUUCAAAAUACUCGGUAUCCAAGAUUCUCGAGAGGAUUGUGCCCUAACUUACUGGCCUCAAUUCUCCUUGUUGAAUUUAGAUAACCGAAUACCCCUUUUUCAAUUUAAACAUAGAAAUUCCAUAAUUAAAGCUUACCUCGGGAAUUCGAUGCGUCGUGUCCUAACGCAUUGGAUAUGACAUGUUGUUUUCUCGAGAUGAGAAUUUUUCUAAAUAAAAAUAAAGGCAAUAUUCGAUGUUUAAGAAUUUUGUGAAAUCAAACCCUAACUUACUGGGUUUUGAUUUUUUUCAUUUGACCUAAAUAAUCGGAUAUCCUUCUCAAAAUGCAUAGGUUUUAAAAGUCAAGAUUUAAACUUAAUUUUAAAGAUUAAAAAUGUUGCAUCCUAACUCACUGGGUGUGACAUUUUCUUUCUUUGAAAUAAGAGUGUCUCAUUAUUCAAUUCAAUGUAUUCAAGUUAAAAAGAUCGUAUUUUAAAAUCUUUUCAAAUUUUUGACGCUAAGACAUUAAACAAUCGAUUCGGUACCAAUUUUUGGCGUCACGAGGGUGCUAACCCUUCCUCAUGCGUAACCGACUCCCAAACCUAUUUUUUCAAAAUUUACAGACCUAAAAUUAUUUUCAAGGUGAUCUGAUCACACCUCAAUAAAAGAUCGGUGGCGACUCCCAUUUUCAUUUUUAAAGUCGACAACUAAAAUUUUUGUUUUUCAAAAAAAUAGUUUUGACAGUUUGACGACUCCACUAGGGACUAGUUGAGAGUCGAGCCAUAAAAUUGAAUAUUUUUUGUCUUAUUAUUGAAGAUUGAAAAUUUGAUUUGAAAAAUUAUGAUCCUCUCAUUGCAUUUGUUUGCGGUAUGAUUACUGUAAAUUGAGUUUUAUAUAUUGGCAUCAUAUUGCAUAAGGACCAUUUGGUCUUACCUUUUAAGUGGGAGUGAGAAACUAGUCCUUCGUGAGGUUUUCACCUCCGUGCAGGAUAGUGGAUCGCUUUCGGAAUACAUCUGUACAUAUGUCUUCGUGAGAUUUUCAUCUCCGUGCUGUCAUAGGGAAAUGUAUUCCCCUGAACUGAACUCAGUCCGUAUGACCCUAUAAUGGGUGAGGAUCGAGGAAUCUGCUGGUUCGGGUACCUCAACUUUAGAACCAAACUGCACGUAGAAGACAUUAGGAACCCAUCCUAGGUAGAGCCCCUCCAAACCCCUAGUGGUUACCCAACUAGGUACUUUUGUUUUCCUUGUUUGCUUCUAUUUUGUACUAACCCAUUUUGUUUUGUUUGAUUAUGAUUGCAUUGCAUUUGCAUCUUAGAAAAGAGAUGUUGAUUCGAGUCCGAUUACUAACUUAGAAAGCUUGUCAUGGAAUGCGGAUUUCUUGAUAAAGUGGAAAAUAAUAAGACUGCCUGAAUAUAUUCCGAGAAACACAAAAAAGGAUGAUAGAAGAAUUCGUGACUUUACUUCGUGGCUCGAAGAUUCAAGAUGAUUAUCUAAGAGUCUUCGACAUCCCAACUUCCUUAAAGAAGCUGAUGAGCAUUACGAGGAUAGGCAGACAAUGGAUUGCGACCAAGAUCAAGCAAAAAGAGAUUGAGGAGGCACCCCUUUUGAAGAAUUCGCAAGGUUUAUCUUAGCAUAUGAAUGAAGGAAAGUAUCGAUUUUCUCUCUUGGAAUAUGAGGGCGAGGCCGUAUAUAUAUCCGUUUUAUGUAAAGAAAUUUGUCUUAUAGUAAAGUUUUCUAAAUGUAAUUGAAUCAAAAUCAACGUCUCUUUAGGCAUUCAUUUCAUGCACUUGCAUCACAUGGCAUCAUAUGCAUUAAAAUCCAUUGAAAGAGUCUAACUGAAUAAAUUUAUUUCAGCUAAUCUGGAAAACCAAUCAACCAAACACCCUUACGGUAUCCAAGUAAAGACUAGAAAAAUGGACCAAAGGUUGGAGAAAUUAGAGCGAAUGCAAAUAAAGAUGCAGGAGCAAUUGACCAAAUUUCAACAAGAAAUGAGAGAUCAGAGGCUAGAGUUACAGAGAACUAUGAUGAGCCAAUUUAAUCGAUUGGUAGCUGGAGAGUUAGAAGAAGUGAAAGACUCGGUGGUCCACUUUGGGGUUGAUAAUGAGGAUCUUGCCUAUUCCCCAGAUUGUACUCUGAUAAGUGUCCAAGUCCAGCUAGAUGGGAGUCCACAAGGGAACUCUUUACUAUCAGAUUCCAACAAUAUCAGACUGGUACAUCGACACCAGUAAAUUACCUGACAGGCCCAGGAUCCAAGCUGAGGAACAAUUUAGCUAAUCCUGUUACUCUUGAUAAUCUAGCAGAAAUAAAGCAGGCGAAGGUAGAGUACCCAGAUACUAUAAAGGCCCCAAGGAAGAAAUGGAAUAAAGGAGAUAAUGCAGGUAGAUGUAACAAAGGUCACUCAAAACCGAUCACUGUGGGUAGGCCAAAGGCAGAAACCACCAGCCAUCAGAGCCCGUUAAAGCGAGAAUCUUACACGAAGACAAAUAUAAAAAGGCUUUAGUAUACACCUAUACCGAUGUCACAUAACGAGUUAUAUCAAAGCCUAUUUAAUGCACAUGUAGUGUCCCCCUUUUACUUGAAACCCAUGCAACCCCCAUUUCUUAAAAGAUACGAUGCAAACGCCCAGUGCGAAUAUCAUGAAGGAAUCACAGGGCAUUCGAUAGAAAAUUGUACCGCUUUCAAAAAACUAGUUAAGAGACUCAUCAAUAGGGAUAUCGUCAAGUUCGAUGACUCAUCUAACCUGCUACCCAAUCAUGUUGAUAAUGGGGUAAACGUGAGGGCAAGAAAGGGAUUAGUUAUCUCUGAUUUAGGAGGAAACCAUGGAAAGGCAAGGAGCCAUUGUGAGUUCCAUCACGAGAAGGGGUACGAGACCCAAGAGAGCGUGGAACUCAAGGCCUUGGUUCAGGGCAUGAUGGACGACAAAGAGAUGGAGUUCUGUGAGGAAAUUAAAGAAGAGAAAAACAUACACACAAUGUUGGGAAGUGUUCACAUCAACACCAUAUACAAAGACACAAUUGAAAAGUAACCUUGUUAGAUAUCCGCCCCUGUAACCCUUGGAGUGUUCUAAGCAAUUGGACUGCGGAAGAAAUCCCUAUAGUAUUUAGAGCUUACUUAGAGUAAUAUUCAGAACACACUUGUUGCUUUUAGCCUAGAAGCAAUAAGAACUUUUUUGUGAAAUAGACUCAUGUCCGAACGUUAUUAUGCUAAUAAAAUACAUCUUUGCGAUCAUUUUUGAGUCAAUGUUCUUUCAUUCUUUUUGAAUAAUUAUUUUUGAUUACUUCUUUCUUUUGGAUUUUCUUCCACAUCAUUCAUUCAUAAUCAUAUUGUACCAAUAAAUAUUCAUAAAUUUAUACAUUCUUUUAUAUAUUCUUUGGUAUUUAUUAUGGAUCCCUAAAUAUGAAUUACAUGAAUAACGCUGCUACAGACUCAGAUUUUCCUUUGGGCGAGGCAUGUGUUUAGAGGGAUCUCAUGACUUUGAAAAUGACAUAGAUUGUAGCUUAUCUCCAGAUUUGUUGAGAUGGUGGAACAAGAGGAUAGAUAGAUCCUACCUCACAAGAAAUCAUUAGAAAUUAUGAGCUUGGUGAAUAUUAGAAUUGACCUGACCGUAAAGACAAAGCAAGACCUUGUUGAGUUACCUCUAGAGUUCAAAGAUGUCUUUGUAUGAUCAUACUAGGAUAUGCCCGGGUUAAGCGCUGAUAAUAAAAUCUACACAACAGUACGAUAUCAGAAAUUUGCAGUAUGAAUGAUGCAAUGAAAAUUCUUUGCCGGGGCAAUGCCUUUCUCGUUGACUCAUCAUAGCUUUGCCCAUUUGAAGUCGAGUUUUCAUCUCUUCAAGUUUUUGUUGGAUUUUAUCCUAAUUGAAGAGGAAGAUCCAAAGCUUUCUGUCAUAGUUGCACCCCAAAAGGCUCUAUGAAAGAAAUUUGAUACUAAAGAAGAUUUUUCACAUACAAGAUGAAAGUGGAAGAUAUUAUGUGGAAGAAUUUAUCUAUAGAAAACACUGAUUCUGAUCAAAAGGGAUAAUAAGGACUUGCCUAAUCCUCUGAGUUCAAAUUCAAAAAAAUAAAAAAAUCAAAUUAAAAAUAAAAAAUAAAAUCAAAAAUGAGAGAAAAAGAAAGAAGAAAAAAAGAAAAAGAAAAAGAAAAGAAAAUAAGAGGUUAAGGCGAAAACCUGCAAAGGGCGCUUUAUGACCGAAGGUGGUUUUGAGUUGAAAACCCGAAAAGGGCGACUCAAAUUUUUUGCAAAAUGGGGCAUGGACAUCAUCAUCAUCGAAGGCUUCUAAUAGGAAUUUUUUCAUUUUUGAGAUUAUUAAUGACUUUAUCAAAUGGAUGGAGGCUGCUUCAUAUGCCAAUGUCAUCAUAUGCCUAUAUAGAAUUCCAGAGAGGAUUAUAUUGGAUAAUACGUUGAGCUUGAAUAAUUGCACGAUAGCUGAAGUUCGUAAUCAAGUCACAAUCAGACACCACGACUCGUCACUGAAUUGCCUAGAGAUGAAUAUGCAAAAAAUUGAAGGAAAAUGAUUGAGACUUGCGAGGACUGGCAUGAGAAAUCACCAUUUUCCCUCCUUGCUUAUUGAACAUCUUCAAUGGGGCAACACCUUUCUCUUCAGUUUACGGGAUUGAGGUAGCUUUACCUAUUGAAAUCCCCUCUCUCCGGGUAUUAGUUGAGCUAAAGUUAGAUGAAACAGAAUGGAUCCAAUCUGAUCAGAAGGAAAAAGACUAAAAGCUAUUCAGCACAGUCAGAUGAUGCGAGCCUGUAACAAAAAGGUUCGCCUCAGAGAACUCUAUAAGGGGAACCUAAUGUUGGGAAAGAUCCUUCCUACACAAAAGGAUUUUAGAUGAAUAUGGAUGCCAAAGGCCUUUUUCGGAGGAGCUCUGAUCUUAAGUAGGAUAGAUGGUAAAAACUUGCCAAAUCCUGUAAACUCAGAUUCAGUCAAGAAUUACUUCACCUGAAGAAGGAGAAGGGACCAAGGUGAAAACCCGCAAAGGGCGCUUUGAUUCCUAAAAAAUAAAAAGGAAACCAAGGUGAAAACCCACAAAAGGGUGCUUUGAGUCUAAAAAUAAUAAUAAUAAUAAUAAGAGAAGAAAGAAAAUAGAGAGGCCAAGGUGAAAACUCGCAAAGGGCGCCUUGAGACCAAAGGGGAUUAAAGUUGAAAACCCGAAAAGGGCAGCUUAAAUAUUGAUCAGAAUGAGGCAUGAGGUGAUCAGAGCAGUUCAAAUCUUGAUCAGAUUGGGGCAUAUGAUGAUCUUGUUAUACUUGAAUCAACAGGAAAUUGUAGGCGACAUCUUGGGGCAUCGACAAAGCACUAUAGAUAUCUUAAACACAUGUUAAACUCAGAAUGGUCUUCAGAAAGUUUGUACAGAGAAGUCCAAGCUGCGAUAUCUGGGGCACCCAAUUUUUAUACAAUUUACAUUGAAUUUAUUGUUCUUGGAAUACUUCAUUCUGUUCUAAGAUACACAUUCCCAAUCAAUUUCUUUGUUAUCCUUCUUUACUAUUUUUGAUAAUUUAUUCCUUUCGAGCUGUGCUCAGAACCAACUUUAUUCUUAUCCCUUGUUAUGACAUUUUUUUUUUGCAAGCAUGUUGCAUUGGAAUAAUGAUUAAUGGACUUAUAAAACUUUCACAAGGGAAGUUUUACAUAUUACUCUAGAAGUUUCUAAAUAAUACAGGAACCUAAAACAGGACUAUUAUUUAGAACGCACCAAGUUUAAAGGUUGGAAAUAUGAAAAGGAAGAGUCUAAAUUAGGACUUUCUCUUUGGAUUUUGUUGUCAAAAACAUUAAUUGAAUAAAAUGACAAGAUGUCAUGUUGAUGAAAAAGCUUAAAUAAACAAGUAAGCAAUGAUUACUAGGCAAUAGGAAGAGGUUUCCUAGGAGAAGAAAGCCUUCAUUUGUGCAAGAGCUUUGGGUACGACAUUUUGAGAAUGGUGUAAGGGACCAGAUAGAUUUAGAUAUUAUAUCAUUGAAUUGUGAUAGGAGAGGAUUGAGGAAAAGCCAUAUAUUUUUACCCUUGGGUUAUAGUGGGAGAAUGAUGGUACAAAUUAUGAAUCUCAGUGGAUUGAACUUUGAGGUUUACAGUGGGGGCAAUCUGACUAAGUGUUUCUUUGAAAACGCCAGCCGAGCAGGAAGGCGUUGUAGCACGUUAGUGAUAAAGCCUUAAUAAGCUUCGAGCAAUGAUAACCUAAGUGAUAAAGAACGAUCGUUCUAAAAAAAAUAGCAUUCUACAUUCAUGCAAACACGAUUCAUACAUGUCUAGUUAGGAGCAUUUGAUUCAUUAUGAUCAUAACAUCCUAAUCACUAGGCAUAAUUAGGUUCAUAAAAUGAAUUAUACAGGUCAUGGUCCCUAGAUAACAGAUCGGUAAGAUUGUGAAUCCUAUCUCCCUGGACAGCAGUGGAAUAGGUUAAAGAUUGUAAGUCCUAUCUCCUUGGACAGCAGUGGAAUAGGUAGAAGAUUGUAAGUCCUAUCUCCCUGGACAACAGUGGAAUAGGUUGAAGAUUGUAAGUCCUAUCUUCCUGGACAACAGUGGAAUAGGUUAAAGAUUGUAAGUCUUAUCUCCCUGGAUAGCAGUGGAAUAGGUUGAAGAUUGUGAAUCCUAUCUCCCUGAGCAGCAGUGAAGUAGGUUGAAAAUAGCAGAUAUUGUCUUCCUGUACUGGCAGUGAAGUAGAUCGAAGAUCUCAUCUUUAUCUCCCUGAACAGCAGCGGAGUAUGUUAAAAAUAGCAGAUUUUGUCUUCCUGUAUUGGCAGGGAAGUAGAUCGAAGACCCCAACCUUGUUUCCCUGAGCAGCAAUGGAGUAGGUUGAAAAUAGCAGAUCUUGCCUUCUUGUAUUGGCAGCGAAGUAGAUUGAAGACCCCAGCCUUGUCUCCCUGAGCAGCAGUGGAGUAGGUUAAAAAUAGCAGAUCUCGUCUUCCUGUAUUGGUAGUGAAGUAGAUCGAAGACCCCAACCUUAUCUCCCUUAGCAGUAGUGGAGUAGGUUGAAAAUAACAGAUCUUGUCUUCCUAUAUUGGCAGCGAAGUAGAUCGAAGACCCCAGCCUUGUCUCCCUGAACAGCAGUGGAGUAGGUUGAAAAUAGCAGAUCUUGUUUCCUUGUAUUGGCAGCGAAGUAGAUCGAAGACCCCAGCCUUAUCUCCCUGAGCAGCAGUAGAGUAGGUUAAAAAUGACAGAUCUUGUUUUCUAGUAUUGGCAGCGAAGUAGAUCGAAAACUCCAGCCUUGUCUCCUUGAGCAGCAGUGGAGUAGGUUAAAAAUAUCAGAUCUUGUAUUCCGUUAUUGGCAGCGAAGUAGAUCGAAGACCCUAGCCUUGUCUCCCUAAGCAAUAGUGGAGUAGGUUGAAAAUAGUAGAUCUUGUCUUCUUGUAUUGGCAGCGAAGUAGAUCGAAGACCCCAGCCUUGUCUCCCUAAGCAGCAGUGGAGUAGGUUAAAAAUGAAAGAUCUUGUCUUCCAGUAUUGGCAGCGAAGUAGAUUGAAAACCCCAGCCUUGUCUCCUUGAGCAGCAGUGGAGUAGGUUAAAAAUAGCAGAUAUUGUCUUCCUGUAUUGGCAGCGAAGUAGAUCGAAGACUCCAGCCUUGUCUCCCUGAGCAACAGUUGAGUAGGUUGAAAAUAGCAGAUCUUGUCUUCCUGUAUUGGCAGCGAAGUAGAUCGAAGACCCCAGCCUUGUCUCCCUGAGUAGCAGUGGAGUAGGUUGAAAAUAUAGAUCUUAUCUAUCUGUAGUUGCAGUAGAGCAGAUCGUAUCCAGUGCUAUCUCCCUGAAGUUGCAGUGGAGCAAAUAGAAAAAACCAAUCUUAUCUCCCUAAAGUUGCAGUGGAGCAGAUUAAAAUGAUGGAUCUCAUCUCUCUGAAGUAGCAGUAGAGCAGAUUGCAUCAAACUUAUCUUUAAAAUUGCAGCAGAACAAGUUGAAGCUACAAGUUUUACAUCCCUGAAGUUGUAGUGGAGCACAUUAAAUAUAGCAAAUUUUGUUCUUUUAAGAAGCUACAAGUAGGAUGGAAUGAGGCUACUUAAAGAAGAAGAGCACCAAGAUCCAGCAUGAUCGGGCAAAAUUGGCCAUUUUAAAGUCUUUGCUCCGUUUCUGUUACACGACAACGUGCAAAAAGGGGCAGCUGUAAUGGCCCAAUAUUGCCUGGCCCAGUAUAGAUAUUGAAAGUCCAUUUACAAAUAAACAGUCCAAUUACAUCAGCCUGAAUCAAUCUAGCCCAAAACCGUCCCUAAACUUGUUUUUAAGCCCAGCAAACCAACUCAACCCAAUACAACCCAAAACAGUUUUAAAAAACCCUAGCAGCAAUGGCUCCCAGCGUCGUAGCAGUAGAACCUCUUUGCUCUCCCUUACACGCCACGCCCACCCUCCGUACGCCGUACUUGCAAGAAGGACAAAGAAACAAGCAGCAAAACAGAUAGCAACAGCAAAGAAAGGAGCAACAAUAACAGAUUGACAACAAAUACUAGCAGUAAAUAGGAAGAAAAUGUAAAAAAUAUAAAAAAAUAAAUUUAUUUUCUUUCUUUCUUUUUCUCGGUUCGACUAUAAAAAGGGCAGAUUUAAAUCUAUAUAGGGGGUCACAGACAUGAAAUCAAUAUAAAAAGAAAAAUUGAACAGAAUGUUUUUUUCUUUCUCUUUUUCACUCAGUUCUUUUUCCGAUUCAUAUUUCUUUCUUUUUCUGUUUGUUUAUCAGAUAUACAUAUAUAAGAAUAAAUAUAAAAUAAAAAGUGAGAAGUUACCUUUUAAGAGUGCCAUUGGAUUUUCGCUCCCUCCGUCGCCGUCGGAGUCUGGGCGGAGAUUAAUCGGCGUUCGGACAGCCAAGUUUUUAAGUAGAGAGCGGCUAGGGUUUUCUUUGAUUCAAAAUGGCUGAAACAUUUUCUUUUUUAUUUAUAAGGGCCAUGUAAAAUGACAUCGUUUGAGGUUUGUUUCAAUACCCUCAAAACGGAGUUGUUCAAUCCUAUAACCCAAUGAUCCGACCCGAAGCGGAUUAGAUCCGCUCGUCUUGGUAUUAGUGGGGUUAUUUGCGCGCUAGGUCCUCCACUUUUGCGCUUUGGUUCAACCUAGUUUCUGUUGUUUCUUUAAAUUGGACUGUCUAUUUUCUUGCAGAUUUCAUCUUAGUCCACAUGCAAUGCUGUGUUCUGAGGGCACGGGAUUAUUUCCCUUUUUGGUCCCUAAUAUUGCACGCAUGUUUUGACACAGUCCUUAGAUAUUUCUAAUUGUGUUUUCUUUCCCUUAAAUUUGGUUUUAAUUUUAGAUUUAGUCCCCUUUAUGCUUUUUAAUUACUUAACUAUUAUUAUUAUUAUUGUUAUUAUUAUUAAUGUUACUAUAACUAUUAGUAUUAUUAUUUAUAUUAGUUUAUACGUUUAUUUACCUACGUACAUAUGUUAUUAUUUUGUUAUUUAUAUUAUUACUUUAAGUUUUGAAUUAUCAUCAUAUAUUACUAAUUAGUUUCAUUACGUAUUUUUUUAUGUAGUAUUAUUUUAUGUUAUAAAUAAAAUUAUAUUACCACUUUGGAUUUAUUAUACAUUUGUUUUAAAAUUUAUUGUGUAUUACUAUUUAAUCAAAUUAUGUAUUGCUUAUUUUAGAUUAACACAUGUAUAUUACCGUAUACAAAAUUCAUCUAAAUAUUAUUAUUCUAUGUAGUGUUUAUUCUUUAAACUCUAUUUUGAAUAUAUUUCAAAUUAUUCUAAAACUUUUGUACGUAUAAUUUAUUCGAUUAUGAUUUCUUCUCUUGCUAUUGUUUUUAGUUUAUCAAAAAAUUUGAUUAGUAAUUCAUUUAAUUUUUGAAUGUUGUAUGAUCAAGAUUAUUGUUGCCAUUCUUGUUUGAAUUUAUCCAUUGCUUGUUUAUAUUAUUUGAUGAUUUGUCGUUCACUAGCAUGUAUCGUAAUUUACGAAUUAUCAUUUUGAAUUAUGCACUACCAUUCAAUCGCAUUACAUUUGUUUAGAAAAACAUCGAAAUCGUUUUGCACAUAAACCUUCAAAAUACUCAGUAUCCAAGAUUCUUGGGAGGAUUAUGCCCUAACUUACUGGGCUUCAAUUCUCCUUGUUGAAUUUAGAUAACCAAAUACCCCUUUUUCAAUUUAAACAUAGAAAUUCCAAAAUUAAAGCUUAUCUCGGGAAUUCGAUGCGUCGUGUCCUAAUGAAUUGGAUAUGACAUGUUGUUUUCUCGAGAUGAGAAUUUUUCUAAAUAAAAAUAAAGGCAAUAUUCGAUGUUUAAGAAUUUUGUGAAAUCAAACCCUAACUUACUGGGUUUUGAUUUUUUUCAUUUGACCAAAAUAAUCGGAUAUCCUUCUCAAAAUGCAUAGGUUUUAAAAGUCAAGAUUUAAAGUUAAUUUUAAAGAUUAAAAAUGUUGCAUCCUAACUCACUGGGUGUGACAUUUUCUUUCUUUGAAAUAAGAGUGUCUCAUUAUUCAAUUCAAUGUAUUCAAGUUAAAAGGAUCGUAUUUUAAAAUCUUUUUGAAUUUUUGACGCUAAGACAUUAAACAAUCGAUUCGGUACCAAUUUUGGGCGUCACGAGGGUGCUAACUCUUCCUCGUGCGUAUUUUACAGUAUUUUAGAUUUGUUUUAGGUUUGGAGAUAUGGUCCAACAAACAAAAAUUUAUUAAGAAAUAUACAUUAUAGUGCUUUGGAGCAGACACAAAUUGAUGUCCAAAUACUAAAGGGCCAAAUGGAAACAAAAGUUCUGCUAGCGAGCAGUAUAGACGGCUCAUUGAGGUAUAACUGGAGUUGGAAAUAGAUUAUCUGCAUCCUAUUCCAAGUACAAUAUGCGUCCGAUUUCAUAUUUUUGUACUAUAAUUUCCACCACUUUAGGUGGAUCUACAAUUUAUUAACAUGGGGCAUUAGUUGUUGCCAUUUCUUUGCGUUUAUCACAUUUAUUGGUGUCAAAAUACAAUAUGCUGAAGUGUGUCAUCUGUUACUCUGUUUUGAGUAAUGACCUCUAAUUUGGAAUGGCUGUGUUAGUUCUUCCGGUGCUCAUGCAUCAGGCUUGGGUGACCUAAACAUGCCAUACUUCUUGCAUCUUGUUGUCAAGUGCGAUAAAAAUUAGGUCUCCUUUUCAAUUUUGUUGCGACAUUGGAACCUCUGCAUAUCUUGCUCAUCUUUUCAUUCGGCCAAUGAUCUGGUGUUCUUUUCGGCGUUACCAUCUAACAUUACAUAUCCCUUCCUACUGUUGUAUUGGAGCUUUUACAUGUUGUAAUGCAUGGUGUACUCUCCUACUACUGCAACAUACAUGCAGAUGCACUUGUUCUUUCUCACUUCUAUUUUUCCGUUCACUGUCUCUUACAUUGUAUUUCUAAGCAUUUGUCUUGUCGAUUUGUUAUUUUCUAUUGGCUACUAUUGUGGCAUAUGUUUAGCUUCUUUCGAUGGCAUUGCUAAGGAACUUAUAUACCAUCCAUUUUCUUUGAAACGUUCUAUUAGUUUUUGAAGUUUGGUUUUCUUACAGUCUCUUAAAGGUUAGAAGUGAACGCCAUUUUGACAAUGGGAUCACACGCAUUCCAGAUCAUGUUUGGCCUUUCACCGAAGGGGAUGUGGAGUGUGAUGAAGCACCUCCGUUUGUCUCGAGGUCUGCGGCUGCUACACUUCAUAUGCUGUCAAGAAUAUAUUCUAUAAGAUUGUGUGAAAAGCAAUCUUUUUAUACAAACAAUGAUGAUUCCAAGUUCCAAUGCUCACUGUAUCCUUCAGUGAUCACUUAUCUUGACAAGUUCUUAAAUAUAAUGAAGACAUUAAUUCCUGAAAUCUUCAUCUUCUCUAUGAUUUGGAUAACCUAUAGUUCUGUGGUUUAUGAGGCACGGAAUCUCAAUUUUCCUAAUGGAUGUGCUAUGUAAUUCAUGUUUUAUAUGAUUUAAUAUGCUUAAUUCUUCGCUUCUUCCAUAAAUUCCUCAGAUUUUCUUAUUUAUUAUGUUUAUGUGACAAUUUGGCCCGACAAAAUGUGUUUUGACUUGUGUUCCCUAAACAAUAUCCACACCACUUUUGGCAUGUUGGAGGGACUGAAGCAUGGUGACUGAAGCUUUAGAAAUGAGGCAUUUUGUUGUUGUAAUGAUCACCUUUGAGAAAAGUGCCUUGAGUUGGGAUGUCCAAUCUCCUAAGGUUCGGAUGUGGAUACUUAAAUAGUCAUCUCCAAGAGCUGAAGUGAUGGAGAAGGGAUGCCUGAGAAUCAAAAUCACUAAUGUGUCGUUAGUACUGUCAUUAGAUCAUUGAAAUCAGGAAAUUGCAUGAUUAUUGGUUACUGUUUUUUUUUCCAUUUAACUGGGGAGACUUCAGCACAGUUCGCAAAGAUAUAUUGGCCAUUAUUGUACUUAAAUCCUUGAAGCUUAGACAUAUGCAAGGAAAAUGCAUUUCCAGGGUAGACAGCAACCUGAGUUAUAAGUAGAAUUGGAUGCUAUAUGUAUAUGGUACCUCCGUGUCUGUAUGAAUGCGUAUGUGAUUUCUAACUUUUGAUCCCAAGUUGAAAAGGGAUUGUAAAAUUUUGUAAUUGGAUGCUAAUGAGAUCAUGUAACUUUUUGUUAAUAAAUGAGCAUUAUGUUUGGAUCUAAAAUAUAAUUUUCAAGCUACUUUUACUUUUUAGUUUAGAAGAUAAUUAAAUUAUUUGUUUCGCUAAAAUAUAUUUUAGCACAUUAAUAACAAUAUUAAUAAUCAUCUACCUACAAAAAUUUAGCCAAAGGUACUUUGGUCAUUUAAGCCUUUUUUUCUUAUGCUUUUACAAUAUUUAUUUCAUUCAACCAAAUACACUAUUAUAGUUUUAUUUCAUUCCACUCAACUAAAGGACUGAAUUACUGAUUACAAUUUUAUUCCAUUAUAUCAUUAGCCCCAACCAAACCUAGCGUAAUUUUAUUAUAAACACUCAAAUCACUCAAACUACACUUCUUGUAAGCAGCUUAUGCUUCAAGGAAAAUAAUAAUGGAGGUAGCGAGAACUGUAAAGAAUGUUUCUCCCCAUGAGUUCGUGAAGGCCUAUGCAGCCCAUCUCAAACAGUUCGGCAAGGUUUUCUUUUAGAAACUUUUAAAAGAAAUAGAGGCUUGCUUGUAGGUUUAAAUGUUUCUUUAAACUAUUUUUAGGGUUUUAGGCCUAGUAUGAAAGUAGGGUAAGAGGUGAGGGAGAGAGCAAGAGGAACAGCGACUGGUUAGAGAGAUGGCAAGAGUGUUUUGGGGAACAAGAGUGAUGGAGAUAGUGAAGAAGCACGAAUCUGGUGAUCUCGUUUGGAAGAGAAUUAAGCUCACUUCCACCCGCAAAGCCAAAGCCAAGAAGCGUCUCCAUUGCGUUUGGCAGGUCCUUAUACCCUUCUCUCUCUCUUUUUUUUAAUGCUGAAACCUUUCUUCUUUUUGGGUUUUUGCCUUGCUGCUUGUUGCUUUAUGCUUUCAAUUGAUUCAUUUAGUUGUUGGGAAGUAGUUAGAUUUGUGGGGAAAAUAUGAAGUGUGGAAGAAGGUUGUGAACAAGUUUAAGUUAAGAUUUGAUAGUUUAUUACAUUUAGAGCUUAUUUGCAAAUUUCGUAUCCACAAUUAAUUGCACAGUCAAUCAUACGUGCUGAAGAUAACUUAGAGACUUUAACUUCAUUUGGUAUAAUCUCUUGUUAGUUUAGAUUUCGUCAUAGGAUUAUUUACUAUUCAUGAAAAAUGUUUUCCUCUUUGCUUUGUAUGUGUGUGUCCCCCUUCCCUGUAGCUCUUACAAAACAGUUCUUCCAUUUUAUGGCCAGUGGCAUGUGUCUACUUAAUUUCUGUUUGUGUUGUUUUUAAAGGGGUUUUAGUGGUAGGCUUGCAUUAGAUUGUGUCUAAUCAGUGAACUCGAGUUUGGUGGUUUAGAACUGUGCAUUUGUUAGUUGGAUUCGAGGUUGGUGUUAUUGUCACGGGCCGAAGUGCAAAGCCCGUGACCAUCGCACCAAAUGCAUCCAAUGGAGGUCUAUCACUCAGAUAGAGAUCAUUUGGCCCACGAGAACUGGCCCGAUUCCAAGAGCUAUUAGAGAAGCCUGUCAGAUUGAAGCCUGGUUGGCCCGAUAGUGAAGAAAUGUCAACUUAGGCUAAUAUGGUAACUAAUCUUAGAAGAUAGAGGGACUCAUAUCUUGUAAAGAUUAGAUUAGAUUAGAUUUGAUAAGGCAUAUCUUGUAAAUCCCUAAAAUAAAGGGAUAUGUUUAAUCUCAUCCGUCAAUGUAAAUGUAUCUUGACCGUCAGUUUUGGGGGAGCUCAACUAUAAAUAAAGAGCCUCCCCCUCAUAUGCACUCAUUCCAUUGUAUUCUGAAUUCUUAAGAGUAAUAGAGUUCUGAGAGCAUUUACUCAAAUACCUUGUGUGCAUUCUUUUCUGUGGCUUUCUGUUAUUCUUUGGUUUAACUUCUUUUGGCAUAAAUCACUUCCGCUAUUCAAUUGGUGCCUUGGAGGAGUUCUAAAAUAAUCCUCACUUGAGUUAAGGCUAACUUAGGUGAGUUUGGAUGAACGGAUCGCCUAAGGCCACACGGUUCACGAGACGAAACCUCUAGCCCCGUGACAAGUGGUAUCAGAGCAAGGUUUGAACCAAGUAAUAUCUAAGUUGUUGGUUCGAAGGCACUGUUGGGAUGUCGAAAGAAGUUGUUGGUCAGAGUGAGCCAAUGGAGACCCGAGGAAGGGCCAGAAAAGUGAGUCGAUCAAGGGACUUAUUGUCGGCUUUAGACGAUCGACUUGUCACUCUCGAUGAGUCCAUGGGGGAUGUCAAGGAGAGGAUCGACGACGUCGAUGAUAGACACAAUGAUGGGUUGCGAACAUUGCAAGAGAAACUCAAGGAAUUUGUAUGGGAUACUAUCGGUUCCUCGGAGAAUAAGCUGGCUGAAAAGAACAAUGCUCUCGAAGCUAUGGUGACAGCUUUGAAAGAGGAGAUCAAUGAGCUUAAGGGGGAGCUCAAGAUUUUCAAGGCUGCCAUAAGGAAUGGAAUGUUGGAUUCAAAGCCGAAGCCACAAGUGAUGGAUGUGCCCAAGCCAAAGGCGUUUAAAGGGGCAAGGUCCGCAAGUGAAGUGGACAACUUUCUUUGGGCCAUGGAGCAAUACUUUCGUGCGAUGAACAUCGAAAAUGAUGUCACAAAGGUAAACACUGUUGCUAUGUAUUUCACUAAUGUUGCUUUGUUAUGGUGGUGACGUAGGUCCACUGAUGUGAGAUGUGGUAGGACCGAGAUUGGGACUUGGAAAGAGUUCUAAAGUGAAUUUAAAGCACAGUUUUACCCCGAGUAUGCCGAGGACGAAGCUUGAGCAAAGUUGCGAUGGCUAACACAACGAGGCACAAUUAGGGAGUAUGUACGGGAGUUCAGUGAACUCAUGCUCCAGAUCUCUGAUUUGAGCGAGAAGGAAGCAUUUUUCUCCUUUAUAGAUGGGCUGAAACCAUGGGUGAAGCAAGAAUUGCAACGUCGAAGAGUUCAGGAACUUACCAAUGCCAUGAUGGUAGCGGAGUCCAUAGUGGAACUUGCUCCGAGAAGGGACAGGUUUGAAUCUUCCAAGCCCAACAGGAGGAGAAAUGGUAGGUACCAUGAGGAGGAUGAAGAGGGACAAAGCUAUGAUGACAACGGUAGUAGUAGCGAUGGUGAUGAUAGGAAACCAUGAAAUCGGAAGUGGAGACCUAAUAGCCCGAAAUAAAAGAGGGGAAAGUUACGAUGCUACUUUUGCAAGGGACCGCACAUGAAGAGGGACUGCCCAAAGGUAUCUUCAGUUUUGGUUAUCAAGAGAAAUGAUGAGCCGGAAGAGGCGAAGCCUAUUGAGGGAAAGCCAUCGAGGUUCAAUUCAAUGGUGCUCAUUCCUAAAAAAAGGAAUGGUAAAGAAGGGUUGAUGUCUGUAGACAUCAACAUUGUGGGUCAGAAGCAGAGUGCUCUUAUUGAUACGGGAGCAUUGGACUUGUUCAUAUCGGAAAAGGCUGCAAGGAAGCUUGGUUUGCCGAUUAGGAAAUCGAAUAGGAAGAUCAAGACAAUAAAUUCUGAGGAGGCCCCAACUUUGGGAGUAGUUCAGAAUGUGAAACUACAAAUCGGCGAAUGGAAGGGCAAGGAAGACUUUGAGGUAAUCGAAUUAGAUGAUUACGAUUAUGUACUUGGCUUAAACUUCCUUGACAUGAUUAAAACAGUUCUAUAUACAUGCGCCGAUCAAAUUCAUAUUAGCACUGGUCCGUUAACAAGAAUUGUUGUGCCGGUGCAUUGAGAUAUGAAGGUGGGGGCAAAGGUGUUUUCGUCAAUCCAACUAGUCGAGGAUGUUUCGUAUUAGGGGAACAUUGACUCGAUAGAACGGGAAGUUAUGAAAGCUCAUUCGAAAGUGUUAGUGGCACAAGAGUUCGAUAUGAAGCCUGCAGAUUCGACUGUGAAGCCGACACCUUUCGGAAAGGUGGGUUGUGCAUCGGGCAUCAAGAAAAAGGGAGCGAUGGAAAAAUAGUUGGGACAAGUAAAUGCUGCAAGUAAGGUACAUUGCGAACACUUUGAUAGUGUUUUGAAUUCUAAGUUGUUGGCUUGGUAAGGUCGUAGGGGCCCUUUCAAAGUUCAUGAGCAAGGAGGCCAAGGGACUGUGGGCAAUACGAAGCCAAGGUGUGAGAAUCGAGAUGAUUCAAAAGGAAACAAGUCAAAAUUUGGGCAAGUUAGUGCGGAGACUUCUUGCCAACGAGAUGUACCAAAGAGUGCAAUGGUUCAAGUGAAGAUGCGACGGAAGCCGAGGCAAAGGUUCUAAAGGAAGGGACAACGUGAUCGCAAGACAAGUCAGGAAGAAGCCAAGGCAACGAGAGGGUUCAAAGGCGAAUCAAGUCAGUGCCAUUCGGAAGUCACAACGAGGACGUUGCGAGAAUGGGUGGGGGAGAAUGUCACGGGCCAAAGUGCAAGGCCCGUGACCAUCGCACCAAAUGCAUCCAAUGGAGGUCUAUCACUUAGAUGGGGAUCAUUUGGCCCACGAGAACUGGCCCGAUUCCAAGAACUAUUGGAGAAGCCUAUCAGAUUGAAGCCUGGUUGGCCCGAUAGUGAAGAAAUGGCAACUUAGGCUAAUAUGGUAACUAAUCUUAGAAGAUAGAGGGAAUCAUAUCUUGUAAAGAUUAGAUUAGAUUUGAUAAGGCAUAUCUUGUAAAUCCCUAAAAUAAAGGGAUAUGUUUAAUCUCAUCCGUCAAUGUAAAUGUAUCUUGACCGUCGGUUUUGGGGGAACUCAACUAUAAAUAGAGAGCUUCCCCCUCAUUUGUACUCACUCCAUUCCAUUGUAUUCUAAAUUCUUUGUGAAUAAGAGAAUAGAGAGCAUUUACUCAAACACUUUGCGAGCGUUCUUUCUGUUGUUCUUUGUUGUUCUUCUUUUGGCAUAAAUCGCUUCUGCUCUUCAAUUGGUGCCUUGGAGGAGUUCUUAAAAGAAUCCUCACUUUUGGGUGUAAAGGCUGACUUUAGGUGAGUUUGAGACGAACGGAUCGCCUAAGGCCGCACGGAUUGCGAGACGAAAGGUCUAGCCCGUGACAUUAUAGGCAGGUAUGUGCAACUUCAAAUAUUUUUCUAUCUAUUUCAAAGAUAAUACUGUCACAUUUCAAAAAUUGAGUGUAAUAUCAUAAAAAUUAAAAUAGGAUGAAAUGAUUAAUUAAAUAAUAGUAAUAAAAUAUUAAAAUAAUUAUUGAGUCUAAAAUUGGGUGGUGAAAAUUUGGAUUAGAUGGUCUAUUAUUACAUGAAUUAAAACAGAUUUUAAAAAAUAAAACCGAGUUUGAAAAUAAUUGAGAAAAAUGUGUUUUAAUUAAACUAAAUACUAAGUUGAAAAAUAAGAGAAAAUUGAGAGUUUUUAAAAGAAAUUUUCCCUUAAUUUAAAAAAAAAUUACUCAUAUUCUUCCACUUUGAAAACCCCCCAUGUCCCAUUCCCUCCCAUUUAGUUUCACAUUCAAAAAAUUUUCCAAUUUUAAAUAUGAUAUUUUCUCUCAAAUUAGCUCAUCCUUGGUGAUUUUCUAGUUAUCCAAACAAUUCAACACCUUCCAAUUUUAAAGAAACAUCAUUAAGUCCUCAUCAAAUUCAUCAUUAUUCUUCUCAUGUUUAACUUCGAAUUAGAUCAAUAAUAUGUUGUUUUCUUCAAAUUGAGGUAAUGUCUUGACUUAUUAUGAUUAGAUUAAGGCUACUAUUUUCCUAAUUUGGAAUUUAAUCAAGUGUGUUGAGAGUUUUUAAGAUUUAAAACUUCUUAAUUAAAUUUUGGUUCAACAAUGGUGAAAUCCGAAAUAAUGAGUAAACCUACUCUUUUUUGAUUGAAAUCUAAUCUAUUUUUAACUAAACAGAAUGUAUUUGAACUCAAUUUGAUAGAUCGAUAAUGAAUUUUAAUGAAUUUCGAAUUUUCUCCUUUUGUGUGUUCAUAUAAGCUUGAUUGUUCCGGAAACUUUAAAUUCAUGAGAUUAGGUAGAAUGAAAAGUUUAAAAGUGAAAUUAGAUGAUAUUUAGGAAUAUUAGAAUCGAAAUUAAGGUUUAGAGAUAAAGUUUGAGUGAUUAAAUACCUAUUUCGGUAAAACUAGUUAAAUUUUUGGUAUGAGAAAAGUGAGCUUAGAGUGGUGAUUUUGCUAUAUUUUUUGAGUUUAAGCUUGUUAAUAAUGAUUUUAUAUUGUAUUUAAUGUGUAUGCAAAGUUUUGAAUUCAUUGGGAGGUUUCACAAGCAAUGCGAAAGGGAAAGAAUGCUUGUUUGACAUUGUUGUGCAAGAAGUAUUGACUAAGGUGAGUGAUCAGAGUUGUGAUUCUUAGGAACGAUUCCUAAGGUUGAAUACGAGUUUAGGUUGGUCUAGUCACCUAACCUAAGCUUCAAAAGUAAGUAUUCUUUCUUGAUUGAUGUACUAUAAAAUUCGAUGCUUGCUUAUCGUGAUAUGUGAAUCAUGUGAAAUAUUAAGCAUGUGUUGUCUGUAAAUGACAAUGAUUGAUAAGUGCUUGCUGGUUUUAUGUGCACCUAAAUAAUUUAAUAUGAUUAUGGCUCUUUUGAGCAAUUGUGAUAGCAUUUGAGAGUGCAUUAAAAGUGUUGAGAAAGUGGUGUUCAAGUGAAAAUUUGUAUAAAAUAAUGAGUGAAUAUGUGUAUAAGUGGUUAUGUUGGCAUUGUGAUUAUUUGGAACCAUUGGAUAUCAUUGGUAUUCCAUAGGAUUGAGUAUUCACCAUCUUUAUCAUGUGUUAGGGCAUUAUGACCUGAAGAUAGCGUUGGAGGGAUAAGGGAAUAUUGAGCAUAGCUCCAUUCACCGUAGAUAGAGUGGUGUGUUUGGAUUUGUUUAAAAUUGAAAUUUUGUACUUAUUAGUAUAGAUAUUGAUGUACCAAUUAAUACAUUAUGAAUAUAGAUUUGCAUUAUAUUUGUGAAACACAAGAAUAUCAUGGAAUUAGGUAAUUUGUUUUUAGAGUGGUUAUAUUUGAUAUAUAUUUACUUUUAUACAUUCUUGAGAUAAAAAAGUUCCGAAAUUUUAUAGAAAAGUUCAAUCUAUUAUAGUUUGAUCUAAUGUUUGUAGUUAACAAUUCAAAUAAUGUAAGUAGAUCCAACCCUAUAAAAAAUGGCAUUAUUUAAUUUAAAUACUUACUAUUAUGUGAUAUUAUUCGAAAAUGCAUGCAUGGAUUUCUUUUUCUUUUCAAAAGCAAAAGGCAACCAAUGGCUCUUUCUUAUCGUCUAUGGUUAGGUGAUUUGCACUUGAACAAGGUUAAAGAGACAAACAAAAGCAAAUUACAUUUAGUCUUCCUGCAUUGAAACAAACACCAAUCACAUUGCUAAUACAUCGAAACAAACCCUUAAUAGAGAUCCCGAAGACUAAAGCAUGAAGCUAGUUCAACAAACCUAAUUUACUAAUUAGCAAAAAGAAAAGAAAUUAAGGGAUACAGCCUUUUGGCCGCGUGAAGUCUCCAAUUUUGAUUUUCUAAUUUCCUAUGCUUUUUAUGUUGGUGGUGCUGGAGAAGGUGUCCACUGAUGUGCUUGGAUCAAUAGUAGGAUUACUCAGUCCAGUAGUAUCUGAAUCUAAUAACCCUACUCUGCAUACAUUCGAAUCCAACUCCGAAUCCACUUUUGAUUCAUCGUCGAAGUCCACGUCGCGAGCAACUGGGAACACUACAUCGGGGUAUCUACAUUCACUUGCGGGAUCCGUCUUCGACAUCUCGGCAUCAGCAGCCUUUUGCAACUCUAUAGCAAACCCCAACCUUUCCAUCACAUCAUUCAUUGAUGGCCUAUCGGUUCCCACCUCUGCUAUGCAACUUUCUGCAAUUUCGACAAACACCUUAAAACACUCUGGAGCUAUCUUUCCAAUCAAAUAUGGAUCAAUAACCUUGUACAGUGUCCCAUCUGCAAUGCACUGUUUGGCCCAAUGUGCCAGGCUCAUUUGAGUUUCGGGCAAUUUCGUAUUCACAGCUUUUCUUGCACAUAACACUUCAAAUAACACAACACCAAAUGCAUAUACAUCUGAUUUUUCGGUUAAUUUAUGACCCCGAGCAUACUCCGGGUCCAUGUAGCCGCGGGCGCCCUUUAUUCCAGUUAUGAUCACCUUGUCUUUGCGGUCUUCUUUCGACAACCCAAAAUCCGAAACCUUGGCAAUAAACUUAUCAUCUAGGAGAAUGUUGCUUGUCUUGACAUCACGGUGGAUACAGUAUGCCUCACUUCUGUAUGAAGAUAGUUCAAUCCAGUUGCAGCUCCCUUGCAAAUCUCAAGCCUUUGCUUCCAUGUGAGAGGAUCAUAGGCAAAGCUAGUACCGUAAAGAUGAUCCGAGAGAGUCCCAUUACGCAUAAAAUCAUACACCAGAAUCAUCUCUCGUUUCUCAUUGCAGUAUCCGAUUAAGGACACCAAAUGAACAUGGCGGAGCUGAGACAACAUCUCAAUCUCUGUUAAGAACUCUCGAAUACCUUGACUGGAUUCUCGAUUCAGGCGCUUGAUUGCAACUAUCUUUUCACCGUCAUCCAUGAAACCUUUGUAUACUUUCCCAAACCCACCUUUCCCAACAACUAAAUCAUCAUGGAAAUUGUUGGUAGCAGCUUUGAUCUCAUCCAGUGAAAAAUGGCGGCAUAGUUCAUCUGGUAACGGUGAGGUCCUUCUGGAUUUCCCUUCGUUUUGUUUUACCCACCAGCAAAGCCAACUUGUUCCCUUUCUUUGCCGCUGAACAACCAUGCAAACCAGUAAAGAAAUUAUGGCAAUCAAACCAGCCGCACAUCCGACACCAGCAAUUAGCAAGCUUCUCUUCUUGGAUUUUUCACCUGCAGAAUUGGACGAAUCCGAAGGUGGUGGUGGAGCCACCUGUAGUUCUGGGUUUGGUUCGCCCAAAUUGCCAUCGGAGUUGCUUAAUUUGAACACUUCAAUCCCAUUUAAGAUGACAUCAUAGUACUUUGCACUAAUAGGAUGCAAAUCUAUGGUGAUGUACUCCUUUGAUACUAACACGACAUAAUCCUUAAAUAUCGGAACUCUGCCUUGCACAGUCCACAUAAUCACAUCAGCGAUUUGUUCAGCCGUCUGACUGUUUAUAAAGACCUUAAACUUCAGGUCUCCCGGAGAGUUUACUGGAUCUUGUUGUUCACAGAAAUGAAGCCUCACCAUAUAGCUGAAUCUCGAACCCACGGGCAAUCUCCAUGAUAAGUUAUGCUUCUCGUUGUACGCAAGACUAGGCCCCAUUGUCCGUGCAGUCCGAUAAACCAUCUCCGGUGCCGUAUAUCUCGGAAUCAUUGUGUAGUUGAUUGGCACGGAGUUGUUCAUAGUGAAAUAGCUAUUUUCUGUCAUGUACAAAUAGUCAUCGGACCAAAGCAUGAAAAGGCCAGUAUCAUCGUUGGGCGAAAUGGAUUGGCCACCAACAUUCAAUCGAUACGCCAUCUCAAGUGCGGUGUCAUUCUCAACGGGGAAUGGAUAAUUCUGACCAACGAAAGGUACAUACGUUGAGUCAGGCGGUGUGUAGUAAAGAUUGGUAGGCAUCGACACGAUCUCGAUUCCAUUGAUGAAAGCGUAAGUAUCGUUUGAAGCACUACGAGAUGGAGUGAAAACAAGGUCCAACACCUCAUUAUCUUCCACGUUCAAACAGAAUUCUCUGAAAAACCAAUUUCUCCCCCUUGAAUCUGCAACAAGGGAAGCAGUGAAAUUUUUUAGCAAAGUGACAGAACCAGCUUUGACAGAGAAAAAGGCCUUGGAUCUGUCGUUUUCUUCAUAGGACGCCGGAUGGAAGUAGAGACGAACGAAUUUCUGGCCUGAAGUAACAGGGAAAGUGUACUUGAAUUCGGAACGGGAAACUCGGGCCGUCAUAUAAGGCACGGUUUCGGAACCGUCUUGAGUAUCAGCUUCGUAGGCUUGCGAUUUGUUGUGGGAUGAUUCGAAAGGUCCAAAAUUUGAGGUCUUGUCUGCUGCCCAAUAUCUGCCAUCAUUAGCUAAUAAGUCGGUUGGAGCUCCACAAUUCAGGGUGAUAUUAUCUGUUGGAACGUAUGCAGGCUGCUCUGAUGCAACAAAAAUGGUUGCCUGAAGGAUGGUUAUGAGAAAUAUUACCGAGUACUUCUCCAUGGAAACAAGUGAAAACUGACUAUGAGUAUGUUUGUCUAUGUAAAUAUAUGUCGAUGGAAUGGGAACAUGUUUUAUCAGUAUAUUUGCAAAUUCAUACAGCUUUUUCUUUACAGGUUACGAGUCUUUCUUUUAUCUUUUCUUUUUUAAUGUAUCCAUAUAUAUAUUGCUUCAAAUUAAAGCUAGAUGAUUGGAAAGUUAUAUAGAAAAGGUAGUCGCGAAACUGGUUUGAAUUAAAGAUAUUUUCACAAAUAAGAUUGACCGAAGGUCAACCACUUAACUAAUUCAUUUAAAAUAGGAUAAUGUGGUAUAUGGUACCUAUAUUUUUAUAAAAUGUCUAAUGUGAUAUAGGUACUUUGAAAAUGUCUAAUUUGGUAUUGAACUAUUAAUAUGUUUUAUUAUGAUAUUGGUAUUAACAAUCGUAAUGAAUUGUUAAAUUAACCAAUGAAAAUUUGACAUGCAGACUUUUUUUUUCAAUUAUUAAGUCCACAUGAAUAAUAUAACGUUAUGUGAAAAAUCAAAUAAAAAUUUAAAUUAAAUUAAAAAUAAAUAAGCAUAUGAUUAAUAAAAAAAGAAGUGAAUACUAAACAUGAAAGUACUUAUUCUUUUUAUGUAUAAUAAAAAUAUUAUUUAAACAUAAAUUAAAAAUACUAUUUCAAAUGAAAAACUCUUUCAAGAACUUUGUAAGUCAUUUACUUCUUUUUUAUUAAUCAUAUGUUUAGAUUUGUUUUUUUAAUUUAAUUUAUUAUUUUUUAAUUAUUCACAUAAUAUUAUAUUAUUCAUGUGGAUUUAAUGAUUUGAAGGAAUCAGAUUUUUUUUUAUGGUUUAGCAAUUCACUAGCGAUGUUAACAUCAGGUACCAUAAUAAAACACAUAUUGAUAGUUCAUGUACCACAUUGGACAUUUUAUGAAAGUACACAUAUCAUAAUAAAAUACAUAUUAAUAGUUCAAAUACCUCAUUAGAUAUUUUUAAAGUACAUGUACUACAUUGAACAUUUAUAAAAGUACAUGUACUAGAUAUGAUAUUAUUUCGAUCAAAAUUAAAUGCACGGUUCAAAAGUUAAAAUCAACUUAAAUUUAAAAGAAACUAUCAAAAUUUUUUUAAAUUUUUAUCUAAAUUGCAAUGAGACCUUGGUGUGGUUGGUCAAGGUGGAGGUUAUUGGUAUUUCAGAAAUCAAGUCCAAGUCUUAUGUGAAAUUAUGAAGUGUGGGUAUUUAGUCACAUUAUGUGUGUAUGCUAUGUAUGAGUUUUGUCCAAUUCUUUUCAAUUUUUUGCCCAUCGUGUUUUAUACUAUUUUGAUUCUAGUUGCUCAAACUAUUAUUUAUAUUUAUAUUAUUGUUGUGAAUAUAUUAUAUUUGUAAAAAUAAAACUUUCAAAAACUACUACUACUUAAACGAAGCCAGCAACUUGAUCUAUUAAAUGAUGCAUUUGAUCAUUUUAACUAGGUUUAAUUUAAUAACAAGCCUUCAAAUUAUACCAUUUACUUUGGUUAGGUAAUUAAUUUUUUCUUUAUCGAACUAGAUACUUAGAUUACAAUUUUGUUGUAAUGAUUCGAUUUUAGACAGUGUCAAAUAAAUGUAGUUUUAGAAUUUAAUUCCGUAAACCGAGUCAAUAAAAAUAUAAAUAGAAGGAUUUACAAUGUUAGUACAAAAUAUAUUAAAUAAAAGUUCAGAAAUUAACUCAAAAAAAUUGUUAAUUAAAGUUUAAGGACUAAAUUAUAAAAGUCUCAUCGUUAUAAAAUUUUAAUUUUAAAAAUACUUGAAGGCCUAAUUGGCAAUUAAUCAAAGGACCUAAUGAUUAUUUAACCAUUAAAUUUUUAUGAGAAAGUGGAUGAGCACAAUCAUUUCCAUCCAUUUUUAAGCAUGUUAAUUAAUGAUUAUUAUCAAAUGUUAGAUAAUUAAGUAAGCUUAAUUAUCUUUAAUUGCGAGUAAAAAAACAAAACAAGUGGGAAAGAGAAUAAGAUGAACAUAUUAUUCUUUAGAAUUGUGUUGUCCAUGCCCAGAGAAGAAGAAGAAAAACCUUUCAAGCUUUUUUUUUUUAAAUGAUUUAAAUUAGCUAAGGUAAGAGAGGUUUUCCUAGAUGUUUUUUUUAUAGAAUUUUAAUCAUCUAAGCCAAUUAAGUCAUGCCAAAGCAUUUGAUUAUUCAAUCUGCAAGUUUAGUUGCCAUUAGUUAAUAAUGACGAAAUUAGGCUUGAAAUUGAUAGAAAUUUAGUUGUUGAACUAGAUUUUACUAAUACUAUAUUAGAAUAGAGUGGAAUUAGCUUAAAAUUAAAGGUUUAGUUAACUUUGACAUUAGGGACUAAAUUGAAUAAAUUAAAAGCUGUUAAGAAAUUAUGCUAUAGAUUAGAAGUAGAUGGUCUGUGAUGAAAGAAUAUGAAAUUAGAUUAUGAUUCUAUAUUAAAUAUUGAAAAGUAUGAACAUUUCAGACACAAGGGCUAAAAUGAAUAAAAUGUAAAAUAUAUUUGAUUAUAAAUUUUUUUGUGUUUGGGUGGAAACUAGUAUAAUUUUCAUAAUUGAAUUAUCGAAUGUAGCUAAAGAAACCAUCAAUCCAUCUCAAGAUAAAGGAAAGACGAAAUUUGUAAAUGUAACAUCUCUAACCCUUAUCCAUCGUCAGAAUAGGGUUACGGAGUAUUACUAGACUUUAAAUUUCAAAACAAAAAAAAUUAAACAUUUUAAUUCAUAUAAUUAAUCAUAGCAGAACCAAUUAAUAACAUGCAUACCGUCCCUUAUACGAGCCCUCGAGGCCCCUAAAAACACAUUAGAAACAAGUUGGGACUAAAUCGAAAACAUAUAGAAUUUUUCAAAAAAGGAUGAAAAUUUUUCAAAACAGUAGGGGUCACACGGUCGUGUGGGCAUUCGAAAUAGGGACACAUGACUGUGUCCCAACCCGUGUCUAUGCCCGUGUAACUUUCUGACUAGGGUCACAUGGCCAAGCCACACUCCCGUGUGCCAGGCCGUGUAACUGCCUGACUUGCAACCCUUUGUAAGUUACAGGGGACACACGACUAUAUCGCCUGGCCGUGUGUCACACAUGGCUGACACAUACGCCUGUGUCUCUGGUCAUGUGGACAAAAAGUAGGCUAUUUCCAAGCUAGUUUUCUCACCCAAACAUGCACACGCUUACAACCAAUUUCGCAUAUAUAAUCAAGCAUCCCAAAGUGCACAAAUCAUGCAACAUCAAGCUAUCCAAAUAAGAUACAUAUGCAUACAACCAAUAUCCCCAAAAAGGCACCUCAAUCAAACUUGUAUAACCAUAUGCAUAGUUUAGCCAAAAGUUCAACCAACUUAUCACUAAGUUUAUGCCAAAACUUACCACUUUAUUUACCUAUCAAUUCGUACCAAAAGUACCAAAUUUACCAUUUAACAUUUAAAACCUUAAGCCAUAUAUAUCAACUACAUUACCUAUACCAAAUAACCUCAUUUAAGCAUAUCAUAUCUCGAGUCAAAUCAUCAUAUAUCACUUUGGCCAUUCAAACAUGCUUUAACACAUUAUCAAUUUAACACAUAUCAAUAAGGCACCAAAUGUACCAAGGCUACAUCACCCAAAAUGACAUAUACAUGCCAAACUCAUUAACUAACAUUCAACUAUUUAUCAACCAGAACCACAAGCUAGUGCAUUUAAACAUAGCUCUUUUGGAAUUAAUCACAUGAUAAACCAUUUCAUAAGAAAUUGCAUAAUUUAAACCUUACCACUCUUUCAUGAACACAAGCAUAUUUGUAUUUGAGUAAUUACCAUUUCAAUGCAUAACUUAUAAGUUAACAUAAUACCAUUCAACCAAUAGCUUGGCAUAUGCCUAAGCAUCAAAAAACAAUACAUGUUAGCAUACUUGAACAUAUUUCAUAUAAAUUUAACAUUGAUAACUAGUUAUUCUCAACAUUUAACACUUGAAUUUAUUACUCAUCUCAACUUACAUAAUUUCCAUGUAUCAUCAUAUCAAAGAUGUUCAUAUAUGUACAUGUCAUAAUACAUAUCAUUUUAUUACCAUUUCUUAUUUGAAUAAUGUCCGUUGAACCAUUUAGAAUACCAUUGGAUACCCGGGAUAGCUCAUACAUAUUGUGCUAACUCAUAAAAUUGUAAUCUGCUAAUUCCUGUACAUGUAUGCUUACACGAAUUGUGAAAAUGGGCCAACUCACACGAGCUGUGGGUCGGAACGUAGCUACACGAUACUACUCACACGAGCUAUGGAGUAUCCGCAACACAUGCCGGUCCUCAGCCAUCGGUAGGAUGUUAAAGACCAGAAUCCUAAUCGUGUAAACUCUAAUGACAUGUCAUUUUUAUCCUAUGAAUUCCUAAGGUUCAAACGGGGCACGGUAGUCGUCAUAUGUCGUUGAAUUUACAUCGUUUCAUAACACGGUAAAUUGCAUACUAACAUAUAUAUUGAUUUAAUCACAAUAUAAUCACAUAUUAACAUUCACUUUAAUCAAAAUUAUAUAAAAUAUAGUUGAUAUGAACUUACUUGGCUAAAUUGCAAAAAUACCAAAGUUUAGAGGCAUUUUGAUAAUUUUCUAUUUUUCUCGAUUUUCUACCCAAUCUUAAUAUGCAACCUAUGAAGCUUGGUCGAAGCUUGAAGGUACAAUAAUGGCUUUCUCCUUUCUCAAAUUCGGAAAAACAUAAAAAGAAAAAGAUGACAUCUUUUACUUUAAUUAUUUACCUUUUAAUUUGGUUUAUUUUUAAUUAAUAAAACAUACAUAUUUUCAUAAUAAGACAAAGCCGACCUCCCACUCAUAUGUAAUAUGGUAUAUUUACCAUAUUAGUCCAUAUACUUUCAUUCAUUAAGCCAUUUAAUCACUCACAUCAAAUAUCGAUUAAUUUUUCAACUUUUACAAUUUGGUCAUUUUUAAUUAAUUAACUAUCGAAACGUUAAAAUUUUUCAACGAAACUUUAAACCACCUUAAUGACACUCUGUAAAUAUUUAUAAAAAUAUUUACAGCUCGGUUUAUAGAAAUGAGGCCUCGAUACCUCAUUUUAUAGAACCACUUAACCUUAAAGUCUUACCACUUGAACUUAAUAAAUCGCUUAUAAUCAAAUCGAAAACUUUUUUAAAACCAUAUUUGACUCAUAAAUAUUAAAUAAUAAUAUUGACAAACUUACUCGUCAUAUUUGGUGGCCUCGAAACCAUCGUUUCUGACACCACUAAAAAAUAGGCUAUUACAGUAGACGAGUAACUAAUAUGUUUUGUACUUUCAUGAUUUGAAUUUAAUAUAUAUGUCUUGUUACAAACUAGAAUGUUUGAGGUAAGAAUACUAAUUGUCUCAUGAUUUGGUUUGUAUAUGAUCAUAUGAAAUGUUAUGAAUUAAAUUAAGAUUAGCAUGGUAUAAGUGAGUAUUAUAUGAAUCUACUAUUUGUGAUAAUGUAAAUAUAUUUAGUGGUGUUCAAAUUUCAGUUAAAAUCGAAUUAACUGACUGAACCGAUCUAAUUUAAUUAAUCGGUUGGUUAACCAAUCUAAUUCGGUCGGAUGUCGGUUAAUGAGUUUUUAGAAGUUCGAUUAUCGAUUAAUUCGGUUUGAAAUUGGGUAAUUAACCGAAUUAACCGAAUUCAAUGAUUAAUUAUACAAAUUAUAUGUAGUAUACUUGUUUUAAUUCAUAUAAUUCAGUCAACUGAACAUUAUCAAAGUUUUUUUUAAUACUUCUUUUAACCAAAAAAAUAAAAACAUAUAAAUUUCAGUCAAUUCAGUUAACCGACCAAAUUAAUCGAAAUAUUUCGAAUCGGUUAAUUUAUUUUGAAAAAAAUUGAUUUUUAACGGCUAAAGUAUUAAAAUAUUCAGUUGAAUCAGUUAAUACUAGUUGAGUUUGGCUAACCGUUUGAACACUCCUAAAUGUACUUCACCCUAUUAAUGGACUAGUGUCACGAGCUGUAGAUUAAAGCCCGUGACCAUUACAAACAAAACGUCCCAUGGAGGUCAACUAAUUAAAUGAGGCUCUUUUGACCCACUUAAAAUAGCUAGAUUUGUGGAACACAAAGAGAAGCCCAUCUACUUGAAGCGUUAGUGGCCUAGUGAAACUAGUAAAACUAAAGUUACCAUGGUAAUUAAUAUAAAUCCUAAGGGAUAAAUAAGUAUAUUUUAAAACCCAUAGGACUCUCAUAUUAUAGAUAGACAUUAAUGUCAAUCGUUGAUGUAAUUCAAUCUAUAACGUUGUAUACUGUAGAUAGACAUUAAUAUAUUUAGAUUACAAUUAUUUCUUAAAAAUUUGGAAAGUAAUAAAAUGAAAGAUGAAAAAAAAAUUGAAAGAUACCAAUGAAAGAACAAAAAGCAAAGAUGAGAAGUAAGGUUUACCCUUUGAUUUAUCAAAGAGAAAGAUAGCAUAAAAAAAAUUUAUGAUGGAGAGUAAACAAGGAAGCCAAAAGCGGAAAGGUUUCAUAAAAUGUUUUAAAUUUAAUCUAAACCAUUUAGAUCUUUUGAUUUAAAAGUUAUAAACUCCUUCCUAUAAGAAAUUACAAUAUUUAAUUAAAAUAUAUAUUAUCAAGUAAUAUUAUUCAAAAAUGAAUAUUAAGUGAUAAUUUUCUAAAAUGCAUGCAUCUUUUUCUUUUUCUUUUCAAAAUCAAAAGGCAACCAAUGGCUAAGUGAUUUGUACUUGAACAAGGUAAGAGACUAUUCCUGCAUUGAAACAACCACCAAUUUUACACAUUACUAAUACAUCAAAUGCAAACCCUUAAUAGAGAUGACUAAGACUAAAGCAUGAAACUAGUUCAACAAACCUAAUUUACUAAUUAGCAAAAAGAAACAAAAUUAAGAGAUAUAGCCUUUGGCUGCAUGAAGUCUCCAAUUUUUAUUUUCUAAUUUCCUAUGCUUUUUGUAUUGUUGUUGGUGCUGGAGAAGGUGUACAUUGAUGUGCUUGAAUCAAUAGUAGGAUAAGUCAGUCCAGUAGUAUCUGAACCUAAUAACCCCACUCCUCUGCAUACAUUCAAAUCCAACUCCGAAUCCACCACUGAUUCAUCGUUGAAGUCCAUGUCCCGAGUAACUGGGAAUACUAUAUCCGGGUAGCUACAUUCACUUGUCGGGUCCAUCUUCGACAUCUCGGUAUCAGCAGCCUUUUGCAACUCUAUAGCAAACCCCAACCUUUCCAUCACAUCAUUCAUUGAUGGCCUAUCGGUUCCCACCUCUGCUAUACAACUUUCUGCAAUUUUGACAAACACCUUAAAACACUCUGGUGCUAUCUUUCCAAUCAAAUAUGGAUCAAUAACCUUGUACAGUGUCCCAUCUAUAGUGCAUUGUUUGGCCUAAUAUGCCAGGCUCAUUUGAGUUUCGGGCAAUUUCGUAUUCACAGCUUUUCUUACACAUAACACUUCAAAUAACACAACACCAAAUGCAUAUACAUCUGAUUUUUCAGUUAAUUUAUGACCCCGAGCAUACUCCAGGUCCAUGUAGCCGCGGGUGCCCUUUAUCCCGAUUAUGAGCAUCUCGUCUUUAGGGUCUUCUUUCGACAACCCAAAAUCUGAAACCUUGGCAGUAAACUUAUCAUCUAGUAGAAUGUUGCUUGUCUUGACAUCACGGUGGAUAACAGUAUGCUUCACUUCUGUAUGAAGAUAGUUCAAUCCAGUUGCAGCUCCCUUGCAAAUCUCAAGCCUUUGCUUCCAUUUGAGAGGAUCAUAGGUAAAGCUAGAACCGUAAAGAUGAUCCGAAACAGUCCGAUUACGCAUAAAAUCAUACACCAGAAACAUCUCUCGUUUCUCAUUGCAGUAUCCGAUUAAGGACAACAAAUGAACAUGGCAGAGCUAAGACAACAUCUCAAUCUCUGUUAAGAACUCUCAAAUACUGUUGAAACAAUGGCAGUAGCAACUCAGCAACAAAGAGCAUAAGCACAUAAAUUGCAAACUAAAACAAGAAAACAAAAACUGAAAAACUCAGAACAAUGGCAUGUAACUGAAUGGAAUACAUUAACUUUUUCAUUUCAUUUGAAAAUAUAAAGUGUUACAAAGAUAGAAUGUAGGUUACCUAAACUUGCAACUCCUCCCACCAAUUUGGCAAGUUGCCAACUAAAAUAAUACAAGUUAAAAGCUGAAAUAAAUUAGCUAUUACAUGCACCAUAUUCAAAUCCUACUAACUCUAGAAAUGAAGUUACAUAUCAACUUGAUAACUUUACAAAAGUAUCAAAAUAAACAAAAUCAAACAAGCAGCUUCUGGUCCUACUCGAAUGUUGGUCUACUGCUGCUGGUCUGCUUCAUGGUUACCUGUUGCAUUGCAGUCUAUGCUCAACACUCCUCCUUGGACUAUAGGCAACAAACACCAAUCAAAUCUCUUAAGAAUUCAAACCUGGUUAUCCCAAGAGGCUUUGUCAAAAUGUCAGCCAAUUGGUCUUGUGAGCUGCAAUGUAUAAGACAUACUUCUUUGGAUUGUACAGCCUCUCGAACAAAAUAAAACUUAAGUUUAAAAUGUUUGGUUUUUCCAUGAAAAACAAGAUUUUUGGAGACGGAAAUUGUUGACUGGUUGUCCGCCUUAAUUUCAGUAGGCUCAAGUUGCUCUUCAUUUAAAUCACUUAGCAACUUCCUAAGCCAAAUAGCUUGACUCACUACUGUAGUUGCUGCUUUGUAUUCAGCUUCAGCUGUUGACUGAGCAAUAGUUUGUUGCUUCUUUGAGCUGCAAUAGAAAACUCCAAAACCAAGUGUAAAGAAGUAGCCUGAAGUACUGUCAGUUAAUUUUAGCUCAUUUCCUCUCUUUAACAUUACUCCAAACUUCAAAGUACCUUUGACAUACCUGAGUAUCCUCUUAGCCGCCUUCAAAUGAGUAAUAUUGCAACUGUGCAUGAAUCUAGACAGUAGGGUUACUGCAUGCAUAAGGUCAGGUCUGGUUACUGUCAAGUAGAGCAAACAACCAAUCAAGCUUCUAUACUCCCUUUAUCAACCUUUUCCUGAUUUCCAAAGCUGGUCAGUUUCUCUCCUAUAGCUAAUGGUGUGCUCAUUUGUUUGUAGUUUUCCAUGUGAAAUUUAGUGAGAAUUUUCAAGGCAAAUGCAUGCUGCCUGAUAAAUAUGCCUUGAUCAGACUGUUUUACUUCCAUACCAAGGAAGCAAGUCAUGAUUCCCAAGUCUGUCAUAUCAAACAUCUCUUGCAUUUUUUCUUUGAAUUCCUGGAUCAAAUCGACCCUGCUUCCAGUCACUAACAGAUCAUCCACAUAUAUUGAGACAAUCAACAAAGUCUCAUCUUUAGACUUCUUUACAAACAAAGUUGGCUCACUCAAGCUUUUCUCGAAAUUGAGCCUAGAUAGGUAAGCAUCUAUCCUGCCAUACCAGGCUCGAAAAGCUUGUUUCAGUCCAUAGGGUGCCUUCUUCAGCUUAUAAACCUUGUCCUCUUUUCCUUGGACUUUAAAGCUAUCAAGUUGUUCAACAUAAAUUUCUUCCUUGAGAAGACCAUUCAGGAAAGCUGACUUAACAUCAAGUUGAUGGACCCUCCAUUACUUCUGUGUAGCCAAGGCAAACAGAAGCUUUAUAGUGUCCAGCCUUGCCACUAGAGCAAUUGUCUCCUCAAAAUCAAUGCCAAACUAUUGACUGUACCCUUUCACCACAAGCCUUGCCUUGUUCUUGUUCAAAGAGCCAUCAGCAUUGAACUUGGCUCUCAAAACCCACUUGACACCUAUGACCUUCUUUUGAUCAGGCCUGUCUACCAGAUCCCAAGUGUCAUUUUUGUGGAUCAUGUCAAUUUCAACCUCCAUGGCCUUCUUUUAGCUUUUUCUUCUUGCAGCUUCUUCAUAGCUCGAACGCUCAACAAUGGCUACAUUGCAUCUCUGGUAGAUAUCAGCAAUGGUCCUGGUCCCUCUCACAGGAGUAUCAUCUACAUUGGCAUUACUGACUUCAUUUUCUGCCAAUUUUAGAUUGCUGUCAAUCUGCCCUUCUUCAAACUGACUUGUGCCAGAGCCAUUUAGACUCCAAAACCUUCCUUCAUCAAAUUUGACCUCCCUACUUACCAAAAUCUUCUUGGUUGAGGGAUCAAAUACUUUGUAGCCCUUUUUGCAGCUACUGUAACCAAAAAAUAUACCUGGACCUGACCUCUUCUCAAGUUUGGUUCUUCUUUCUGCAGGUACAAGUACAUAACACAUGCAGCCAAAUAUUUUCAAGUGAGAAACAAUUGGUUUAAGACCAUACCAUGCUUCAAAAAGGUCUUAUCCUUUACAGCAUGUGUUGGCAACCUAUUGAGCAAGUACACUGAGGUGUUGACACCUUCAGCCCAAAAAAUGCUUGGAAGCUUGCUUUGAAACAACAAACACCUGGCCAUAUUCAUCACUAUUCUGCUCUUCCUCUCACACACUCCAUUUUGUUGAGGAGUGUACACUGUGGUCAACUGAUGAUGAAUCCCAGCUUGCUAACAUAGCUUCUGAAAUCCUUCAAACAAGUAUUCAGAGCCAUUGUCUAUUCUCAAACCCUUGAUCCUGUAGCCUGGUUGAUUUUCUGCCAAAGCCUUGAAUUUUCCAAAAACUUCAAACAAUUCUGACUUCUGUUUCAUAAAAUAAACCCAACAAAAUCUGGUCAGAUCAUCUAUAAACAAUAUAAAAUACUUACUGUCAUUCAAUGAAGGGGUCUUCAUUAUUCUACAGACAUCUGAGUGCACCAACUCAAGCCUUUCUCGAGCCCUCCAUGCUUGGUUAACUAGAAAAGGCAACCUAGCUUGUUUACCAAGCUGGCACACUUCACAAACAGACUCACUGACUUCAACUUUGGCCAUGUCUUCAGUCAUAUUCAUUUUGUGUAGCAAAUCUAGUGACCUGAAGUUGACAUGGCCAAACCUUUUAUGCCAUAGAUCAGUACUGUCAGUUAAGCUUGUCUAGGCCUUUCUCUUAAGCUUACUUACAUCCAGCAUGAAGUACUUAUCUGCCAUAGGUACUGAGACGAUCUCUCUACCAUGAACAUCACUAAUGAGACAAGAAUCAUUCUUGAAAACUAGAGAAUAGCCUUUCUUAACCAACUGAUCUACACAAAGUAGGUUCUAAUCUAUUUUAGGCACAUAGAGUACAUCUGAAAUAACCUUGUUACCUGAACUAGUGUUGAUCACAACAUCACCUCUGCCCUUAGCUUCAAUCAAGUUCCUCUUGCCAAACCUAACCUUCGAGGCAUAGCUCCUAUCAAGGUCCUUGAACAAGUUUUCAUCUGCUGACAUGUAAUGUGAGUAGCUACUAUCCACAAGCCAGCUACAUUUGUUGUUGACUGCAAAGCAUGAGGCAAUGAAGACAUGCUCCUCCUGAGCCAGAAUAUCCUCAGCAGUCUUGGCUUGUAUUGGUUGUGCUUGUGCCUUUUCUUGAUUUCUGCAAAUCUUCUCAUGAUGGCCAUAAUGCUUGCAACUUUUACAUUGGAUAUCUGGUCUAUUCCAGCAGUAUUUCUGCAAGUGAUUAGUCUUCUUACAGUGAAUGCAAUGUGGAAACAUUCUUUUGCCUGCAUCUUUCUUUGAUCUAUCCCUCUUUUCAAACCAAGGCUUCUUAGCUUUCUGAAUUGAGCUAGAGCCUUCUCUGACCUUUGCUUGAAAUGCACCCUCAGGAUUCUCCUCCUGCCUGCUAGCCCUCCUCUGCUCAAGAGCAUAAAGUGAGUUAACCAACUCAGACAAAGAAAUGGUUGUAAGAUCCCUCGAGUCCUCCAGUGAGGAGAUUUUUAACUCAAACCUCUCAGGAAGAGUGGUAAUCACUUUCUCAACAAACCUGCUGUCACUGAAAUCUGCUCCAAGGAGUCUGAUGUUGUUGACAGUAACCAUGAUCCUAUUAGAAUAUUGCUUGAUAGUUCCUGACUCUUUCAUUUUCAAUUUUCAAAUUCCCUUCAAAGGUAGAUAACUUGUUGCUGCCUAGUCUUAUCUGAUCCCAUGAACUCCUUUUUCAGCCUAUUCCAUGCUUGCUUAGGUGAGUCACAGGCCAUGAUACGAGUGAAGAUCACAUCAGAAACACUAUUCUAUAGGCAGACCAUGGCUUUGUGCUUCUUGGAUCGCUCCUCACUAUGUUGCCUGAUCUGAGCAAUGGUUGGAUUUGCUCUCAAUGGUGGUGGCUCGACAUCAUUCUCAACUACACUCCACAGAUCAAGUGCUUGGAGGUAAGUUUUCAUUUUAACUACCCAAAUGUGGUAGUUUUCUCCAGCAAAAACUAGUUGUGGAGGAGGUGCAAAGCUCAUGCUGCUGAAACAGGCUUGACAAACUCGAUUUUUUUAGUUUGUUUUAAAAACAAAAGACUUAACCAACAGAGGUCCUCAAAGACUAGAGGCUUUGAUUACCAUUUUUUGAAACAAUGGCAACAACAACUAAGCAACAAAGGGCAUAAGCACAUAAACCGCAAAGUAAAACAAGAAAACAAAAACUAAAAAACUCAGAACAAUGGCAUGUAACUGAAUGGAAUACAUUAACUUUUUCAUUUUAUUUGAAAAUAUAAAGUGUUAAAAAGAUAGAAUGUCAGUUACCUAAACUUGUAACUCCUCCCACCAAUUUGGCAAGUUGCCAACUAAAAUAAUACAAGUUAAAAGCUGAAAUAAAUCAACUAUUACAUCCAUCAUAUUCAAAUCCUACUAACUCUAGAAAUCAAGUUACAUAUCAACUUGAUAACUUUACAAAAGGAUCAAAAUAAAAAAAAUCAAACAAGCAGCUUCUGGUUCUGCUCGAAUGCUGGUCUGCUACUGCUGGUCUACUUCAUGGUUACCUGUUGCAUUGCAGUCCAUCCUCAACAAAUACCUUGAUUGGAUUCUGGAUUCAGGCGCUUGAUUGCAACUAUCUUUUCACCUUCAUCCAUGAAACCUUUGUAUACUUUCCCAAAUCCACAUUUCCCAACAACUAAAUCAUCAAGGAAAUUGUUGGUAGCAGCUUUGAUCUCAUCCAGUGAAAAAUGGCAGCAUAGUUCAUCUGGUAACAGUGAUGUCCUUGUGGAUUUCCCUUCGUUUCGAUUUAUCCACCAGGAAAGCAAACUUGUUCCCUUUCUUUACAGCCGAACAGCCAUGCAAACUAGUAAAGAAAUUAUGGCAAUCAAACCAGCCGCACAUCCGACAUCAGCAAUUAGCAAGCUUCUCUUCUUGGAUUUUUCACCUGCAGAAUUGGACGAAUCCGAAGGUGGUCGUGGACCUGUAGUUCUAGGUUUGGUUUGCCCAAAUUGCCAUUAGAGUUGCUUAAUUUGAACACUUCAAUCCCAUUUAAGAUUACAUCAUAGUACUUUGCAUGAAUGGUGAUGUACUCCUUUGAUACUAACACGACAUAAUCCUUAAAUAUCGGAACUUUGCCUUGCACAGUCCACACAAUCACAUCAGCGUUUUGUUUAGCCGUCUGACUGUUUAUAAAGACCUUAAACUUUUGGUCUCCCAGAGAGUUUACCAGAUCUUGUGGUUCACAAAAAUGAAGCCUCACCAUAUACCUAAAUCCCGAACCCAUGGGCAAUCUCCAUGAUAAGUUAUGCUUCUCGUUGUACGCAAGGCUAGGCCCCAUUGUCUGUGUAGUCUGAUAAACCAUCUCUGGUGCCGUGUAUCUCGGAAUCAUUGUGUAGUUGAUUAGCAUGGAGGUGUUGACAGUGACAUAAUUAUUUUUUGUCAUGUAAAAAUAGUCAUUGGAUGAAUUUCGGAAAAGGCCAGUAUCAUCCUUGUGGGAAAUGGGUUUGGCCCCAACAUUCAAUCGAUACGCCAUCUCAAGUAUCGUGUCAUUCUCAACGAGGAAUGGAUAAUUCUGGCCAACGAAAGGUACAUACGUUGAGUCAGGCAGUGUGUAGUAAAGAUUGGUAGGCAUCGACACGUUCUCGAUUCCAUUGUUGAAAGCGUAAGUAUCGUUAGAAGCACUAGAAGAUGGAGUGAAAACAAGAUCCAACACCUCAUUAUCUUUCAUGUUCAAACAGAUUUCUCUGGAAAACCAAUAUCUCCCCCUUUGAAUCUGCAACAAGGGAAGCACUUAAAUUUUUUAGCAAAGUGAAAGAACCAGCUUUGACAGAGAAAAAGGCCUUGGAUCUACCAUAUUAUUCAUAGGACACCGGAUGGAAGUAGAGACGAAUGAAUUUCUGGCCUGAAGUAAUAGGGAAAGUGUAUUUGAAUUUGGAACGGGAAACUCGGGCUGUCAUAUAAGGCACAGUUUCGAAACCAUCUUGAAUAUCAGCUUCGUAGCUUGCGAUUUGUUGUGGGGUGAUUCGAAAGGUCCAAAUUUUGAGUUGUUGUCUACUGCCUAAGAUCUGCCAGCAUUAGCUAAUAAGUCGAUUGGAGCUCCAUAAUUCAGCGUGAUAUUAUCUCUUGGAAUGUAUUCAGGCUGCUCUGAUGCAAUAAAAAUGGAUAACUGAAGGAUGGUUAUGAGAAUUAUUACUGAGUACUUCUCCAUGGAAACAAGUGAAAACUGACUAUGAGUAUAUUUGUCUAUGUAAAUAAAUGUUGAUGGAAUGGGAACAUGUUUUAUCAGUAUAUUUGCAAAUUCAUAUAGCUUUUUCUUUACAGGUUGCGUGUCUUUUUAUUAUCUUCUUUUUUUAAUUUUUAUAUAUGGCUUCAAAUUAAAGCUAGAUGAUUGGAAAGUUAUAUAGAAAAGGUAGUUGUGAAACACGCUUGAAUUAAAGAUAUUUUCACAAAUAAUAAUGACCGAAGGUCAACCACAUAACUAAUUGAUUUACAACGAGAUAAUAUCACAUUUUGUAUCUAUACUCUUAUAAAAGAUCUUAUAUGGUACAUAAACUAUUAAUAUGUACUAUUAUGAUACUUAGAGUUAAUAACCUUAGUCAAUUUUUAAAUUAACCAAUGGAAAUUCGUUAUGUAGAAAUGUUUUCAAAUCAUUAAAUCCACAUGAAUAAUAUAAUGUUAUGUAAAAAAAAACUAAAUAAAACAAAAUAUUAAAUGAAAUUACAAAAAACAAAUAGGUAAACAUAUAAUUAAUAAAAAAAUAAGUUAAUACUAAAUUUACAUCAAAGUACUUGUACUUUUUAUGUAUAAUAAAAAUAUUAUAUAAACAUAAAUUAAAAAUACUAUUUCAAAUGAAAAAUUCUUCGAAGAAAUGAAAGAUGAAGUUUUAGGUUAUGUAAGUUUAGUUAUUUGUUUUUUAAAUUUAAUUUUUUUUAAUUAUUCAAAUAAUGUUGUAUUAUCCAUGUAGACUUAAUGUUUUGAAGGAAAAAUUCUAUGUUUUGAAUUUUGUUGAUGGUUUAGCAAUUCACUAACCAUGUUAACACCAAGUACCAUAAUAAAACACAUAUGGAUAGUUAGGUGCCACAUUAGACAUUUUAUAAAAGCACAUGUAUCAUCAUAAAAUACAUAUUAACAGUUCAAAUACCACAUCGAACAUCUAACAACCCUUACCCGAGGCCCUUGCCGGAGUCGAGCAUGAGGCAUUACUUGACUUAACUUAAAAGUUCGGGGCAUAAAAGCUUAGUUUUAAAAGUUAAUUUACUGUUCAUAAUAAGUCUGUCCACCUGCGUAAUAGUUACUAAAUUAAUUAUAACUCGAGCUAAAAAACUUGAAAUUUAGAUCUGUAAAUUUUUACUGAAGCUAGACUCAUAUAUCUUUUUACCAUAAAUUUUUCAGAAUUUUUGGUUCAGCCAAUUAGUACAGUUUAUUAGUUAAAAUCUCCCCUAUUUCACUGAUGGACUGUCCUGACCUCUCGUUACUAAAAUUCAAUUAUCUCAUUUUACAGACUUCAUAUAGUGUUCUCAUUUAUUUCUAAAGAAAAUAGACUCAAUAAGGAAUCUAUAAAUAUAAAUUACAACUCAUAAAUAUUUUUGUAAAAUUUUUAAUGAUUUUCCAAAUUUAGAAUAGGGGAUUCUGAAAACCACUUUGACCUUGUCUAACUAAAAUGCAAAUAUCUUAGAAUAUAUAAUUUUUUUGUCUACACUGUUAUUUUUCAAUGAAAAUAGACUCAAUAAGCUUCAAUUAUAUAUAUCAUCCACCCUCUAAUUCAUUUUCUACUAUCCUUGGUGAUUUUUCAAAAUCAUGUCACUAUUGCUAUCUCAAAACUGAUUCACAACCAAUUUUUACUCUUUCAUGAUUUCUAUGUAUAAUUCAUCCCCUAGACAUUUAUAACCAUAAACACCUUCUUACUUAGCCAUUUUAAUAAAUAUUCAUCAUCAAGCAUUUACAUAUCAUCUUUUGGUCAUAUCUUGAGAAUAUACAAUCGAAAUGAACAAGUCUUUAUACAUGCCAUAACUCAAAACAUUUAUCGUCUUAAAAUACCGAGUUGUGGUGGUUGAUAGUGUGAACACUCUCUGACGUCUUCAAGAUCCCAACUAUGCUUGAUAAUACUAUAUGAAAGAAAAAGAAAUAAAAGAAGUAAGCAUAAAGCUUAGUAAGUUUACAAAUAAAUAAAUGACAUCAAUUAACAUAAAUAAUGAUAUGCAAAUAUCAUGUUCUUAAGUUUUCUCUUUACUUACUCUCAUUUACUUCUUUACUUACUUACCUACUUAGAUAGCUUAAGAUUACAACUUACUCUUCUCUUGCUGAAAUAUUAGUUCUCACUGAUAACAUAAUAUGCUUUUAACUCUUAUAACUCACCUGAAGUUGCUAAUUAUACUUUUACUUGAACUUUCAUAGAACAUAAUUUGUUUUCUAGCCCGUUGAGUCACAUUGGAAUAAGAAGGAUACUUAGGUCUCUUUUCUGAUAAUAACAUGCCAAAACCAUGUCCCAGACAUGGUCUUACAUGGGAUGUUUCCUGAACUGCCAAUGCCAUAUCCCAGAUAUGGUCUUACAUGGGAGUUCUCAUAUCGGUGCCCAAGCCAUGUCUCAAACAUGGUCUUACAGGGGACCUCUCUCAUCUCGGUGCCAAUGCCAUAUCCCAGACAUGGUCUUACAUGGGACCUCUCAUCUCGGUGCCAACGCCAUGUCCCAGACAUGGUCUUACAUGGGACCUCUCAUCUCGGUGCCAAUGCCGUGUCCCAGAUAUGGUCUUACAUGGGACCUCUUUACCCAAAUGUCAUGACAUUUGUAUCCAUUACAUUCCCAAAGUUUCAACGGGGCUUUUAUCACUGAUUCUCUGUCAUCUCAUACUUGAGUCAACAUUAGAUAUUUUCAUAAAAUAAAUACAUAAUUGCUUAAAAAUAAUAGCAUUAAUAAUAAUUACCAAAAUAUUGCAUUUAUUUACCGUAAACUUACCUCGGUACAAAAAUGUGAUCAAAUCUAACACUUUAGUCCUCAACUUUUUUUCUUUCCCCGAUCUAGCUCCAAAUUUCGUUCUUCUAGAUAAUCAAGCUUGAAAGUGACCAAAACCCUAGCUAUGGAGUCUUAGAGAUAUUCGGCCAAGCAUGGAGAAGAUGGACACUAUUUUGGCCUUAUUUUCCCUUUUUAAUUCAUUUAAUUUCUAAAUGACUAAAAUACCCUUACUUAAAAAAUCCUAUUUCACUUAUCUCAUGUCCAUUUUUUGUCCAUCACUAACUAAUGGUCUAAUUACCAUACAAGGACACCUAGUUUAUAAUUCCAUAGCAAUUAAGUACCUUUAACCAAUAAAACUUAAUUUUGUACUUUUUACAAUUUAGUCCUUUUGACUAAAUUGAGUGCCCAAACGUCAAAAUUUUUGAACAAAAUUUUCAUGAAAUCUUUCCGUGAAAUUGUAGGCCAUAAAAAUAUAGUAAAAAUAAAUUUUUCCUCAUCGAAUUUGUGGUCCCAAAACCACUGUUCCGACUAAGCUCUAAAUCGAGAUGUUACAGAACAUAUUCAAAGUACAACUACAACAUUGAAUAUUUAUGAAAGUACAUUUACUAAAUGUGAAAUUAUCUUGAUUAAAAUUAACUGUAUGGUUCAAAAGUUAAUUUCAAUUUGAAAUUAAAAAAUUAUCAAAACUUUUUAAAAAAUUUAUCUAAAUUGUAAUGAGGCCUUGGUGUGGUUGGUCAAGGUGGAGGUUUUUGGUAUUUGAGAAACCAAAUCCAAGUCUUAUUAUGUGUAAUUACGAUGUGUGGAUAUUUAGUCACAUUAUAUAUACAUAUAAUUAGAAUUAAGGUGUAGUUAUCUUUAACAUUAGAGACUUAACUGAAUAAAUUGAAAGUUGUUAAGAAACUAUGCUAUAGAUUAGAAGUUUAAGGUUCCUAAUGAAUGAAUAUGAAAUUAGAUUAUGAUUCUAUAUUACCAAAAAAUAUGAACAUUUCAGAUAUAAGGGCUAAAAUGAAUAAAAUGCAAAAUAUGUUGUGUUUGGAUGGAAAGUAAUGUCCUUUUUAUUAUUGAAUUGUUGAAUGUAGCUAAGGACAAAAUUUGGUCAUCUCGAGGUAAAGGAAAGAUGAAAGUUGUAGGCGAGUAACUAAUACAGUUUGUACUUUCAUGAUUUGAAUUAAAUAUAUAUAUAUAUAUAUAUCUUGUUUCAGACUAGAUUGUUUGAGGUAAGAAUCCUUAUUGUCUCAUGAUUUGAUUUGUAUAUGAUGAUAUGAAAUAUUAUGAAUUUAAUUGAGAUCAGCAUGGUAUAAAUGAGUAUUAUAUGAAACUAUGAUUUGUGAUAAUGUAAAUAUAUGUGUUUAAACAUUCUUUACCCUAUUAAUGGUCUAGUGUCAUGGAUCGUGUAUCAAAGUGAUCUGUCGUAAUUCAUUGUAGCAAAUUAAACUAGUUCUCACACUUAAUGAGCUUGAAUACAAGUAUUUUCAUUACAUUUUAGUUAAGUUUCAUUUUUUUUAUUUCUAUUCAAUAAGAUGUACGAAUUGAGUCUUUUAUUGACCUUAAGGGCUGAAUGAGGCCUAAGGGAGAGCUAAUGUAAUCUUUAAGUGUGCAGGGGACCAUUAGAAGGCAUUUUAGGCCAGUACUAGACGCUAUGUCGCAACACGGGAGGUCCGAUGUUGUAUCGUAGAGACCAGAAUAGGGAAAGUACGAAACUGCCUUCAAUGUCGCGACAUUGACUGGGUGUCAUGACAUACCCCUGAAGAUAUCCCAAAAAGGAGCAUACUGACUCACCUACUUCAUUGUAAAAACUAUAUUCCAACUCGACUCAUAUACUUACGGGUACCGUCUUUCCAUCCUAUAUUAUUGCAGUAUUCACACUCCAGACAUUAGUACGUCCAGAGGUGGUCAAGUUGUUGGCGCCGUUGUGUAAUACCCCGAAAAUUAUACAGUAAAAAAAAGAUAAUAUCCUUGAUCUAGUAAAAUAAGGAAAUAAAGAGAUAAAAGGGGUAAUUUUUAAGUUAUAUCAACAUUGGGAAGUAUAUUAUGACAUAUUAACUCAAGAAAGGAUUAAAUCGUAAAAGUGAGAAAGGUUUUGUUGCCCAAGAGUAAAUACUCAAAGUUUGAGGGGUUAAAGCGUAAAUACAAAAAAGUUGAAGGACCAAUAGUGUAAAUAUUUUAAGGGUGGAAUAAUCUAGAAACUAAGGGAAAUGGAUGAAUUAGGACCAAAUUGAAAAGGUGAAGAAUUUUGAGGGGCUAAAUUGUAAUUUUACCAAAUUAAUUGAUGACUCAAGGAUGAAAUUUUAAAAGAUCUAAAGGGAAAAAUGGUCACUUAGAAGAAAGAGAAAUCUAGAAAAUAAUGAUGAUGUUGGAGAUAUUUUAGAUUAAAUAAAUAAAUAUUAGUUUAUUAAUAUUUUAAUUUGANNNNNNNNNNNNNNNNNNNNNNNNNNNNNNNNNNNNNNNNNNNNNNNNNNNNNNNNNNNNNNNNNNNNNNNNNNNNNNNNNNNNNNNNNNNNNNNNNNNNCAACGUAUGAAGAGAAAAGAAGGAAAGAAACGUUCUUUUCUUUACAAUUUGGUCCUUUCACCAAAUACUCACCAUUUUCACCUAGAAAUCAAAAGAAUUUCCAUAUCCAUCAAGAGAUAAAGAUAACAAGGAGACUAUAGGGAGCUAGAAUAUCAAGUUAGAUUCAAGAAAGAGAAGCUAGAGGAGAGAGAAAAUCAAGUUAAAUGUUGAAACUAAUAGGUUAAGGUAAGAACAUCAAGAUUUCAAUAUAUUUUUAAGUUUGAUAUUAUUGAAAAAGCAUGUAAAUGAUGUUAUAGUAGAUUUUUCUUAUAUAAGGUCUUAUUUUUUUGAUAUAUUAGAAAGUGAUGGGAAAUAUUAUAGAGAAAGGGAGUUAUAAACUUAGUAAUCAACAUCUUGCACUAAAACAGUUAGGAACAGCAGCAGUAGGCUAACUUUGAAAAAUCAUCAUAAAUUGUGGAAAUCUAAUUAGAGGAUGAAAAAAAUUAAAUUAAAUCUUACCGAGUCUAGUUUCUCAUAGAGGAAACGGUGUAAGUAAUGGAGUUGUAAAUCAUGAGAUAUAAUAAAUUUUGUGAGACAAGAUCAGAAUGAUUUUGGGUUCCUCUAUUCUGAUUUUGGAAAAUCAUCAAAAAGUGAAAAAAAAUAAUUAGGAGUUUAAAUUUAUAGGUUUAAAAUUCUGAAUGAGUCUACUUUCAAGAGAAAUAAACAGAAACAUCAUCCGAAUCCCAUAAGAGGAGAUAAUUAAUUUUUAGUGAAGAAGGGCGAAACUGUCAGAUAGCAGAACAGGGGUGACUUUAAAGAAUAAACUAUACUUAAUGGAUAAACCAAAAAUUCUGAAAAUGUUAUAGUAAAAAUAUAUGUGAGUAUAGUUUCUUAAAAAAUUAACGAAUCUCAAUUCAGAGUUUCGUAGCUCAAGAUAUAAAUAAUUUUAUGACAAUGACUCAAGUGGACAGCUUUGAAUUAACAAAUAAAUAAUAGUGAAAUUAUAGAUAAUAUUACAUAUAGGCAUGUUAUAUACAUUAAGGAUGUGGAAUGGAGAGGAAGGGGAGGAAAAUAUAUGAUUAUUCAACUAGCAUGAGUUUUUAUUAAAAUGGCUAAUUUGCAUGUUUUAGGUUUAGGGACUAAAUUGAAUAAAAGUAAUAUUUUAGGGGUAAAUUUGUAAAAAUGUCAAAAAGUAACCAAAUUGCAUGAAAUAAAUUUUUUUAUUAUUUAAAUUAAUAAAUUGAAUGAAAUAUUAAUUUAUAUCAAGAUUGGAUGAAAUUUAAGGAAAAUAAAAAAUUACCAAAAUAUCCCUAAAUUUUGUUAUUUCUGUAAUUUAGCCUGGUAAGUUUGUGUAACUUGAAUUAUAUCCUGAGAUGCUUGAAAUAUAUUUUUAUUGGUGUGAAAAUGAUUUGGAUGUUUAUUGUAUGAUAAUUGAUGAAGUAUUGAUAUUAUUGAUACAUGAAAAUUAUUGAACUAACUUGAAUGUUGAAUUUGUGCAUGUUAGGAAAUUAUGGAAAUUAUUCAAUGUUAGCUCAUUAAUGUUUUGAUUUUGAUUGGUUAUAAAUAUGAAUGCUUGAUAAAAUGAAAUGUCUGUAAAUUAAUUUGUAAACUCUGGUAAUGCUCUAUAACCCUAAUCUAGAGAUGGAUAUGGGUUAGGGGUGUUACAUUUAUUGGUAUCAGAGCUAUGGUUUAGUCAAUUCUCGGACCGAAUGUAGCAUAUGUGAAGUUUGGAAAUACAUGACAUUAUAUAACCUGUGAUAGCGUGAUAUCUCCCGACCCUAAUGAGAUUUGUUUUACUUAUAGAUAGAGAUGCUUUUCAACUUAGCUAAUUCCUAUAAUAUUGAAAGCAAUACUCAAGUAUAUGAGUAGAAAGUUGAUUAUGAUAAAUUGGAACUCAUAAAGGUAUGAAUAAAUGUUUUAUAAUACAUGUCGAUGAUGUAUAUUAUGUUAUAUGUACUAUUAAAAGUAUAUUAUAGUGCUACACGAAAUAUUUUGCUGAUAACUAAAUUAUAAAUUAUACAAAAAUAAUAUAUGAAGUAUAUGAUAAGGAUUAUUAGGGAAUUAUGGAUGAAUUGCAAAUUUUGAAAUAUAUUACAUGUGUUAAAGAUAGAGAAGAUAUAAAUGCAUGAAUUAUUGGUACAAGAAUUAAAUUGUAAAGCAUGAAAAAGUAAAAGUGAUAUGCAUGCAUAAAAUAAUUUUCCCAAGUAGAACUAUUAGGAUAUUAAGGGAGUUUAGCGUGCUCUCUGAUUAUUAGCAUGUCAGUGCUCUCUGAUUAUGACAUGCUCUCUAAUUAUUAGCACGUUAGUGCUCUCUGAUUAUUAGUCCAUCAGUUCUCUCUGAUUACUAACACGCUCUCUGAUUAUUAGCACAUUAGUGCUCUCUGUUUAGACAAUUUGUGCUUUCUGUUUAAUAGUGCAUAAUAAUGCACCUCUGUAUCAGUCUCGUAUAUCCUAAUUGUUUUGUUUUAUCUACUGGGCCUCCGCUAAAAAGGAAAAUAAUUUUCGUUAUAAGAUAAAAGAUUAUCUCUGAUUCAUGUUUGAAAUAUUGAAUUAAAAAAAGUAUAGGUAGAUUGUAACAAGAGAACGUAUUAUUUGAGAAAUAAGAAGAGAUGAAGUGAUAUUAGUGUUUGAGAAUAAAAAAAAAGUUAUAAGGAAAAGAAAUAGUGAAAAGUUGGAGGAUCUAGAAAAGAUUUUAAGAUUUAAUGGUAAAUGAGUAAAAAAAAAAAAAGAAGUUGUGAAUAGAUAAGCAUGUAUUUGUAAUAAAAUAAAUUAAAGUUGAGAAUGUAAAUGUUAUUUAGUUUUGUAUGGAGGUUUAAAAGAGUAAUCUUUAUAGAUAAGAAUGAAAAGAUACAUUAAGAAUAAAAAGAGUGUUCUUUAGGAAUCUAAAGUUAUGAAAUAAUAAUAAGAUUUAUGAUACGAGCAAGAAGUAAAGAAUUUUGUGGGCUACUAACUAGUUUAAUAUAAAGAUUUGAAAGAUAAAUGGAAUUUUAGAAUCAAAAUUUGAAGGGUAAUUAAUUGAAAAGUUAAAUUGAACGAAAUGAAUUAAUUGAGCCAUUAAAAAGAAACGUGAUUGUGGAAUAUAAUUUGAAAAUGUGAAUUGAAUAUGAAAAUGUGAAUAGAAAGUAUGAACUAAAUGUUCAUGAGACAUAUAAUGGCUCAAUGUGAUAGGAUAUAAUAUUAACUAAUGAAUGAAUUGUUAUUGGAAAUAUAUUAUUGAAUUUAAUACUCAGUUUGGAUUAAACGCGAGAUUGAGUACAAUCAUUCUGUGGCAAAGGAUGAAUUGAUGGAUAAGACCAUAACUGGGUUAUGGCACCUUGAACAUAAGACCAUGGUUGGACCAUGGCAGUAUAGAUACAUGUGUAAGACCAUAGUUGGAAUAUGACACAAAAAGAACGAUGUACUCAUAUCCGUAAAUCGUUCUUCGAUUCAGUAAGAAAUGGUAAGAGCCUUAUGUGAUUGAAAUGAAAUAUUUAUAAAUUAAUAUUGAUAUGGUAUUUGACAAGGAAAUUAUGUAUGUUGAGACGUAAUAAACUCAAGUGUGACAUAUCGAGAAAAUAAGUUUAUCAAAGUUGAAUUUAUAUGAAAUAUGUGCAAGUACACUAACCAGUGAUGUUGCUUGAUGCUUAGGCAAGUGCCAAGCCAUUGGUUGAAUGAUAUGUUUAUGACUUGUGUGUCAUGCAUAUGGAAUAAGCGUGGAAAGUUAAUAAAUGCAAAUGAAAAUAAAGAAAUUCAGAAGAAUAUAAAGUUGUUUAAAAUCCUAUAUAGCUAGGGAUAAAAUGAACAAGUAAUGAUGUGGAUUUAUUUACCUUGUUAGUUGAUGAAUAUAGCCACAUGAGCAUUUGUGGUAUCAACAUUAAAUUAUUCUUGAUAUUUAUAAAUUUCAUAUUUGAAAUGAAUGGACAUGAUUAAAGUUUAUAUGAGCUUACUAAGCAUUUAUUGCUUACGUACUUGUUAAUAGAGGUAAACAAGUGAAAUUAUAAAACGAAUGAAAUUGAUCGAUUGAUUUAUUAAAAAAAAGACGAGAAAUUGAAAUUGAUAAAUAAAAAGAAAAGUGAGAAAAAGUGAAAAAUUCCCGAAUGAACCUUCAGAAUAAAAAGGGAUACAAAUGAAGAGAUAGAAAUGAUCACAUGCGUGGCACGGACUGUGUGUAGGCCACUAUGUAAAAGUGAAAGUGAUGGUCAUGUGUGUAGUACUAUGUACAGGCUACUAAGUGUACCAGAAUGAUGGGUCGCAUGUGUAGUACUAUGUGCAGGCUACUACAUGUACCGGAUGGUAAUGAUCACAUGUGUAGUACUAUGUGUAGGCUACUAUGUGAACCGAACAUCAUUGAUUAGUAAGGUGGUUGCUAUGUGCCGAUUCCACCGGACAUCAUUGAUUAUUAAGGUGGUUGCUAUGUGCUGAAUCCACCGAGUAUCUGUUAUUAUUUCGAAGUGUUCAUCGGGAAAUUGACUAAGUGUAAUUGAAUAAUGAAUAUAGGUGUGGAAUUGAAUUGAAUAUCGACUUAGAAAUGGAAAAGUGAAUUUUGAAGUUGAAGUAUGAAUUAAUAUAUGUAUACCAAUAAAUCAUUAUAUGUUUGAUAUUUAUAGGAAAUUGAGAAUGGUAUAUUAAUUAUGAAUUUCCUUGUAAAUUCAGCAAAAACAAAAUAUAGGAUUAAAUGAAUAACUCCAAAAGUAAUCUACUAAAAGUCUUCUAUUCUUAUGGAAAGUAAAAUGAAGUUUAUGAUCAAAAGGAAACAAGGAAAUUUCGAGGACGAAAUUUAUUUUAAGGGGCAGAGAAAUAUAAUACCCCGAAAAUUACUACAGUAAAAAAAGUAAGAUAAUAUCCCUGAUAUAGUAAAAUAAGGAAAUAAAGUGAUAAAAAGGGUAAUUUUUAAGUUAUAUCAACAUUGGGAAGUAUAUUAUGACAUAUUAACUCAAGAAAGGACUAAAUCGCAAUAGUGAGAAAAGUUUUGUUACCGAAGAGUAAAUACUCAAAAUUUAAGGGGUUAAAGCGUAAAUACAAAAAAGUUGAAGGACCAAUAGUGUAAAUAUUUUAAGGGUGGAAUAAUCUAGAAACUAAGGGAAAUGGAUGAGUUAGGACCAAAUUGAAAAGGUGAAGAAUUUUGAGGGGCUAAAUUGUAAUUUUACCAAAUUAAUUGAUGACUCAAUGAUGAAAUUUUAAAAGAUCUAAAGGGAAAAAUGGUCACUUAGAAGAAAGAGAAAUCUAGAAAGUAAUGAUGAUGUUGGAGAUAUUUUAGAUUAAAUAAAUAAAUAUUAGUUUAUUAAUAUUUUAAUUUGAUUUUUGAAUUGCAUUUUAUUAUUUUAUUAUUAUUUUAUUUACUAUAUAUAUAUAUGGAAGGAAAGAUGAAGAAUCAUCAUCUUCUCCCAUGCAUUCCAACGUAUGAAGAGAAAAGAAAGAAAGAAACGUUCUUUUCUUUACAAUUUGGUCCUUUCACCAAAUACUCACCAUUUUCACCUAGAAAUCAAAAGAAUUUUCAUAUCCAUCAAGAGAUAAAGAUAACAAGGAGACUAUAGGGAGCUAGAAUAUCAAGUUAGAUUCAAGAAAGAGAAGCUGGAGGAGAGAGAAAAUCAAGUUAAAUGUUGAAACUAAUAGGUUAAGGUAAGAACAUCAAGAUUUCAAUAUAUUUUUAAGUUUGAUAUUAUUGAAAAAGCAUGUAAAUGAUGUUAUAGUAGAUUUUUCUUAUAUAAGGUCUUAUUUUUUUGAUAUAUUAGAAAGUGAUGGGAAAUAUUAUAGAGAAAGGGAGUUAUAAACUUAGUAAUCAACAUCUUGCACUAAAACAGUUAUGGACAGCAGCAGUAGACUAACUUUGAAAAAUCACCAUAAAUAGUGGAAAUUGAAUUAGAGGAUUAAAAAAAAUUAAAUUAAAGCUUAUUGAGUCUAGUUUCCCAUAGAGGAAACGGUUUAAGCAAUGGAGUUGUAAAUCAUGAGAUAUAAUAAAAUUUGUGAGACAAGAUCAGAAUGAUUUCGGGUUCUCUAUUUUGACUUUGGAAAAUCAUAACAAAUUGAAGAAAAAUAAUUAGGGGUUUAAAUUUAUAGUUUUAAAAUUAUGAAUGAGUUUAUUUUCAAGAGAAAUAAACGGGAACAUCAUCUAAAUCCCGUACAAUGAGAUAAUUAAUUUUUAGUGAAGAAGGGUCGAAACUGUCAGGCAGCAGAAUAGGGGUGAUUUUAAAGAACAAAAUGUACUUAAUAGCUAAACCAAAAAUUCUGAAAAUUUUAUAGUAAAAAGAUAUUCAGGGAAAAUUAACGGAUCUCAAUUCAGAGUUUCGUAGCUCAAGAUAUAAAUAAUUUUAUGACAACGACUCAAGUGGACAGCUUUGAAUGAACAAAUAAAUAAAUAGUGAAAUUAUAGAUAAUAUUACAUAUAGGCAUGUUAUAUACAUUAAUGAUGUGGAAUGGAGAGGAGGAGGAGGAAAAUAUAUGAUUAUUCAACUAGCAUGAGUUUUCAUUAAAAAUGGCUAAUUUGCAUGUUUUAGGUUCAGGGACUAAAUUGAAUAAAAGUAAUAUUUUAGGGGUAAAUUUGUAAAAAUGUCAAAAAGUAACCAAAUUGCAUGCAAUGAAUUUUUUUAUUAUUUAAAUUAAUAAAUUGAAUGAAAUAUUAAUUUAUAUCAAGAUUGGGUGAAAAUUUGAGGAAAAUAGAAAAUUACCAAAAUGUCCCUAAAUUUUGGUAUUUCUGCAAUUUAGCCUGGUAAGUUCGUGUAACUUGAAUUAUAUCCUUAGAUGCUUGAAAUAUAUUUUUAUUGGUGUGAAUAUGAUUUGGAUGUUUAUUGUAUGAUAAUUUAUGAAGUAUUGAUAUUAUUGAUACAUGGAAAUUAUUGAACUAACUUGAAUGUUGAGUUUGUGCAUGUUAGGGGAAUAAUGCAUUGAAUGACAUGUAUAAGUUAAACUGGUCAACGUUAGCUCAUUAAUGUUUUGAUUUUGAUUGAUUAUAAAUAUGAAUGCUUGAUAAAAUGAAAUGUCUGUAAAUUAAUUUGUAAACUCUGGUAAUGCUCUAUAACCCUAAUCUAGAGAUGGAUACGGGUUAGGGGUGUUACACGUUGUUGGGGAAGCAACGUCACGAGAUUGAUUUUAAUUUUUGCAUUUUAAAAGAAUAAUUAGGAAAUUUUUAGGUUAUAGAUAUGAAUUUCAAUUUGUUUUGUUAAAACUUCAAACAUUUGUUUGAUUUUUUAAGGAACCUUAGCCAUCAUCAAACAAAUAAUCAUUCAGCACAAGCCAUGGAUAACCUUGACUAAAUGUGGUGUGAUGAAAACUUUGAUUAUGAUAAAGAUAUUUAUGAGGAAGGAGUCUAUGAGGAUUGGGAGAUAAAGGAAAACCAACGGUUAUUGAUGCUCGAAUUAAGUCAACUUUGAAGAGAACCUCCUAUCCCUUCCCUAGAUAAUAAUGACCACAAUCGUAUUAGUACAUUCUCAGAAAGGUGCCAAGAGGUGCUAAGUCUGGAGUUGCGCAAAGAGGUGAAUGUUGCUAUAUAUUUUUGUGAAGAAGAAGAAUGCCCAAAUUAUUACCCAUUUCAGCAGACGAAAGAAUAUCCAAACGAUUUAAAUGCAACUAUAAAAGGGGAAGAUAUAGAGCAAGUGGGGAAACUGGCCAGUAAAAUGAAGAAUCAGAUAGCAUGGAACUCAUUGUCCCAGAAACCAUGGAUUCUACCAAUAGGGCCGAAAUACAAUAGCAAUAUAACACAGACCAGUCAAUGUAAUUAUGGCCAAUCUAGUGUGAGAGUGUCUGUCUAUUCAAGAAUCUCUAGAGCAAAAUACAAAGAUAUCAAUAGACCUAGCUGAUGAAUCUGAAUCUACUACCCUUUGCGUAACAUUAGUCAUAAACUAGGCACCUUAGCGAUUUGAUGGCAUAGAAAUUUUUUGAAUGCUGAACAAGAUUGGAAAAAUAUAUAUAGACAGAAUCUAUGAUCAUAUAGCCAGACUCGGUCAAGCUGGACAACUAAUAAGUAUAAAUCUUGAGAUGCAAGCAUCGCGGAACGUGUUGACAUUACAAGAGCUAUGUAAGAAAGCCAAUUGUAAUCAAAUGGAGGAAUCUAAGAAACCAAAAAUGGACAAACUUAAAAAUCUAUAGAGCUAGAAUUUAGGAGAUUUAGAACAAAAUCCUUUGUUGAAUCUUUUGGAAAAAAUUGGGCCAACCACUGCUUCUAGUACACAUGAAAAACUAUUCUGGAACGAUAAGAUUAACAGAGAAAUAAUAAGCAGCAAGUUUGAACAAUACCGUUCAAUAUUCUCACGAAGCAAGAACGCUAAGUGCAGGCUAAAGUGGUUGUAUAAUUACGUGACUUUGCAAAUCAUUAAUAGUUAUGACCUGUGGAAAGAGUUGUCGGUCGUUAGAGCAGGCCGAAAAGGUAAAUUUAGAGAAAGAGACAACUGCAAAUGAAUAGAAUGGCAUGACGAGUGUUAGACUAAUACAAAUAGAAGUAAAUUACAAGGAGCCCAACAGUACAUAUUGAUUGAGCUGGCGGAUGAGUCCAGUAGCAAGAGCUAACAUUUUCCUAUAAUGUGAUUAUUACUAACUAUACUAACAGUAUAUUCUGCUAACAUAGUUGUUAAUGUAGGUUAAAGAUAGGUUUAACAAAUUCUUGAAGCACUUUGAAGAUUGAAAAUCUAGGGCAACAGGGUCAAUGUUGCGACACGAGUACUUCGUGCCGUGACACCAUGGUCAAUAGCAAAGAGUUGCAAAAAUCACAUCGAAGUUGCGAUAUCACUAGCCUACAUCACGACAUAGCGAACAAUCUUCGAGAUUUUUGAAACUGUAGGAUGUGUCGCAACAUCAAACCCCAAUGUUGCAACAUAAGUAGACUGCUAGGGAUGUCGCAACACGGAGCCCUUCUGUCGCAACAUCGCCUCCAAAUUUUUGCAGGGUCAACCCAACCUAGUUGUGCAACAUGGUGGAACAACCUUUAUUAUACUCGAUUUUUAACCCUAAAAACACUUUUUAAACAUAAGAAAACCUCAUUAAUAUAAUUUAGCCGUAUGCUAACUCUCAACCCUUCUAAAACCCCUCCAAAACCUCUCAACUCUAAAGCCCCUCCUCUACCCACAACCCUAAAGCCCUAAAUCCUUCAUCCUCAAUUCAAGAAGCUACAUUGAAAGGAGUUCUCAUCGAAGAGGAAGUGCAAACAAGUUUAAAAGUUAAGGUUUAAGUAUUCUAAAAAAUGUUCUACUGUUUUAUUGAUUACUACUCAUAUUCUUAGGAACAUUGUAUAUAAUAUGCGUCCCAAAAAAACAAGAGGGCUCAUGUUUUGAAAACCCCACAUGUUUUCGACCCCUUAGAAUUUUAUAAUACCAAUAUGGUGAAAUAUUUUCUCAAAUCAUAAGGAAGACCACUAAUCCAGGAACGAAGGUUCAAACCCUCAAUGAUCCACUGUAAAGAAAUAUUGACUUUGGUCUAUUAUCAUCAAUGGGAGCAGUUUUGUGUUACUCCCAUGAAUAAUGCAAACAUACUUGUGGUUCGGGAAUUUUAUGUGUCCCUUAAGGACCAAAUGAUUAAGAGGGGUUUUAAUGCAGUAAUAACUGAUGUUAAAGUACGAGGGGAAGAUGUCCCAAUCUCCACUAACGAUAUCUGUGAAUUUUAUAACAUCCUAUUUUAUGAGAAAGAUUUUAUUAAUAAUAAGAAUUUAGAAAAAUUUCAAAACAUAGACAUGGAAAAUGUUAUAAAAUUUUUAACACAAGGAAAGGGUAGUUGGAACUAUAGGCCAGACACUAAGCUUCCCACGAAUUUUAAUCAAGCUAUUAUUUUCUUAUUGCUAAAAUGUGGAUGCAAUUGAUUGGCACUAGAAUUGUAGCCGCAUUGAAUGUUUCUAAUGUUAAUGUAUUUUGAGUAGUUUCGUUAUAUGGUAUUCUACAGCAUAAACAAGGCUUAAAUUAAUUAAAAAGGACUAAAUCCUAAAAGAUGUAAAAUUUGAUCAUUAUUUGAUUUGAGUGAUUAAAUGGUUAAUUGAAUAAAUGAAAAGGGACUUAAAUGGUAAUUAGACCAUUCAAGGAGUUAGUGGGCAAUUAUGGUCAUGGAUUUAGUGUUUUAUUUAAUUAUUAACCAAGGUUGAAAUGGUAAUUUGGUAUAUUAAAUUAAAAUAUAAUAAAAAAGGCUAAAUUAUUAUCAUCUUUUUGUUUUCAUCUUCAACAACCCAAAUUUCCAUGGAAACCUUAAGCUAGGUUCGGACAUGAUGCUUUUCUCAUGCAUGGUAAGCAAUUCUUUCCCAUUUUUAAUAAUGUUUAUGUUUCUGAGAUAGUUGCAACUAGGUCCAGCUAGCUCGUACCUUCGAUUUUGAAACUAUUAAAAAUUUUGAAUGUUGUCAUUGAUUAUCCUUGUGAUUUUAGAUGUUAAAUGAUGAAUUUGAGAUAUUAGUUGUUAUUUAAAAGUAUUUUAUUAAGUGAUUUUUGAUAAAUUUAUCUAUUAGGGACUAAAUUGUUAAAAUAAUAAAAAUACAAGUAUUUAAUGUGAAAUUAUUGCAUGAAUGGGCUUUCUUAGAUACCAUGAGUAUUUUUCUAGGCUCAAUUUUGGGUAAAAAUGAUUAAUUUGCAUGUUUUGAGCUCAGGGACAAAAUUGAAUAAAAGUAAAACUUUAAGCGUAAUUUUGUAAAAAUUUCAAUAUGACUAAAUUGCAUAAAAUAAAUUAUUUUACUAUCUAAAUUAAUAUAUUGAAUGAAAUUAUUAACUUAGAUCAAGAUCCGGUGGAAAAUCGAGGAGAAUGAAAAAUUACCAAAAUGCCUUAGUACUUUGACAUUUCUGCAAUUUAACCAAGUAAGUUCGUACGGUAUUGAGUAGAUCAUCAUUGAAAAACUUAUAUAUUUAUUUUUAAUAGUGGGUAUUGAAUAAUAAAUUGAGAUAUAUUAUUGAUUUUGAUACUCGGUUUGGAUUGAACGCGGGAUUAGAGUACAUUCAUGCUUUGGUGUAUUACGGGGGUUUGGAGUGGAGAUGGUAUUGGAGGGAGAUAUUAGUAUAUUACCCAAGUAAACUAAGGUUCAACAUUUGUUGCGAACUUUUGUUUUAUACUUUCUGUUUGGCGUGAUUCAAGUGGAUUAGCUCUUUUGAGUUUCUUUUAAGCUCUUAUGAGCUUUUGUUCAGCUCUUAUGAGCUUCUGUUGACGAUGUACUUUUAUCGGUAAGUGGUUCUUCGAAUGGAAAAUCUCGGUAAGUUAAAUUAUUUAAUGAAUUUAAAAUAUUUUUUAUUUAUUGUAUAUUCAUCUGAGCAUAAAUAAAUUCAUCAGUUGAGAUUGUGGUUGAUGUUUAAGUUUGUGCUAAGCUUAUGGUUGCAUUACGUCAUGUUUAAUAUUAAUGAUAUACAUUGAAAUGGUAAGUGGUCAAAUGGAAAUAUGUUUAUGUUCAUGAAAAGGUGGUAAGAUUCAAAGGGAUAUUUUCUUAUAAAAUGGUUUAUCAUGUGAUUGACCCCCAAAUGAGUUAUAUACAUAAAAGCACUAACUUGUGUAUUAAUGAUGGUGAUUAGGCUUAUAUCAAGCUUGAGAUUAUGGUUGAUGUUUAUGCUUAUGUCUGGUAUUAUACAAAUGAAACGGAUAAGAAAAUAGAUGAAAUGGUAAGUACUUAAAUGGGAUGUAUUAUAAUGUUAUAAAAGGUUUAAUAUGAUAAAUGAUGUAAUUAUAUGUGAGAAAAUUACUUAUGCUAUGUAUGAAUCUACCUAUGUCAUGAUAAAUACACUAAAUUUGGAAUUAAUAAUGUUGUUUAGACUUAUGAUAAGCAUUGCGGAUGGAAUUGAAAGUAAGUAAAUAGAAAGGUAUAUAAUCUUAUAAAAAGGUUGGUGAUUAUAUAUUAUGUCUCAUGAAAUCCUAUCAUGUUAUGAAUGGUCAGUAAAUAUGCGACAUUAAUGAACUUAUUCAUUUGAGAGUUGAUAACUAUGGUUUGAUAAAUCCUAAGACAUUGGUAUAGGUUUAUAUUUAACCUAUAAAUUUCAUUAUUGAAAUGGAAUUUUUAUGCUUAAAGUUUAUACGAGCUUACUAAGCAUUCAUUGCUUACGUAGUUAUUUUCCUUUACUUUACAGAUUACUGGAAGCUUGACCGUGUUGGAAGCUAGUUAGAGGUCCAUCACACUAUCCAUCGGUUAUAUCAGUAGAUUUUGAUGAGUUUGAGUCAUGGUUAUAAUGGCAUGUAUAGGUGUCUUUUUUUGAUGAAAUUAGUCACAAUGCUUGGCUUGUAUAUAUGCUAGUCACAAGUCAGGCUAUUACACGGCCCAGCACACAGCCUAGCACACGGGCGUGUGGCUUGGCUGUGUAACCCAAGUCAGAAAAUUAAACGGACAUGGGCACGAGCUGGGACAUGACCAUAUGUCCCUACUUUGAAUGUCCACAUGGCCUAAGACAUGGGCAUAUGUCACUACCGUGUGACCCCUAUUGUUUGAAAAUUUUCAUCCUUUCCCAGAAAAUUCUAUAUGUUCUCGAUUUAGUCUCGAUUUGUUUCUAAUGUGUUUUCAGAGCCUUGAGGGCUCAUAUACGGGACACUAUGUAUGUUAUCAAAGGAUUUUGCUAUGAUUGAUGUUGUGAAAUAUAUGAUUUAAAUUUUUUGAUUGUUUUGGAAUGAAAUCUCAGGUAAUGUUCUGUAACACUAUUUUGGCAAUGGAUACAGUUACGGGUGUUAACAUAUGAGAAGUAUCAUCGGAGAUACAUUAUAUACCUAGUAUGUUGAGCUUCAAAGGAAGCAAAUAACGAAAUGGAAUCAAAGAAGGAAGAAGAAAAUGGAUGUACCAACAUCACUCAAACAGAAAGAUCAAUCGAAGGGAGCACGCGAAGACAUAGACACAAAACUUGCUAGAAUGAUUUGAUGGAUGUAGGAAAUACGACCAAUACUUCAAGAAUUUGUAAGGAUGAAUGGGUUACAUGCUCUGAAUUAUCCCCCAUAUAUGUUCAGGUUGACUCUGACUUAUCAGAAUGGGGGGCUAUUCUAGAGGAGGAAGGUGUUGCUUAGGAGUACCUUGGAAUAGAGGAUGAAUAUGAAGCGGCAUUCUAGCCAUGAUUUUCUACACCAAAAGGGCCUAUCAUACGAAGCCCAACUCGUCCUGCGCCUUCAAUAGGUGAGAUCUUUCACCAAACAUAUGUCAAAUGAAAAGGCAAAGCUCUGAUGGAAAUGAGGUGACCACCACAGUGGGAUGAGGAGGAGGAGGAUUGAGCAUUUUUUAUUUUUUCUUUCGUUUAGGAACUUGUAUUAAUUUUUGGAUGAUUUUAAUUUCGUAGGAUUAGGAGUAAUAAUAGAUAUUAAUUGAAUUGCCUUUUGUUUAAGUUUUCUAUGUAGGAAAUCAACAAGAAAGAGACAAAUAAUUGGAACUUUCUUCGAGCAAAGGAGGAUGUACCUACCAAUAGGAGUUGAAGCAACCACGAUCGAUCGGAUAACUUCUUUCCUUAUCUUUUAAGAGCUACGUAUUGGGGAAAAUGUGUCGACUAAAGUGUGGGGGGUAACAUAGGAAAUUAGGAAUUUUUUAUUUUAUUUUUCUUGUCCUUUGUGUGCUUGAUCUUAUAGAAAUAAAAGUGAUUGGUUAAGAGAAUGUACAUAGGCUGCUUGUGUUUAUAAACAAAUUUGGCAUGAUGAUAGGUGAUUUUAAAAUUUUUAUUAUUAGACUACUAAGUUCUAUAUGUUACACUAUAAAUAGGUAUUAAGCAAUCAACUAUACCAAAUGAUAUAGAAAAUACAAGGAAAUGAGCUUGUUAGUAUGAAUGAUAAAUGGUUAAACUUGAGUUUGUUUGGUUAAUUAAAUUUGUGUAUGUUAAGAUAUUUAGGGAUGACUUAAGGCAUUGUUUGGAACACAUCCAGAGCAAAAAAAAAAGACCUAUUAAUAUUCACCUUUAGUACUGAUUUUUGAGCCUAUUGACAGUUAUUGAUGGACCCUAUUACAAACCUUAAGCCUAAAAAUGUUAAAUUUGUAUUUGCGCUUUUUCUUUGGUCCUACACUACACGACUACAGACGUCUAGCUAUACGUAUUAAGGUUUAAGUAGAUAUAUCACGACAGGUUUUGUAAAACUAGAGUAAAAUAGAAAAGAUUAGAGUUGACCCCGUUACACCAUUUUUUUAUGAAAACGGGGUCAACUAUUAGUACGAUAUGUGAACUAUAGGUUAGCCUGCAAGUCCAAAACAAAGAUCCAAAAAGUAAAAGUAUUACGAGUAGAAAAAGUUCUUGAAAAGUAAAAAGCAUUCAUAAGUGAGAUAAGAUGAAAGAUAAGAUGAAAAAGAAAGUGAAAAGUCACAAGAUUAAGAAAAACUCGUUCAUUAGUACACAAAAACUCGUAGGCUAGCUGUAGUUACUAUUCCUGUUAUGAUUUCCUAUACAUGGAGAGACAAGAAAGGUGAAAGAAGGAGAAAUAAGGUGGUAAGUAGGUAAAGGUCACUAAGGGGGAAGAAUAGGGACCAAUAUGAUGUGUCAAACUAUUUUUGUGUUUAUAACCCUCUUAAUGCUUACUAUUUUUGAAUUUCAUACCUAUCCUAAGCCUUAAAAUGUUACAAGCUGAAAAGUCCUAUGUUACCUAAAUAUCCUUAUACAUGAAUGGACAUCAUACGAGCAUAUGCAUAAACGACUAUUUGUAUUCUGCUCGAAUAAUCAAAGUACUUGUAUAGUUUAUUGAUGGAUACCUACAGAUGAAACCCUUAAUACUUGUAUACUUUGUAACAUAAUAAACUUAGACAUUUGUGGUCAAAAGUGGUAAGUCGACUACUCAUCAUGUUGAAAUUGUUAAUAAGCAUAAAAUGCCUAAGUCAUAUGCUCUAAAGUCAAUACUUGUACCAUACUUGCUCAAGGGUUGUCAUUUUUAUUGUCUUUCUUUAUGUUGCUUGAGGACAAGCAAUGACUUAAGUGUGGGGGACUUUGAUCUACUGUAAUUCGGUGUAGCAAAUUAAACUAGUUCUUGCACUUAAGGAGCUUGAAUACAAGCAUUUUCAUUUAAUUUUAGUUAAGUUUCUUUAGUUUUACUUAUAUUUAAUAAAAUGCGUGAAUUAAGUCUUUUUUUGACCUUGAAGGCCAAAUGAGGCCCAAGAUAGAGCUAACGUACUCUAUGAGUGUGUAAGAGACCAUUAGAAAGCAUUUUAGGCUGGUAUUGGAUGCUAUGUCGUAACAUGAGAGGUCCAAUGUUGCAACAUAGAGAGUAGAAUAGGGAAAGUAUGAAAAUGCCUUCAAUGUCGUGACAUUGACUGAGGGUAUCACGACAUACCAUUGAAAACAUCCUAAGGAGUAGCAUACUGACUUCUAUGUCACGUACAGGUCUUGUUGUGUUGCGACAUUGACUCUAGGAUGGAAAAUAAAUAUGAAGCAGAGGCGUUUUGGUCUAUACAAUCAAACUUAAAGCUCGAUAACGUCAACUAACCUAUGGUUAAGGACAAGGACCACCUGAAGGCUAUAGAUAGGCUCCUUUGGCACAAGUUAUAGAUAUCAUUCCUUUAGCCUAAAUUCCCUUUGUAAAAAUUUAGUUUAAUUUUCUUUCAUUCUUAGGUUUUAGAUUUCUUUCAAUUGUUUUUGUUGAUUGCAAGAGAUUUGAAUUGUGGAAGCAUUCAAACUUUGGGAUUCACAAUUACUAUCAAUACAAUCAGGCUCUUUCAUUUACUAUAUCUUGUCGAUUUAAUUAGCAUGCUCUCUCUUUAUAUCAAUUUCAUAUUGUCUAUGAAAGCCAUGAAGAACUAAUCCCUCUAUGGCGGAUUAGUGAGUGGAAGUAUGAUCUGUUAACUAUUUUAUAAGCUUACUCAACGGAUCAACUACUUGGGAAAGAAAGAACAUGAAACAAACCCUAGGCCUGACAACCCCAUGAAGUCAUCAAGGUGGAAUUAACCCAAAAUUGGUAUUGUCCAUUCAUGAAAAUCUUUACCCCCAAGCCAGUCUAGAAUGUGAGGUAAUAAAAUAAGUAGUUCUUGGUGACUCUUUAUAUUAGUGGAAGAUCGGAAGAUCCUAUUAGGGUAGCAACUAGUUGAUUGACGAGGAACCCGAAACGAUAGCUAAUGAGGAUUACUGAAGCGAGCUAAUCACCCAUAAUUAAGAAUUGAUUUACUUUACUCUUCUAUAUCCUGAAUUUUAGUACUUUUAUGUUAUUUUAUUAUUAAAAAACCUUUAAAAAUAUAUUUUUUAUGUUUUCGUACUAUAAUUUAUUUAAAGUACUAAUUAGAUUUUUUAGUGUUUGUGUUAAAAUUAAUCUAACACUCGUCUCCCUUAGGUACGAUCCUCAAAGUACUCACCUAUUUCAUUGUAAAAACUAUAUUACAACUUAACCCAAAUACUUGCAAAUAUCGUAUCGUAAUUCUAUAUUAUUGUAGUAUUCACACUUUAAAUGUCUAAUGGAGGUCAAAUAAUUAAAUUGGACUCUUUUGACCUACUUAAACUGACCUGAUUCACGGAACACAUGGAGAAUUCCAUCUACUUGAAGCCUUAAUGUCCUAGUGAAACUAGUAAAACUAGAGUUGCCAAGGUAAUUAAUGUAAAUCCUAAGGGAUAAAUAUGUAUAAAGUUUAAAACCCUUAGGAAUCUCAUAUUAUAGAUAGGCAUUAAUGUCAAUUGUUGAUGUUAUUCAAUCUGUAAUGUUGGACCUAGGGGAGUUCAGCUACAAAUAGAGGCCUUCCCCCUUAUUUGUAAUGAUCCCUGUGUAUUUUAUUAUUGACAUAAAAAAUAUAUUGAGAGCAUUUACUCAAACACUUGGUGUGCAUUGCUUUAUUGUGGCUUUUUCAAUUUUUUGGUUGCUCUUUCACUUUUGAGUUUGCUUCCAUUUUAUUUUUGAUACCUUAGCGAAUCUGGAAGAAUUCUCACUUUUCAAGUGUAAUACUAACUUAGGUAGAUUUAAAGCAAAGAAAUUGCCUAAGGCCACACAGUUUUCUAGACUUAAGUUGUAGCCACAUGACACUAGAGCAUAGUAAAGUAUUGUUGGCAUGUCAUAGGAUUAGUAUAUGAGUGUAACAACCCAAUUUUCAGUGGUGUUAAAAAAUGCAAUUUUGGAACCCCAUUUCUGUAAGUCAAUUUUGUAAGGAAGAAAUACAAAGAUUAAUAAAGUUAUUAUGAAAAUAUAUUUAAAUCCGGUUAAGUAAUUUAACUGAGAAAAUGGUUAAUUAAAGCUCAAGGACUACAUUGUAAAAUUCUAAUCACUAUUGAGUUUUAAUUAAUAAAAAGCUUGAGGACCUAGAUAUAAUUAACAUGGUUUAAUAGACAAUGAUUAAUUCCAUUAAGUUAAUAUUAUAAUUAAAAUAUAUAGAUUAAUGUUUUAAUUGACUAAUUAAUUAAGGUUAAUUCAAGUAUAUAUACCUUUGAUAGUGGAGAGAAGAUGAGAAUUCAUCAUCUUCUUCACUUUCCACUUGAACAUCUAUUGUUGAAGCUUAAAACAUUCAGCUUUCAAAUAUUCAAGGUAAUCAAACCAUUUUCUUGUAAUUUUUAUAGAUUUUUUAACAUGAGAAUUUGAUUUAGCUGGCCCAUGUAUCACUUUGUUCAAUUGUUAAGUUUUUAGUAAGUACUAUUAUAGAAAAAAUUGACAAAUUAAGCUUGAAUUUGAUAGUUAAUAAGCUUAGAUCAUGAUAAGGACUAAAUUGUAAAGCUAAUUAAGCUUGUUAGAUAACUUUGUAACAUUAGAGACUAAAUUAAAUAAAUGGAAAAUCUAUCAUGAAAUUAUACUAUGAAUAGAAAGUAUAGGUCUCCUAAUGAAAGAAUGUGAAAUCGAAUUUUGAUCUGAUGUGAGAUAUCGAAAAAUAUGCCUAUCCCAACUAUAGGGACUAAAUUGAAUAAAAUAAAAAAUAGGAUUUUCUAUGUGUUUGAAUGUGAAUUGGAUGAAAUCUUUUAUUUAUUUAUUUAUUUAACGUAGCUAAAGAUGACGUUAGGCCAUCGAGAGGGAAGGUAAAUGCUAUAACAUCCUAGUUCUAACGAGUACAAGGUUUAGCUUGUAGCCCUAAAAUAGUUUGAUUGGUGAGGUAGUAUUCACCCAAGUAAAUCUGUUGGCGUAUAGAUUGGGAGUAUUCCAUUAUGUGUGUAAGUUAAUGGUGGUUUGAUAUCAGAUUUUCAUGUUUGUUGGGGUAUGAUGUUAGGCAAGUGAAAAGGUAUUGUAGAAUAAGUUCACACUUGAGGGAUAGUGUGCCUUUUUAUCUGUAGCAUUGUACAAGUUAAGUUGCAAGGUAAGCUAGUUAGAAACCAACUAGAUGUAAAUUAGGGUAAUGAAAAUACGGGGGUACUCACUUAGGCUUCUCGAAAGUUGUAGACCUUUGGAAAAGAUAAUUCAGUAAGGAUAUGACUCAUGUCAAGUUUCGCUAUGAGAACGUAGGUCAUAAAUAUAUAUUAUGAUAUGGACUUGAGAAAAAGGGGAGUUUCUCUUCUUUCUUCCAUUUAAAAAUAUUGUUGUGAUUUCCUUGGAGAUUAGUAUAGUUCUCUCUUGUUAAAGUGAAACUAAGGAUCUGAGUUCAUUCAGAAGGUUGUUUCAUAUCUUGGGUAAGCAUUAUAGUCUUGCAUGUUAACUUCUAAAAGAGUAUGUCUAUUUUAAGUAAUUGGAUACUCAAAUGAAGAAAUAAGGCUUUGCAUGGGGCGCUAUAUGUGCUUGAAAUGAUAAUAUAUAGUAUUUUAUUGAGUUUUAAUGACGUUCUUAUGUUUUAUAAGUAGUGGUAGCUGCAAUUACUUGUUGGAGAUUGAAUAUGGAGUUCAGGUUGUGGUCCGUGGUGGUCAGGUGAGUUCUAUACUGACUCUUACAUUUGUCCUAUUCAUAUUGUAAGUCAUCUAUGGAAAAUUGAUUGAACUAUGAAUCCAAAGUCAUGAAAAGUAUAGUAUGUGAAGAUUGGUGUACGAGUAUUGAAAUAUUGAAGUAUGGCUGAGUAUGUAUAUGUAUGCAAUGUAUGCUAUGAGAUGUGUGUUCUAUUUGGGUGAAUGUUAGUGAAGUAAAUGGUUGAAUUUAGAUUGUGUCAGUGCAUGAAGAGUCUGUCAAUUGAGUCACUGUCUGUUUUCCAUGAAAUAUUCAAAAAGGGGUCCGUCAGGACUUAAACACAAACUCUAAAAUGAAAGUCUGAAGGAAAAGUCGAUGGUCAUGACACCCUCUGAAAGGAACUAAAGGAUGGUGAUUACCCAAUGGGGUUUUCUGCAUGUCCUAGGACAAUGAUUGGCAGAUUUCACGUACUAUGAGUUUAGGCAAAUCCAUGUCAUAAACACGUCAGGAAAUAAUAAACCUUUCUGGUGAACUAUGAAAGAAUAAGCCUUUUUGGUGAAGUAUAAAUCAGUAGCCUUUAUUGCAAACUACGAAAGAAUAAGCCUUUGUGGUGAACUAUGAAAGAUUAGCCUUUGUGGCGGACUUUGUAUAAAGCAAUAUGGUGUAUCCUGCAUGACCCUUAAUCAUGACCAGAAAACUAGAAUAAGCUAGAGUGCUUGAUGAUUUCAAGGCAAAGACCAAGUAAAUUUAACAAACGGUUGAAGAUUAUAGUUUGAAAAGACAAUGAAAUGGAUGAGCUUCAAUGAAAGAACAAAUCUGAAUAAAGGUUACGUCUGAUAUUUCGAAAAAGGGCAUCUAUCUAUAAACAGUAAUAGAAAAGACUAGUAAAAGUUAAGGUUAGGUAUGAAAAGCAAUUUUAAACAAUGAUUUGCAAAGAAUACAAGUAAGGAUCCAUGACCGAAUGUUAAAAGAGAUUUCUUGACAGAAUGAAUGUUAUGAUAUAUGAUGGUAAUUGACUCUGACUAUGAUAUAGAUAUAGUAGAUAGAAGGAGUGAAAAUGUUUUGCAAUUUGUGUGACACUCAUUGUGAUAGAUAGUGGAUGAAAAAAUAAGAGAAGUUGGCGGUGAUGAACUACCUAGCACUUUAUGGAAACGACGACUAAGCUAAAAAAGAUCAUUUCUCACUGAGUUCUUAUGAACUUACAUGAGUUAUACUUUAAGUUUCAGGUUGAAUGUGAGUAUGCACCAAAAAGGACGAUGCCAAGACUAUGCUGAACAAAGUGGUGUUUCGAGUUAUUAUACAUACAGAGCAAGUUUGGUGGCAUGUUCAAAGUCUGAAAUGUUACCUAGGAAACCAUAUUUUAGGGUAACUGUAAUAAAUUAAGAUUUCAAUCUAGAUAUCCUUGUAAUUAAAUUAUCAUGUUUUGCAGUUGUAUCUACCAUUGUAUAUAUAUUUAUGUAAUUUACGUUAAAUAUGUAUGAAGUUAAUGUGUAAAUAAAUUUUUAACUUGUAUAAGUAGAUUAAGCUUUGUUUGUAUUCGUGUGGUAAUACCCAAGAUCCAGAUCCGACAAAUUGAAUCGGGUUGAGGGUGUUACAAAAGCGAGAGUCGUUGAUGAGUAGUUGUCUAACACCUUUAACUUGUAUUUAUCAUCGGAACAGGGUUACAAAGCGCUACAACAAGUUAACAUAAAUAAACAAGUAAAAUCAUGGUUCAUUUCAAUAUAAUUUCUCAAAUACCAUAAAGUAAUUGAAUUACAAUAAUAACUUACAUUUACGAGGCUUAAAUCGAGUUUUAGGGACUAAAGAUUUAAUCUUAAAACCCUCAGGGGCUAAUUUGAAACAAAUCAGAAUAUUUCAGGAAAAUAUAAAAAAAAUUCAAAAAUAAGGGAUACACAGCCGUGUGGUUAGGCCAUACGAAAUGCCUUAGGCCAUGAAACUUUUGAAAUUGGGACAAACGGCCAUGUCCUAGCCUGUGUAACUCACUAAGUUGGGUGUCACGACCGUGUCGCAGGUCGUAUGAGGCACAUGGCCAAGUGGAAAGGGUGUGCCCUAGGUCGUGUACACCUAAAUAAAACUUAAAUGUCAAGUCUCCCAUUUUAAGAUUUCUUGGACAUUAAGUAGCCCAUUUACCAACCAUUAGACCUAUUGAAAAUGACAUUAAACAAACUCAAAUCAUGCUAUUUCAAUCAUCUUAAGUGCGUAACCAAUAUACCUUCAUUGGUACAACAGGUAUACAAUCAUACAAUAUUAUAAAUCAUCACCAAAACAUGCCAAUUCACACAACUUAAUUUCUAACCAAUAUGCCUAUCAUUGACACCCUAAUUCACAACAAUGCAAGAUAAUAUAUUAACCAAACAUAUGCUAUUAAUUUGUACCAAAGGCAUCUUCCUCCAUUCACAUUUAUCACACUAAGUUGUCUACUUGCACUUAGGCUCAUUCUUUAUAUAUAUACAUACCAAAAAAAAAGUAAUAACAAAACAAGUCUAUUACAUGCCAUAUAAUCCAAAACAAACGUUCAAAAGCUACUGGGAUCAGAUGAAAAGUGUGACUUGAGUGUUGACCCGAUCGUACAACCUUCAAAAGUAUCUACAAAACAAAUUAACACAAAUAAGCUUAUUGAAUCUUAGUAAGUUCGUCAUACAGAAAUAGUAAAUCUUACCAAAGUAAAUAUAACAAUUCAAUCAAAAACAAUUCAACAACAAGUGUUUCCUAUCAUCCACAAUACCAAAUCGGUGAAUUGCAUAAUUCAAUUCAAAGCUCAAAUAAUAAUCUCCAGGAAAACAUAUAUGUCCACAAUGGGUUAAUUCAAGAUAUCAAAUACAUGUCAUGCCUUUCAAAAUCAUUAAAUAAGUUAUAAUAAAAUGAUUUACAACCUGAUGGAUGACUUAUAGAUACGAUUACACAAGUAAUCCAACUGAAACACGCCAAUCGCUCAUAAGAGCUAAUCCACCUGAUAAUACGCCAAAUGCUCAUAAGAGCUAAUCCACCCGAUAACAUGUCAAAUGCUCAUAAGAGGUAAUCUACCCUAUAACAGGCCAAAUGCUCAUAUGAGCUAAUCCACCCUAUGGCACGCCAAACACUCAUAAGAGCUAAUCAUCCACCCUCAUAACACACUAGAUCAGGGUAGUAUAACAAGAGGGUUCACAACAAAUGUUAAACCUCGGUAUACAUGGGAAUAUAUAUAUAACACACCACAUCUAUCUCCACUCCAACCCCAUGUGACACGCCGUCAUUCAGUUGUACUCUAUCUCACGUUCAUCCGGCCCAAGUACUAAAAUUCAAUAUCAUUUUUCCCAAACAACAUUAUAACAACAAUUAAAAUCAAUUAUUUCACAUUAUAUCAUUAUAACAACCUGAUUUAAGUGAUAUCAGAACAGUGAUUUCAAGACCACAAUUCCAAUGAGCAAGUCAUUAUUUUAUUAUUAUUUCAAUGUUUACAGGAUUAUAUUAAGGUCGUAUUAAAAUUUCAGUAAGAAAUUUUAAUGUUUGAUUAGUUAAUUAGGUAAAAAAAAGACUAAAUCGUAAAAGGUGUAAAAAUUUAGUUCUAUUAGUUAAAAGGGUCAAAUGGCUAUGAAACCAAAAACUAACGGACUUGAAUGGUAAAUAAACCAUUGAAUGAGUUAGUGGAUAUGCAUAGAUAGGUUUUAAUGAAAUUUUAAUGAAUUUAAAAGGUUAGUUUGGUAAAUGGAUAAUUAAGUUAAAAUGUUAAGUAAAUUAAAGAUAAAAGAUAUCAUUUUCUUGCUUUCUUCAUGCCAAAAUCGAAAAUCACAAUUGAAGGAUAGGGUUAGGUUUGGCCAAGCUCCUUUUGGUGCAUAUAAGUGAUUUUAACCUAAUUUUAAUGAUUUUUAUGUUUUUUAGUCCAUUUUAGUUUAAUCUAGCUAACCUAGGGGUUAAUUUGUAAAACUGUUAAAGGUUGAGGGUUAUGCCAUGGAUCUUUUUGAGUAGGUGUUGAUGUUAAAUGAUAGAUUAUGAAUCUUUUUUUAAAACUAAACAAGUUUUCUUAAGUGAUUUUUAAAGAAUUUUUUUAGUUAGGGAUUAAAUUGUUAAAGGUGUAAAUUCUAGCUUUUUAUUGCGAAAUGAUGGUUGAUAUGAGUUGUUUCAAAGUCCCUUGCACCUAUGGAUUAAAUUGUUAAAUGUGUAAAUUCUAGCAUUUUAUUGUGAAAUGAUGGUUGAUAUGAGUUGUUUCAAAGUCCCUUGCACCUAUGGUUAAUAUGGAUUUAGAUUCAAAUGGUUAGAUUUUAAGUUAUAAGUUUAAGGACUUAAUUGUGAAAAGUUAAAAUGUUAGGCACACUUCGUGUGAGCUUUCCCGAGUAUCCAAGGAAAUUCUAGAUUGUUCAACGGGUAUGAAAAGGAACGAAAUAGUAAGUGUUCAAAUGAAAUGUAUCAAGAACUUAUGAAAAGGAAUUAUGAACUAAAUGAUGAGAUUAUAUGUACAAAUCUACUUGUUUAUGGAUGAAUUCAUUUGAACCAUGUACAAGAGUACUAACUUGUGAUUUUGAGGAUGUUGUAUAGGUUUAUGCCAAUCUUAUAGUUUUGGUUGAUUUUAUACUUAUGCUUUAUAUUAUUCAAAUGAAAUGGUAAGUUAUGUUUUGGUUUCUACGAGCUUACUAAGCAUUCAUUGCUUACAUAGUUGUUAUCCUUUGUUUUAUAGAUUACCGGAUGCUUGUUGGAGUCUAACACACUAUCCAGUAGUUAAUUCAAUAGUUUUUUUAAAAUUUUGGCCAAGGUUUAUAAUGGCAUUUAUAGGGUGUUUGUAAUGGUAUUUUGAUGAAUGAAUUAAUGGUUUGACAUGUAUAAGUUUUGAAAGUUAUGUUGGUUUGGUACCAUUUGAUGCUUUGUCAAAAUAUGUCAUUUUGGUUACCUUAUUAUGCAUGUUUAUAAAGCUCUUUAUGGUAGGUUUGGAAAGGUUUGAUGAUGGACACUUUGUGGUAUGUUUUGGUAAGCAAUUGAACUAGGUUAUGAUGCUUGAAAUAAGGAAUUGUUGAUUAGUUUUGGCAUGUUAUAUUUGGAUGUUAAUUGUGGUGCCUUUGAAUGACAUUGGUUAAUUGAAUUAGGAUCUAGAAAUGGCAUUUUGAUGUGUGUUUGAGCGAUGUUUAGGCCUCUUUAAAGUGUGCUUAAAUGGGUUAAAACGUUAUGCAUGAAAUGGUUUGAAAUGGCUUGAUUUUAGGUAAAUUUUGGGUUCACACAACUUGACGACAUGGCCGUGUGUCAUCUGAGUAAUUCAAAGGGUACAAGCCAGUGAGUUACAUAGCCUAGCACACGGCCUGACCACGGGCGUGUGAGACGGCCGUGUGCCCCUAAUCAGUGAGUGACAUGGGUACAGACACGAGCUGGGACACGCCGUGUUUCUCUAUUUCAAAAGUUACACGGCCUAGGGCCAUAUCACAUGGCCUUGUGACCCCUGUUUUGUAAUUUUUUUCAUAUUUUUCUUAAACUUUCCAAAUUAUUUUAAAUUUUUCCCGAACUGCUUCUAAGAUAUUUUUAGGGCAUCGAAGGCUUGAUUGAGGGACAAUAUGCAUGUGAAUGAAUUGUUUAUGAUUUAUUUAAAUUAUUGAAUGAUAUGAUGUUUAAAUGUUUUUGAUUAUACAAUAAUACUUUAUAACCCUAAUUCAAUGAUAGAUACGUAUUAGGGGGUGUUACAUUUAGUGGUAUCAAAGUUACGGUUUAGUCGAUUUCGGACUGAACGUAACAUGUAUGGAGUCUAGAAAUACAUGCCAUUAUAAAACCUGUGAUAGUGUGACAACUCUGGACUCAAAUUGAACUAUGUUUUCAUAUAGAUAAGAUGUAGUCCAACCGAGCUAAUUUUGAUGAGCUAGAAAGUAAUGCGUAAGCCCUCGUUGAUAAGGCAACUUCUAAUAGUAGUGGGCUUGUAGUUGAGGGCGGGGGAGGUGAGACUAAAGAAGCUUUUUUCCAGAUGAUGUUUGAAGGUUUACAGUGUUAGUGAAAAUGAACCCGUUGGCUCAACAACCUCCUGCCCCAUCCGUACCCCAACCUGUUCCCAUUAUUCCUCAGGGUUUGGAACCAAUACAUACAAGCAAGCCUCCAGUUGAUAAAUUCCAAAAAUAUGGGGAUUAAGAGUUUCAUGGUACAACUGAGGAUGAUCCAAAGAAAGUUAAGUUUUGGUUAGAAAACAUAGUGAGAGUUUUCGAUGAAUUAUCUUGUACAUCGGUUGAAUGCUUAAAAUGUGUUGUAUCAUAACUGAAAGACUCAAGAUAUCAGUGGUGGAAUACAUUGAGUACGGUAGUACCGAAAGACCAUGUGAAUUGGGAAUUCUUUCAAACAUAGUUUAGAAGGAUAUAUGUUAGGCAAUGAUUUCUUGACAAGAAGCACAAAGAAUUUCUAGAUUUGAAACAGGAUCGUAUGACAGUAGCUGAGUAUGAGAGAGAAAUUGUGUGACUCAGAAAAUAUCCUUGAGAAUGCAUACCAUCCAAGGUUGUUAUGUGUACCUGAUUUAAAUACAAUUUAAACGAAGAUAUGAGGUUGAUAGUUGGGAUUCUUGAGUUGGAGGAAUUUGUAGUCUUGGUUGAUAGAGCACAUAAGGCUAAAGAACUCAGUAAAGCAAAAAGAAAAAAAGAUUCUGAGGCUCGUGAUAUGGGAAAAUGACCUACGGUAAAAUCAUUCUCAUCUCCAUCGAAGAAAUUAAAAGAAUUUCACAGUCGUUCAUCAGCUUCAGUAGGUUUCUCAAGAAGAGACAAAGGAAAGCAGCAUUCAACUUUGAGACUUCAGGCCACAUCUGUAGCGAGUGUGGGUAAAGUCAAGAACAACAAACCCGAAUGUCAACAAUGCAAUAGGAGACACUUUGGUGAAUGUAGAUUGAAAGAUGGGUCGUGUUUUGAAUGCGGUUCUUAUGAUCAUUUUCUCAUAGAUUGCCCUGAAAGAUCAGAUAAAGAGAAGGCUCAGAAUACUCGUUCGAGUAAUACGGUUGGGAGAGGGAGACCGCCCAGAAAAAAUGGUAAUGUGGGUAACAAUAAGAGUGGAACGAAAGAUUCUACUGUUGGAUUUGAGGCACGGGCACUAGCUAGGGCUUAUGCGAUUUGUGCUCAAGAAGAAGCUUCAGUGCAUGAUGUGAUCAUUGGUACAUUUUCUAUCUUUGAUACUAAUGUUAAUGCUUUGAUUGACCCGGGGUCAAUGCACUCAUAUGUAUACAGAACUUUAGUGUUGGAUGAGAAAAUACCUUUUAAGUCUACUGAAUUUUUGCUUAAAGUAACGAAUCCUUUAGGUCAGUAUGUAUUAGUUGAUAAAGUCUGUAAAAACUUCCCUUUAAUGAUUCAGGAUUGCCAAUUUCUGACUGAUUUGAUGUUGUUGUCAUUUGAUGAGUUUGAUGUGAUUCUGGGUAUAGACUGGUUAACUUUACAUGAUGCUGUUGUAAACUGUAGACGAAAGCAUAUUGUAUUGAAAUGUCAAAAUGGUGAAAGGAUUCGAAUUGAAUAAGACAUAUUGGAUGGUACAUCUAAUGUUAUCCCAGCUAUGAUGACACAAUAAUAUAUUCGAAAGGGUUAUGAAGCGUAUCUAGCUUACAUAUUUAUAGACUGGUUAACUUUGCAUGAUGCUGUUGUAAACUGUAGACGAAAGCAUAUUGUAUUGAAAUGUCAAAAUGGUGAAAGGAUUCGAAUUGAAUAAGACAUAUUGGAUGGUACAUCUAAUGUUAUCUCAGCUAUGAUGACACAACAAUAUAUUCGAAAGGGUUAUGAAGCGUAUCUAGCUUACAUAUUUGAUUCCAGAGUUCCAAAAUUGAAAUUAAAGUCGGUUCCAAAUAUUUGUGAAUUCACAGAUGUGUUUCUAGAAGAGUUACCAGGUUUACCGCCAAUCAGAGAGGUUGAGUUUGCUAUUGAGUUAGUACCGGGAACAUCUCUGAUAGGGAUAGGUUCAUAUAGAAUGCCAUCUACAGAGUUGGAAGAAUUAAAAGCACAGUUGCAAGAGUUGGUGGAUAGGGGCUUUUUUUGGCCCUGUUUUUCUCCUUGGGGUGGUCCGAUAUUAUUUGUUAAGAAAAAGGAUGGGUCUAUUUGAUUGUGUAUCAACUAUCGAUAGCUCAACAAAGUCACCACCAAGAACAAAUAUCUUUUGUUGCGUAUAGAUGAUUUGCUUGAUUAGUACAGUGUUGUCAAAGAUUGAUCUUCAUUCUGGAUAUUAUUAGCCAUAGGUUAAAGACUUGGAUGUGCCUAAUAUUUCUUUCAGAACUAGGUACGGAUAUUAUGAAUUUCUGGUUAUGCCAUUUGGUUUGACCAAUAUUGUAACACCUCAAACCCGUAUUCGUCCCCGGAACAGAGUUACAGAGCAUUACCAAACAAACGAAAUAGUAAACCAUUUAAUUCAUACAUCAAUGCAAUACAUAUUCUAAAUUCAUUCAAAUACUUUCAUAAUGUCCCUUAAUUGAGCCCUUGAGGCCCCAAGAAUAUAAUAGAAUCAAUCCGUGACUUCAUCGAAAACAUUGAAGUUUAGGAAAAAGUUAAAAAAAUUGGACUACAGGGGUCACAUGGUUGAGACACACGCCCGUGCCUCAGGCCAUGUUGACCCAAAAUGAACCUUAAAACACAAGUUUACGAUUUCAAGUUUGCUUGGACCUUAAGAAACUCAAAUACCAAAUCAAAAAGACUUUAAUCGAGCCAAAAACACACCAAAACGAACCUAUUAAGUGUCUAACCAAUGUACCCUCAUUGGUACCACAAGUAUAUAUAAUUAUACAUCAACAUAAUCAUCAAUUCAACUCAUCAAUUCAUUCAAGAAACACCUCUCCAAAAUACCUAUCAAAGGUAUCUUAAUCACAACAUUUCUUUAAUACAUAUCAUUGACAUUAGCAUAGAAACUAUACCUCAUUCUCAUAUAUUAUAUAACAUUUAAAAAAAAAGAUCAUCCAUAAUUUUUAUAUAAACCAAAACAAUAACAAUAAACGCAAGAGCCUAUCCAUGCCAUAUAAUAUGAAAUAAGCGUUCCAAAAAACUAUCGAAUUGAGCUGGAUAGUGUGACUUGACUGCCGAUCCGAUCAUCCAACCUUCCGAGAAUCUACAAUGAUAUUAAAAAACAUAAGUAAGAUUAAUGGAGCUCAUUAAGUUCGACACAUUAAAUUAUAAAUCUUACUGAUGUAAAUACAACAAUUAAAACAAUAAUAAUCAACCAUGAGAAUUCCAUGUCAUCCACAAUUUCAACCGAUGAAUUCAUCUAUGUUCAUAUCAAUAUUCAAUAAAUAACAAACCUUUUAAAUUCAUUAAACAAAUUACGUUACCAAGAUUUUUCAUUCAAAGAAUGACUUACGAAUAAGGGUACAUCAUCGGAUCAACUGAACACGCCAAACAGAAGCUCACAAGAGCUAAUCCAACCGAAACACGCCAAACAAAAGCUUAUAAGAGGUAAUCCAACCGAAACACACCAGACAGAGAGUAUAACAAGAGAGUUUGCAACAAAUGCUGAACCUCUGUUUACUCGGGUAAUAUACAAAUAUCUCCCUUCAAUACCAUCUCCACUACAAGCCCCCUAAACACGCCAAAUAACGAUUGUACUUUAUCACGCGUUCAAUCCAAACCGAACAUCAAUUUCAAUAUUAUAUCUAAAAUUACCAUUAAUUAUCAACAAUUAAAAAUAAAUAUAUAAUUUGUACCAUGUUAAUCUACUAACAAUUCAUAUUUAUGUUAAAUUCUAACCGUACGAACUUACUAACUGAAUUGCAGAAAUGUCAAAGUAUAGGGGCAUUUUGGUAAUUUUCUAUUCUCCUCGAUUUUCCACUCGAUCUUGAUCUAAAUUAAUAAUUUCAUUCAAUUUAUUAAUUUAGAUAGUAAAAAAAUUAUUUUCUGCAAUUGAUUCAUUUUUUACAUUUUUACAAAAUUACCCCUAAUAUUUUACUUUUAUUCAAUUUAGUCCCUAAGCCUAAAACAUGCAAAUUAACAAUUUUCACCCAAAUUUGACCUCAACUGAAUGUUCAUAACCCCUAAUGCAAUCUAUAUGUAUGAAAAAUUUACAUCAAAUCCUUGUACUAUUAUUAUUUUAACAAUUUAGUCCCUAAUCGAUAAAUUCAUCAAAAAUCACUUAACAAAAUACUUUUAAAUAAGAAUGAAUAUUUCAAAUUCAUCAUUUAACAUAAAAGAUUCACUAUGUUUAUCAAUUACAACAUUCCACAUCUUUAACAAUUUCAAAAUCAAAGGUACGGGAUAGUUGGACCUAGUUGCAACGAUCUCAAAAAUAUAAAAAUUAUUAGAAACGGGUGAAAAAGAGCUUACCUUGCAAGGAUUUAAGUAUAGCCAAACCUUGAAUAAACUUCCAUGGAGGUUCGAUGAAGAACAAAGUAAAAUGAAGAAAAACAUUAUGUUUUCCUAUUUUAAUCUUUACUUUUCUUUAUUUUAAUAAUAAAAAUAACAUAUAAACAUAUAAAACUUAAAGAUUUUGAAGCUUUAAUCGAAAAAAAUUUUAAAAAUGGAUAAUUUAUCCAAUAAGGCCAUCCAAUUAUGUUUCUUUAAUAAGUUAACAUUUUUAAACGAAUAGCGAUCGACUUUUUUAACUUUUAUGAUUUAGUCCUUUUUAAUUAAUUAACUAUCAAAACGUUAAAAUUUUUCAACGAAACUUGAAUACGACAUUUACAGCACUCUAUAAAUAUUUAUAAAAAUAUUUACAGCUCAGUUUAUAGAAACGAGAUCCUGAUACCUCAUUUUCUAAAACCACUUGACCUCAGGGUCUUACCACUUGAGCUUAAUUAAUCACUCAAAUAAUAUUUACGAACUUACUCGUUGAAUUUUUGGCCUCGAAACCAUUGUUUCCAAUACCACUAAAAAAUAGGUUGUUACAAAUGCACCUGUUGUGUUUAUGGAUUUGAUGAAUAGAAUAUUUAGGCCAUAUUUAGACAGAUUUUUAGUUAUGUUCAUUGAUGAUAUAUUGAUUUUUUCUUAAGAUAAAUCAGAGUAUGCCCAAAUUUUAAGAAUUAUUUUACAAACUUUGUGCCGAAGCCAAAAAUCACAAUUGAAGGAUAUGGUUAGGUUCGGUCAAGCUCUUUUUGGUGCAUAUAAGUGAUUUUAACCCCGUUUUUAAUUACUUUUAUGUUUUUAGUCUGUUUUAGCUUAAUCUAGCUCGCUUGGGGGUUAAUUUGUAAAAUUGUUAAAGGUUGAGGGUUAUGUCAUGGAUGCUUUUGUGUAGGUUUAGAUGUUAAAUGAUAUAUUAUGAAUCUUUUUUUGAAAAAUAAACAAGUUUUCUUAAGUGAUUUUUGAUGAAUUUUUUAGUUAGGGAUUAAAUUGUUAAAGGUGUAAAUUAUAGGGUUUUAUUGUGAAAUGAUGGCUAAUAUGAGUUGUUUCAAAGUCCCUUGCACCUAUGGUUAAUAUGGAUUUAGAUUGAAAUGGUUAGAUUUUAAGUUAUAAGACUAAAUUGUAAAUAGUUAAAUUAUUAGGGGCAAAUUGGUAAUUUUGUAUAAAUAUGAAAUGUCGAUUAAAUCGAAUACUAGAAGUAUUUAAUUGAUUAAAAUUACCUAUUUAGAUAAAGGUAAAUCACAAUCAGAUGCAGAUUGAGGAAAAUCAAAAGCUUCAGAUUAGCUCGAUUAAACUAUAACACCUUCAAUUGUCGAGGUAAGAUCGUAUGACCGGUAAUUGUGUUAAUGUUAUUUUAAUUGAAUGUUUAUUAUGCUAUUUUUAAUGUAAAUGGAUUGAAAGAUAAAUGUAUCAAUGCUAUAACGAACUGACAGAUAUCGAGUCUCGGUUGUACCUUAGGAAUUCUUAGGAUACAAAUGAGAUGUCAUUAGAGAUUUCAUGUUUCAGGUGCUGGCCUUAAAUUCGGUAGUUUUUGAACAUUUUGGCCAAGGUUUAUAAUGGCAUGUAUAGGGUGUUUCUAAUGGUAUUUUGAUGAAUGAGUUAAUGGUUUCGCAUGUAUAAGUUUUGAAAGUUAUGUUGGUUUGGUACCAUUUGAUGCUUUUUAAAAAUAUGUCAUUUUGGUUGCCUUAUUAUGCAUGUUUAUAAAGCUCUUUAUGGUAUGUUUGGAAAGUUUUGAUAAUGGACACUUUGUGGUAUGUUUUGGUAAGCAAUUAAACUAGGUUAUGAUGCUUGAAAUAAGGAAUUGUUGAUUAGUUUUGGCAUGUUAUUUUUGGAUGUUAAUUGUGGUGUCUUUGAAUGACAUAUUGGUUAAUUGAAUUAGGAUAUUGAAAUGGCAUUUUGACAUGUGUUUCAGUGAUGGUUAGGUCCCUUUAAAGUGUGCUUAAAUGGGUUCAAAUUUUAUGCAUGAAAUGGUUUGAAAUGGCUUGAUUUUAGGUAAAUUUUAGGUUCACACGACCUCAGACACGGGCAUGUGACUCAGCCGUGAGAGGCACAUGGCUUGGCGACACGACCAUGUGUCAUUUGAGUAUUUCAAAGGGUACAAGUCAGUAAUUAGUUACACGGCCUAGCACAUGGCCUAGAACACGGGCGGGUGACACAGCCGUGUGACCCUACUCAGUGAGUUGCAUGGGUGAGGACACGGUCGUGUGUCCCUAUUUUGGUAAUUACAUGGCCUAGGGCCAUAUCACACGGAUGUGUGGCCCUUGUUUUGCAAUUUGUGCAUCUUUUUCUUAAACGUUCCAAAAGUGUUUUGAAUUAGUUCCAAACUGCUUCUAAGCUAUUUCUAGGGCUUUGAAGGCUCAAUUGAUGGACAAUAUGCAUAUGAAUGAAUGGUUUGUGAUUUAUUUAAAUUAUUGAAUGAUAUGAUGUUUAAAUGUUUACGGUUAUACGGUAAUUCUUCGUAACCCUAACCGGUGACGGAGAUGGGUUAGGGAUGCUACAAUCAUUAUACAAUUCAUAUAAAUAACAAAUUAUAAACCGAAUGAACUUACCUGAACUAAAUUAAUGUAAUAGUUGCAAAAUGUUAAUGACUAUUUAGUAAUUUUUCUAUUUCCACGUAAAUCAAUAGGGUCCUGAUCUAAAAUGUAAAAUUUCCCAAUAUUAACUUACAUUUGAUAUUCCAAUUAAUUUUUCAUUUAUACCCUUUUAUUUUUUGAAAUUACAUAAUUACCCUUAACUUUUACAACGUUUGCAAUUCAGUCCCUUAACCUAAAAAUUAUCAAAUUGACCAUUUUCUAGAAAUUAGAUUACAGCAAAAUAUUCUAGGCCCUUAAACAGUCCUUAUUAUACCUCAAAGUCAACAUCAAACCUUGAAAUUUUGACAUUUUAACAAUUUAAUCCUUAAAUCAGCAACUAAUAAAAAUUAAUUCAUAAAACAUUCAAAUACCACAAUCAAAACUUCAAACAUAUAGUUAUCAUAAAAAAAACCAAUAUUCAUCAAUGGGAACUUCCAAAAUUUUUAACAGAUUCAAAAACGAAGGUACAAGCUAGCUGUACCUAGUUGCAAUAAUCUCAAAAAUAUAAAAAUCACAAGAAAUGGGUAUCAAUUUCACUUACAUUAAGUUUUUAAACUUGGAUGAUUCUCCAAACUAUACUUUCAUGGUGUUUCAACAAAAGAUGAAACCUUUCAAUUUGUUUUCUUAAAUUUUGAUUUAUUUAUAAUUUCGCCAUUAAACAUAUUUUAUUUUAUCAUUUUCAUUCAUAAUGCCGUCCAAAAAUAAUAAAUAGGGGCUAAUUACUACUUAUGUCCUUCCUCAUUUAGUAAUUAAGCUAAUUGAUCACUUAAAUGCAAUAAUUACUAAGUUUUGCACCUUUUUCAAUUUAGUCCUUUUCUUCAAUUAACUAUCUAAACAUUAAAAUUUCUUAACCAAAUUUUAAUACAAAUCUAAUGGCUCCAUAAAUAUUCUGUAAAUAAUAUUCAUGACUCGACACAACCAAAAUUUGUGGUCCUGAAACCAUUAUUCCAUCACUACUAAAAAAAGAGUUGUUACAAGCUGAUCUAUUGGUUUGUACUUUUAUGAGGCAAGAUUUAUAUAUAUAUUCAUAUUGAUUGCAUGAUUUACUAUCAAGGUAAGCUUAUGUUGACUUAUGAAAUUAUUUUCAUUGAAUUAUUGUUCUACCGUAAUUCGACUUAGCAAAUUAAACUAGUUUUAACAUUUUGAGAUCUUGAAAUUAAGCAUUAUUGUUAGGAUUUAAUAGCUUUUCAUUAAGUUAAUAAAAUGUGAAAAAAGUGAAAAAAAAGAGUUUUUUAUUGACUUUAAGGCCGAUUGAGGCCUAAAUGUUAGCCAAUCUACUCAGUGAGUGUGCAGAAGAGCAUUAGAAGGCAAUUUACAUCAAGAUUGAUCAUUGCGUCACGAUACGGGAUAACAGAUGACGCAAAAUAGAGACCAAAACCAAAUAAUCAUGAAGCUGUCUUCUUGGUCGCAACAUGGCUUAAUGAUGUCUCAACCAACCCCUCAGAAUGAACCUAAAGGAGUACACUGCCUACUAUGUCACGACACAAGACCUGAGUGUCGCGACAUCGACUCUUGGACGUGGAAUUACACCGAGUGAUGCCCAUUUUGGUCUUCACAAUGCAUCAUUAAACCCUAGAAUGACAACUGACCUAAGGUUGAGGAUGACAACCAUCAAAAGGCUAUAAAUAAGCCCCUUUAGCACUCAAUUUACAUACGCCAUUUUCUUAGACAAUUCUUCCUUUGAUAGAUUUAGGUUUUAUUUAUUUUGUUUUGUUCUUUUGUUCUUCGAAGACAUCAUUUUUAGAUGUGCAUAGACACUUGGAAAUUAUUUCCAGAUCUUAAUACAAAUCUGGGAAUUUAUUGUUCUUUAUAAUUUUGAUUCGUUCAUUAUGUUUAUUCUUUACAUUAAAAUUAUAUUGUUAAAGAAAACCAUGAGGAACUAAUCUCUUUAUGGGGGAUCAGCAAGUGGAGGUAUGAUGAUUUAAUUAUUGUGUAGGGUUUUUUAAUAGAUUGAUUGUUCAGAAAAGGAAGAACAUGAACCAAACCCUAGGCCUAACAACCCUAGGAAGUCAUCAAGUUGGGAAUUAACCCAAAAUAGGUAUGACCCAUUAGUGAACACCUUACCCCUGAGCCGACUUGGACUAUGAGGUCGAAAGAUAAGUAGUUUAUUUCGGCUUAUUACCUUAGUGAGAGAUUGAAAAAUCCUACUACUGUAAUGACUAGUUGAUUAAGGAGAAACCCGAAGGAACAAGUUGAUGAAGCAUGCUGAAGCAAGCUGAUCUCCCAGAUUCAGAUCUAACAACUAAUCAAACUUUGUUUUUAAAUUACAUUAUUUAUUUAUUUUUAUUUUUUAUUUUAUUUGUUUUCAUUAAAACCCCUAAAACUUUUAUUCAUAUCUUGUACUAUAGCCUCCUUAAAGUAUUAAUUAGAUCUCGUUAGUGCAAGAGUUAAAGUUAUUUAGUGCUACGCCUCCCUAUGGUACAGUCCUCGGAGUACUCACAUACCCUGUUAUAACUAUAUUACAACUUGACUCGUGCAGUUGCAAAAGCCAUAAUUACGUUCUGGAUGUUAGUAUGCCUGGAGAUGGUCAAUUAUAUUGAAUGUUAAGAAAUUGGACUAAAUUGACUAUAGUAUAAAAGAGUGAUAUAAUUGGCAUGUGAAAUUUGAUAUGGAUAUAGUAUGAACCAUGUUAUGUGAAUUUUGACAUACAUGAAUUGAUGAUAAAAGGAAAUGAGAUUAUGAUUAAUGAUUUUUUAUAUAAUGUGAUUAGAUUAUUGGUAUCCUAUUAACUGUCCAGGCAAAGUUGGAUAUAGAUGUCAUUCCAUAGGAUUAGGUUGUGUAUGGGUUACUCCGGUUAUACUACUAAGCACUGGAUGCAUUUUACUUCAGACGUCCCGAUGAGUGCUGGGCAUACUUUUACUUCGGUUAUAUGAAUUAGCAUUGGGUGCAAUUUAUAUGUUUUGGAUGUUCCAAUGCGGCACUGGGUGCCAGAUCGGUAUGUUAGUUGGAUGAUCUAUGUAUUUGCCCCAAGCCCGAGUUAAAUUUAUUGGGAUUAUAAAAUGUGAAUCGAUUAAAUGAUAUUUGAAAUGAUUUGAUAACACGAAAUGGUAUUACAAGUGAAUAUAUGUGAAAUGUGAUUUUUGAUAACAUGUGGAAGACUGUGCGAAUCAGUUAUAAGAGCCUGGAAGGUCGAUAUGAAAUAUGGUGAAUCAAUAGAUUCGAUUUGGAAACAAGAUUUUGAAACAAUCAAAUUGUAUGAAUAGGAAUGGUAACAUAUACACCCUUAAUGGUAGAAAGUUGUCAUAUUAUGUUUACAUUGAAUUGCUAAUAGAGAUAGUCAAUGAAAUUGCCAUUCGAAUCAUGAAUAGAUGAAUUGAAUUAGUUAUAAUUGAAUUAUGCAUUGGUAUUAUUCUUAUUAUGUUAAUGCUUUUGCUUAUAUGGCCUGAAUCAUGAAAGUACCACCAAGCUUUAUUCUAUGCCCAUGUAUAGGUGGGUCUCAUUAUCACCCCCAUUACCUCGCAAAACUUCAACGAACUCAUACUCAAAUACUUUACACCUUAAAUAAGUUAUCCCUCCUAUUUCCUCUGCAUUGUUAAGAAUUUUAUACACCAAUUUCUUCUUUUUUUUGUAACAAUUUAACAAAUUUCUUCAUCAAUAGGCUUACCCGUAUUCUCAAGUAUUUCUGCCAGCUUUUCUUAUAUUUGUAGUCAGGUGGAUUCAUUGACUAUCUCAUUUACCGUGUUCUCAGAUACGUCAUAUUUAGCCGAUCAUGCUGCAUUUUGUGUGAGACAUACAAUGAUUUUCCUUUUCUUGUUCUGUUCACUUCUUAUUUCAACAUUCUGGCAGACUUUAUUUGACACCGUAGCCUAGCUAUGGUCUUACACAAUAUAAACUCAUGCUUACUUUUCUGGCUGACUCUAUAUGUUUUCAAAGCCUAGCUAUAUGGCAGACUCUACAUAUAAUAUAAUUAUGUAUUACACACACAAGUAAGGCACUUAUUUCAGUAUACACAGUAUUCCAAUCAUUUGAUCACAAUAUAUCAUUGAGCAAUCAUCUUAUACGAUGUUUUGCAUCCACAGCAUACUCACUCACCAUUUCCACUAAUAAUAACAGAUUCAAAUAACUCGGAAUAGUCAUAACACAUUUUCAUCAACCACCCAAAGAUAGAAUACAAAAACUCACAUGAAUUCCCUUAUCCUUGUCAGCUUAACUUGUCCAAACACUAGAGCCUCAUUCGUCCUAGUAGCUAACCAAGAUAACCAUUUAUCAGUUAAAUUGAAGGUAUUCAAACCUUAAAAGCCCAUAAUCCUUACUUAUAUAAAAACUUUUCAAGAAUUCUCACUUCUCUUUUCUCUAAUCCAUGAGUACAGGGAAGCUUAGGGGCUUACCAGCUUAUCAAAUUAUCUUUUGCUCAGACAUGAAUCUCAUAUUUACUAACUCAUGCAAAGAUUUUUUGAACUUCUUCUUCCUUUCAAAGUAACCGAAGUAGACGUUGUAGACUAAAGAGAGAUCACCAGUUGAUUCAGAAGAAUUCCUUCCUCUCCACACAUAUAUAUAUCCAAAUUUUGGAAGAUCUUCUUUGUCCAUUUUAGCCAUUCAUUGCUAAUAAUUUUUUUCUCCCAUUAAGGAUAUAGUCAAUUCCAAUCUAACUAAACCAGAAUUGACAUCCAACUAUCUACAAUUCAAACAUUAAAAUUUCUAAAUUUUUGAGUAAAGUCUGCAAUUUUUGAAUCCACUCAAUUUAAUCUUAACAUUCUUUUAAUUUCAAGACAUAAGAAAAAAUUGGUUGUGAUAGACCUUUUGAAAACAAACAGUAAUGUCGUGAUGCUAGGCCCUUAACAUUACAAAGAUGAUAAUUUAGUAAGUUACGUUGUGACUUGAAACCCUUUAAGUCGCAAUGUCAACCCGAUAUUUUGAAAUUUUUAAAAUGUUUGAAAGGUCAAGAGUUUGACAUUCGAAGUCACAACUUUAGGAGUUUGAAAGGUUUCGAUCCCUCUUUAGUUGAAAUCUGGCUAUAAUCUAUAGAAUAGAUCCUACAACAUUUAGAAUGUUCACCGUCUGAGUGUGUUACGUACAUGGUAUCUCUUUUAAAAGGAGAGGCUUACCAAUAGUGGUUGACAGUCACCCGACAUGUGUUAGCUGAUCAGGUUACUUAGGCAUUCUUCCAAUCUGAAUUUCAAAAUAAAUACAUUGAUGAAUUGUAUCUUAAAGACAAAAGGCAAGAAUUCAUGAUGUUAUAUCACAGUGAUAAAUUACUGUUGAUUAUGAGCGAGAAUUCUUACGAAUUAACAAGUAUUCCUUUGACUUAGUGCCGACCGAGGAGAAGAGUUGCAAGCAAUUCCUUUAGGGAUUGCGAGAUGAGCUUCGAUUUUAGUUAGCUUCAAAUAAGCUUAAAGAUUUUUUUGGUCAAACCGAACAAGCAAAGAUGGUUGAACAAACCAUGGACCUAGAUAAAAAAUCAAGCCUUCAAAAAUAAAUCUGGGUUUUCUAGUUCAUAACGUUUUCCAAAGUGAGCGGAGAGUCUCGAGGACUUAGAAAUCAAAUCCAAUGGGUAGUACUAGGGGUCUCGUAAGAGACUCGUACAUUCUAAAUUUUGAGCAUUGCAAAAAGAAGCGUAAAAGUGAAUGUUGGAAAUUGACGAGAGCUUGUUUUUUAUGUGGGCCCCUGGAAAAUUUUGCCCGAGAAUGUCUGAAAAAUGAUAAUAAUACUCUUGUUGUUAGUCAGAGAUCUACUCCUAUAGUUAUAAGUUAAAAAAAUAGCCAUAGUUGAUCAAUAGCAAGGGGUAGUACGAAAAGAAAGCUAGUACAACAAUCUAAAGCUAGAGCUCCUGCACGAGCCUUUAUGGUUCAAACUAGAGAAGAGGGUGAUGCUACCAAUGUUGUAACAGGUAUUUUUCUUUCAUAAUUUGUAUCCAUUCAUGCUUUAAUUGACCCUGGCUUUAGGCAUUCAUAUGUUAAUUUUAGCUUCUCAGAGUUGAGGAAAUUGAAAUCAAACUUGUCAAGUAUAACAAUAUUUGUUUCAAGUCCUUUAGGACAAAUUGUGCUUGUUAUUCAAGCGUGCAAACAUUUCUUAUUAGAAAUCUAGAAUAAAUCAUUCCCAUUUGAUCUGCUGAUCAAGCCGUUUGGUGAUUUUGAUGUAGUUCUGAGAAAGUAUUGGUUGAUUGAGCAUACUAUGAUUUUGGACAACGUAAAAAUAAAUUCUUUAUCUACAGUCCUGAAGGUGAUAUCAUUGAAGUUAAGGGCAUAAGGUUAAGUGAUUCUACUCAUAUCAUUUCAUCAAUUUGAGCUAAUAUGCUUUUAAAUCAAGAUUGUGAGACAUAUUUGGCCUAUAUUAUUAACUCAAACUCAAAUGAAAGUAAAAUGGGAAAGAUCCAAACAAUAUGUAAGUUUUUGGAUAUGAUUUUAGAAGAAUUGGCAGGAUUUCCUCUUAACCGUGAGGUUGAAUUUGAAGUUGAGGUUUUACCCUGGUAUAACUCUUAUGUCUAUUACUUUGUACUGCAUAGUACGAAUGAAGUUAAGGAGCUAAAAAUUCAAUUCCAAGAUCUUCUGGACUGUGGCUUUAUACAUCCCAAUAUAUCAUCUUAGGGAGCUUUAGUAUUGUUAAUUAAAAAGAAAGAUAGUUCGAUGCAGCCCUAUAUAGAUUAUCGGUAGUUUAAUAAGUUGACAAUCAAGAACUAAUAUUUAUUAUCGCUUAUUAACGAUCUGUUUGGUCAUUUGAAAGGUGUUACAAUAUUCUCCAAGAUCAGUCUGAGAUCUGGAUAUUAUUAGUUAAAGGUGAAAGAUAGUGGCGUGCCAAAAAUAGUAUUACGUACGCAAUAUGGUCACUAUGAAUUUCUAGUGAUGUCAUUUGAGUUGAUGAAUGCUCCUAAAGCAUUCAUGGAUCUCAUGAAUCACAUCUUUUUCAAUCAUAUUUGGAUGAAAUUUUGGUAGUCUUUAUCGAUGAUAUCCUAAUAUAUUUGUAGUCAGAGGAAGAACAUGAUAACCACUUGAGAAUUGUGUUGUAAGUGUUGCGUGAAAACCAACAAUACGGGAAGCUUAGCAAAUGUGAAUUAUGGUUAUCAAAACUUGUAUUUCUAAGACAUGUUAUAUCGGUCGAGGGAAUCCAUGUGGAUCCUAAUAAGAUUGAAGUCAUUCUGCAAUGGAAAUCACUAAAAAAGGUGUUAAAAAUCAAAAGCUUCUUAGGUCUGGCUGGUUAUUACAAAAGAUUCAUAAAUGGAUUCUCCAAAAUAGUUUUGUAACAAAUGUGCCAUUUGUGUAGAAUAGCUAGUACCAAAAGAGUUUUCAGAAGUUGAAGGCCAUGUUGACAAAGUGUCGAUAUUGACUUUGCUCGAUUAAGGGAAGGAGUAUGUGGUGUUCAGUGAUGCUUUAAUAAAUGCUUUGGGCUAUGUUUUGAAGUAGGAUGGUAAGGUAAUUGCUAUGCGUCCCAGCAGCUGAAGUCACAUGAACAUAAUUAUCCAAAGCUUGAUUUAGAGCUAGCUAUUGUGGCCUUUUCUCUAAAGAUCUAGAGGCACUAUAUGUAUGGUGAAAAGUGUUAUAUCUAUAAAGAUCAUAAGAGCCUCAGAUAUCUCCUCUCCCAGAAGGAGUUAAAUUUGAGACAGUGUCAUUUGACUGAGUUACUGAAAGGCAAUAAUUGUAUAAUAGAUUACUAUCUUGGGAAAGGGAAUAUAAUGGUUAAUACCUUAAAUCAAAACUCAACAUUUGAAUUGAGAGCAAUGUUUGCUCAGUUGAGUAUUUGUGAUGAUAGUAGCUUGUUAGCUAAAUUAAAAAUAAAGCCUAUGUUGAUUGAUCACAUAAAAGAGACACAAUCUGUAAUAACUAAGCUAGCAAAGAAAAUAAAGCUUGAUCAACGAGAUAAUAAGAAUUUCAGCAUUGAUGUGAAUAAUUUUCUUCGAUUUCACAAUCAAAUUUGUGUACUUGGCAAUACUAAAUUAAAGAAAUUGAUUUUGCAUGAAGCUCAUGAUGGUUUUGUCGCUAUGUAUCCUAGUGGUAAAAAAAAUGUAUGGUAACUUGCAAGAAUCAUAUGGGUGGCUAGGGAUGAAAAGAGAAUCAUCAAGUAUGUUGUUAAAUGCUUAACUUUCCAAUUAAAAAAGUAGAACAUCAAGUUCCCACUAGGUUGCUUCAACCUAUUUCGAUUCCUUAGCGAAAAUGGGAACAAAUUACGAUGGAUUUUAUUGUUUGCCUAGAAAUUUCAUUGAAAAAAAGAAAUGUUAUUUGUGUAAUAUUUAACCGAUUAACAAAGUCUAGUCAUUUUAUGGUAGUUAGAACCAAUUAGUUGUUUUCGAAGCUUACUGAAGUGUAUAUCCGCAAGAUAAUAAGACUUCAUGAUGUAACUAUGUCUAUUAUCUUGGACCGAGAUCCUCGUUUCACUUUGAGAUUCUGAAAUGAUUACAUGAAUCUUUAGGUACGAGGUUGAUUUUUAACACUGCAUUCCAUCCCUAGUCUGACGGCAAAUCAGUGCAUGUUAUCUAGUUGCUAGAAGAUAUGCUUCGAGUCUGUACCAAUGAACUUGAUGCUAGUUGCUAGCAUUAUUUGUCUCUAGCCAAAUUUGUUUACAAUAAUAGUUUUCAAUCGAGAAUUCAAAUGGCUCAUUAUGAAGCUUUAUAUGGGCGACAGUGUAGAACACCUUUAUGUUGGUCAAAAUUGAGUUAGAAAAAUAUGACUGGGCUAGAAUUGAUUUAAGAAAUGAAUUAUAGAGUGAAGUUGAUAAAAGGUAGACUGAAGGCAGCCUCAGAUAGGCAAAAGUCAUAUGUUGAUAUGGAUCGAAAGGAAAUUGAAUAUGCUGUGGCCAAUAAAGUAUUUUUGAAAUUCUCUUCGUGGAAGAAAAUCUUGCGCUUUGGCCACAAAGGGAAGCUAAGUCCUAGAUUUAUUGGCUCGUACGAAAUCAUUAAAAGAGUUGGACUUGUUGCCUACUAUUUAGCUUUGCCAUCGGAGUUAUAAAAGAUCCGUAAUACAUUUCAUAUAUCUAUGCUUCAAUGGUACUGAUCUAAUCCUUUACAUGUGAUUCUCGUGGAAGAUAUUAGGGUGCAACUGGAUUUUUUGUAUGAAGAAAGGUCACUAAAGAUGUUAGCCUGAGAAGUAAAGAAGUUGAGAAACAAGCAAGUACCAUUAGUGAAAGUCCUUGGCACAGUCAUAGCAUAGAAGAACAAGUACUUAGUAAGUGCAUAUGAAAUUUAAUUUAACUUACCUAAGUAUUAUAUCAUUUAAUCAAUAGGAAUUCAAAGAUGCACAAUGUGAUAAUACUUUGACAUCCUUAAACCUUUUUGUACAAUUUCACAAAACCAUCACCAAAUUAAUAUAUUAGUACUAUGAUUUCAAAGUGUUCAAAUCAAACACAUAUACUAUAUAGAACUGUACCAUUACAAAUUACACGAUAUUAUAACCAUGCCAACUAAGUUUCUUAUUAGUCUUUCCAGCUAUUCCUUUAUCAAAUUGUCCAUAUCUUUGCCAGAGAACUAUGGUAAUUUAGUUCCGGGUAUUCAAGACUAGAUUACUCGCACAAGUUGUAACAUAUACAUUUGCUCACAGAAGUUGUAUAACUCGGGCCUACUCACACAAGAUGUAAUUCAAGAUUGUUUAUAUAAGUGUUAUUUAAUGAUGCUCGUACAAGCUGUAGAGAAUCUGCAACAUAUGUUGGAUCUCAGCCAUCGAUAACUAAGUCCCUAACCAACACUCGAUUUGUAUCAUUUGGGUUUACUUCCACAAGCUGUAGCUCAGGAUUGUUCUUCUAACUCUAUUCAAUGCUGCUCACACAAGCUGUAGUGAAUCUGUAACAAAUGUCGAAUCUCAUCCAUUGAUAACGUAGUCCCUGACAUGCACCCAAUUCUUUUAAAACGAUAACAGUUUGUUCUUCAUGCCGUAAUAUUUACUGAAUUGUCAUGAGCAUUGUCUUGUAUUCAUACAUCUUAGUCUCUCUAAGAUUAUCAUUUAUACAUAUUAUUUUACCAUAUAAACAUUUCAUAACUAUCUAUUGACACGUAUUUUUUUAGAAACCUUAUAUUUUACAUAUUUUACAUAUUUUACAAUUUAAUCCAUUCGGUAUAAAAGCCUAACAUUUCCAUAGAAACUCAAAUAAUAGACAAGAUAUUAUAACCUUAAAUGAAAAAAAAAUUAAAUUAAUAAGUUCCAUUUGAACUUACUUGGUAAAAAAAACAACCAACAAGGUGUCAGAGACUAUUCCACAAUUUUCUUUUUUUCCGCGAAUAUCCUCCAAUUGAUCUAAAUCCCAAUCUAAAUCAUAAUUUAAUUCAAUUAUCAAUUUCAAACAUUAUUUAACAACAUAUUAUAAUUAGAUAUCAGUUCAAUUUCAUUUAUCAAAUAUUACCUCAUGUUUUGUAUUUUAUUCAAUUUAGUCCCUAAAACCAAAUUUUUCAUAGCUUUCAAAUUUAAGCUUCGAUUUCAAAACUUAUCUCAAUUUCAUCCUUCUACAACCCUAUAAUAUAAAAAUAAUAGAAAUAUAACCUUAAUUUUGAAAUAUUUGCACUUUAGUCCCUAUGUUCAAAACUGACAACUUUCACUUACAACUUACUCAUUUUUUUUCAUAUAAAAGCUCAAAAUCUAUCAAUUUAACACCAAAAGCUUUUAUGAGUUAACAAUUGGGAACCUUUAUAAACAUUAACAAUUUUGCAAAAUAGUCCUCGGGCUAGCUAAAUCAAGCUCCCGAGAUCUCAAAAACAUAAAAAUUACAAUAAAUAGACAAAAUUGAAUUCACCAUUGAGAUUUUAAAGCUUGGUCGAACCUUCCUCCUUCAAAAAUGGUGAAACAGUGUGAAGAUGAAGAAAAAGGUAAAGGUUUCUCUUUCUUUCCAUGUUUUCAUUUUAUUAACUUUUAGUAUUAUUAUUUUAUCAUUUUCAACAUAAAAAUUAACAUUAUAAUUAAUAUUUCUGAGCUUUUAAUUGUCCGCCUUAUUCUAAUUUGCCUUAAUUUUCAUUUUCAGCCUAGUUCAAUUACUAAACAAGCCCUUUAGAAAUUAAAAAUAUAUAACGAUUAACUUUACUACUUUUAUUAUUUAGUCCUUGGGCCUUAAUUAACAAUCUAACUAACAAAAUUUAAGGAUAAAACCCUAAUUAAACUUUAUACUAACCUCGUAAACAUUAAAUAAUAACAUUUAUGGCCUCACUUGUCAGAAAUAGGGUUCCAAAAUCAUCGUUUCUAACACCACUGACUUUAAGGUCGAAACACUUAUACCUUAAUUAACUAUUCCAUUAAAAAAAAUUCUUCAGACCAAAAUUCAAUAUAAUUCUAAAAUAGACUCGUAAAUAUCAAUAAUAGGGUUUCAAAACAAAUAAGACAUCAAUAUCCCCACCUCUUUUUUAGGUAAUUUUUUAGGACGAAAAUUCAUAAGGGGGAGAAUUAUAAUGACCCGAUUUUCAGUAACGUCAAAAAUUGUAGUUUCAGAACCCCUUUUUUAUAAACUGAAUCUAUAAGGAUGAAAUACAAAGACUAAUGAAGUUAUUAUGAAAAUAUAUUGAAACUCGAUUAAGUAAUUUAACUAAGAAAAUGGUUAAUUAAAGUUGUGGGACUAAAUUGUAAAAGCCUAAUUGUUGUUGAGUUUUACUUAAAAAAAGGCUUGAAGAACUAGAUAGAAAUUUUCUAAAGGGAUAAAAUGGUUAUUUAACCAAUAUUUAACAUGAUUUAGUGGAUGAUGAUGAAUAAUUCCAUUAAGGAAAGAUUAUAAUUAAAAUAUAUAAAUUAAUGUUUUAAUUAACUAAUUAAUUAAGGUUGAUUAAAGUUUAAUCGAAGUGUAUAUAUAUAUACCAUAGAAAGUGGAAAAAAAUAUGAAAAUUCAUCUUCUUCUUCACCGUCCACAUGAAGAAAAACAAAGAAACCUUCAUUGUUGAAGCUUAAAACAUUUGACUAUAAAAUCUUCAAGGUAACCAUGUAACACCCCAAACUCGACCUAGACGUUAUGGUCGAAUCUGAUGUGUCACAUUAAAGUGUCUUUUGGAAAUUGAACUCGUUGGUAAAAUAUUCUUGCACAAGUUUAAGAUAAACCCCUUUUAAUAUUAAUUAACAAAUCAAUUAGUUGAAAUGUUUGUCUUGUUAUCUGAUAAUGUUUAAAUAAAUUGGUCUAAAAUCGGGAAGUUUUUUUUAAAUCCUACUGUUUAAAACUCGUAUCUUUGAAAACGGUAAUUAUUUUAAAAUUUUGUCUUCCCCUAAACUAGCAAUUUAACGUAUUUAAGCAAAAGCCCAAAUAAAAAUUUAAACCAACUUAAAGGCCUUAUUACAAAAAAAAAAACAAAACCCAACUUAUUAUUUAAAUUAAACAUAAAAGCAAAUAUGAUAAUAAGAGAUUGUAUGGCCAUCUCCAAGUCCCUCGCAGCAACGAAUCGCCUAUGGCUGAGGAUUACUUGCACAGUUAAAGAAGAGGGUAAGUUUACGAAACUCAAUGUGUAAUCCCCUUCUAGGAAAUCAUUAUGCAACAUGCAGAAUCAGUCUGGGCCUGAGCCCUAAAUAGUAUCAGUCCAGUAUGGCCUUAGCCCGGUACAGUAUUAGUGUGUAGGCCUUAGCCCAAUACAGUAAUCAGUGCAAUGCAGUAAUGCAACCUAUCUCAAUCCAGCCAACACACCACUCCGUACCACCAACACACUAUGUAGGGAUAAAAUCGACCCACCCAGCCAACACACCAAUAUCGCAGCAAAGCUGCCAAUAAUAGUAACGCAGCAAGGCUGCCAGUAACAGUAACGUAGCAAAACCGCCAGUAACAGUGUAUGUGGCAAAGCCACCAGUACAAUAUACUUCCCUAUAUUAGAAUCCCAACCCAAUGUAGUAUGUCAUGUCAUAAAUCAUACUUGUAUGCAAUAUGUCAUACUCAGUAACAGUCAUAUAUAUAUCAUAGAGCAAAUCGGCCAUACACACAUUUCAACUCCUAGGGGUAUAAUAGUCAUUUUACCUUUCAGGGGUAUUUUGGUUAUUUUACCCAUCGGGGGUAUUUCGAUCAUUUUACCCUUCGAGGGUAUUUUGAUCAUUUUACCCUUCGGGGGUAUUUCGAUCAUUUUACCAUUCAGGGUAUUUCGAUCAUUUUACCCUUCGAGGCUAUUUCAAUCAUUUUACCAUUCAGGGUAUUUCGAUCAUUUUACCCUUCGAGGCUAUUUCAAUCAUUUUACCCUUCAGGGGUAUUUCUAUCAUUUUACCCUUCUGGGGUAUUUUGAUCAUUUUACCCUUCGAGGGUAUUUCGAUCAUUUUACCAUUCGUGGGUAUUUCGAUUAUUUUACCCUUCGGGGGUAUUUCGGUCAUUUUACCCUUCGAGGGUAUUUCAGUCAUUUGCGAACGAAUCACAAGUUGGACUUACCACUAGAGCGAUUGCACGCCCAUGUGGUCUCAAAGGCCGUGUUUACGACUUUUCGGCUAUUCCCCGAUCUACAGUUGCAGUAGGGUGAUUACACACCUGUUUGUGAAAACGCACUAAGAUCCACGAACACCCAAAAUCUAUAUUCAUACAAGAUUUCCAUUAGUUGCUAACAAUGGGGUUAAUCUCAUUCUUUUACAUCCUUAACCAAAAUUAAACUAAUACUUGCCUAGACUGACGAAAGUGGCUUAGCCCACUUUUACAACCGAUGAAGAUUGACUUCAGUCUUUUUGACGGAUAUAUGCAAUACAACGAACUUCAUUAAACAGUAUUGUUUAAUCAUGUGGUUGAAAUCCACAUAUGAUCAUUUACAGAACCAAAGGAACAUUCGGCCAACACUUAAAAGAAAAACUGCCCUACUUACCCUGAUCGAGGGAUGAGAGAGUGGUUUCGACGACCUUAACAACGCUUACAUUGCACCACUCUUCGAGGAAAACUCUAAAACCGCAACAAGCAUCACAUCGUGAGAAAAACAUCAGUUGCCGGCAAUCAAAGAUUACGAAGGAAGGUAUUUAGUUUUUAGGAAAAGAGAAAGAAGAGAACAGAGUGAAGAGCAUAGCACUUACCAGUAGUCGACAACUCUUGUAGCACUAGAAUGAAAAAGAGAAAAAGAGAAAAGAAGAAAAGGAAGAGAAAAAAAAGAGGAUUCGACAACAAGAGAAGGAAAAAGGAAAAUGCAAUCGGCAGAAGGAAAAACCACCAAUAUUCGGCCAACACCCAAAUGGAAAAAGAGAUGAGCAAAAAUGAAAAGGCAAAAAAGCCAAAACUGACCGAAACCAAAUUGACAGAAGAAAAACAACUUCAGAAACCAAUUCUCUCUGUGCCUACUGACCAAAUUCGGCACAAGCACCCUCUAGCCGAAACCUCUAGCUAGAGUUUUCCCCAAACGGCACAACUCUCCUCAUAAAACAAGUCAUUGAUUUUUCCAAAAAGCUCUCCCCUUAUCCCUCAUUGAUUCACUCCACCCAAUCACAAUCCCACUAUUCUCUCCAUGAUUCACUCCUCCAUUUAAAUUCCAUAUCAUUUCAGUCAAACUCUACCACCUCACAGCACAGGUGAUAAAAAUAAACACUCCACAGUGCAGCAUAGGACUCGAACCUCAGACCUUAAUAGUACUUCACACGCCACUUACCACUGGACCAAUAGGUUUUUUUAUCAUAAAACAAGCACUAAUAUAAAUAAGGCCUAUGUGCCAAUGUCUAGAUUCAAUUAAGAGCAAAACUAAAAAUUUUACAAAAGCCAAGACUUGAACUCAGGCUUCUCAAACACUCUCAUACACACCCAAAUCACUUAGCCAUUAAAGAAAACAAGAAAUUUAUGACUAAUCAAGCAAAAAUUAAAGACUUGAAUUUUAGGGCGAUACAACUCCACCCCCUUAAUGAAAUUUUGGCCUCGAAAUUUACCUGGUCAAAAUAGGUGAGGGUAUUGUUGUCGCAUCGCCUCUUCGGGUUCCUACGUGGCUUCUUCUGAAUUGUGGUUACGCCAAAGUGCCUUGACUAACGGAAUAGAUUUCUGCCUCAGUACUUUAACGUCACGGUCUAAAAUCUGCACUAGCUCAUCCUCGAAGGUCAGAUCUGGCCUAACCUCGAUCUCCUCAACUGGUACUAUGUGUGUGGGAUCAGAGUGAUAAUGCCUUAACAUGGAGACGUGGAACACACCAUGAAUCCGGUCUAAUUCUGGAGGCAACUCAAGUUGAUAAGUGACCGGUCCCAUACGCUUCAGUAUACGAUAAGGACCAAUGAACCUAGGGCUAAGCUUACCCUUUCGUCCAAACCUCAGUAUCUUUUUUCCAUGGGGAAACCUUGAGAAAUACAUAGUCCCCCACAGAAUACUCAAUCUCUCGGCGUUUAAGAUCUGCGUAGGACUUUUGCCUAUCAAAUACUUCCUUGAAUCGGUCUGGAAUCAGUUUCACCUUCUCUUUGUAUCAGAGACUAACUCUGGCCCCAGAACUUGCCGCUCGCCUAACUCAGUCCAACAAGUAGGAGUACGACACCUAUGACCAUAUAAAACCUCAUACGGUGCCAUUUGAAUACUGGACUGGUAGCUAUUAUUAUAUGCAAACUCUACUAGCAACAAAUAAUCUUCCCAAUUACCUCAGAAAUCCACUACACAACACCUUAACAUAUUCUCCAGUAUUUGAAUCACCCUCUCUGACUGACCAUCUGUCUGGGGAUGAAACGCAGUACUAAAGUGCAGUCUUGUACCCAAAGCCUCGUGUAACUUCUUAAAAAAAGUGGAUUGUCAGCUUCCUAAAUGUAUUUGACCGAAUAAAGGAGAAAAUCACCAUUGAAGGUUAAAGGUUCGACCAUCACAUUUUCUUUGCAUGUGAGUGAAAUUUUCACCUAUUUCUUAUAAUUUUUAUAUUUUUGUGAUCGUUGCACCUAGGUCCAGCUAACUCGUACCUUCAUUUUUGAAACUAUUAAGGAUUUUAGAUUUUUUUUAUUGAUGAUUUUUAAUUAUUUUGAUGUUAGUUGGUGAAAUUGAAAUAUUGAUAGGUGGUUAAAAUUAGUUUAUUAAGGGAUUUUUUUAUAGUUUUUAGCUAAUAGGUUUAAUUGAUAAAAUAUUUAAAACUUUCUGGAAUUUUUGUAAAUUGUGAAGAAUUGUGGACUGCCCUAACAUAGGAAGAAAUUCGAUUGACUUGGGAAAUUGUAAAAUUUUGUUAAAUUCAGAAUUUUGGGUUUAGGGACUAAAUUGUAAAAAAUGUAAAAGUUUAGAGAAAUGUGUGAAUAACAAAAAUUUAAGGGUGUUAUGCAUUGAAUUGAGUGUGAAAUGUAUGUGAAUUUAAUAGAUUAAAUUUAAUUACUAUAUAGAUUAAGAAUUUGAUCAAAAAGACUAAUUAAGGAAAGGGGAAAAUUACGGUGUAGUUCCUACGCUUUAACCGGAAGUGGAUUGUAGGUAAGUUCAUAGUGUAAUUUAUGUAGAUGGAUAUUUCUUUAUAAUUAUAUCAUUGUUUACUAGAUAAUUUUAUAUAUGUGAUAUUUCAUUAAUUACCUAUAUAUUAUUAAAUGUUGUAAAUAAGUACAUAUGAAAAUGAAUAACUGGUGGUGGAAAUUCUUGUGACUUUCACAUUAUUGAAUUGAAUGUAAUAGAUCCCUAGCAUGAUUACGAAAAUUAAUAAAGUGUCUCUGAAUGAUUAAUAUGUAUAAAUGAAGUGAAUUUAGAUAUAAUGCCCGGUUGAACGUAGUAAACGCUUAGGAUAUGAUUGGCAUGCCAAUAGGGUUUAAAUGCAUGCUUGUAUGGGUUGGCAUUUUGGUGCCUCUGAUUGCACAUUUGUGACUCUAUCUACACUUCGGUGCCUCUGUUACGCGUCUAUGAUGCCUCUGGUGUGGUGUAGCUACCCGAGUACCCGAGUCCAAUUACUUAGUUCAUCGGGAUAUGUGUUAAUUGAAUUACAACUUAUUUAUGUGCUAAAAUGUUAUUACAUAUUCAUGGUAUUAGUAAGUGAAAAUUGUUACAAUGAAUCUCUUGUUUACGUGUAGAUAAUUACAUUGAGGAAAUGUGGUUUAUGGCAAUGGUAAGUCCUCAGAGAAUGGGUUAUUAUGAUAUAUUUAGAUAUGUGAACAAAUAAUAAUGUGGUUUGUGAACUUGUAUUUGGCUAUCAUGAAUUAUAAAUUAGAUACUUGAAUAUCUAUUUUGUUUAAGGUAAGUUAAUUAGUGUUUAAACUAUGAACUUACUAAGCUUAUUUAGCUUACUUGUUUCGUUUGUGGUUCUUUUGUAGUUACCAAUUUGCGGACUGACUAGACGGAUUGAAUUAUAUCUCACACUAUCCAACCAUCUUGGUAGUUUUUGUAUUUCACUUUGGGAUGUGUCAUGUAUAUAGGUUUUUGGUUAUGAUAUGAUGGUAUUUCUAGUUAAGUGGUUGGUUUUUAAAUGUGUAUUUAAGUUGGUUUUGGUUAGGCUAAUUCUUAAUAUCAAGAAUUAAGUGAUGAUGCAUUGGAAUGGUAAAAUUAUCAUGUAUGUUUACUUUUUGGCCAAUUUGAUUGAUGAUUUGAGCAUGAAUAGAUGAUAAAUGUUAAGUUCUUUCUUAGUUGGGUUAUUUGAAUGUAUGAUCAUUACUUGAGGUGCCUUUGAAUGGCAUAUUGGUUAGGCAUAGGAUGGAUGAAAUUUUGAAAUAUAAUUGAUUAUAUGAAUGUGCUUUUAAAGCAUGGAAAUGAGCUAGAUAUUGUCUUGUUGUACAAGGAAUGGUGCUUGAAUUGGCUUGAAUUAGGGGUUAAAAAUGGAACACAUGGCCUGGGACACAAGCCAUCACACGGUCAUAUGUCGCACACGGUCACCCUACACGGCCGUGUGUCUUAAAACAAUUUGUAGCAUGGUCUGGCACACGGCCGUGUAACACAACUUCGAAUAUACACACAGUUUGGCACACGGUCUACGACACGGCCGUGUGGACCUAUUUCAAAUACUCACAAGGGUUGGGAUAUGGCCAUGUGUCCUGACUUCAAAUGGUCUAGGCUAUGUCACAGGGCCAUAUGACACCUGUUUUCCAAAUUUCAAGUUUUUCUGAAACUUUUUGAUUUGUUUCUAUUUGAUCCUAGAUUAUUCUCAAACUAGUUUUAGUGCCUUAUAGGCCUGAUUUAAGGUCAAUAGGUGUAUUUUUUGUCAUGAAUUGAUUCAAUUGUUAUAUGUUAGCAUUUUAUUUGUUAAAUUGUUUCUAUUAUGAAUUAAAUGUUCUAUUUUGCUCGGUAACACUCAGUAACCCUUGUUCGGCAACGGAGGCGGGUUAGGGGUGUUAUACAUUCGUUACCAGUUUUUUCGAGAGGUGAUCAUUCAAGGAGAUGUUCAGAUUCUUAAAAUCGGCUUAGAACACAAUCCAGCCGACAUGUUGAUGAAGAGUCUUCUAGUUUAAAAUUUCGAGCAUUGCUUGAACUUAGUCAAUAUCCGGCGAAGAAUCAGUUAGGCCCAUAAAAGGGCUCGGUAAGGGAGUUGGUCCAAAUACGAAUAAUGGUAGAGAUUUGUGGGAAAAUGCCUCUAUUCAGCCCAAAUUGUGGGUCUCAUCCCGACGGUAUGACAGUCUCUACGUCUCGACAAGCAAUGAAGCAGUGCCCUGACGACGCGACCUCUGGCUCAUGUAUUCGACUUUUAUUCUCCUAGUAAAAAUCUAUUUCAGUCUCUCAUUUAAACUCUGAUUAGUUUAGAGGUAUUCUAGUCAUAUUGUACUACAAAUUUUAGGCUCUAAAUAGUCAUAGUUACUCUAGGCUAGAAACAACAAAUUUAUUUUAGAUUGAGAUAUUUCUAUCCCUUGCUUUGAAGGGCUUUUUUUUUUGUGGAUUUUGGAUUUUUUUUAAUUCUCUCUAUCUCUUGUACUCUCAUUUUUAUUAUAGUGAAAUAUCUUUUUGUCAGUGGGUUUUUAUCCUCAUUUGAGAAGUUUUUUCAUGUUAAAAUUUGCAUGUUGAUCUUCUCGAAUUUAUUUUCCCCACCUUAUUCAUUGCAUACACGGGUUAAUUCCCUACAAAUGUUGUGGAUAAGUUUAUUAUUUAAUGUAUGAAAUAAAUUUUUCCUUAUUUAUUUUGGAUUUUUUUUAAUGAUUAAAUUUUAUUUGUGAAUUUUAUUGAUGAUAUAAUUGAUUAAUAUUUUAUAUUUAAAAAUAUAUUUCAUCUCAAUUAUUUAAUAUUAAAUAUACUUUCCUAAAUGGUACAAUCAAAUAAAUCAAUAUCAAAAUGGAAGAAUAACUGGAUUGAAACAGUACUAACAAUCUUUGUUUUUGCAAUGAUUGAUUAUGAACAUAAAUCAUGUCUUAUGUUCUAAGAGAAUACGCGGGCGUAUUAUAUAUAUAAUAGCAAUAUAAAGUUAAAAAAGAAAUAAUAGAUAUGUUUACAUUACAAUAUUUUGACAUAUGAUGUUUAUUUCAAUUACUUAUUUACUAAAUGUAUAAAUUAUUUUUUUAUUCUGUAUCUUUUAAAAUUUUUUAAGUUAUUUCAUGUCUUUUGUUUAAAUUAUUUAUUUCUUUAUUUUAAUAUCUUAUUUAAUUGAAUUAACUUUUAAUGUUUUCAUAUUGGUUAAAUUGUUAUGUUUAAAAUAUAGUUAAAAAGAUACACAUAUUAAUAGCAUUUAUCAAAUUAAAUUUAUAUUCUUCAAAUAUAAUAAGAAUUAAUUACAUUUAUUGAUUAAAGUAUAGUAAAGAUAAGUAUAAAAUUACAAAAAAUUUGAAUAUUAACAAUUUUGACAUUAAAAAUUAAUUAAUAAUAUAUAAAAUAAAUAACAUGUAAGAAAUUAUUAGUAAUAUUAUUUAAAUUAUAAUAUAUUAAUAUUAAUAUUCAAACUAUGUUGAAUUUUUAUACUAUUUUAAUAUUAAAUAUUUUUAAAAUAUUUAUAAUUAAAUUCCUUUUUCAAAUUAUUUUUUUUAAAAUUCGUUAAAAAUUUUAAAUAAAAAAAUAUUAUAAAUUUAAGGAUUAAUGACUAAUUUGGCCACAAAUAUUUGCAUAUUUUGUCAAAAUGGCCCUAAUUACAUUUUUUAGUCUUUUUUGGCCACCAACCUUUAUCCUUUUUCCAAAUUACUUUUUUAAACAAAUUUGAUGAAAGUACCAUUAAAAAAGUUAAUGGGAUGAUAUGGAAUUUCAUAUGUGGAAUAUUUUUAAUGAGAUGCAAUUUAUUACUUAGAUAAUUCAAUAAAAUAAUUACAUGUGAAAAUAAUAAAAUAAAUAAAUCAUGAAGUUAAAAAAAUAACUCUUAAUUUAAUGAAAAUAUAUGUAUUUAUAUAACAAAAGGUUUCAAAAUAAAUGCACAUAUUCAGUAAUUUCGGUUUGAGUUAUUAAUUAUAUUUUUGAAACCUUUCAAUAAAUAAACUUUUUUAAACCAUUUCUUAGAGAGUUAUUUUUUUUAUCUUAUCAGGUUACCUGAAUAAUAAAUUACAUCUUCCAAUUAAUUUUUUUAACGAUAAUUUAAUCAAAUCGGAUAGAAAAAGUAGUUUGAAAAAAAAAACAAAAGUUAAUGGUCAAAAACAAACUAAAAAAUAUAAUUAAAAUCAUUUUAACAAAAUAUAUAAAUAUUAGUGACCAAAUUUAUCAUUAAACCUAAAUUUAGCAUACUAAUUAACACUACAGCUAAUUAAGAAUAGUGUUUGUGUAGGUAAGCAAAUGCAUUAAAUAUCCCAUUAAAAGAUCUUUAGAAAAGAAAGCAAGGGAAUGCCCAAUGGCGAGUGAAAUUUGAACUAAACACUUGACUGUUUAAUUUAAGACUAAGCAUUCCAUAAAUGAAGUAGGUAAGAUAGACCGAUCAUCACGAAAUCGCGUUUAAAAAAGAUACUACGCAUUGAAUUUUCCACAUAUAUAAACAAAUAAAAUUAAUAUGACUAGUUAAACGGAUGCGAGCUUGACUACUGGACCCUUUUGAUCUCAAAAUGUUUAGUGGGAGACAUCUCCUUUCCAGUUUUCAGACUUCUAUCUGUUCAGGUCCCAAUUAUCAUUCAGCAAAAAAGUAUUAUCCUCAAAGCUUUUACUUUAUAAUUUCCAUUUUAUUUUUUCUAAAAAAAAGCAGAGGGUUUGAUGAUAAACAAUGUCGAAUCCUACUUUUUAUUGUUUUCUCUUUAUUGAUUGACAAAUCAACAUUAGCUUUUUUAUUGUUGAAAUUGAUUGAUGAAGUCUUUUAUAUAUUGAAUUUUAAGGGAUGGUUGUUCAUCUAUUAGUUGGUAUUUGGUAAAGCCCUACGCUAUUAUAAUGUUUUUACCUACGCUAAAAGCUUUGGUACAUUCUCAACGUGAAUGAAUUGAAUUUGUUGAAAUUGCAUGUUGUCCUCGUCUUAUUGGAUCUCAUAAUACUAUUUUUUAAACUUGAAAGUUAAGCUAUUUUGUACAAGAACACAGCUUAAAUUUUGCAUUUAGUAUUGUAGAUUUAUUUCAUCUAUAAUAAACUAUCAAACGCAGUAACAAGAGAUAGAAAAAUAUGAUAAUUUAAACAAUAUCCACAAAUAAAUAGACCACCACCCAAGUGUUUUAGGGGUCAAUUUAUUGUGUCAAAAAUUAAAAUCACCAUUUCCAUUGCCUUAUUGCCUCUCAGCACCGAAUGCUUGCGGAGUUUGGUGUUUACUUUGAAUUGGAAAUGAAAAAGAAAUAUAAGCUAGAAACAAUAAAUAAAUAAGAAAUUGGGCUUAAAUCUAAUUAGAUGAAGUUUCAAGAAUAAAAGUCAAUUCAGUGUUGGCGAUGGUUAAAACUCUUCGAUCAAUGAGGAAGCUUUCCUCUACAACAAAAUUUACAACGAUCAAUGAGAAGCUUUUUCUUUUAAAUUAAAUUUAAGUUUUUUAGAGACAAAAAAUAGAGUUUUAGAAGGAGCGUCGUAGACAUUUGAUAAAAGAUCUUAUCAUGUUCCAUGAGUAUGAGGAUGAUAUGAGGCUUGUGGAUUAUGUAUUCACCAAAACUUAUAUAUGGCAGAAAGUCUAUGGGUUGUCGCUAAAAUGAUUCAAAAGACUCAUGGUACAGAAGAUGGGAGGCAAUACGAGGGACUAUAAUGAACUUGGAUGACCGAUCGAAGGGCUAAUUAGGUAUGAUAGAUUGGCACUAUUUUGUUACUUGUGCGGUGUUGAGGCAAUUAUGAGAGUAGUGUCAACAGUACUUAGAAUUGUGCAAGUCACAUAAUUUAUCUUAUUUAGAAUUGGUAAUAUUGUUCCAGUUUGGCUAUGAUUUUACUAAUGUUUUAGAUGUAUGGUGUCUCUCUUUGAAGAUUUAUCCAUUUAAAGAGACAUAUCUUGGAGAUUAGAUUGUAUCAGUUCAAAUAAUCGGAUUCCUGAAUAUUGUGCUAACUAAGCUCAUUUUAACCAAAGUAAGCUCAUUUGAAGUACUUUUGGUCCUAACUAAGCUUACAAAAGUUGUCAAGGUUCAUUGAUACUGAAAGAAAGGCCAUUAUGCAAAAAUAAGGGAAGCAGGGCGAAGGUUGCAACAUUGGCAAGUGAAUGUCACAACAUUGAGAUCGGAAUGCUCAAUGCCGCAACAUUGAGAUCAAAAUGCCCAAGGUUGCAACAUUGGCUAGGGAAAGUUGCGACAUUGCAGACAGAUUGCCUAGAACAUGAUCGAAACAUCUAAAAUCAAGUCAAAACUAUCAUCAAUCAUUCCAUAACAUUUUUAGAAACUCAAAUAGGACAAAAUGUCAUCACAUCAAAUAAUUUAAAGACUUUACAAGAGCACCAAAUACUUCAAGUCCAAAAUAACUUCAAUUGAGCAUGACAUAGCUUUGGAACCAUUAAUUAACCUAUCAAUACAUUCAAAUAGUUCUAAUCUCAUGUACAUGUCACUCUAUUACCAAAAUAUAAAUUCCAUACAGUUCAAAUUCUUCCUUAGUGAUGAGAUGUGGUUAAGGAUGACCACUUCAAAAGAUGUCUUCAACCAAUCAUUAUCUACGCAUUUAAAAUAAUGUGUUAAGCUUUUGAAAGCUUAGUAAGUACUUGAGAAUUCAUAGUUACCUUUAAAUUCAAUUAAAUAAUUAAAUAAAUACAAAAAUAAUAAAUAUGAUUAAGAUAACUACAAAAUUUAUUCAAAAAUAAUAAUUUAUAUUGUCAACAAGGUUAAUUAACAUAAUUUCACUUACAACACACUUUCAUCUCUUACUUAUCAUUAUUUAUCACUCACUUUGCCCAUUAUAGACUCGAUUGAAAAAGAAAGAUAUGCAAAAUAUAAUCAUGGAAUACACAAGCACUGAAAUGCUAAAUUCUCGAGCGCUUGAAAAAAUUCCUAAUGGUAUGCCAUCUAUAUCCUACAAGUUCGAAACUUGCCUGCAUGAGCUUUGACUUUUAUAUAAACUCAAUUUAUAUCAAAACUACAAUCUAAAUUUCACAAUUUUGGUUUUCACGCAACCUUUUCAACACUUUACAAUUUAAUCCUUUACUCAACACAUAUAUUCACACCAACAAUAAUCCCAUCCAUUAAUCACUUUCUUGAGUUUAAUACUUACUUAUUAUGUUAUAUUUAUAUUUAAAUUCAUAGCAUUAACACCUUUAUUAGUACAUUUGCUUAUAAUUAUUUAAUUAAAUAAGAAUGAAUUCUAUAGUAUUUACAAAUUUUAACUAAGCUAUACUUUCUUCUAGUUUUAUCUACUUGUCUCCCCUUAUCUACACUUCUUGCAACUUCUUCCUUAUCUUUGUCUUCAUUUCAUACCAUAAGUCACAAAAUACACAAUUAAUACACUUAUCUAACAUCACUUUAGUGCAUCUGUGGUUGAAAUAAACAUGAUAACAUAUCUAAAUCAUGAAGCUCUUACCUUAAAGUCUUCAUUUCUCACCUUAUCUAUAUUUUCUCUCUCCUCAAGAAUAAACGCUUUACUUCUAACUUAAAAUAUAUGCUUGCUAGCUUGGUGGUAACUUGAUUUAGCUAAGGUUUUUUAUGGAAAUUUGGUGAUUUUUACUUUGGAAAUGUCAUUGAUGACGAUGAUGAACCAAAUUGUAAAAGAUUUUAUGGUGGUGACGUGAAAGGAAGAAGAAGAUAGAUAAUUUUUUUCAUACUUCUUCUAAAAUAUCACUAAUAUUAACAAUAAAUUAAAACAAAUUAAUAAAAUAUGUUAUGAUAAUAAUAUAAAAUAAAAUAUUAUAAUUUAAUAACAAAAAAUCUUUCCAUCAUACAUAUCCACUUACUUUUUGUAAUAAUUGGUCUCAUUGUCCUUACACAUUUCACCACUAAUUCAAUUUAACCCUAUUCAUACUUUAAAUUUUUCAAUUUGACCCCUAGACUUUGUAAAACCUUACAUUUUAGUUUAUACCCCAUAUUUAUAUUUCCCAAUAUGUCCAUCUUUUAAAACUCAUCCAGUCUUCUACUACCUUCUCUACUAGCACUAAUAAAUCACACUCAUUUAUUCUGAAUAAUUUGACUCAUAAUUUCUCAAAAUAACAUUGUUACGUCCAAGGAAAUUUUGAGGAUAUUACAUUUACAUUAGAUGCUUCCUAUGCUAAAAAAAGGCUAUCAAUUCACUCAAAACACAAAUUAUUAUGGCAAUUAAUAAAAGAGAAGUGAUAAUAACACUAACUACACUAAGAAUUAUAACACUAAUGGUUUCAAUUGGUAAAAUUACUAAUGAAAACAAGUAGUGAUCGGUUCUUUCUCUCGCUAAUGAUGGAUUUAUACCUAAAUAAUCUAAACACACGAUUAUUAGCCUAGUAACAUUCACCUCUCGGUCUCAAAUAACUUCUAGAAGCAUAAUGAAAUCUCCUCUUAGUCUCAUUCAAUUAAGCCUAACUAAAUCAUAUCUACUCGAUAGGGUGUCCUCUUGUCCUAUCUUAUCUCAAUUUUCACUCAAAGAUGUCAAUUUUGAGUUAUUGACAUAGUCAAUUUAACCCAAAGCAUACAUUCAAAUUAACAAAAGGCAUAAAAUCACAUCACAAGCGAUAAAUAUAACCAAUCACGUAAAGAAAUUAGUUAAUUUCCAUGGAAAAUACAAAUACACAAUAAAAUUCCAUUCAAUUCAAUAUAAUGAAAUCAAAGGAAAAUUAAGAGUUUAAGAAAUACUCAUUAAAAUGAGAAAUCCUUAAAUUUAAGAAGUUCAAUGUAUUUCAUCCACAAAUAAUCUUGAUGGCCAACAAUAAAAAUAGCAAUUUAAAGUAGAAAAAUGGAAAACUCUGAAAUUUUGUCUAAAAAUUCUAACCUAGAAAUGUCUAUCAACAAAAACUAAUAAUAAAAUAUGUUGUUUAGAACUAAUCUCUCUUUUACGUCCUUAUUUGCUAAUUAUAAAGUGGUAUUUAUACUAAAAACCUAAAUAGCCAACCAUUUACAUCAUUUCCCAUCAUAAAAUUAUCAUACUAAGGCAUUUUUUACUCAAUCUUCCAUUAUUUGCCCUAAUAAAGAUUGUAGAUUUUGACAGUUACGAAAGUCAUUGUUGCAACAUGAGCUUUUUGUUUCCCAAUUUAGCUCAAGUCACCUGGUGGUUAUCGCGACAAUGAGUUUUCCAGAUCAAUUCUUUGGCAAGUCAGAGGUUUAAUGGUUCUGACAAGGACAAGAUAUGGUCAUGACCAUGGGUUGGUUGAGGGAACUCCUUGGCAAGUUAGCAAGGUCAUGGUCACAACAAAGCAUCCACACCUUACUUUUCUUCUAUUUGCAUCCCUCCAUUGAGUCUUACAAUAUUCUUUUCACCUCUUUAAGUCCAUGUAUGAAGGUAAUUAGUUUAUUUAUUCAAAAUAAAAUAAAAACAACAUUUAAACUAAAUCCUAAUACUAAUGCAAAAACUAAUAAAAUGACUCUAAAUGCUACUUGAAAACAAGCUCCUCAAGUGUGAAAAUGGUCUAAUUUACCAUAUCAAAUUAUGACGUAUCAAACUCACCCGCACUUAAGUCUUUGCUUAUCCUCAAGCAAACAACACCCACAAAAAAAUGAUCCUUAAGUUUCGUUGAACAUUAGAAGAUACGAUAAUUGAACAUUGAAAAUGUAAAAGACAUAUCUCACACCCAAAUUAAGAUUGUUGUCUAACUAAUUCAAAUACUUCAAACCAAGUUCACAUAGUUUAAUAAGUUAAAAAGCCAACAAACAUAAAGGUAAUUCAAGUGAAUAUGUGCUCAAAUGUGUGAAUCCAUCAAGAUGAAUUAAAUAGAUGCAUUAUAGAUACUCAAGUAUAAAUCACAAACAUUCAUCAAUUCUAACAUGAAUAAUUCAGGAAAUUCAUACAAAAGGGAAUGUUUGUCACAUUACUCUUCUAGGCUUGUAACGUUUCGAGGCAUAGGAUGAUUUGAAUUAAAAAUAAAAUCUAGUUUAAAAUGAUUUCAAGUCCUAUAAAUAGAGAAGCAUGUGGCUUUGUUCCCUUUUGUCCCUAGAUUUAUCAAUAAACUCACCUUCUUAUCUCUCUUUCUCUCACCUUUAUUUUUUCUCUUAAGUGAUUAAGACAUGGUUCAAUAUUAUCAAAUCUAAAAGCUAGAAAGUUUAUAUGCAUUAAGAAAGCUAAAGAAUUUCUUUAAGAUCAAGAAUAUUUUAUCAAUUUAGCAUAUUCUAACAUUUUUCCUCUUUCAUUCACAAUGAUUUCAAACCCUCGUCGUGCUUUUAUUCACUCAUGAAUUUUCAUUAAUGCACUUACAAGCAAAGUAUCUAUACCUACCAUAUUGAGUCAUUUCCUCAUUUUUCCAUUCAUAUAAUUAUUUUGAAACCUCCAAAAUGUAUCUACCUAAACCUUAAGGCCCAUGGCUCGAUGUCUAUUUUAUAAUACAAAAACAAAUAUAAGGACAAGGAAGGUUUUAGUUAUACACUCACUUUAGGCUUAAGGCUUCAAACAAUAAAGCUUCACCAAGAAAGAGGUAUAAAAGCUCAAACAUGGGACCUUGGGAUAACAUAGUGACAAGGUUGGCUCGAUUAGACUCUGGCUACGCAAGCAAUGCCUUUGAUCAUCUCUAAAGAUUUCACAAUUAUACAAUUUUCAUCAUAUUCAACAUUUAAACAAAUAAAUCACAUGUGAUUCAAGCACUUAUUAUCUAAAAGUAUCAAUCCAAUACAUCUAUCAUAUGACACAAUUUCAACAAAUUCACAUCAAAAUAAUCACUUAUAGUCUAUUAGGCAAUUUUACACUAUUGAACUAAGCAACAUACUUCAAAGAACACAAUUAACUAUCAUCAAUCACAAUUCACAUGCUCAAUAAUCAAAACAAGUUCAACAACAAUCACCAAUAGACUAAGUCUCAUGUAACUCAAGCACCAUACAAAACACUCAAAAAAUUAAAAAAAAUUGAAAUUUUUUGCUAAAAACACAGAAAUAGCAAAAAUAAAAACACCCAACAAAUAAAAUAAAAACUUAUGCAAUCCCCCAUACACACUUAAGUUAGAAAUUGCCCCCAAUAACUAAAGAUAAAGUUUAAGGAAACUCCCUUUAUCCAAUUUAUGUACCAUAUUUUGAUAUGAAAAACUAUGCUCUUUAAGCAUUUAAAAAGCUUGUUUUGAGGAAAUUAGUAGAGUCCUUUAAUGUUUUCUAUACUUCGGAUAAAUUCCAUUUUCGUAUGCAAUUUGUGGUGUGUUUUAUGUUUUUUUUCUAAAUAAAAUAACCAUUAUAAUCAAUUAUGGACUUAUUUUUGGGGCAAGGCUUUUGUAGGGACUUAGUUGAGAAAAGUGAAAAGAAAAUUGAACUAAUUGGAGUGGAAGUGGAAACAUCACUUAUGAAUGUUACGACAUUGUGCACCUUUCAUCAACUAAAGAGCCAACCUUCAACAAUUGAACCUCCAGUAGCCUAAUUUCAAGGUCGCGACAUUGGUUCUUAAUGUCGUAACAUUGUAUAUUUUCCAAUGCAACAACCUCAUCGUACUCCAAGUUGUAAAUGGAGGCCACUUAAGUCAAGGUCGCAACAUGGGCAUACAAAUGUCAAGACAUCAACUCCAAACUUGAAGUAGUCACGACAUAGGGUGAUUUGGAGUAAUAUAGGGACUUGCUCGAUGAAGAGGCUGCGACAUCAAGCAUGGAUGUCGUGACAUUGGAGCCUAAUGAUAUUAUUUCUAAAACAAAAAUUUGAAGGCAAAAUGGGGUCUAAACAUUUACAAAUCAUUUUUUAAAGUGGGGUUAUUUUUUUAAAUGUUAGGUAAAGCCCUUAAAACCUAUAAAAACUAAUUUUAUUAGACUUUUUGAAAGAGAAAAAUUAGGUUAGUUAUUUUAUGGAUGAAAAUAUUCUUUUCCAACUUUUAAUUGUUUUUCAAUAAAAUAGUACAAGGACCAACUUGUAGGUUACUUAUUCUACAUAAUUUCCUUUUCAAUUUUAUGUUCUUGGUAUUAAAUUGAAGGGUUCUAUUAUGAAAUGCAAUUCGUUUUUCAUUAAAAUUAAGGAUUUCAACAAAAAUACUAAGCAUUUCUAAAAUUUUCAGUUUCAUCCUUUAAUUGAUUGAUUGUAUAAAUGAAUUGUUAUUUUAAUUGCAUAAUGGGCAUGAAAUGAAUCCUUGAGUGAUUGGUUGAUUGAAAUGUUAGUUUAUGAAUUUUAGUCUUAGGGACUAAAUUGAAUAAAAUAGUAAACUUAGAAUUAACGCCACUAAGUGAAAAUCUAGAUAGGUAAGACCAAAAGAAGACCCUAUCACGUAAUGAUUCAUUUAGUUCAUUUUAAUCAAAUGAGACCGAGAGGAUAAUUUGGUUAGAUUUCUCAUUUGGACUAAAUUGGGACCAAGAGGUGAGAUUUAGUUAAACGAAAAAUUUGGUAAUUUAAGUUUCUUAUGUCUAAGUUCAUUGCUAAGAUGGAAAUCAUCCAAUCACUAUUGUUUCUCGAUUCUUAAUUUCAUAAAUUGAAUAUUUUUCACGUUUAAUCCUUUUUAUUUAGGAAUUUUUAGACACUAAUCAUUUUCUUUACUAAUUAGUCACUUUAGCAGCCUAGUAGACUAUCUCGUGCAUGUAUUCUUAUUCGUAGCAUUUUAAUUAUGCAUUCUCCUUUGGGCUUGAUCCUUGAAAUAUUGUGUUCCAUUGUAAGAUCUUUAUUACAACUCAACAUGUGACACUUGUAAACACCACACUUUACUUUUAUACAUCUAUUUUGCAUUGUUCAAAGAACACACGCUAAAGUGCAGUCAAGUUGUUGAUCAACUUACAUUUUUCUACAUCUAUCUAAGAUUUACAAGUUACUAGGAAUGAUCGUCUAAGAGAAUAGGAAUGUCUACUUCUUCUUUGAAAUUCAACACAAUAAAGCCAACGAGAAGAAUAAAAUGCCUAACCCGAACUAAGACAUCCUCAAGGAUGCCUUUAGGAUAGACUAAAGAACAAUAUGCUAAUUGGAGUGUGACUAAUGUAGGACAUAACUCAUAUAAUUCUAAUCAUUGAUAAAUGGAAAAAGGCAUCAAAUUUAUGCUAGCCUUUAAGUUACAUAAAGCUUUAGAUUUACCCCUCAUAUUUCUAUUAGAAUUGUAAAGCUCACAGGUUUUUUAACUUAAGCAAAUGAUAGCACUACACUUAGCAAUCACUGGUAUUUUCUCCUUUUUACUAGUCUUCUUAUGCCUAGACACAAUGUCAUGAAGAAACUUGGCAUACUUCGACAUUUUCUCAAAUAGCUCAAGAAGACCUAAAUUAAAACUAGGCUCAACCAAACCAUACUUAUACAACAUACCAGGUGAUCAGUAAUUGACAUGCCCCAAUCUCUUGUGCCACAAGUUAGUACUAUUAGUUAAACUAGAAUAAGCUUUAAAGGUAACUGAGUUCCAGUUUAGAACAAAGCUCCUACCAUUCAUUUUUACUAACAUAAGCUAUUGACCAAUUGAAUCAAAUACAACACAUUUAUUCUUUUCAAAAACAAUAGAAUAAUUCUUCUCAAUAAGUUGACCAACACCGAGCAAGUGCUAACCUAAACAUCGGUAAUAACUUUUGUACCUAUAGAAGUGCUAACCUGAACAUCUCCCAUUCCUUUGGCUUCAAUGAUCUGGCCAUUUCAAACUCUGAUUCUUUAACUGAAUGAUCUAUCAAUCUCCUUGAACAUGCUUCCAUCUGAAACCAUAUGGUUUGUACAACCACUAUCAAUCAACUAGUUUUUCUUGUCUUGGUUGUUGACUGUGAAGUAUGAAGUAGUGAAUGUGAGCUCCUCUUGAGCUUGAUUUUCUUCAGCACUUGAGCCUGAUUAGACUGCUAUUGUUUUUGUUGUAACACCCUUAACCCGUAUCCAUCGCCAGAUUGGGGUUACGAGGUAUUACCUGACAUAAUUGUAAUAUCCAAUUUUACCCUGGGCCCAAUUAAAUAAGCACCAAAAAUAAAAACCAAAAUAAUAAAACAGUCCAGCCCAAAUUCACUACCCAGUUAUAGCGGCCAAAAUGCUUAAACCCUAGCCCACUAGCCUAGCAGCAACAGCCUUCUGCCUCUGCGCCGCUGUCGAACCUAGGCCCCGCGCGUGUGCCCCCUCCAAGCUUAUGCCCGUACAACAAAGAUGGCAACAACAAGCAAAGCAAGGAAAAUAGAAUAAACAGCAAAAAAGAAGCAAUUAGAUUACAAAAAAAGGAAAUAACAAAAUUAGAGGAUGGAUUUUUAUUUUCUUUUUUCUGUUGUUUUCUCUGUUAUUUCGGCUAUAUAAAGCCAAACAUGAAUCUGUAAAAGGGGGUGAUACUGAACGAAAAGCAGUAAAAAAGAAAUAUAUCAAUUUUUUUUGAAAAGGUGAUUACAAUUGUUUUUUUUUCUUUCGAUUUGUUUUUAUUUUAUGCAAAGAAAAAAAUAGAAAAGAGGAGAACAGGGAUCUUACCCCGGAGACUGCGUCGUUAAAGCUUGAGUCAUUCUCUGUUUUGAUCGGAGUUGAGAGCAGAGAGUGGCGGAGGAAAAGGGCAAAGCCCUUAGGGUUUUUUUCUGACAUUUUUUUUCUGUUUUGAAAUGGCGAACAAGCAUAUUCAGUUUUUUUUUUAUAACUUCUGCCAAACGACGUCGUCUGAUGCCUGCUUCAGUGGCCCCAAAACGACGUCGUAUGAGGCCUACAACCCGAUUACCCGACCUGUAGGUCUCAGAUCCGCGUGUUUUAUAGCGCAUGGAUAAUUUGCGUAUUUGGUCCCCUAUUUUUCACAAUGCGUUUAAAUCAAUCUUUUAUUUCCUUUAAAUUUAGCCACAUUCUUUAUUUUUGUUUCAAUUUGGUCCGUUCAAAAGCGCAGCGUUUUGAGGGAAGGGAAUAUUUCUCAUUUGGCCGUCAAGCUAUUCGCACGUUAUGCUUUGGCCCUUCAUUUUGUUUUAUUUUCGUUUUUCCCUUAAAUUUUGUUUUGAGUUCAAUUUAAUCCCUACUAAUUUAAUGUAUUUGAUUUUCUUUAAAUCUUAUUUAAAUAUUUUAUUAUUUUUAAGUAUAAAUCUAAUAUUAUCUUAAUAAUUAUUUUUAUUUUAUAUUAUGAUUGUAAGUUUUAUAUGUAUUGUUUUUCUGAGUUUAUCAUGCAUUUUUAAUUUAAAUUUACCAUGUUUUAUUUUACACUUGACAUCUAUUAUUAUUUAAAAUUAAUUGUGAACUACUCCAUACAAUUUUUUUAAAAUUAAAUAUAAUUUAUAUAUAUUCUUUAAUAUUUUUAUAAAAUUUUCUUAAAUAUUGCUAUGUUUUAAAAAUCUUAUUUUCAUGUGUUAUUUUAUAUUUUGAAAAUUUAUAAAUUUUAUCUGCAAAUAUGUAACUUAUAUUAACUCAUUUUUUUAUUAUGUAUAUAUUAUUGUUUUGAUAUUAUUAUGGUUAUUAAUUUUAAGUGGUCUUUUAAAUAUGUUUAUAUGUUUUUUUUUAAAUCGAUUUUUAUUUAUAUGAAAUUAACUUCUUUUAAAAACUUACUUUAUGUACUUUAUCUACUUCGAUCUUUUUAUAUAUAUUAGUAUAUAUGUAUUAUUACUAUUAUGUUUUUAUAUGUAUUACCUAUGUUAAAUUAAUAUAUGUAUAUUAUUUGCUUCAAAAUUAAUAUAUCUAUAUUAUUUGCUUCAAAUUUAUUUCAAAUACUAUUGUUGAAUGUUUAUUUUUUGAAUUCUAUUUCGAAUCUAUUUUGAACUUAUGUACGUAGUUUAUUUUAAAACUUUUCGAAUCUAUGUUAAAUUAAUAUAUGUAUAAUUUCUCCUUUUGUUACUUUUAGUGUACCUUUAAAAAAUAGAUCAUUAAUUCAUUUGAUGUUUGACUGUUGUUAUUGGUAUUUACAUAAUAUAUGAUUGAGAUUAUUGUUGCUAUGCUUGUUUGUAUUUGUCCGUUGAUUAUUCAUUAUUCAUUAGUAUACAUUUUACUUUUGAAUUAUCAUUUUGCGUUGUACGCCAUCAUUCAAUUGCACUAUGUUUGUUUAAAAGAUUGCAUUUGAUUAAAACACUAAAAUCAUUUUAUCCAUAAGCUUUCAAAACAUUUGGUAUCCAAAGAUUCUCGAGAAUAUUGUGCCCUAACUUACUGGGCUUCAAUUUUUUUCGUUAAACCUCAAUAACCGGCUAUCGCUUUUUCAAUAAAAUUGUACAAAUUUCAAAUAUAAGUUUAUUUAUGGGAUUUCAAAAUGUUACGUCCUAACUCACUGGAUAUGACAUUUUGCUACUUUGAGUUAAGGAUUAAUAAAAAUAAAGGCAGUAUUCGGUAUUUGGAAUUUUGAGGAAUUGAAUCCUAACUCACUGAGUUCUGAUUUUUCAUUUGACCUAAAUAAUCGAAUAUCUUUCUCAAACUUAAAUGCAUGUGUUUUAAAAGUCAAAAGACAAACUUAAUUUUGAAGAUUAGAAAUGCUGCACCCUAACUCACUGGAUGUGACAUUUUACUUCUUCGAAAUAAGAGGGUCUUAUCAUCCAAGUCAACUUAUUCAAAUUUUCUUUUUAAAGGAUCGUAUUUUAAAAAAUCUUUUCAAAUUUUUGACACUAAGACAUUAAAUAAUCAAUAUGGUACCAAUUUUGGGCGUUACGAGGGUGCUAACCCUUCCUCGUACGUAACUGACUCCCGGACUCAUUUUUCUGAACUCGUAGACCAAAAGCGUUUUCAAGGUGAUCCGAUCACACCUCAAUAAAAGGUCGGUGACAACUCUAAUUUUUGUUUUUUAAAAUAAAUCGAUCCAAUUUUUAUUUUCAAAAAAAUGGUUUCGACAAUAAUAAUUUACCACCAACUUAUAUAAUUAAAAAUGAACUUGUUGUUAACAUUUUAAAACUAAUUAUAACCUAAAAUCAUAUAACUAAGGUCACAUAACAAAUUCGCAAAUUCAUAUAUCAAAAUCAUUACAAAUUAAUUAAUGCAUAUACGAACGUUAUAAAACUCUCAAACCAUAGUAUAGUUGUAUCCUCAUGACAUUCACCAAAAACAUAUAUACAUAUAUAUAAUUAAGAAUUUCAAGCUUUUGCCGAUUAUACCAUUAUACCAAUUUAGACAUUAUGCAUGCUUCUUAAUAUAAAAUAAAUUCCAACCCAAAUCUCAAAGUCACAUACAUCUUCGAAUCAAUCAUUUUCAAAUAUACUCCAUAAUAAUUACUAUUUUCCCAAUUACCGAAUUAUCUUAUUGCAAUAUCUUAAUUAAUCUAAGCACAGAUUAAUCAAACAUAUACAACUAGAAUAACAAUUUUUUUUAAGACAAAACAACCCAAGUUUAACAGCAUAUAAAAUUCUUAUAUAUUUUAUACAUAUACAAGCCACCACUUAAUAUAUAAAAUUACAGCCUAAAACAUACAACUUCAUAAAUUUUAUUACAUCUAAAAUCAUACAUCAUACCAUCCAAAAUGAAUCAAGUACAAAGCCGUAUAAGUAUAAUUACAAACAUCAUAUUAUUCAAAUUGUUAUCAAAAGCAUAAAGAUUAUAUAUAACUAGUAUGAAUGUGCCAUUAUUAACAACUUGAACGCAAACAUGAAAAUGGAUUAUUUUCGUAUGGCUACUUAAGUUCAUGAUUUAAACUAAUCAAAAUUACAAGCAACCUAAAAUACAUUUAAUUUAAUAGCAUUUAAUCCAUGAACCAUGCACAUUCGAAUAUAUAACAUUUUUUUUAUAGUCAAGACAUUAAACCAAAUCCAUUUGUAUCACAUUGUAUUAUCAAUCACAAGCUCCUAACAUAGCCGAAUACACAUGGCCUACAAUAUCAAUUUAAAUUAUUUUAAUCAAAGCUUAAGUACUAAAUAUAAAUUAUUUUCUAUCUAUCUCAACCAAACCUGUUUAAUACCAAAGCCAUUUCACAUCAUACAUGUAUAUCAUACUUAUCAUUACCUAACCUCACAUACAAUAUAAUUUGCAUUCAAGAUACCCACAUUCGGCCAUUAAUUCAUUCCAUAACUAAAAUAAUUCUUCACUCCAUGCAUACAAUGAUACUUAUACUAAACAAUUAACCAAAUACACUAUAUACAUAUAUCUAAGUUAUAAUCAUCACCCUACUUACCAUUACUUAUCUUUAUACAUUUACCAAAUAUACUUACACCGUUUACCUUAAUGCCGAAAACUCAUAAAUAAAACCUUACCAAAUGCAUAUAUGUACUUUACCUUAUAAGUGCUAUCCAUUUAAAUUUUGAAUGAUGAUCAAAACAUCCUCAAACCAUAAUUCAACCAAAAACUUAACAUAGAUAAUAACUUAAGCCAUUUUCCAUAGCUUUAAUACAUACAUUUUCAAAUUUUAAGUUAAAACCAAGGCUAACCUAUACAUGCCAUAGUUCCAAAAGAUAAUUCAACUAUAAUAUAGCGUAAUUAGUCGAUAGUGUGAUAGGCUUUACUGAUGAAUCCCCGAUCUCGUAACGACUUCUAAAUCUAUAAAAUAAAGGUAAACAAAUACAAGCACAUAGUAAGCUAUUUAAAGCUUAGUAAGUCAAAAACAUAUAUAUAUUUUUCUCACUAUCAUUAAUACAACCAAUUUAUCAAGCUAACUAAACCAAAUGAAUAUAUUUAUACAUAUAGCAUAUGUAAGUCGAAUAUUUACUACUAGAAUACAAGUAUAUUCAUCAUAUAAUAUCUUACGAUUAUGAUAAUAGGCCAAAAACACUCAUAAUUUCAAACAUAUUUACUCAUUAUACAUUUACUAAAUAAUCUUUAAUCAUCAAUUUAAUAUAAAACUUACAUUAAUUUCUUAACAUGGUAUAAAUACAUACCUGAACUUUUAAAUUUGUUUUCACAUUCGUUCUUAAAUUAAUGUUGCCCGUUGAACCGUUCGGAAUUGAAAAGGAUAUGCAAUAGUCGGAAAGCUCGUACAAUGCCAACGUCCCAGACUUGGUCUUACAUUUAUUUACAAAUCUAUGUCACUGUCCCAAACAGGGUCUUACACGUAAACACAAGUCGAUGCCAACAUCCCAGAUGUGGUCUUACACGAAAUCACAUAUCAAAAGUCCUAUCUAUUCCUAGGGCUCGUACAGGGCUUCCGAAUACUGAACUUAUUCAAAUCAAACUCAAAAAUACAUCUUUCUAGCUUAAUCAUAUUGAACCAUCAUCAAAUAAAAUUCAUAAAAUUGCAUUUAUUAUGUAACCUAUGUAUAUAACCAAAUUUAACAACAUUUAUAUGCUUACAGACUUACCUCGAAUAUUGAUGGAUACAGUCGACUACUCGACCACUUUCGACUUUCCCCGAUCUAAUUAUGUUUUCUUCAUUUCUCGAUCUAAACAUAUUAAAAAUUAACUCUUUUAUUCAAUAAAUCAUUUAAUUUAAUCCAAAAACACAUAAAUUGGCAAAUUACCAUUUUGCCCCUGACAUUUUACAGUUUUUACAAUUUAGUCCGUAUUGCAUAAAACACAAAAUACACAAAAAUUUACACAUACUAUGCUUAGGCCGAAUAUCACCCUAGUCCAUACAAAUCCAUAUGUUUCAUUUAUUUUUCAUUUUAGUCCUUCAAAAUUUUAUUUUCACAAUUUAGCCCUAAUUACUCAAAUUCACCAAAAUUUCAAAGACAAAACAUGUUAAUCUUUCACAUAUCUUUAAUAUUUCAUCAUCAAACAACAAAAAUCACAAGCUAUCGUCAAUGACAAAACACAAAAUCAUCAUCAAAUUAAAAAAUUAAGACAUGGGCUUUGAAGAUAACUGAGCAACGAUCUCAAAAACGUAAAAAUUAUCAAAAACCGAAGUAAAACAUACCUUUAAUCAAGCUAGUUUUGUGCCGAAACCUUAACAAGCAUGGAUGAUUUCUUUCUUUUCUAUAUUCGGCCAAGAAAGAUGAAAAAUGGCCAUUUUUUUUAUGUUUUAAUAUAACAUAUAUUAUCAUAAAUUUUAGUUUACUAAUUUAACCUUAAAUAAAUAAAUUAUAGAACAUAUAAUAUAAGGGCAAUGUUGACCAUUGCCGCCCACUAUCAUCUAAAUGGCCUAAUUGCCAUAUAAAACCCCCAUUUUUAAAAGACAACAACAAUUAAGCGCUUUUAUAUUGGACCCCUAAAUUUUCAUUUUAUGCGAUUAAGUCAUUUUCUUUAAUUGGUCAUUCAAAAGAUAAAAUUUAAACACGAAAAUUUCACACAAUCAAAUUCACACAUAAUAAACACACAAUAUAAUAUUAAAAUAUUUUUCUGACUCGGAUUUGUGGUCCUGAAACCACUAUGUCCGAAUAGGGUCGAAAUUGAGCUAUUACAGCUACUGCACUUUUUUUUAUAAAUUAUAAAAUCGUGGCCAAUUUGCUUACAAUUUUUACAUUUUGCACCAAGUUUUGUCCAGCAAAACUUUUACGAAUGACCUAUCUUUUUGCAGUUUGAUCAUGGUGGAUACUUUUUCUUUCCACCAUCUCUUUUUUGCCUUUCUCUUGCUUGAUUCCAUUUCUUCUUGCCUUUGUUUCUUGAAGAGCAUGGAGUUUCCUUGUUUCUCAUUUGGUAGGCACCUUUUACGUUAUGAAUGACCCAUCUUUUUGCAAUUUGAUCAUGGUGGAUACUUUUUCUUUCCAGCAUCUCUUUUUUUCCUUUCUCUUGCUUGAUUUCAUUUCUCCUUGCCUUUGUUUCUUGAAGAGCAUGGAGUUUCCUUGUUUCUCACUUGGUAAGCACCUUCUACGUGAAGGACAUCAGUAAUAAAUUUUGUACCUAUAAAAGUGCUAACCUAAACAUCUCUCUUUCCGUUGGCUUCAAUGAUCUGGCCAUUUCCAACUCUGAUUCUCAAAUUGAAGGAUAUGUCAAUCUCCUUGAACAUGCUUUCAUCUGAAACCAUAUUGUUUGUACAACCACACUGUCAAUCAACCAGUUUUUCUUAUCUUGGUUGUUGACUGUGAAGCAUGAAGCAGUGAAUUCGAGCUCCCCUUGAGCUUGAUUUUCUUCAACACUUGAGCCUGAUUAGACUGCUAUUGUUGCUGUUGCACUUUGUUUUUACAAAUUCUAAAAUCGUGGCCAAAUUGCUUACAGUUUUUACACUGCACACCAGGUCUUGUCUAGUAAAACUUUUCUGAAUGACCCAUCUUUUUGUAAUAAAAGCAUGGUGGAUACUUUUUCUUUUUACCAUCUCUUUUUAGCCUUUCUCUUGCUUGAUGCCAUUUCUUCUUACCUUUGUUGCUUGAAAAGCAUGGAGUUUCAUUGUUUCUCGCUUGGUAAGCACCUUCUGUGUGCCCUCCUUCUCUGUUCGCUCUUCUUUGCUCCACGCAUAUAGAGCAUUUAUGAGCUCUAAUAGAUUGAUAGUUGUUAAAUAUCUCGAGUCCUCCAAGGAUAAGAUCUUGGACUUAUACUUCUCUAGCAGUGUUGUGAUGACUUUUUCAACAACCCUUCGAUCACUGAAUUGAUCACCAAGAAACCUUAUGUUGUUGACAAUGGACACGAUCUUGUCUGUAUACUACUUGAUCAUUUCAGUUUCCUUCAUCUUCAGGUUUUUAAAGUCUCUCCUCAAAUUCAACAAUUGUUGUUGUCUUGUCUUCUCAAUCCCUUAGAACUCCUCCUUCAACUUACCCUAGGCUUGUUUGAAAGUUUCACAAGCCAUAAUUCUCGUGAAAAUAACAUCAGACACACCAUUCUGAAGGUAAGACAAAGCCUUAUACUUCUUAGCAGCUUCAUUGCUAUGCUGUCUAAUUUGAGCUAUCAUUAGAUUAGCUCACAAAGGUGAUGGUUCUUUGUCUGAAACAACAACUUCCCACAAGCCAUAUGCCUGAAGAUACGUCUUCAUCUACACUACCCAAAUAUGGUAGUUCUCUCCAGAAAAGAUAAGAGAUGGAGGUGGUAUAAAGAUUCUAGAUGACAUUGCAAUACAAACAAGAUACAAACAACACUCUGUGUUCAACAAGAAAACACUCAGAAGUCCCUCAAAGGCUAAGGCUCUCGAUACCAAUUGUUAGAUUUUAGAGAAGUUGAGAGAACAAAAUACUGAGAAAACAAAGAAAAAUACAUAGCAUAAAUUUUUUACUGCUAUCAAAUUUUCUCAUCUUUUUUCAUUCAACAAGAAAUACAAUAUAUAUACGGGUGUAGUGAUUACACGUAAGUCAACUACCCCACUAACACACCUUGAAAAUACAAAGAUAUAACUUGUACAUAAACUAAUUAGGUAAAAGUCAGAACCUAAAAAGUUAAAUCAAUACUAACUCUGCUUAUCUAACAAGUGAUCUUAGCAAGUAGACUAAUAAAAAAAUAUCAUCAUCAGCAUAUGCGAACCCUUCUUGAAAUACGUUAGGUGGUUCGCCAACAACAUAUAAGUAGCUCACACUUUGAUGAGCUUACAACAUUAGUUGAGCUCGCAACCAUGGAGCUAGCAGACUUGCUUGAGCUCGCAGCUACAUAGGAAGAGUUCACCACUACAUGAAUGGCCACUUCGGAAUAGAGGAAAGGAAAUUAAGAAAAAGAACAUGUAAGCAUAGGCGGGGCGGGCAGGGCCAGAAAUGAAAUUUUGCACUUUUAGCUCCUUUAUAAUUUAUAAAUUUUAAAUUAGUAUAUGAUAAAAUUGUACAUCGACACUAAAAAAUAUAACAUUUUUAUUUGUUCCUUUAAAAAUUAUAAAGACAUAGACUAUUAAAAAGGUCAAAUUAUAUUUUUGUUAUCAUAAAAAUAUAUUACCUAAUUACAUUAAUUACAAGCUAACUGAAACAUUAAGUAAUAUUAAAAUAUAAAUUAACAAAGAAAAUCUAUUAUAUUGUAUAUAAGUUUAAAGGCUUAUUCGGGUAUCAAGUAAAUUUAAAUGGCUUAUUUGAAUGUAAUUAAAGUAUUCAGACUUUAUUUAAAUAAGAUAACAACAUUCAAGGGCUUAUUUAAUAUAUUAGCCAUUAUUGGAUUUAUAUUUCAAAUAUUGAUACCUAUUAAUUUAGAGUGAGUAUUUAGUAUAUUAGCAAUAUACUCUUUUUUAUUUUACAAUUAACCUUAAAAACUGACAUGUAUCUUUUUUUUUAAAUAUAUAUUUUUAAUAAUUUAUUAUACCCUAUAACACACUUAUCAAUCUCUUAACCCUGCUUAUGGAGUUUAAAAACUCCAAUAACAAUAUAUCAAAUAUUUUCUUAUAAAUUUAUGUUUUAUUAGUGAAAUAAACGAUGACCGGUAUUGUAUUUAUUUUUUUUUUUAAAUUAAUAAUUUUGAUACACUGGUGGUGGAAACUUUUAACUCUUUAACUGAAUUAAGAUGUUGCCAUGUUUCCUUAAGUUGUAUUUAAAAAUUUUUAAAAUAAAUAAAUAUGACAUGUAGCAAAAUCUUAAUCGCGCUUAUGGAGUUAAAAAUUUACAUCACAUGUGCACCAAAUAAUUACCCAUAAUAUAUUAUCAUGUAAUUUAUGGGUUAAUAUUUGGUAAACUCAAAGUGUGUUAUGUGUUUUUUUAAAUAUUUUACUAAACCUCUCUAUAGGACACUUGUCAACCCAUUAGCUUUACUUGUGGAGUGUAAAAACUUAACUAUUAGUGUACCAAAUAUUUCCCCGUAAUUUAUUGAUAGUGUAUAAAAUUAUACAAUAUUAUUAUAUUAAAGGUGAGUAUUUGAUAUACUAGUAGUGUACUUUUUUUUAUUCCUCAAGUAGCUUUAAAAAAUUGACAUAUGUCUCUUUUUUUAAUAUUUUACUAUAACCAUGUAAGACACUUGUCAACUCCCUAACUUUACUUCUGGGGUCUAAAAACUUUAUUAAAUUGUGUAUCAAAUUGUUUUCAUUAUAUUAAAUAUAACCCUUACCUAAAUAAUAUAAACAAUGGGUGAAUAUGAUAUCCAUUCAAAUUGCAUUAAUAGCUCGCAACAUAUUCGAAAUUUAAUUAUGAGUAUUGUGUUGUUUUAUUUCCCAAAAAAGACAGGCGGAUAUUGGGACGUACACGUAUGAUACUAACAGCAUGUUUGGUUGGGGGGAAUAGGAAUGCAUUCCCCCCCAAAUCGGUGGGCCCACCCCCAAACCAACGUUUGGUUGGCUGUAAUUGUAAUACAGCCUUAUUCCAUUCAGCCUCUAUUACGUGAGAAGCUGUAAUAGCCAUUCCUUGCCUUCAGCACUGAAUAGCUAUUACGUUCCGCUCUCUUUUUCCCAUUUUCCAAAUUUUGCCCUCCUUCAUCUUUUCCUUCAUCUGCCGUCAAACUCACUACACAAUUUCUGCCCUCAAACUCUCUUGCCAUAUUUCAGAUAUUCUCAUUCAUCUUCUCCCAUAGAUCUGUAACUUUCUCUCCUUUUGUUCCCAUAUUUCAGGUAAUUUUUAAUUCAGAUUUAGAUUUCUUGCUCGUCAAAUAAAAAUCCAUCCGAAUCACUUUUAUUUUUUCCCUAUUAAACAAAAAGCUCAAAUCAAACUAGACCUGUCCAUGGGCAGGGCGACCCGGCCCGCCCGAAAUAUGGGAGGGUUCGGAUAAAAAUAUAGGCCCGAAAUAUGGGCUUGGGCAAAAAAAUGAGGCCCGUUUAAAAAAUGGGCCGAGCUCGGGCUCAACUUUUUUUGCCCGGGCCCAGCCCGGCCCGAAUAUAAUAAAUAUAUUUUUUAAUUUUUUAAUUUUAAAAUACUUCAAAAAAAAUUUUUUUAUUUUUUUAUUUUUAAAAUAUUUUUUUGUAUUUAUUAAAAAUCGGGCCGGGCCGGGCUCGGGCUUAUUAUUUUUUUCCCAAGCUGAAAUUUUUUCCGCGCCCGGCCCGGCCCAUAGACAGGUCUAAAUCAAACCCCAAAAUCCAAAAUCUCACAUCCUCUAAAUCCCCAAAACGGGAAAAAAAGAAUAAAGAAGACAUGAGGACACAGAAGAGGUCGAUCCAUGCGGUGUCGAUGUGGGUGAGACGACAGCCGCCGAAGGUGAAGACUUUUUUGGCGGUCGUAUCGAGGAUGGCAGCAUUGGUUCUUCUCCGAGUCAUUGUAAAUGACCACGACAACCUCUUUGUCGCCGCCGAGGCUGUCCAUUCUAUCGGAAUCUCUGUCCUCAUCUAUAAGCUCAUAAAAGAGAAGACUUGUGCUGGUAAUUCCAAAAAAAAAAAAAGCUUCUUCUCUCUUGCCAGUUGAUAAAAAAUUCUAUAUUUUGUUAUUGGAAUUGUUUUCGAUUAAUUUGUAGCUUCAAUUUAAUACUUAUUGCAUGGAUUUUUUUUCUUAAUUUAGUAGUUUCAAGAACUCAUUAAGGUAAUGGCUAAAUAGCAAAAUUUUAAAGAGUUUGAUUUGCUGACUUUGUGCCGAUUGUUUUUUUUUUUGUGCUAUAUAGCUGUUUUUAGGUUGAAUUUCCGGCUUGAUUUCUUCUUUCUUUCGAUCUAAGGUAUCUGUUUCUUGCUAUUCUUCUCCAUGAAUGAAGUAUGGGUAGAAUGUUGGUUGAUAAAAAAAGGUAGCUUUUGGACCAAAAGGAGAUGUUCUUUCUCUCUUCUGACUGUCCUGCUAUGUAUAAAGCUUGGUUGUUGUUAAAAUCCAGUAUGCCUUUUGAUAUUGGCCUUUUCGUUUACACAAGAUGGAUGAAUGAAUUGAUUAACCCUCAAUUACUGGUUAAAUAUGUUUUGUUCUCUUUCUUCGUCUUUUUUCCAUGUGUAGGUAGUCUUCUAACUGUCUAUUGAGCUGUAACUUGUCUUCAGUUCUUCUUAGCACUUGUUUAUUUUAAAUACCACUUUGAAAGUCACCUUAUACCUCACCUUCUAGUUUUGAUUUAAUAUAUUUUAUCUGGCAACCAAUUGAACAAAAAUUGUUGAAGGUAUUUACAUUUUUUGUAUUGCUACGCAUAGACACGUUUUAGCAAUACAAUUAUAUUCUUUGUUCCUUGAGUGGAUUUAUUCCUUUUUUUAACAUAUUGUAGAAGUCAUAUGGGCGUUUGAAUUUGGAUUCAGGUUGUCCCUUGUGCAGUACUAGCUCUGUGUAUUCAUCCAACAACUUCCCAUAAUCUAUUGAACCAGAUUUCCUGGGCAUUCUGUGCAUAUCUGGAAGCAGUUUCAAUUUUACCUCAGUUGCGAGUGAUGCAAAACACCAAGGUAAAAAUUACUUAGAUGGCAGAUUUAAUUUUAUAAAUAAGGUUUAUAAGAUCACCAUGUUUAACUCACUUUUUGUGCUUUCAGAUUGUUGAGCCUUUUACAGCUCAUUAUGUGUUUGCGUUGGGUGUUGCAAGGUAAUAAUAUUAUCCCGUCUAAAUAAAACAGUUACUUAAUAUUUGCAUUUCAACUUGAGGUAUUAUUCAAGUAAGGUAAAUGAAAAGGGCCAUACUUUGUUAACAUUUCGUUUUUGACUCAUAUACCAUGGUAGUCUCAAGUUCAACUCUGUUAUAAUUAAUAAUAACAAGAAGCAUGUACAAAUAUGAAUUCUCUCCUUUAAAUGGAUUCUGAAUUCUUCAAACUCAUGUACAAAUAUGAAUUCCCUCCUUUAAAUGGAUUCUAAAUAACCACUCGAUGAAUUCUCUACACUGUUGAUUUUGCAAAUAUGCAUGUUAUGAUUUUCAGGGGCAAAGUUCUUUGUAGUUUGUGAACCUGGGACACAGCACAUGGAGGCUCUCUUGAAAGUUGUUUAUGAGCUCUAAACAGAUUAUGUUUUGAAAAACCCCUUCUAUGAGAUGGAGAUGCCCAUAUGAUUCGAACUCUUUGACAUCAACCUGACACAAGCAGUACAGAAGGAUCGUGUUGCGCUUUUGGGGCGGUAAGCUGUCCUGGAACCUUUAUCUUACCAAAAUGUCACCAUCUCUUAUCUUCAUCCGUACACUUUUGAUGGAAGAUUGCUAUCAAGUUUGUAUAAACCUGUGUAUUGGGAUAUCAUCAAGCUCCUUUGUUUAGCUCAUAAGUGCUGAAUUAUUUAUAACAUAUGAUGAUUUCUGGAGUUGCUUCUCCCAAUUAACAUUUAUAAAAUUAAUGAAAAAAUCCUUUGAAUUAUUUGUUUGCUAUUGUUUUUCAAUCUUUAUCUAGGAAGAAGUUACAGUAGGGGAGAUCUUAUGAAUGAAACAUUCAUAGUGAAUCAUUUGCAUUCAUACAAAAAUUAAAUUAUAUAUAUUAUGAUUUUAGUAUUAUAUAUUAUGAUUUUAGUAAAUUCAUAUAAGAAUAUUUAAUAUUAAGAAUUUUAUUAAAUUAUAUAUUUUUAUCUAAUUAUAUUUAAUAAUAAUAAUUUUAAAUUAUAUUUUGUAGUAUUAUAUAUUAUGAUUUUAGUAAAUUCAUAUAAUAAUAUUUAAUAUUAAGAAUUUUAUUAAAUUAUAUAUUUUUAUUAAAUUAUAUUAAAUAAAAAUUAUUUUAAAUNNNNNNNNNNNNNNNNNNNNNNNNNNNNNNNNNNNNNNNNNNNNNNNNNNNNNNNNNNNNNNNNNNNNNNNNNNNNNNNNNNNNNNNNNNNNNNNNNNNNUUUUAUUAAUUAUAUAUUUAUUAAAUUAUAUUUAAUAAUAAUAACUUUAAAUUAUAUUUUAUAGUAUUAUAUAUUAUGAUUUUAGUAAAUUCAUAUAAGAAUAUUUAAUAUUAAGAAUUUUAUUAAAUUAUAUUUAAUAAUAAUAACUUUAAAUUAUAUUUUAUAGUAUUAUAUAUUAUGAUUUUAGUAAAUUCAUAUAAGAAUAUUUAAUAUUAAGAAUUUUAUUAAAUUAUAUAUUUUAAUUAAAAUAUAUUUAAUAAUAAUUAUGUUAAAAUAUGAUUAAAUUAUUUAUUAUUGAUAUUAAUAAUCUUAUUAAAAUCUAAUAACAAUAACAAUAAUCAUUUACCUAAACAAAUUUCUGUUAAGGGUAUUCUAGUCAUUUUAGUUUUUUCCCUUAUGUUAUUUCACCUCCAUUUCAUUCAACCAAACACAAGAAUACUAUUACGCCUCUAUUCCAUUACAUUCAACCAAACAAUUGAAUUGCUAUUACGCCUCUAUUCCAUUACGCCUUUAUUCCUUUACGUCUCUAUUCUAAUACAGCGAACCAAACGUGACCUAAAAAUAUUGAGUGAAAUGAUAGUAUUUCUUUUUCUUUUUCUUUUUUUUGACCAAAAAAAUGAUAAUAUUUAAAAGAGAGACAAAUUGUAUAAAUUAGAUUUUAUUAAGGGCCUAUUUGGUUCUCUAAUUUUAUAUAAAAAAUUAUUUUACCUCUUCAUUUGUUAUUUUUACUUUUUUUAGUCCUUAAAUUUUUUUUUGUCGUCCUUAAACCAUGUUGGUUUGUUUACUUUUGUUUUUUCGUUAAUAAGAUCGCUUUACCUUAGAAAAAAUAUUAUGAUUAAACUAAAUACUAAUUAAAAAAGGUAAGGCAUACUGACAACUUUAGCCCAUAUAUCUUUCAUUUAUUUAUCAAUUUGAUCUCUUUUUUUAAAUUAAAUUUGACUCUUAACCUUUUAAAAAGAAUUGAAUUGAUUUUUUUUAAUGGAAAUACUAACCAAUACGUUAAAUUUUUAAACAUUGCAGCCCACAUUGCAAUCUAAAUGUACAUCAUGCUAUUUUUUAAAUUUUUAUGAAGCUUUUAUCCUCUCUUUUUAUUAAUAUUUUUAUAACUUUUAAAAUAUAUAUUGACAUGUAUAUAUGACAAACAGUAUCAUGUUAGAAAAAAAGCAUAUGGAUUAUCACACAAGUUGACACAUCAAAAUUAUUAAAGAAUAUUUUAACCAACAUUUUUGUUAAAAAAUAAUGAUUUAAUUCUUUUUAAAAGAUUAACAACUAAAUUUAACUUAAAAUAAUAAUAAUAAUAAUAAUAAUAAUAAUAAUUAAAGUGAAAAAAAACUGUAAAACUAAAUUUGUCACUGUCCCAAAAUUUAAUGCUACAAACUAUCAUACACUCAUCCUUAUUAUUUUUGGAUUUAAAUAGAAGUGCAUCAACAAACCGAGAUAUUAUUUUGUAGAUUAUUCCUUCUUGGCCUAUUACUUUGAUAUUCAAUAGUGAUUGUAAGACCCAUUUUCUGCCCGGCCCACUAGCAAAACCAACCAACCCAAAAAUAAAAAAUAAAAAUUACAGUCCAUAUGAACUACUUGCCCAAACCCAAUAGGCCCAAAAAUCAGAAACCCUAAGCCCACAAACUUAAAGAUUUUCAGCAAACCCUAGUUGCCUCCCCUAAGCCCUGGCGCCGCAAGCUUCCAUGCGUGGCCUCCUCGUCUGCCACGCCUCCAGCGCACGCCGGCCUACUCGCACGCCUCUGCUAUCGUCUGCACCAACGCAUCUGACACCUGUAAGAGCCAAACAACAAAACGACAAAAACAAUAGAAAUCAAGAGUUUGAAAUCAGCUAUAAAGGCCGAAGCUUGUCAUUGUUUUGCUUCUUCUUCGAUUUUCUUUGUAAAAAAUGCACAUCAGAGAAAUAAAAAUUAAAAAAAGAACAAAAGGUCGCUGCUUUCUUCUUCUUUUUUCGAUUCAUCUAUUUAUUUUAUUUAUCUUUGUUUUUUUUUUAAAAAAAACUAUUAAUAAAGAGGAUAAAAAGGGAAAGGAAUAAACUCACCUGAAUCGGCCCCUGCCGUCGUCGGACGCGAGUUUAGGAAGGGGCAGAGGUUUUCCGAUUUCUCUUCGUUUCCCCAUUUCGGAGCAUGGGUCUCUGAACGCGCUCCAAAGCGCUGGUGGGAGACGCCCUCGCAUGGCUCCAGCCACCGGGCGGUGGGGAGGCGUGGGCUUCUGGGCCUGGAACCCAAGCAGAAAAAGGGAAACCUCCCUUUUAUUUUUCUGUGUUCUUUGCAAGAGAAUGAAACAGCAGAAAAAUGAGUAAAAUUUUUGCUUUUAUGGAUGAUAAAACGACGCCGUUUGGUGGGGGAAAUCUGCGCAUGCUUUGCCCUAAUGGGUAAUUUAUGCAUUUAGUCCCUCCAUCUUGCGUUGAAGUGCAAUCCAACCUUUUAUUUCUUUUCGAUUUGGGCCGCGAGUUUUGUUUCUGCUUCAAUCAGGUCCUUUGACCAUGUAUGGUCCUUUGCGCUGAAACGUUGCACUCUAGGACUGGGGCAUAUUGCCCGAUUAGUCCUUCAUUCUUCGCGCGCGCCCCAUUUUAAUCCCUUGUGACCUGUUUAUGGUUUUCGCAAUUAAAACCCCCAAGUUCUGAUUCGAUUUCAGUAUCAUCCCUGGUCCAUUUAAUUUAUUUGUUUGUUUUUUAUUCAAAAAACUCUUUUAUUAUUAUUUUUGUUAUUAUUUAUCAUUUAUGGUAAAUUGUUUUACAUGCUAUUUAUUUAAUUCUCUUAAUAGGUUAUUCAUUUUAAACCAUUAUAUAUAUAUUUUUUAAAUGUUGUAUGUCUUUUAUUUAUUUGUUUUAAACUAUUAUUAUUUAUUUUUAAGUUUUUAUAUGUUGUUUAUUUGAAGCCUUUUAUUAUUUAUUUUUAAAUUGUUGUUGUAAAUUAUUUAUUUUAAAUUAUUAUUUACUUUGAAUUGAUUUGCAUGAUAUUGUGUUUUGUUUACUUCGAUUGUUAAUGUUAGUAUUAAAAUGAUAUACAUUAUGCGUUUAUUGCCAUCAUGUGCUCUUUUGUUUUUGCAUAUUUGUCAUUCAUUAUUGUAACAUUUUAUUUAUAAGUUGUCAUUCUAUGUUCUAUAUAAGCAUCCUAUCAUUCCAUCAUUUUUAAAAUGGCACUUAAUGUAUUUUUAUAUACCCAUAAUAAACCAUUUUAUUUUAUCACAAAACAAAUUCACCUCGUACAAGUGUUGCACAUGUCAUUAUUCAAAAAGAAAAAUUUUAAAAUAAGGCAAUAUCUCGCGUUUUAGGAAAUUCGAAGAAUUGUACCCUAACUUACUGGGUCUCGAUUUUCUCGUUAAACCUAAAUAGCAAAAUAUCCUUUUAAAUUUCCAAACGCAUAAAAUUUCAAAAAUAAAGGUAAUAUUCUAUAUUUAGAAAAUUCGAGAAAUCGUGCCCUAACUUACUGGGUUUCGAUUUUUCUCGUAUUGAACCUAAAUAACUGAAUAUCCUUUUAAAAUUGAAAUGAAUGAGGUUUAAAUAAAAAUAAAAUGCAAGCUUACUCUCAAAAAAGACGAGGUGUCGUGUCCUAACUUACUGGAUGUGACAUCUUGUUACUUCGAGAUAAGGAGGCAUUUUCCAUUUUGAUUUAUUCGAGUAAUUUUAAAAUAACACAAUAAAGAGAGAUCGUAUAUUUAAAUUCUUUUCGAGUUUUUAAUUUUCGACACCAAGACAUUAACUAAUCAACUAGGUACCAAUUUUUGGGCGUUACGAGGGUGCUAAUCCUUCCUCGUACGUAACCGACUCCCGAACCUGUUUUUUCUGAAUUUCGUGGACCAAAAUCGUUAUUUUAAUAAAAUUAAAUCGUUUAUUAAAAACAACCACUUUUCAAGGUGAUCCGAUCACACCUUAUCAAAAAAAAAAAUUGGUGGCGACUCCUAUAUUCGUUUUCUUUUUCAAAAUCCAAGUCGACCCAUUUUUAUCAAAAAAAUAGUGUCAACAGUGAUGUAAAAAUAUUUUUCCAAAUCACUAAAAUUUUGGCAGCUCAUUCAACUUCCUUCUUGGCCUAUUACUUUCUACCUGCAACCUUUGUUCCCCACAUUCUUUUCUUGCGAAGCCAAAACAACUACGAAACAAGUGACGAUGAAGAGUUUGAAGAAGAAGAAAAUGGGUAGGAUGGAGACCCCAUGGCUACCACGCCACUUAUAAGACCCAAGUCGAGAUCUGGUAAUUGGACGUCGAACGACAAUAACCACUUAACCAGCUCCUUUUUUCACAUUGCUCAUUUGGGGUUUUUUGGUUUUAAAAUUUGUUAAGUAACUAAAUCUUAUGAAUCUGUUGAUUUUGGGAUUUUCUAUUUCUUUUAUGAACAGAUUUAGAGAAUCAAAUGGAGGGAAAUGUUUAUUCCAACAUUAAAAAAUUACUAUUUUUUAAAUAAGAAAAUAUUGCUACUAUUCUUGAAAUUGUAUUUGAAUGUUUGAUUAUUAUGUUCUCUUGUUUGUCCAAAAGGAGAUUUUUAUUUUAUGAAUGCGUUGAUUAAAACUGUAGGAGAAAGUGACGAUCCGAUUACUUUAGCCAUGUUAGAUGAAGAAAAUAUAUGCUUAAAUGCUUUUUUCAUAUUUAAAAUCUGGGUAGGAAGAGGAAAAACAAAAAUGUAACAGGCAAGAAGGAAGGUGAGUGAGACGGCAAUAUAUUUUAGUGAUGCGUAAAAAUAUUCUUACACUGUAAUUCAUUAUUAAUGGUACAUACAUAAUAAUUUCAGAAAAUUUCGAAAAGUUAAAAAUAAUUUAAUUGUUGUGUUUGAAUAAUUUUUCUUUCACAAAUUAAAAAAUUGGGAUCACCCGAAUUAAGAUAUCUUUUUUAUUUAAUUUAUAAUUAAUUUUAUUUUUUUAUGAUGUAAAAAUAAAUAUAAAUCAGUGAAAAUAACUUUAAAAUAUUAUAUAAAAGUUAUUGUUUAAAAAAUAGUAUAUAAGAUUUAUUGAUUAUUUAUUAUUUACUUGAAAAAUAAUUUUAAAAAACAUUUAUAAAAAGAUUCUAAAUUUUUAUCAAAUAAUAUUAAAAAAUUUAAAAAAAAAGAAAAACUAAUUUUGUCAAAAUAAAAUUCAAAAUGUAAAAUUAAGAUUAAAAAACUAAAAAUCAAACCAUUAAAAAAACUCAAUUAAAUCAAAUAGAAUCAACUCAAUCCUGUUUAAUAAUUAGAAUGUUUACUGGGUGAAUCUUAAUUCAUUUGAUAUUAAUAUUAUUAUCUAAAAUUGUAUUUAGGAGUUGGAAUGGAUACUUUUUUUAUACCUACAAACGUAAAUAAACUAAGAAAAAAAGUGCGCAUUGCAUGCUUGUAUAUUUCAACAAAAAGAAAAUAUUAUAUCUCCAACAUUAAGCAAGUUCUUCUUCCCCUCACAUUUGUUCACCCAUAAUGGGAACAUCGGUGUAUCUUUUAUUGAUAACUGUGAUCCAACCAAAAGAAAAAGCAGGAGAUUGAUUUAUUAGUAGACUAAGACGUAGCGACAUAUAUGCAUCAUAGUUGAAAGGGAUACAGGGAAACCAUACGUACAGCAAAAAGCAAAGUAAGAAACAGAUAAGACUCCACAAAAGUAGCAACCUUUACGAUUCGAAUAAUGAAUAGGGCGUUUACUGUCAUAGAUAGGUUGAUAAACAUCAAUGUUUUUUACAAUAAGGGCUAUUACCGUUACAAUUAGUAUUAUGUUUAUCUGGCUUUGGUGGUGGAAGACAAUUCGAAUAACUAGGACCGCAGUUCUUCUGACUUAUUGCCGGCUUACCCUUUGUAAGCGUGCCGUAAGCUAUUUUACCGACAUUUUUAACGUCCCCGAGGAUUCUGAUAACGGUAGAAUCUAUCAUCAACAAAUCCAGCUCCGACUCCAAUUCUUCCCGGAUACCGCAGCCGCCGAGAAGGCCAUUGCACUGGUAAGUGGCGUUGCUCCUCAGUACUAGGACGGCGUCUCUGCCGCUAAUUGGUUUCAGGAGAAUCAUCAUCAUCACUAACCCCACACAUAACUCACGAAACCCCAUUUUCUUUUUCCUUUGUUUCUCCUCGCCCCGGAAUAGGAAAGCGGCCUGCCC